AUAUGGGAAGGUUGAGCUGCUGUUUAUUUAUUCCUAGAGAUGCUAGAAUUCUGGAGAAUUUUAUCUUUGAAAAAUCUUUAAAAUAACACAUGAUGAGUUCUUAUAUGAUGAGAGUUUAAAUUCCUACCACAGCCAUAUAUACAUGCUUGCUAGACUUUGAGCCAUAUAUUUACUUUUUACUGCUUAUGAGCAUUGAGUGUGGUCAAGCUGUGUAGACCCUAAGGAGCUUGUCAUGUGGUUAAAAUCAAGAUUCACUUGCACGUUCACUCAUACAUGCUACUUCCACUCCGGAAGUAUGCAUCCACAUACAUCCACUCAUUUUCAUCUCCACAUACACCUAAAACUAUUCUACUCCUAAUCCGGGAGAGAAUAGCCAAAAAUAUUUUCCUAUCCCUGUUAUUCCCUGUGAAAUAAAUGCUCCAGUUAUUUUGGUUACUACCACUUGCUACAUUCUUUCAGGAGAUGAGUGCUCUAAAAAAAGAAAAAAAAAGAAAAAUAAUAAUAAUACGAGGAAAUAAAAAGGGGCAAGUGCCUGGAACCUCGAAGAAAAAGAAAAAAGUGAGACGUGAGGUAAAAAUGGACAAGUGUCCGACAGUAGAAUUAGGGGUACAAGAUACCCACCUGAGAGGAAAGAAAAAGGAAAUAUAGAGCAUCUCAUUCUCCCCAAAAAGCUUCAAAGUGCAAGAAAGGUAUGUAUCCCCUCAAAAGAGCAAAAGUAGAAUUAGACUUUCACCAUCAUCACCAUACACCAUUCAUUCGCCACACAUGCACAUCUUGAUUUGACUUAUUGACUUGUUUCUCUGGAUCCAUGGUUUGACUAUGCAAUAAAUAUCUUGUAAGUAUGUAUUAGCUGUCUCCCACCUAUGAGCUCCAGAUAUCAAAACCUUAUUAGAAUAGGGUGAGAGAGAAGGCAAUAUCACUAUGCCUCAUACCACAAAUACUACAUACUUUGAGAGAAGGCACAUACCAUUACUGCCUUGGUAAGGAUCCGGAAAUACCACAAAAGAGAGAUCUGAGAGAGUCAUAUAAGGAAUCUCUGAGUUUUAUUUGAAAAUCUGCAAAAACUCCAGAGCUAUAGCUGAUCAAGAAUAAGAGACAUGGCGCUUGACUUGACCGUUCUAUCUUUUAACUGCUCAAGACACAAGUGACGGUUACAAGCCCCAUGGUGAAAGGUAAAAUGAGUAAGUUUUAAGUCUUAACAGUUUAUUCUAACUCAGAGAUGAGAUCUUGCUUGAAUCUGUGUGUACUUUUAAGAAAUGAAACCACUGCAGAAACUCUCGAGUUCAUCCUUGCUCAGGGACGAGCAAGAGGUAAGCUUGGGGGAGUUUGUUGACGGUCCAUAAGUAUCAAAUUUAAUUAUCAAAUAAACAAAAAAAAGGAUCCAAAUGAAAUCAACAUCUAGACUUGAGGUUUUAUCUGACAGAAUUCCACUAGUUUUGGUGUUUGUCUAUUUCUACAGGGGGUUAUCAGGAAAUAAGGAAGAAAGGCCCACAUGUCGGGAUUACAUAGAGAUAUGAAUGUGCCGCACAAUUUUGUAUCAUCUAGAAGACUCCAGAAGCCACGGGAACGAACGAGAAGGCAAACGGGCCCGGGGGCAGGGCGCCCGCCCACCCCCCUUGGGCGCCCGCCCAGGUGUUUCCACCAAUCACAGAAUGGAGUAUACCAUUGCAAAGAUCUCGUCGAGCUGAUCGAAAUGCAUAUAUUACUUGCUAUAUUUGGAGUUCAGAAUCAAGAGAUAUUAAUAAAAGAAGGACUCCGUAUAAAAGAGCUGCGGGAUUAAUUGGGCCCAAAUCAGAUUUUGGUCCAUUAAGGCCUAUGUGCAUUUUAAUGAGAUAUGGUGGAAAGUUUAGUACCACAUCGCCUGCUGAACCAAAAACGCAUAGAGGAGGAGGACUAUAUAAGGAGACCCCCUGGCCUCUGUAGAAGAGAAGAAAUUAUAAUAGAGAUUGAGGGGUGCCCUCGAAGGAAAACCUCUUCUCUAAAUAAUAUUUCUUUUUAGGCUUAGCAACAAAUGUAAAGUAGAAAUGGAUCUUCUAGUUUCUACUAGAUUGAAGAGAUAGAGUGGAGGUGUGGAUCGGAGGAAGGCCGGCCUGUCGGUGUCUACUCCGAGUGGUACCUACGGGAUCAAGUCUCCUAACCCGAGGCUUGCUUCUAAGAUUCUUCAGUAAUUCGACUUCUAAUACUAGUAAGUUCUUGUUUUAUUGUUCUUUGGAUUAUGAGUUUACUUUAAUCCUCUUCCGGUUGAGUAUUAGAAUAAUCACUUGUUAGCGUAAACGUGGUGUUUAGGCUAGGGUACUCAUAGAUAUCCCCUGACUGGCUGGACCGCGGUAGUAGCGAGGAACGUGACAUUUCCGAGUUACCUUUGCAGAUCACAUCUCGUUAGCAGGACGGGUAGGUUUAUAGGUGCGGGUCGAACAUCCUUUGUGUUGUCUAGAUUCCGUGAGCCUCCCCAAUAGAAUAGUAGAUCAUCCUUAUUAAGGUUAGAACGAGACUACGGUUGCAGUCUUCUCUAUACAUCACUCACAUCGAGAGACAUUCUUUGUAGCCUAAAGGGAUAGUAGCAAUAAAUUUGGUUAGUCAGAUGCACCCUUUCUCCCAGUGGUAAAAAUAUAAAUACGAUACUCUGGAAAACCUCCGUGCGCUUGCGGAUCAUUUUCUAAUUGCGUUACCAAAUAUCAACAAAGAGAAAAAGCAUAGUAGAAAUUAUUAAGCUCAAGGAUGGGAUGGAUAGCUGAAUUAAGGGAUUGAAAUGUUUGGAAAUCGGCUAUUGAAACUUCCUUUCCUCGUCUGGGAGAUGAUUCCUUAUCUAUCUCUAAGAUUAUUCUAUGAAGACUAGUACAAGAAGGAUGUCCACGAAUGAAGACAUACCUUCCUUUACUAAUAGAUAAAGAAAGAAAGACUCUACCAAAGGGUAUAUGAUUAAGACCAAUGUGAAAAUAUCGAGAAAAACAUGGUCUUGUACGGCUAGGUUUAAACCAGAAUUUAUAGAAAAAUUAACAGAUUCCCUAGGUGUAGCUAAAAGUGCAUUAUCUUUUUUAUUAAAAGAUAGGACCUCGACUAUAGAAAAGGGUUGGUUUUGACCUAUUGCAAUCAACUCCGGACACAGAUCAUAAUUAGGGGAAGGACGUGUUGACUCCCAUGGUCUAUGGCUGGUCUCCGAAGGUGCAAAGAAUUUAAUAAUAGGUAUGGAAUUUGAGUUAUCCAUAAAGAUAAAAAAGAUAAAAGAAUAAAAGUAUAAAAGUAUAAUACAAGAUAAUAGCAAGAUUCAAAGUUAUCUCAGCAAACCGUCUUUCUCCCCGGCAACGGCGCCAGAAAUGCUUGUUGAUAUUUGGUAACGCAAUAAGGAAAUGAUCCGCAAGCGCACGGAUAUCGGUGAGCAUUUCACCCGAGAGGUUAUCCAGAGUUAUCGUAUUUAUAUUUUUACCACUAGGAGAAAGGGUGCAUCUGACUAACCAAAUCUAUUGCUACUAUCCCUUUAGGCUACAAAGAAUGUCUCUCGAUGUGAGUGAUAAAUAGAGAAGACUGCAACCGUAGUCUCCUUCUAUCCUUGGUAAGGAUGAUCUACUGUUCUAAUGGGGAGGCUAACGGAAUCUAGACACCACAAAGGAUGUUCAACCCGCACCUAUAAACCCUAACCUUCCUGCUAACGAGAUGUGAUCUACAAAGGUAACUUGAAAUUGUCACGUUCCUCACUACUACCACGGUCCAGCUAGUCAGCGAAUAUCUAUGAGUACCCCAGCCUAAACACCACGUUUACGCCAGCAAUGAUUACUCUAAACUCUACGCGAAGAGAUUAAAGUAAACUCAUAAACCAUAAGAACAAUAAAACAAGAACUUACUAGAAUUUAGAAGUCGAAUUACUGAAGAAUCCUAGGAGCAAGCUUCGGGUUAGGAGAACUUGAUCCCGCAGGUACAAGCUUGGAGUAAACACCGACAGGCCGGGCUUCCUCCAAUCUACACCUCCACUCUAUCUCUCUCAAUCUAGUAGAAACUAGAGGAUCUAUUUCUACCUUACAUUGGUUGCUAAGCCUAAAAAGAAAUAUUAAUUAGAGAAAAGGUUUUCCUUCGAGGGCACCCCUCAGUCUCUAUGAUAAUUUCUUCAUGUCUUCUCCAGGGGCCAGGGGGUCUCCUUAUAUAGUCCUCCCCUUCUUUGCGUUUUUGGGUUGAUAGGCGAGGUGGUACUAUGUUUUCCUUGAUCCAAUAGGUCGGUGGAACAUCCCGUGCGAAGAGAGUCCUGACUGGCAUCCAACAGGGGGCGGGCGCCCAGGUCACCAGGGCGGGCGCCCUGGGCCUGGCCCCUUUCGGCCUCCGCUUCCUUCCCGUGGCUUCUGGAGUCUUCUAUAUGGUAUAAAAUUACGCGGUGCGUUGAUAUCUCUAUGUAAUCCCGACAUGUGGGCCUUUCUUCCGUAUUUCCUAAUAACCCCCUGCAGAAAUAGACAAACACCAAAACUCGUGGAAUUCUGUCAGAUAAAACCCUAAGUCUAGAUGUUGAUUUCAUUUAGAUCCUUUUCUUUGUUUAUUUGAUAAAUAAAUUUAACACUUAAGGACCGUCAACAACCAACAUCUUGAGAAUGUUCAAAAGAAAGAAGCAAGUAUGUUGCCGAUGAAUGGUUCACAUGUUCAGCAGCGUUUGGAUCGCUGAUAUAGCACGCAGACGGAUCUGGUUCGCUUCUUCUAUCACUUUUGUAUCAUCAUUGGCAGAGCCUUUCACUGGCUUCAGCUUCUUAUUCAUCUGCAAAGCCGUGCGGGCUUGGAUGUUUCGCUCUUGCUCAAGAAGCUUGAUUGUGUCUGGCAGUUGGCUUUCUUCUUGUCGGGCUUGGGACAAGGCGUCUUCUACUUGCUUGAGUUCUGCCAACAGGGCUUCUCUUUUGGCCGAUAGAUCGGAGAUCUUGUGCUUCAAAGCAUCUCCUGAGGAUAUUAAAAUGCCGAUGUUCUUGUGCUUCUCAUCGGCAAGGAGCUUCACCUUCAUCAUUUCCUCGGAAAGCUGGGCAUGAACGGCUCUAUCGGCAAGACGUUGGGCAGCCCUCUGGUAUUGCAGCUGACGGCUCUCCAGAUGUGCAGCUUGGAAGAGGAUUUCUUCAGCAUCGGCAGGAAUUUGGCCUCUGAGGGCUUUGAACAAAGCCUUGGCUGGGUUGGAGUCGUCAACUAGUUGGGCUGUGUCUUGGUGAAGGAGGGCCGAUAAUUUGUCAAAGAACCGACCAAAUUAUAAGAGUUCAAGUGUAGAAACGAUCGACAAGCAAUCAAGUUUCCAAACUUGAGCCCAUAUAAUCCCGGUAGUCAAUUGAAAUCACGAAGGACUUCAAACCAACUUGCACAAACCAAGAUCGUAAUAAUUCAGCACAACACAGCGAAUGUUACAUACUCAUUCAUUGCCGUCGAAGCGGCACCACAUCGGAGUAUUAAGUUAUUACAACACUUGUUUGAAGUAGCGGAAGCAAAAUAGUUACACACACACUUUCCAAAGUUCAGUUCAUAAGUUCGAGUUACUGCCAGAGUCUACAUCAUCGUUUCAAAAGCAACAGGUAGGAGGUUGUUAGAGAACCGUGCCCAAUGGUUAGUCCUCAUCCCAGCGGGAUGGAGACAGGUCUUGCAGAAGCCGUCAUAAAAGAUGUCAUCUGCAACAGGUGGGAAAUAAACCCUGAGUACGAGAAUGUACUCAGCUAUACUUACCCGUCUAGUAAAACAUAAAGGCAUCAAGGAUCAUGCAAGGCUAAAAUCAAGUGGAGCUGGUUAGCUCAUCGUUUCCCAAAAGCUUACAUUGAAACUAAAUUAUUUUGAGAGCAUCAUAUUUAUUCGUCAUCAGCCUACCACUAGAUUAGCACCUGUACUACAACACAUCACUUGAUUAUUACAAACAAUAAUAACCAUAUCAAAUUCAUCAUAUGUUCUUCUUUGCUAUCAUCAUUAUCAUGAACCAAGUUCAUUAGUGAAUGCUACGUUUGCCGCUGCUCUGUCAAGUUCUCACUAACCGGGAGAGACGGCGAUUCGAAUCGAAUUCCUAUCCAGCGGGAGGGUUAUUCCUAGCACUCACCCAAGCAUCCCCCGUCGGAUAGCCAACGGGUCACCUUUGGUACAACUCAGGAAUCGUGGCUCCGAUCAGCGCCGCACUCCCAGGGCUACCACUCUGCCAGGGAGGUCAGGAAUUUUAACUCACCUGCCUUUGGGCUUACGCCAAUGGUCCCCCGCACACCGCACUUCCUCUGGUAGUGCGCACUUUAUACUUGCCGGUGUUCCGGCCUGAGUCAUACUACUCGGCUUCGCGGUCAGAACGAGUUAUCCGGUCAACUAAGUGUUAGGCAUGCGUUCAACAUGACAAGAGGACGUACAACGGUCGGUCCUUAGCUGCCACAGACGAAGUUACUACAACCUUGCAAAACUCCGCCCGGCUUAAGUCAAAUUAAUCAGGGUCCAUCCACGAUAGCACAUAUAGACCAUUGUGAUCCGACACAACCCUAUAUCGCGCAGGUGACAGGAAAUCACCCGACUUCUACCGCUUAAAGCAUGGCUAAGCUGCUACUCGAUCCUAACUCUAUAACCAGGGUGUGGUGAGUUAUCUGGACAAGGAUGGAGUAAAAUGCAGCAAGGGUGUCAUCACAACUCCUAUACUUAAUGCAUCAACAGAUAUAACAUAUUUAAGUAAACUUUCGAAAAUAAAGGGAGACUUAGAAUGCUCCGGGGCUUGCCUUUCACGAAUGAGGCAGGCUCGUGACUCGGGCACUCAACUUCUUCUUCGGGCUCCUCGAGUCCGACUUGCUGGACCUCCACCUCCGGGUUGCCCUCCUGGCCUUCGGGGUUCACUUGCAGAUCGAAGGAGGCUGCCACGUCCGAUGCACCUAUUGCAUGCUCGGUGAAUGAGAAGGUGUGCAUACAAAAGAAUGAAUGCUUAAACUCACUGGGCACUCAUUUAUGGAGCAAUAGCUAUAACAAGUUCACACAAGUUAACAAGUUAACUUAGCCCAAAACCUAUCAUGAUAGCCUAUAACAGCAAGCAUCAAACAGCAGGUUUAGCUCAGUAAACAGAUCAUAACUAUUGCCACAAAGAUCCAACAAAUUUAAGUGAGGACAUUCUGGAAAGGUUAUGAAAUUGUCUACAAAUCAUCUUUAAACAUUACAGCAAGAUUCAUAAGUUAAAGAAGCCAUUUAAACAAAGUUCCAGGUUCUGUCCUAGAAAAACAGAGAACACCUAUUUCUGGAACCUAACUUGGAAAGAUCAUAACUUCAAAACUACUGGACCAAAUGAUUCCAAAUUUAUACCACAGCUAGUUCAAUACGUUUACAACAACUUUGAUUUAGACAAGUUUCCCAGAAAACCAAGUUAUCAUUAAGCAAAAGUUAAAUUACUGCCUUGCUGUCCAGAACAGCUUUUAACCCUUUAAUUAAUUAUUUGAUGACAUAAUCAAAACAUAAACCAUGCCAGCCACAUGGCUUAUGAGCACAAGCAUAUCAUAAGACAACCAGAACAUCAGAUGAUAACCCUCAAACAUUUACUUAAUAAGGCAUUUAUUAAUUAAUUCUAGAAAGGAGCAUAAUUACAAGAUACUAGUCAAAGUGCUAAGAAAAUCUACAAAAAUUACAGAAGCACAAGUAUAACAUCAAAGCAUCACCAUAAAAAUUUCAGGGCAAUUGCACAUACCAAAUUAAAGAUAUGCAUUUAACAUAUGACAAGGUGUUUAUUUCAUAAAUUCAGAAACAUGACUUAUAUGAUGUCAAACAACAGAUUUCAGAUUAUUUACACAUUAUGAAUGUCAUAAACAAGUUUACCACCAAAGUAGAACACCAGAAUAAGCACCAAUUAUUUUAUAUGAUUUAAUCAAGGAAACAAGCCAAAUUUCAAUCAUAAAUUACAUAUCAAAGCUGCAGUACUCCAAAAAUCAUGAAAUAUUUAUCAAAGCACUCUAGUACCACACAGAGACUACCAUAAAAUUUUCAUGGCAAACUAAAUAGUAUAACCAGAGAUAUGAAUUUAUUUAUGAAUAACAAGAUUAAAUUCUUAAUAAAUAUUUUCCCAGGAAACAUGGUUCAUUUUAUAUUUUUACUAAAAAUUAGCCAUCUCAGGGAAUACCACAAAAUUGGUUUCACCAUUUUUGGAUCUCACAAACCCGAGAUCUGAUUUUUACCAGAAAGUUAAAAUCUGGAUUUGAAUAAAAGGAAGGAGGUGACCGUUGAGUCACUGGCAGACUGGACCCGCGCGUCAGUGACACCGAGAACAGAGGACUCCUUCGCCGGCAAAUGCUCGCCGACGGUGAGCUUCUCCGGCGGAUCCAAGGGCACCAACGUGCUCCUGGAGGGAUUCCGCAUCGAUGGAGGUAGGUGGUGCUAGGGUUUCGGCUACGGAGAGGGGUCGCCAUCGGCCAUGGCGGCACGGCGGAGCUACCCCGGCUUACGCCGGCCAUCUCCAACCGGUAGAGCAUCGGGAAAGGGUGGCUACAGCAUCAGUGAGUCAGCGCAGAGCUUUCGAGGUAGGAACGCCUAACCCUAACGGCUCCGGUGAGCCUGCUCACAUGCGAGGUGCUCGUCGGCGGUGAGCACGGCGGUGCGGCGGCCGUGUUCCCGCGUGACGGUGAGGUUUUAGCUGGAAUGGCGUGGUGUGGACCGACGCCAAAACCUAAGCAGAACCUAACGCUACCCAAAGAGAAGAAAGGAAGCAAGGGUGGAGCAGCGGCGAGGUUCGCCGGAAUCGGUGUCGCGACGGCCGCGAACCCGACGACGGAGAACUUGCGAAAUGCCGCUCACCUCGGGGAGAUCUCGUCCAACUGAUGGGUGGAGAAGAUGGAGGAGCUCGAGGCAGACUUGGAGGCGCUCGGAGGCGAAGCGAGACACAGAGGCGAGGGCGCGAAGAGCUUGCAAAGCUCUCGGCGGCAAUGGCGACGCCGUUUCCGCCAGAGCGAGCGCGAGAGAGAGGAAGGAGAAGAAUGGACGGGCGCUGAGUGAGUGCGGGGCGCCGUGGCGUCCGUUCCAAUGCCGUCGACCUGACGAGCGGGGCCAUCGCCGGCGUACGGGCGCCAUCUGGCGGACAGAUGUCGCGCUGGGCGUUCCCGACGGCGAGCUCCUUUCUGUAUCAGACCUCACGAUCACCGACUGAUAGAGCAACUUCGUCGAUGAUUAACUUCCAAACCAGUGCGAAUUAGGAGAUGAUGCAUUUGACAAAGUUGGAGUUCCAAUCGAGCUCUACAACAUUGUCAACUAGAGCAAGAGCCAUAUCGGUCUGCAUUGAGAGAUAUAGAGUUUUCAAAACCGAUCAAGCAAACUGGUUUCGUUCCAGGACUUAGAAAAUUUCCUAAGUGUUGGAUACAGCCCCAAAUCUGCCUUGUGGGUCAAUUUUGAGCUAGAUGUGAUCAUUUUCAUGAGAUGGCCAUAAAACAACUUUUGUUCUUAUAAAAUUUGCUACAACUUUGCUGUAGAAAGUUUUGACAUGCAAACAUUUUAUGAAACACUUUUUAAAAGCCUAAGCAAAAGAGGUUUCUAGGGCCUAUUUGCAUAAGUAUGUCUUAAGUGAUUAUUUUGGAGAAGUGAUCAACAUGAACAUUGUUCCCAAGGUUAAGUUAAGCAUAGAUAAACUAAUUACCAAGGCAUAGAGCACAAACACAAGCAUGGUUCACUCAAACAUAAGCAUAGGAAGCCUAUUUAAGCAAUUUAGAUCACCUUUUUGCAUAGAAUGACAUGGCUCAAGAUAGAUGAUGAUCAUGAUAUGCUUUGAGUAGAUGAUGAUGCUCAUGCUAUGCACAUGAUUAAUGCAACCAUAACACUAGGGUGUUACAGCCCUCCCCCCUUACAAAAAUCUCGUCCCGAGAUUUGAAAGCUUACUGAUUUUCGAAGAAUGUUUUGUAAACUUCUUUUAAAUAAUCCUCCAUCUCCCAAGUGGCAUCUUCCUCCCCGUGGUUACUCCACAACACCUUGUAGAGCUUAACCACACGAUUACGAGUCUCCCAUUCCUUGCGAUCGAGAACCGCUAUGGGUUUUUCUUCAUACACCAAGUCUGACUUCAACUUGAUAUCUCGAACUUCCACUUGUUCCUCCGGUACACGAAGGCACUUCUUUAACUGUGAUACGUGGAAAACAGGGAAAAUAGCUCGAAGCGCAACUGGGAGUUGAACUUUGUAGGCCACAUUCCCUUUCUUUUCGAGAAUCUGAUAAGGUCCCACAUAACGAGGUGCAAGCUUUCGCUUGACUCCGAACCUUUGUACACCCUUCAUCGGAGACACCUUGAUAUACACAUGGUCACCAACUAAAAACUCAAUCGGCUUCCUUCUUUUGUCGGCAUAACUUUUCUGACGAGCUUGAGCAGCUUCCAGAUGUUGCUGGAUGGUACGGACUUGUUGCUCUGCUUCGUUCACGAAAUCGAUGCCAUAAUACCUUCGCUCUCCGGCUUCUACCCAAUUCAAUGGGGUUCGACACUUUCGACCGUACAGGGCUUCAAAUGGAGCCAUCUUGAUACUCUCCUGAUAACUAUUGUUGUAGGAGAACUCAGCUAAUGGCAACCACUUAACCCAAGAACCUUUUGAAGAGAGAGCACAUGCCCUCAACAUGUCUUCUAGGAUUUGGUUAACCCGUUCAGUUUGACCAGCCGUUUGGGGAUGAUAAGCAGAGCUACAGACUAAAUGAGUACCAAUCUGCUCAUGUAGACAUUCCCAAAAACAAGUAGUGAACUGUGGUCCACGAUCUGAUACAAUAGUUCGAGGCACACCAUACUGACGAACAAUGUGCUCGAAGUACAAUUCUGCAUAUUGAUGUGGACGAUAGUCAGUUCGAACUGGAAUAAAUCGAGCAACCUUGGUCAAACGAUCUACAAUCACCCAGAUGGAGUCGUAACCCUUAACAGAAAUUGGGAGUCCAACGAUGAAAUCCAUGCUGACUUCUUCCCAUUUCCAACCAGGAAUUGACAAGGGUUGAAGUAAACCAGCUUUCAUGUGAACAGCCUUCACACGACAACAAUUAUCACAACGAGCGACAAAAGCAGCGAUCUCCUAUUUCAUCUUUGUCCACCAAAACAAAGGUUUCAGAUCCUGACACAUCUUGCUACUACUAGGAUGGAUAGACAAUUUGGAUGAAUGAGCUUCAGACAAGAUCUGAUUUCGUAGUUCACGGUCUUUUGGAACCACUAGCCGAUCUUUGAACCAAAGAAUUCCGUUCUCAUCGAGCCGGAAAUGCUUGGUUUCUUCUUCCUUCAUUUUCCUCUUUAUAUGGUGGAUGCCUACAUCUGUUUGCUGCAAUUCGAUGACUCGAUUGCGAAGAGUACUCUCCAGAGAAAUCUGGUUGAGCACAAGUGGAUGCAUAAGAUGUGACAACAACGGAUCUUCCACUUGGAUUGAGUGACAGUGCGCUUUCCGACUCAAGGCAUCCGCCACCACGUUCGCCUUGCCCGGAUGAUAGUGCACUUGUAGAUUAUAAUCAUUAAUCAACUCAAGCCACCUUCGCUGCCGCAUGUUCAGUUCCGGUUGAGUGAAGAUAUACUUGAGGCUCUUAUGAUCGGUGUAGAUAUUACACAGAUUACCCAGCAAAUAAUGCCUCCAGAUUUUCAAAGCAUGAACAACUGCUGCCAAUUCUAAGUCAUGAGUAGGGUAAUUGACCUCAUGCUUUCGAAGUUGGCGCGAGGCAUACGCGAUAACGCGACCUUCCUGCAUCAACACGCAGCCUAGACCGAUGCCUGACGCGUCACAAAAGACAUCGAAGGGCCUUUCGAUAUCAGGUUGAGCUAGGACAGGAGCUGAUGUCAGCAAUGUCCUCAACUUGUGGAAUGCCUCUUCACAUUCAGGCGUCCACACAAACCUCUCAUCUUUCUGAAGUAGCCGAGUCAUAGGCUUGGAUAUUUUUGAGAAUUCGGGAAUGAAUCGACGAUAAUAUCCAGCCAGACCAAGAAAACUCCGAACCUCGUGUACCGAAGUUGGAACUUUCCAAUCCAGCACUUCUUGCACCUUGGCUGGGUCCACCGAUAUGCCUUCUUCAGAUAAGACAUGGCCCAAGAAAGGUACUUUCUUCAGCCAAAACUCGCAUUUGCUAAACUUGGCAUAAAGCUGAUGUUCGCGCAAACGCGACAACACGAUACGCAGAUGCUCUGCAUGCUCCUCUUCAUUGCAGGAAUAUACCAAGAUAUCAUCAAUGAAGACCACCACAAACUUGUCCAAUUCAGGCAUGAACACCGAAUUCAUGAGAUACAUGAAGUGAGCAGGUGCAUUUGUAAGACCGAAGGACAUGACGAGAUACUCAUAUAACCCGUACCUUGUCGAGAAAGCUGUCUUAGGCACAUCUUCAGGACGGAUCUUGAUCUAAUGAUACCCAGAUCGCAAAUCAAUCUUGGAGAAUACCUUAGCUUUAGACAACUGAUCAAACAAGAUAUCAAUGCGAGGAAGAGGGUAUUUGUUCUUGAUGGUUACCGCAUUUAAGGGACGAUAGUCCACACACAUGCGCAAGGAUUGAUCCUUCUUCUUCACAAAGAUAGCCAGACAACCCCACGGAGACGAACUAGGACGGAUAAGACCCUUCUUCAACAACUCAUUCAACUGGGUCUUAAGCUCAGCUAGCUCACUGGGUGGCAUUCUAUAAGGUCUUCUAGAGAUAGGAGCGGUACCUGGAAUCAACUCAAUUUUGAACUCCACAUCCUGAUCCGGAGGAAGCCCGGGUAAAUCAUCAGAAAAUACAUUCGGGAACUCACACACCACCGGAAUGUCCUGAAUAGCCUUAGAUGUAACUGCAUUCACAGUGCUACGGAUUUGAAUAUCACGAGGGAGUUGCACUAGAAAUGCCUCCUUGGUAUUUGGGUCUUUCAACAUCACUACACGAGUGGUGGUGUCGAUAAGAACUCCAUUGCCACUCAUUCACUUCAUCCCCAGAAUUACAUCUAUGCCCACACCUGGUAGUACAACCAAAUCAGCAAGAAACUGACGGCCUCCUAUUUCCAGAGUUGCCCCCAAAACCACUUGAUUGGUGGAAAUAUCAUUUCCCGCAGCACUAAUACAAUAACUACUCUUAUCAAGUGUAAUUGUCUUGAUAUUAUGCUUAGACACAAAUUCGGAACUCACAAAAGAAUGCGAUGCUCCUGAAUCAAAAAGCACAAGUGCGUCACAUUGAUUGACCAGAAACUUACCUGCCGUGACUACCUCACCAGCAGGGAUGGCCUCCACGGUUGUGUAGUGAACACGCCCCUGACGGAUGUUCCCUUGGUUGCCCUUCUUUGGCGGGUAAGGACAGUUGCUCUGCCAAUACCCGGUCUGAUUGCAGGUCCAGCACGGACGGUUGGCAGGUGGAGUCUUGGCAUAGCUGGGACCCGUGUUGCCCCUAGGAAGAGCAAUAGAGUACCCCUUGUGGAAACCCGUCUUCGCCUGAUUCUUCUUCACCGGAGGGCGGUACCGCUGGUUAGGCGUUGGAGCACGGAACGGUGGCUUAGCUGCCACUGGAGCCUUGGACUGAGAUGACCCUGCUCUGGCCUCAAAAGCCCUCUUGUGAGUCUUGGUCGCAGUGUACACAGUGUUAUAGUUCUCUUGAGUGAGGGCAUCACUGACAAACUCAUUGAAAGUUGCACACUUAGUGCGGCCCAUAGUCUUCAGCAACUUGGGGCCCAAACCCCUCUUGAAACUAGCAAUCUUUUUCGCCUCAGUGUUCACAAACUCAGGAGCAUACCUAGACAAAUGAUUGAAAGCAUGCAAACACUCCUUCAAAGUUUUGUUGCCCUGAGUUAACUGCAUAAACUCCGUAUGCUUCAUCUCCAUGACACCGUGUCGGCACACCAUGCCCUGAGGAAUGAAAUGCCCUUUAAAAGCAUCACGGAAAAGAUUCCAGUCAAGCACAGUGUCGGCUGGAAGAGCUUCCCGAUACUAAUUCCACCAGAUGCCUGCCGGUCCUUGCAGUUGAUGAGCUGCAUACUCUGCCUUCAAACCUUCAGUCAACCGAAGCAAGCGGAACUUUUGUUCCGCCAUGUUUAGCCAUUCUUCAGCUUGAAGGGGUUCUUCAACUUCUCUGAAAGGUGGGGGCUUUGUAUCCAUGAAGUCCUUGAAGCUACUGUAUUGGUUAGGAGCUGGCCCUUCGUGUGCAUUACGACCACCCUGAUUCGCCAUCCGAUUGAUGGUCUCAGUGAGCAUCCUCUGAUUUUCCACCAUCAGUUGCAUUAACUCAGCAGGAUUUGGUGGUGGAGGAGGAGGGGGUGGAUUCAUGUUUGCACGCUGUUCUGCACCUCGGGUGCCAUGAGACAUCUGUAAAGACACAGUCAGUGAGCAUUGAUGAUGACAAGAUUUGUCGCAGAAGAACUUAUAUUUAUGCCUGAAAGUAUUCGAGAGAAUAGCUUUAUAGAAAAGGCACAAUAAUUCAAUUUCACAUAACAACAUCACCAAUCCAACACAUGACAGAGAUAUCCGCAAUAUGCACCACAACGGAAAACAUCGUCAUACAUAACGAACGUGUCAAGAUUACACAUUGGGUCCACAAAGUUAUUACACCAUCCCAGUACAUGCCAUGAGUCAAGGUCAAAGUUCCGGAUUACAACAUGGGUACAACAGCACCACGGCUGACUGGCAUACUCCAAAAGAUCCUCACAUAACACUACCCACUACUCCCUACACUCCAGGCUCGUCGUCCGAGUCAGCAUCGAAGAUCGCCUCUCCAUCCUCGUCGCUAACCGGCUCAAGCUCCUCGUCCUCCAUGUCCUCGUGCAAAGGUGGUGCAGCCGCUGCUGGUCCAUCGACCUCCAUACCAUCAUCAUCGGCCACAACCACCUGAGGUCCCACCUCUGGAUACAUGGGUAUAGGGCGAGGAAUAGGGUGUAGCAAGUUGUUGAGACGGUGAAUCUCCACAAGACCAGGCUCAAUCUGAUCCUGCAGAUAGUUCUCCCGCUCAAGCGACUGAACUCGGUGCAUCUCCCAUGCUCGGCGCCUGUUCUCCGACACGCGGAGUGCAGUGUCCCUCUCACGAGUGAUCUGCACCAAGCGCUCCUGUAAGGUCUCCCUCUCUCUAGCUAACUGACUCAUCUGAUCCUGCUUAUGAUCACUCUCUAAUGGCCUUCACCCACUGCUGCCUACGGUACUCCGCAAUGUCUUCCCAGUCAUUGCGGUCCUUCUGAGCUUGCUCCAGGAGUCUAGCUUGCUUGCCAAACUUGCGAGCACGCUUUUCAGCCUUCCGUUGCAUCUCCUAAGCCUGGCGAACAGCCACCACCACCUGUGCACAGGUGUCCUCUCGCUGACUGAUCAGCUUGAGCACAGCCAUCACAGCACUCAUAGCAGGACUAGAACUCUCAGCUCUCUCUCCCCAGCCUCGUACCAAGGCACAACCAUCAGCCUGUUUCCACUCCGCUGCUGCUGGGUCAGCACGGGGAAUGGAGGCCGUUGGUCCUCCUGUCAGCUCAUCGCCACACCUCUAACAGAUAUCGAGCAGGAUAGUUUGGGCUGCAACCUGACCUGCCUCCCAAGGAGUCUGCCCAACGGAGCUACAAGUCCAGCCUGUCCAUGCAGGCUUGUCCCCAUGUGGAGGGACAACUCCCUGCACAGCAAACCACUGUAUCCCUCCUGUGCUCUCCAACUCCCACCAAGAAUACUGAGGUGGCUCAGUAUACCCGACAGUCUGUAACACUCUCCAGAGCAGGGUAGGAGUGCCAAACUCGCUCAAGAAAGUGUCACUGGGACGGGGUGAAGCGGGUGCAUCCAUCUGUGGAAAGGAAUAGGAAUACCAUGGGUAAAAGAGGAUUAGUUUAAGCAACAUUUAUUUAAGUAAAAGGGAUGAAAUUGUAAGGGAAGGAGUAUACAGAAUGUAUGUAUGAAUGCGACAUGAUGCAUGCACAAACCGUACGUCCUCACAAACUUAGAAAAUUAAUAUUCUAACGGAUAUACGGUGGCAUACAUUCGUCUCUCGAUACGAUAACUAUCGAUUUACACGUACGCUGUUAAAGUACCUGCAGAAAACUUCAUUUCAGCCCAACAGUUCCCAAUAUAUCACUCAAGAAAGCAGUAAACUAAGUUCACAUUGCUUGGACAUGCCCAACAUGCACAAACAAUGACACCACAGCUACCCGAGAAAUUAAAUGCUCCCCAAUUAAGUUUCUUUCGUGGUUCCAUGGUUUUGACAUGUAACCACUCCAGAAAACCACCACGAACACUCCUCUAGACCGCCGUUUGGACGACCAUGCUCUCACAGCUCACACUUACCAGAUCGUAGGUGCGACGUUGCAAAAUUUAAAUCUAGCGACAUAUGUGGCUAAUUCACAUAUGAAGGCUACCUCCACCAUUAGACCACAGGGUAGCAUAGUGCGGUCAUCACACAUCCAUACCUGAGUACUGCCGGAGUUGCAUAAAUAAAACCCCCCAAGUCAGUACUUAAAUAGCCACCUAUAGUCCUUAUGUGGGCAAGGAGGAUUCGACCACUGGCAUAACUUAAAUAUUGAUUUGCACCAUUUUAUUUAAAAACUCUUUUGUUUUUAAAUACACAAAUGCUGCAUUUAUAAUGCUGAACUUGCUCCGAUGCUAGCUGUCACAGAACCGACCAAAUUAUAAUAGUUUAAGUGUAGAAACGAUCGACAAGCAAUCAAGUUUCCAAACUUGAGCCCAUAUAAUCCCGGUAGUCAAUUGAAAUCACGAAGGACUUGAAACCAACUUGCACAAACUAAGAUCGUAAUAAUUCAGCACAACACAACGAAUGUUACAUAGUCAUUCAUUGCCGUCGAAGCGGCACCACAUCGGAGUAUUAAGUUAUUACAACACUUGUUCGAAGUAGCGGAAGCAAAAUAGUUACACACACUUUCCAAAGUUCAGUUCAUAAGUUUGAGUUACUGCCAGAGUCUACAUCAUCCUUUCAAAAGCAACAGGUACGAGGUUGUUAGAGAACCGUGCCCAACGGUUAGUCCUCAUCCCCAGCGGGAUGGAGACAGGUCUUGCAGAAGCCAUCAUAAAAGAUGUCAUCUGCAACAGGUGGGAAAUAAACCCUGAGUACGAGAAUGUACUCAGCUAGACUUACCCGUCUAGUAAAACAUAAAAGACACCAAGGAUCAUGCAAGGCUAAAAUCAAGUGGAGCUGGUUAACUCAUCAUUUGCCAAAAGCUUACAUUGAAACUAAAUUAUUUUGAGAGCAUCAUAUUUAUUCGUCAUCAGCCUACCACUAUAUUAGCACCUGUACUACAACACAUCACUUGAUUAUUACAAACAAUAAUAACCAUAUCAAAUUCAUCAUAUGUUCUUCUUUGCUAUCAUCAUUAUCAUGAACCAAGUUCAUUAGUGAAUGCUACGUUUGCCGCUGCUCUGUCAAGUUCUCACUAACCAGGAGAGACGGCGAUUCGAAUCGAAUUCCUAUCCAGCUGGAGGGUUAUUCGUAGCACUCACCCAAGCAUCCCCCGUCGGAGAGCCAACGGGUCACCUUUGGUACGACUUAGGAAUCGCGGCUCCGAUCAGCGCCGCACUCCUAGGGCUACCACUCUGCCAGGGAGGUCAGGAAUUUUAACUCACCUGCCUUUGGACUUACGCCAAUGGUCCCCCACACACCGCACUUCCUCCGGUAGUGCACACUUUAUACUUGCCGGUCUUCCGGUCUGAGUCAUACUACUCGGCUUCGCGGUCGGAACGAGUUAUCCGGCCAACUAAGUGUUAGGCAUGCGUUCAACAUGAUAAGAGGACGUACAAUGGUCGGUCCUUAGCUGCCACAGACGGAGUUACUACAACCUUGCAAAACUCCGCCCGGCUUAAGUCAAAUUAAUCAGGGUCCAUCCACGAUAGCACAUAUAGACCAUCGUGAUCCGACACAACCCUAUAUCGUGCAGGUGACAGGAAAUCACCCAACUUCUACCGCUUAAAGCAUGGCUAAGCUGCUACUCGAUCCUAACUCUAUAACCAGGGUGUGGUGAGUUAUCUGGACAAGGAUGGAGUAAAAUGCAGCAAGGGUGUCAUCACAACACCUAUACUUAAUGCAUCAAUAGAUAUAACAUAUUUAAGUAAACUUUCGAAAAUAAAGGGAGACUUAGAAUGCUCCGGGGCUUGCCUUUCACGAACGAGGCUGGCUCGUGACUCGGGCACUCAACUUCUUCUUCGGGCUCCUCGAGUCCGACUUGCUGGACCUCCACCUCCGGGUUGCCCUCCUGGACUUCGGGGUUCACUUGCAGAUCGAAGGAGGCUGCCACGUCCGAUGCACCUAUUGCAUGCUCGGUGAAUGAGAAGGUGUGCAUACAAAAGAAUGAAUGCUUAAGUUCACUGGGCACUCAUUUACGAAGCAAUAGCUAUAACAAGUUCACACAAGUUAACAAGUUAACUUAGCCCAAUACUAUCAUGAUAGCCUAUAACAGCAAGCAUCAAACAGCAGGAUUAGCUCAGUAAACAGAUCAUAACUAUUGCCACAAAGAUCCAACAAAUUUAACUGAGGAGAUUCUGGAAAGCUUAUGAAAUUGUCUACAAAUCAUCUUUAAACAUUACAGCAAGAUUCAUAAGUUAAAAAAGCCAUUUAAACAAAGUUCCAGGUUUUGUCCCACAAAAACAGAGAACACCUAUUUCUGGAACCUAACUUGGAAAGAUCAUAACUUCAAAACUACUAGACCAAAUGAUUCCAAAUUUAAACCACAGCUAGUUCAAUAAGUUUACAACAACUUUGAUUUAGACAAGUUUCCCAGAAAACCAAGUUAUCAUUAAGAAAAAGUUAAAUUACUCCCUUGCUGUCCAGAACAGCUUUUAACCCUUUAAUUAAUUAUUUGAUGACAUAAUCAAAACAUAAACCAUGCCAGCCACAUGGCUUAUGAGCACAAGCAUAUCAUAAGACAACCAGAACAUCAGAUGAUAACCCUCAAACAUUUACUUAAUAAGGCAUUUAUUAACUAAUUCUAGAAAGGAGCAUAAUUACAAGAUACCAGUCAAAGUGCUCAGAAAAAUCUACAAAAAUGACAGAAGCAUAAGUAUAACAUCAAAGCAUCACCAUAAAAAUUUCAGGGCAAUUGCACAUACCAAAUUAACGAUAUGCAUUUAACAUAUGACAAGGUGUUUAUUUCAUAAAUUCAGAAACAUGACUUAUAUGAUGUCAAACAACAGAUUUCAGAUUAUUAACACAUUAUGAAUGUCAUAAACAAGUUUACCACCAAAGUAGAACACCAGCAUAAGCACCAAUUAUUUUAUAUGAUUUAAUCAAGGAAACAAGCCAAAUUUCAAUCAUAAAUUACAUAUCAAAGCUGUAGUACUCCAAAAAUCAUGAAAUAUUUAUCAAAGCACUCUAGUACCACACAGAGACUACCAUAAAAUUGUCAUGGCAAACUAAACAGUAUAACCAGAGAUAUGAAUUUAUUCAUGAAUAACAAGAUUAAACUCUUAAUAAAUAUUUUCCCAGACAACAUGGUUCAUUUUAUAUUUUUAUUAAAAACUAGCCAUCUCAGGGAAUACCACAAAAUUGGUUUCACAAUUUUUGGAUCUCAGAAACCGGAGAUAUGAUUUUUACAAGAAAGCCAAAAAUCUGGAUUUGAAUAAAAGGAAGGAGGUGACCGUUGAGUCACUGGCAGACGGGACCCGCGCGUCAGUGACACUGAGAACAGAGGACUCCUUCGACGGCAAAUGCUCGCCGACGGUGAGCUUCUCCGGCGGAUCCAAGGGCACCAACAUGCUCGUGGAGGGAUUCCCCAUCGAUGGUGGUAGGUGGUCCUAGGGUUUCGGCUACGGAGAGGGGUCGCCGUCGGCCAUGGCGGCACGGCGGAGCUUCCCCGGCUUACGUCGGCCACCUCCGGCCGGUAGAGCGUCGGGGAAGGGUGGCUACAGCAUCAGUGAGUCAGCGCGGAGCUUUCGAGGUAGGAACGCCUAACCCUAGCAGCUCCGGUGAGCCUGCUCACGUGCGAGGUGCUCGUCGGCGGUGAGCACAGCGGUGCGCCAACCAUGUUCCCACGCGACGGUGAGUUUUUAGCCAGAAUGGCAUGGUGUGGACCGACGCCAAGACCUAAGCAGAACCUAACGCUACCCAAAGAGAAGAAAGGAAGCAAGGGUGGAGCAGCGGCGAGGUUCGCCGGAAUCGGUGUCGCGACGGCUGCGAACCCGACGACGGAGAACUUGCGAAAUGCCGCUCACCUCGGGGAGAUCUCGUCCAACUGAUGGGUGGAGAAGAUAGAGGAGCUCGAGGCGGACUUGGAGGCGCUCGAAGGUGAAGUGAGACGCAGAGGAGAGGGCGCGAAGAGCUUGCGAAGCUCUCGGCGUCAAUGGCGACGCCGUUUCCGCCAGAGCGAGCGCGAGAGAGAGGAAGGAGGAGAAUGGACGGGUGCUGAGUGAGUGUGGGGCGCCGUGGCGUCCAUGCCAACGCCGUCGACCUGACGAGUGGGGCCAUCGCUGGCGUACGGGCGCCAUCUGGCGGACAGAUGUCGCGCUGGGCGUUCCCGACGGCGAGCUCCUUUCUGAAUCAGACCUCGCGAUCACUGACGGACAGAGCAACUUCGUCGAUGAUUAACUUCCAAACCAGAGCGAAUUAGGAGAUGAUGCAGUUGACAAAGUUGGAGUUCCAAUCGAGCUCUACAACAUUGUCAACUAGAGCAAGAGCCAGAUCGGUCUGGAUUGAGAGAUAUAGAGUUUUCAAAACCGAUCAAGCAAACUGGUUUCGUUCCAGGACUUAGAAAAUUUCCUAAGUGUUGGAAACAGCCCCAAAUCUGCCUUGUGGAUCAAGUUUGAGCUAGAUGUGGUUAUUGUAAUGAGAUGGCCAUAAAACAACUUUUGUUCCUUAUAAAAUUUUCUACAACUUUGCUGUAGAAAGUUUUGACAUACAAACAUUUUAUGAAACACUUUUUAAAAGCCUAAGCAAAAGAGGUUUCUAGGGCCUAUUUGCAUAAGUAUGUCUUAAGUGAUUAUUUUGGAGAAGUGAUCAACUUGAACAUUGUUCCCAAGGUUAAGUUAAGCAUAGAUAAACUAAUUACCAAGGCAUAGAGCACAAACACAAGCAUGGUUCACUCAAACAUAAGCAUAGGAAGCCUAUUUAAGCAAUUUAGAUCACCUUUUUGCAUAGAAUGACAUGGCUCAAGAUAGAUGAUGAUCAUGAUAUGCUUUGAGUAGAUGAUGAUGCUCAUGCUAUGCACAUGAUUAAUGAAACCAUAACACUGGGGUGUUACAUAAUUCUUCCAAUUUUGCCCUGAUUUCUGCCGAUGUGAUCCCGACUGCCCGAGAACAGCUUGCUUCCUCACCUUCAUCUUCGGAGAUGUCGAUGGCGAAAGAGAACAAACUGUCGGGAGAGUCCUGCUCCUCAAAAGAGAUAAAACGAGUUAUUCUAUGGUCAGGUAUUGAUAAAUGAUACAGACAGGGAUUGGAUGACUUACUUGUUUCAGGGCAAUCUCUCGCCUCUGACUGAAGAUGCCGAUGGAACCAUAGGUUGAUCGGCUGGGGUUGCCAAUGGAACUAUGUCGGCUGAAAGAAUAACAGAGAUAAUUGUAAGCCAGAGGAAAUGGUUCAUCGGCAAUGAUUUCAUAGAAAGUGUGUUACCUCGAGGGGAAGCAAUACUUGUCUGGAUGGAAGAAACUACCGAUGCUAUAAUUGAGCCCGCUGGAUCGGCAGUUUGCUCAUGCACCUCAGCCGAUGUGUCUUCUGGCUAAGGAACUUCUGGUUGGGGUUCUUCUGGUUGGAGUUCUUCCACUUGGGGUGCUUCUUGCAAGUGAAGAGGAGAUGGUACUUGUUGCGGAUGGACGUCUGGAGAGGAAGGAGAAGACUCCACUGGGAUUGGAGACACUGGGGGAGGAGAAGGUGUUGCUGUCUUUUGGCACUUUGCUUGUGCUCUAGUACUCUUGGCACCUUUUCACUUCGACUGACUAGACUGGGGGGCAUCGGCACUUUUGCUUCUGGUCCUUGCCGAUGCGCCGGUGUGCUGAUACAGAGAGGGAAAUUUGUGAGUACAAGUGUAACCGAUGUAAGAAUGAGAUCGGUAUGAAAGAGUUUGAAGAUAUACCUUGAAAGCCUGUGCCAAAGUAGAGGCAGCUACCGAUGGAGAUGUCUUAGUCCUCUUGGUAGUGACUUUCUUGAGGCAUACGCCUUGAUGCAUGAUGGCAGCCAAAGUGGGAGCGUUGUUGCCGAUUGAAGAGAUUGGACCUGAAGGAAAUAGAUCAAUCGGCUUACCACUCCUGCUGACCGAUGGGGGGACAUUGUCGACCUGUGAUACAAUAUGGAAAGUAAGCUACCGAUAGAAGUAAAAGUGAAAGAAUUGAGACAUCGGUUUGGAAGUACUUACAGUAUUAUCGGGGACUUUGUACUGGGGGUCAAUCAUGCCGCGGUACGUAAGAGCCGAUUUGCAGAACAAAUGCUCCUUCCAUUCUUCCCACCAUUGUUUGUACGCCUGAGUGAUGAAGAGGGCUGGGAUCCACUCUGAUAAAUCUGCAUCUGUAUCGGCACUCGGCGGCAGUUGAGCUACUCGGGUCCACUCAAGAAGGCUAGUGAUGGUCUCCCUGGGUUUUAUCACAUCGACACAACAAAGAGCAAUCGGUAGCUGACCAAAAGCUAGUUGAUGGGCUAGUGCCGAUGGGUUGUAGAACUCAUAAGUCUGGUUGGAAGCUUUCCCACAGCCAAAGAAAUUUACUGGUAUAACUCUGGGAGUGAUCAGUGCCAUCAUCACAUCAUGAUCCUUGUUGAGAGCGUCAUUGAAUGGAUGGAAAACCAAAGGAAACAUGGUAUGUGGAUCUUCAUAAGGCAUCCACGCUCGCUGCUCUCUGGUCAGGCCUUCAUACAAGGUUUGGAAGAAUCGGCUGACCUGAUCUGCGUUGCCGCCAGUGCCAGGCCGAACUAUGACAGCCUCGCCAAAGUUCAGAGGAGGGCGAGUUGACGAUUCUUCUUCAUCUAAUUUAUAAUCCUCGGCUAUGUCCCUGGGGAAGCGUUGUGAGAAGAGGUUGAACUCAAGACGCUUGUUUAUAUGGAGACUGAGCCACAUAUUGAUAAACCACCAGGGGCCCGCUAGGUUGCCGAUGGAUUGACCAAGUAGGAGUUUUCUGGCUACUUGGUGGAGGAGGUGGUAAACUGAGCCAAGCAGGUAUCGGCCGAGGGGAAAUCGGCCACCAUUAGCUAACCUCUCUGCUGCCCAUAGGUAGACAGAGGUUGGUCCUGCCGAUCGACCGCAGAACACGAAUUUGUCCAGCAACAUAUUCAGGAAGGUGGUUUGCUCUUUUAUGUUAACAGGCCCCGUUCUACGAUACUUCUGAAUGUAUCGAGACCAGCCGCCGAUAGCACAGGUUUCCACUUUGGCGCUAGGCGUGGUGUCGAACAAGUGACUGCUAUCAGCAGUGGAUACAUCUAAGCCGGUGAGCAUAAGCACAUCGGCAAGAGUAGGAGAAGCAGGGCCGUGACCAAAGACAAAGGCAUUGAGUUUGUCUGACCAGAAAUAUGAUGCAGCUAUCAGCAGUGACUCAUUCCUAUGCACAUCGGCAAUGGACAAUCUGAUGCAUUGGUCUAAUUUUCUCUCACCCCACUGGACUUCGUUUGUGUGGCUAACUCUCAAAAACCAAUCCUUCCAUCCCACGGUAGGACUGGGCCAGGAACGGGAAGUAUCCUUCCACAGAUCUAGAGAAAAAUUCUUGGCUCUAAAGGGGAUUCUGUUUGUUUCUGCGUUAAUAAGAUCGGUGGGAUCUGGAUCCCCUAACGGACCAAGACAUUGGAGAUGUGGCUGAUCGGUAGGGAUGACAAUUUUAUUGGACAGAUCCUAAUGGUUUUGAGGGUAAAAAGAAGAACAAAAAAAAGAAGAAUGUUCAGUAAAAUAAAUUGCGGAUGAACAGAGAUAUGGCAAAAAGUACAAGGAGUAGGGUGAUGAACUGACCUCGGAAACAGCGAAGUUGAUGGCCAUCUCCUUGCAAACAAGGGGAUCGAAGACUUUGAGGUUGGUCAAGAAAGGGCUUCGUUGGAGUUCCUGAAGCUCCCAAAAGGCGUCGCCGCUAGAAGAAUGGAGUUGGGGCUGUAGAAUGAUGUGAUAGGGAAGGAGUACCCGAGAAGGAACUAUUUAUAGGACAAAGUGGGCAAGGGUAAAUCUGACUUAUCACUUCGCCGUAUCCAUGAAAUCCGAGGAUACUUAGGAAAAUGGUAACUGUUCGCACGGUAAUCAAGGGAUUGAGAAGGUGAUUUGACAGGAAGUGGUCGUGAUCUAGAGAUAUUUUACUGUGCGAGAUUUCCUGGUCGGUCCAUCGGCAGCGUUUUGUAACAGUAAUAUUGCCGAUGGGUGACUAAAGUGGAGAUGUUCGUUUGGGAGGUUGAGGAUUUCGAGGAAUCUGCGGAGGAAUCGGAUCAGGGUUGUUCAGUGUAAGGCUAUCGGUUACCAAAUUGGGAGAAUUAAUUGCGGAAAGGCAUCAUUACUGCAGAGAAUUUCGCAGCAUUAAUGAUUUCAUACUCCAAAAUUGGGGGGGCAUGUGUUGACACCGUUUUUGGGCACGUAUCCAUGAUCGGUAGAGUGUAGGUUGGCAAGAUAAGGCGGUAAUACUUGGUCUGCAGGAUAAGUUGCCGAUGAGGAUGGGUGCCGAUGAAGAGACAGCUGAAUGUGACCAAGUCCAUAAGUGGUGAUGUGUUUGUGCUGAUGCUCCGGGUUAAUCUGUGCCGAUGGCUACAAUGAGGAAGUCUGCCGAUGAUACGGAGGAAGAGCCUGAAGGUUGCCGAUUGACCUGUGGAGGUGUCCCAGUUUGUCACGGGAGGAUAGUUUUGUGUUUUCCUUAGUUAUUUAGAUCGUUUUGUAUACGGAUUCUGUUUAAUUUGGAAUUCGAGUUCUAGUCGUGUCUGGUUCUAGCUCUUCGAGCCGGGUAUAAAUGUAGACCCUGGGGUUUUGUAAUGGAUCUAUCAAUCAAUUAAUCAAGCACAAGCUUUUACUCAUAUUCCAGUAUUUACUUUUUCGAUGACUUCAUCAUAUUUUCCUUUUUCAUUACGAGUUCUUAGGAGUUCGUCGACUUAAGCUCGGCGUAUUCUCAAGUUCCGCGUGAAUACCUCUUGGCCGUGGCAUCCGGGCGCAUCACUGUUGUCGGGACCAAAGUAUUCGAGUUAUCACCUUUGCCGAUAGUGAGGUCAAAUCGGCUGGCACGCCUUAACGUUUGAAUCGGGUAUUAGCCCUUUGUGUUUGCAGAUCAUCUUUUGCAUCAACAACAUCCAAAAUUUGCUCUCAAGCCAAAAAUCUGUGUUGUUUCUACACUUAGCCGAAUUUGGCUAAGUCUAGGAAUUGGCAGUUUCGACAUAGGGUGAUUGGGAGCCUUGUAGAUUGAAAUCCAGACCGAGUUAGGCUUUGAUCUUGUAAGCAAACAUGUAGAACUCGUGUAGCACUGUCCAAAGGAUCAAGUUUGAGCCAAAACCACUGAGUGAGCUGAGAGUAAAUCGCCGGUGAACUUUCAGUUUCAGACACGGUCGACGACGACUGAAUCGCGCGAUUCAGUUUCGUCAGUCGCCGGCCGGCCGACGCGUGAACGACCCGUGGCGGCCGUACGUCGACGGCGACCCCGCCUGUCAGCCCCGACGCCUUCACCUGGACGCCAUGACGCCACCCCGUGCCUCAGACGCGACACCCACUCCACCAGAGCCUCCCAUUUCGCUCCGCCAUCGCCUCGGUGAGCUCCGCCGCGUUCCGGCGAGCUUCUCCGGCCGUUCCACCGCGCCUCCGGCCAAGCCAGCCCGCCCAGAGCUCUGCCUCGACGUUCUCUACCUCGGCGUCACCUUCUUGGCCUCUGUCGAGCACAGGUGAGACGGCAUUGCCGAGCUCCGAGCUGUUCUCCCUCGCCGGAGUUCCGCCCGAGCUCACCGGCAACGUGGCCAGGCCUCUCGGCUCCACCAUUUUCCUUCAAUCUUGUUCCUAUCGCUGCCCCUUGGCUCACUGAUGCUCGGCGUGAAGCUCUACCACGUCGCCAUUGCCUAGAUCCGCUGGCGUAACGUCGCGCAGCGCCGCCGCUCCACCAUUCCCGACGGCGAGCACCCUAGAGUCCAGUAGAGCGCGGGUAAAGUAGGUCAACAGAGUCGCCUUGAUGAGAGGAACACGUAGAUGCCCUUGGAUCCGGCCAAGACCUCGUCGUCGCUGAGCUUCGCCGGCGACGAGCAUCUCCCCUGUCUCUGUCUCUCUGACGCACGGGUCCCGGGUGUCAGCCUCUCCCUCUCACACCCCUGGUUUACUGUUUUGCAGAUCCAGUGUUGAUUUUGAAAAAUUUAUAUCUCGAGUUUUAUAGAUCCAAAUGACAUGGUUCCAGUUUUGCUGAGCUCUGGUAGUCAUCUAGUUUUUAAUAAAAAUACAAAACAUGCCAUGUUUUGUGGAAAUAAUUAGAUACAAAUUAAUCUUGGAUUUUUACGGGGUAAUUAUAUCUGAAGAUCUGUUGAUCUGUUGGCCAUGCAAAUUUAGGGUGUUGUUACUAAUGAUAUGAAUAGGCUCUGAUAAAUUUAUCAUGAUUUUUGGAUGAAUGAUUGUGAAGUUAUAAAUAUUUCUUGUUCAAAUAGGAGUUUCUUGUGGUAUUUUUAAUAAAUAAAUUAUGACUCCUUUGGUGGUGAAAUUUGCUAAGUGUUGUACUCAUGUGUAGAUAAAGCUAGGAAAAAUCUGAAAUCUGUUGUUUGGCACUUUUUGAUAAGGUUUCACAUUUAUGCCUUGCAUGCCUUUGUUAGCUUGUUAUUUUUGUAUCUCACAAACUGUAUGUUCAAGUGCCCUGAAAAUGUUACAGUAAACUUGUGUUAGCAUAGGUAGCUUGCUGUAAUUUUCUUAGGAAUUUUGGAGCACUUGGAAUGCAUGUUCAUUAAAUCACAUUAAUAAUUAAAUAAAUGAAAAAGGUGAUGAUAGAAAUGAGUUUAGACCUUGCCAUGAUGUUUUCUAGUGGUUCCUAGACAUGUUCUACCCAUUGGUGCAUUUGGAUUGACCCUUUGAUACAUUCUUGUUAUGUGCAAAAUAUUAUUUUUGCUAUUUAUGCCUUUCCUAGAGCAAUUCUGUGUAGCUGAUAGCAAAUGCUUAAGAACUAAUUAAAGAUCAUAUUUUCUGGGAAACUUGUCUACAACAAACUUGUAGCUAACUUGCUUAUCCACUUCGUGUCCAAAUUUCAUGACAUUUGGUUGAGUAGUUUACAAGUUAUGAAUAUUACAUGUAGCUGCUGCAAAGUGCUUCCUCUCUGGAUUUUCCAGAACAGCCAGCCAACUUUGUAUGUUUUAGCAUAUUUCGGUUGGGAAUCUUUCUGGGAUGUCUAAACGUGAAUUGUAGACAAUUUUAUAAGAUUUCCAGAGAGUAUCUACUUGCUUAGUUUAGCUAACUGAUGCUUAAGUUAUGGCUGAAACUUGUGACAGGUUGGUUUGUCUACUAAACCAGUGACUGAGUAGGAGUAGCUAGGAUUGUUUGACUUGUCUAGUUAGCCUCUCUACCAGAGAAGAAGUAUGCACUUACUUGUUAUUACAUGAUUCACUUAAUCUUAAGAGUUAUGUUCAUGAUUAUACCAUGUUUAUGCUCCUUAGGCUCUUCAUAAUGACAUCAUGCAUCAUAUAUGCAUUCCCUAUAGUUAUGUCCUUGUCAUGCAUACAUAGGUGUACCCAAGGGCGUGACCGUGUUGGAGUUCGAGCUGCCGGAGUCGGAAGGACAGCAAGGGGAGCUACCUCAAGGAGCUGAGGAGGAGGAGGACUUGCCGGAGUGCCCUGAUCACCGUCCCUCUACUUACGUCGAAGGCAAGCCCCGGAGCAUUAUAAGCCUCCUACUAUUUUGUUAUCAUGAUCAGCUAUCAAUUGACUAUGGUUAUGUAUUGUUGCAUUAAGUGUUAGGCAUUGAUAUGACACCCUUGCUGCAUAAUGACUACCUUGUCCACCUCAUACCUUACCUGAGUAGGUCCAGGAUCGAAAUGAUGCUUAGCCACGCUUAGCUCGGUACAAGCCGGGUGAUUUCCUGUCACCUGCGAGAGAUAGGUGGAUGCUGAUCACGGUUGGCUAUAUUUGCUAUCGUGGAAAUAACCAUGUGCUAUCAAUGAACUUGAGACCGGGCGGGAUGACGAUAGUGCAGCAACAAGGCAUGGAGGUCUUGGGUGUGAAUCUAUCCCCGUCUGUGUCGUUUAAGGACCGUAUCGCUGUACGUCCCCGUGUCAUGUUGAACGCAUGCCUAUCACUUAGCUGGCCGGAUAAGUCGUUCCGACCGCGAAGCCUACGAGUGCAACUCAGGCCGGAUACCCCGUUCUGUAUGAGUACGCACCCCGGUUGGUAGUAAGUAUGUGCGGGGAGUCAAUGGCGUAAGUCCGAGGUGUCAGGUUAGAGUCCUGACCUUGGCAGAUUGGCGGUCCCUGGGGGUGCGGCGCUGGAUGGACGUGCGAAUUGGUCCGGAGUUGUGCUAAAGGUGAUCCGAGCUGCCCUCAUGAAGUAUGCUUGGGCGAGUGUUAGGAAUACUCCUCCAGCUAGAUAGGAAUCGAUUCGAAUCGCCGUCUCUCCCGGAUAGUGAGAACUUGACUUGGGCAACGGCAACGUAGAAUUCACUAAAUAAACGUAAUGGUUAUGAUGAGAAUGAUGAUAGCUAUGUGAAAAUCUAGAUAUGGUUAUUAUUGUGAUGCUUAAAUACUCAAGUGUAUGCUUAGAUUAGGUGCUAAUCUAGUGGAUAGUUGUUAAGUAAUGAACCUGCUGCUGAAAUAUGAUAAAUGGGUUACUUACAACAAAGGCUUCUUAUGCAAAAAGGUGAGUCAAACCAGUCCACAAAGAUCAGCCUUGCAUACACCUUGGUGUCACUUUAUUUUGGUUUAAGACGGGUAAGUCUAGCUGAGUACCUUCUCGUACUCAGGGUUUUAUUUACCCCUGUUGCAGAUGAUGUCGUGUAUCACGGCUACUACGCUAACUGCCAUCAUCCGGCUGCGGACGAUGAAUAGAUCAUGGGCAUGAUCACCUUCUCUAUCUUCAGUUGCGCUUUUGUUGGGACUUGACCACGGAACUGACAUGUAAUAUAAACUGAGUUUGUGUUGUUUUGAAACUACUUUGUUUCCGCUACUACUAUGGUUUGUAAUAACCACUUUUAAACUCUGAUGUGAUGUAAAACUAUAUUCUGUGAUGAAUGUGUGUAAUCUAUGAUGGUGAUGCUUGAUCAUGUACGAUCUUGGUUGUAUGUUGGUUAAAUCGAGGUCUUUUGAGAUUUCGUCGGACUACCGGGUUUAUAUGGGUUCAAGUCCAUUGGCUUGACUGCCUCCGUGGUCGCUAAUUCACUUGAAUUCUUAUAAAUUGGACGGUUCUGUUACAACAUGUGUAUGCAGGACACUAGGGUUUUGUUGACGGUCCUUAAUGCUCACAUUUAACCAUCAACUAAUCAUGGAAAAGGAUCCAAAUGCAACCAACACCUAGACUUAGGGUUUUAUCUGACAGAAUUCCAUGAGUUUUGGUGUUUGUCUAUUUCUGCACGGGGUUAUCAGGAAAUACGGAAGAAAGGCCCACACGUCAGGUUUACAUAGAGAUAUUAACGUGCCGCGUAAUUUUCUACCAUCUAGAAGAAUCCAGAAGCCGCAGGAACGAACGGGAAGGCGAUCGGGCACGGAGGCAGGCCGCCCGCCCUACUCUCCUGGGCGCCCGCCCUGCUACAGUGCCCAAUCAGGGUCAACUUCGCGGAUCGUGCUCCACCGACUUUAAGGAUUGAGGAAAAUCACACGAUUAAGGUCGGUUUGAUCGGAUGGUGGAGAAUAACGUGGAAAUUCCUUGGGAGCUACUCUUCCUAGAUUUCUUGGGGGCUACUCUUCUUGGACUAUAUAAGCAGACCCCCACCAGCCCCUGGAGGCAUACCUCUUCUAUAGAAUCAAAGUUAGGGUUUCAAUUCUUCAUUCAAGUAGAGAGGAUCCCUCUAGUUCUUCUAGUUCUACCUCUAGUUCAUCUAGAUCUAGUUCUAGUUCAUCUAGUUCUAGUUCUAGUUCCUCUAGUUCUAGUUCUAGUUAGUUCUAGUUGUAAUCUAGAAAAUAGGGAGAGAGAAGAGGAGAGUGGAGGAGGAGCCGGAUCUGUCGGAUCUUCCUCAACAUUGUACUUUUGCAGCAACUGGUUCGUUCUUCAUCGUUCUCCAGGUUCUUCAACUCAUAAUUCCUGAGUUCUUUAAUUACUUUUAUUUACAUUCAAGUUAUUUAUUGGAUUCCCGCUUGCAUCAAGUGCUCUAAUCUUUGAAACAUUAGAGUAGUAAUUAAUAGAUUAGACGUGGUGUUUAGUCUUGCAAUUACCUGGAAUUGCACCCAAUCCUGCGGAUUGUUGUGGUAGCCUUAGGGUAGUGACAGCCCUAACGGUCGACGUAUUCCACCUCGUUCGGAUCGGUGUUUGUAGGACCGUAGUCGGAGCUUCCUAGCCCCCUUCUCAUCUCUUUCUGUGGUUAGUGUUCUGAUGUCCUGAAAUAGAUAAUCUUGAAGUAAUUCUUGAUUCUUAGAUCAACUAGAGAACUCUCAGGAAACUUCCUCUCUUCCCACCAAAAACAAUUAUAUAGUUAUCCUUGGGCGUUCUUGAUUCUUAAUUAGUACACUCAUGUUCUCUGUGGAAAAUUGAUACUCUGGAAUACUCCCGGGUGAAGGCUACAUCGGUAUCCGCGCGCUUGCGGAUUUUUCUGUUUGCGUUUAAAAUACCCAACAAGCUUUCUGGCGCCGUUGCCGGAGAACGGUAGCUGUGCUAGUAUCGAACCAAGUCGUCCGUGUAUCCUUUUUCUUUUCCUUUUCACCACACCACAUGGAUUUCACUCUAAGCAUUAAUGAGCAUGGAAUUUAUUUCAUAGCCACUUCAUUUACUCCAUGCUCAUAUGCAACAUCUUCACAAUCCAUUGGUCUCUCCAACAUCACCACAUUCGAGAUCUCCAACCCCCUCUUCCUUUCUAUUUAUAAAAAACUUUAAAAGGGCGGUUGUCGAUGCAUAUGUUUAUAAUAAAUUUUGCAGAUCUCGUUGAGUUGAUCUUGAUAUAGGUCAGCGUUGGAGGGGAAACCACUUCACUGACAUAAAUUGAUGGUUUCCCAAGGACAAGCUUAGUGUCCUAAAAUAAAGCACUGAUUAGAUUGUAACAUGAGCUUUUAAUUAUUUGCAACAUUGCCUUGUGUAUUGAGCAUAUAAAGAUAAUUGUAGAAAAAUUCCUUUGGGUAUUCUUGUCACUAACCUUUCCAGGAUUGGAGCAAGAAGAUCGGAUGAAUGACAAGCACAAGGUAUGUCCAACCAAUCAUCAUACAACAUUGAAUUAAAUUCAUCCAAACUUGAAUUUUGCAAAAUUCAAGCUUGGGGAAGUACUUUACAUAAAAACAUCCUUUGCCAUAUUGCUAUGUUGGUUGUCCCUACCUUUGAGACAUGCUCAAAUUGUUAAAUACUAAUCACACUACUUUAUCUCCACUUGAGUAGAUCUUUAUAAAUGCUCUCAUGCUACCUUUAUUUGCUUUAGUAUAUGUCUAUGUUUGGAGUAGUUUCAUUUAUCUCUUAAUUAAGCAUGGUGCUUAGUUUAGGGCUGAUGAUCUUACUUCCAAGGGUUUUUAAAUUAAGCAUGGUGCUUAGGUUAAAAUGCCCUCCUAAAUCAAAUUAGACAUGGUGUCUAGGUUGAUUUUUGAGCCGAUAGUAUGCUAUAGUAGAUAUGGGAUAUUUUGUUGGACUAACUCCUACAGGAAAACUUUCAAUAUCAACCUGGGAAGUCCUGAGGUAAACUCACAUUGGGGACAAAGAUAGAGACACAUGAAGUUUAACAAUUUGCACGAGGAAGGCAUAGCUCACAACAGAUGAUCCAUGGAGGGUGCCACAAACACGAUGCACAACCGCUAAGAGAGGAAAGCUUCCACAAGGUGAUACUAUACCAUCACUCUUCAAGUAAGGUAAUACCUUAAGGUACUUGACUAUCACUUUUAUAAGUUUCUCCUUGGUUCUAGCGUUCACAUGAAUAAAAAGACAAACAUGUAUGAUUUACAACUCUAGAUUAACCAACCCAAUAGAUUCAACAUGUUUAGUCCUUCCACCUUUGUGAUCCCACACUCCUAAUCUUAUGAACUAAAAUGUUGCACACUCAAUCUUUGGAAGAUAUAUUUUGUAAAAAAACAACAUAAAUAUAGAUAGAUUAUCUUUCCAUUAGGUUGAGCGAUCUGAACUGACAAAUGUUUUUAAUGUUACACUCAUGAUCUUAUUAUCCAUCAACUUUAUCUUGCUCACUAUGCUUAAGGUUAGAGAGAAUAAAUACACUUUUGGUUCUGUUGGUGUUUUCCACCAACAGAGCCCAUGCACUUGAUCUCUGCCUUGUCUCUAUGAGCAGGUACACUUCAAGCAAACUAUGAAGGACUUUUACAACUCGCAGACUCCACCAAGAGAAGAACCUGGAUCUACGAGCACAAACACAUUGGAGAUACUGGACACUCAGGCAAUCACUGCCCUGAGAUGCUCGAGGACGUAACUUCUAGAGUAACCCUGUUGUGGAAGUAAUUACUGACCUUCUGCCGAUCAAGAGAGGCGAUCCAGGAUGUCCCGUCAUCCCGAUCUCCAUCGGCAUGGUGGACUUCCCAGAAGCACUCUGCGACUUUGGCUUCAGCGUCAACAUUAUGCCCAGGGUACUCUAUGAAAAAUUCUUUACACAUCCUUUAUUAGAAACAACCAUGUGUUUGCAGCUUGCAGAUCGUACGCUAAGUUUCCCAAAGAGAAUAAUGAAUAUCCUCUGCAUCCAAGAUGGUACCUUGUACGCCCCAGCAGACUUCGCGGUGAUAGAGACUGGUACUGAUGAGAGGGCACCCAUCAUCCUAGGGAGGCCAUUUCUGAACACCUCGGGAGCUGUCAUCUACGCUAGUGCUGCCAAGAUCAGUUUCUACAUCAAGGGGAAGAAGGAGACGUUUUCAUUCAAGAACAAGAUUACACAAAUCUCAGAGCAAUCAAGACAUGAACCAAUGAAGAGGACCAACAGGAGGAACAGAAACAAGUAAAUGUGGACCGAGUCAGCUAAGAUGGUCACUCCAGUUCAAGGAGGUUAAGAUCGUCAACUCAAGUCGCCUUUCUUGAUCAAGAAGGACGACCCUGGUGUUUCAAGCAUCGAGUGCACAAUCAACGAAUAUUCCUUUCAGAAGACACUCUACGACACCGGAUCUGACUUCAACAUAAUGGCCGCAGUCACCUAUCAGCUCCUGUUCGGAACCAUGCCCCUAAAACCGACAUACAUUCAGCUCCAGAUAGCAUAUCAGACAUUCCAAAAGGUUGAAGGUUAUUGACAUGGGAGAAGACGAGUACGAUUCACCCAUCAUCCUUGCGAGACCAUUCCUCAGCACCGUUAAAGCAAUCAUCUACAUUGGAACCGGAGAAGUCCACAUGCAUUUGCCCUCUGAGAAGGUACACCACUAUUCCACUGAUCCUAACUAUAUCAUUGAAGACUCUAAGAAGGUCAGGACAAGAAGAAGACGCCGCAACCGCAACCAGAAGAGGCAAAUCAUCAAGGAUGGAUGGGCAGACUAUGAAGGAGAAGUAGUAAGGUCUGAAGACUUACAGCUUGAACAGAACUGUCCUGAGGAGACCGUAGCACCGAGUCAGGUGUGGAGAGAGAAGAUAGUUAUACAUGAAGAGCAGGCGUCGCCGGAAUCAUAGACUACGCCACUCAACGAAUCCCAGGACAACAGAAAAAACGGAGAGUCUCGUUCGGAGGACUUAAAAACACCGAACGCCUUGCCAAGAGCUUUGUUGUCUUUUUGAGCUCCACAGAAUUCAAGGAUCAAAGAAGACUAGCAGACGGAGGACAUCCUAAUCGCUGUCAGGGUGCUGCCAACAUUCAAAUACACCUCCGCCACCUGCUAGCUACAUCAGAAGGAAUUACGUCAAAACCCAGCUUGGGGGAGGGCAACCCCAUUUACCCAGCUAAGUGCUCUACUCAUGUUUAUACUUUACUCAAAUAAUAAAAAGAUGCAUAAUCAUAAAACCCCAAAUAAAGAUUUUGUGCUUAUAUAUAUAUAUAUAUAUCUUUGCUUAGUUUGCUAAAUAAAUAAAUAAAUAAAGUUUGCUAUGAACCCUCAUGAUAAGCUCUCACAUGGAAAUGAUGAAUAGUUGCUCAGCCACGACUAAUUCUCAAAAUUGAAAUCUCUCUCAAGUUUAGGCAUGACUGUUAUUAAUUAAGAUUUGCUCUAAACCUGAAUUUGUGGGAAGAGUACUUGAUCUAUAGUCUAAGUCGUUAACGGAUAUGAUAUGGGAAGGUUGAGCUGUUGUUUAUCUGUUCCUAGAGAUGCUAGAAUUCUAGAGAAUUUUAUCUUUGAAAAUCUUUAAAAUGUUGCAUGAUGAGUUCCUGUAUGAUGAGAGUUUAAAUUCCUACCACAGCCAUAUAUACAUGCUUGCUCGACUUUGAGCCACACAUUUACUUUUUACUGCUUAUGAGCACUCAGUGUGGUCAAGCUGUGUAGACCCUUAGGAGCUUGUCAUGUGGUUAAAAUCAAGAUUCACUUGCACGUUCACUCAUACAUGCUGCUUCUACUCAGGAAGUACCAUCCACAUAUAUCCAUUUCCAUCUCCAGAACCACCCAAAAAUAUUCUACUCCUAAUCCGAGAGAGAAUAGCCAAAAAUAUUUCUAUUUUUCCCCUGUGAAAUAAAUGCUCAAGUUAUCUUGUUACUACUACUUGCUAUAUUAUCUCAUGAGAUGAGUGCUCUAAAAAAAGAGAGAAAAAAAGUAUACGAGGAAAUAAAAAGGGGCAAGUGCCCGGAACCUCGAAAGAAAAGAAAAAGUGAGACGAGAGGUAAAAAUGGACAAGUGUCCGACAGUAGAAUUAGGGGUACAAGAUACCUACCUGAGAGGAAAGAAAAAAAUAUAGAGCAUCUCAUUCUCCUCAAAAAGUUUCAAAAGAGCAAGAAAGGAAUGUAUCCCCUCAAAAGAGCAUAAGUAGAAUUAGACUUUCACCAUUGUUAUCACCAUCAUCACCAUUAUCACCAUUCAUUCGCCACACAUGCACAUCUUGAUUUGACUUAUUGACUUGUUCUUCUGGAUCCAUGGUUUGACUAUGCAAUAAAUGUCUUGUAAGUAUAUAUACUUUAUCUCCCAUCUAUGAGCUCCAGAUAUCAUAACCUUAUUAGAGUAGGGUGAGAGAGAAGGCAAUGCCACUAUGCCUUAUACCACAAAUACCACAAACUUUGAGAGAAGGUAUACACCAUUACUGCCUUGGUAAGGAUCCAGAAAUACUACAAAAGAGAGACUAGAGAGAGUCAUACAUGGAAUCUCUGAGUUUUAAUUGAAAAUCUGCAAAAACUCCAGAGCUAUAGUUAAUCAAAGAACAAGAGACAUAGCGCUUGAUUAGACCGUUCUAUCUUUUAACUACUCAAGACAGAAGUGACGGUUACAAACCCCAUGGUGAAGUAAGUUUUAAGUCUUAAUAGUUUACUCUAACCCAGAGAUGAUAUCUUGUUUGAAUGCAUGUGUACCUUUAAGGCAUGAAACCACUGCAAAAACUCUUGAGUCCAUCUUUGCUCAGGGACGAGCAAAGGUUAAGCUUGGGGGAGCUUGUUGACGGUCCUUAAUGCUCACAUUUAACCAUCAACUAAUCAUGGAAAAGGAUCCAAAUGCAACCAACACCUAGACUUAGGGUUUUAUCUGACAGAAUUCCACGAGUUUUGGUGUUUGUCUAUUUCUGCAGGGGGUUAUCAGGAAAUACAGAAGAAAGGCCCACACGUCGGGUUUACAUAGAGAUAUUAACAUGCCGCUUAAUUUUCUACCAUCUAGAAGAAUCCAGAAGCCACGGGAACGAACGGGAAGGCGAUCGGGCUCGGAGGCAGGGCGCCCGCCCUACUCUCCUGGGCGCCCGCCCUGCUACAGUGCCCAAUCAGGGUCAACUUCGUGGAUCAUGCUCCACCGACUCUAAGGAUCGAGGAAAAUCACACGAUUAAGGUCGGUUUGAUCGGAUGGUGGAGAAUAACGUGGAAAUUCCUUAGGAGCUACUCUUCCUAGAUUUCUUGGGGGCUACUCUUCUUGGACUAUAUAAGCAGACCCCCACCAGCCCCUGGAGGCAUACCUCUUCUACAGAAUCAAUGUUAGGGUUUCAAUUCUUCAUCCAAGUAGAGAGGAUCCCUCUAGUUCUUCUAGUUCUACAUCUAGUUCAUCUAGAUCUAGUUCUAGUUCAUCUAGUUCUAGUUCUAGUUCCUCUAGUUCUAGUUCUAGUUAGUUCUAGUUGUAAUCUAGAAAAUAGGGAGAGAGAAGAGUAGAGCGGAGGAGGGGCCGGAUCUGUCAGAUCUUCCUCAACAUUGUACUUUUGCAGCAACUGGUUCAUUCUUCAUCGUUCUCCAGGUUCUUCAACUCAUAAUUCCUGAGUUCUUUAAUUACUUUUAUUUACAUUCAAGUUAUUUAUUGGAUUUCCGCUUGCAUCAAGUGCUCUAAUCUUUGAAACAUUAGAGUAGUAAUUAAUAGAUUAGACAUGGUGUUUAGUCUUGCAAUUACCUAGAAUUGCACCCAAUCAUGCGGAUUGUUGCGGUAGCCUUAGGGUAGUGACAGCCCUAACGGUCGACCUAUUCCACCUCGUUCGGAUCGGUGUUUGUAGGACCGUAGUCGGAGCUUCCUAGCCCCCUUCUCAUCUCUUUCUGUGGUUAGUGUUCUGAUGUCCCAAAAUAGAUAAUCUUGAAGUAAUUCUUGAUUCUUAGAUCAACUAGAGAACUCUCAGGAAACUUCCUCUCUUCCCACCAAAAACAAUUAUAUAGUUAUCGUUGGGCGAUCUUGAUUCUUAAUUAGUACACUCACGUUCCCUGUAGAAAAUCGAUACUCUGGAAUACUCCCAGGUGAAGGCUACAUCGGUAUCCGUGCGCUUGCGGAUUUUUCCGUUUGCGUUUAAAAUACCCAACAGGUUUGAGCCGCCAAAAUCAAAGAAUUGAAGGCACAUUUAAUUCAAAUACAGAAGUGCAUCAAAAUGCAAUUGGAUUCAAACUCAGAAGGCCGAGGAGCAUCGUCUGGGCUUUGGGCCUGGGCCAACGGAGCCAGCCAGGGGGCGGGCGCCCCCUAGGGUCGGCCGACCCUGGCCUGGCCCUGCUCCCCACCGCCUUUUGCAGAGGCGGUGCAUGCGAAGCACUAGCGCGGUUCCCGGCUGCAUUUUGCAGUUUACCCCCUCCCAAACCGACCUUCCACACCUAUAUAAGGAGGGGGAGAGGGCCUCUCAUUCAUGAUCAUUCAAUCCAUUCAAGCUUCAAGUCCACAAGAAUAAAGAGAGAUACAAGAGUAGUAGUAGAGAGGCGGAGCUUCCACUCAUAUCCUUAGUCUCUAGUUAGGAAUAGAAUAGGAGAGUGAGUUAGAGUGUAGAGUAAGAGAAGUAGCAAGCACCCGGUCCAUUCCCCUAGUUGCACUGGGCGGAAGGGCCGAAGUGCUGCCCGCUUCCCGAGCUGUCCUCUACAACCUGGAAUACCAUAUUGGGGUAAGAAAAGGUUGUAUUCUUCUUUUGUUCUAAGAAGUUAUUGAGUAAUCGUUAUCGUGUUCUUAUAAUCUUGCGGGUUCGUUGUCUAUCUCUCGGUAGAUACUCUAGUAGAGGGACUCUUGCUGGCUGGCGGGAGGACCUGCGCAACACUAAAGUAGUAGCUAAUAACGUAGACGUGGUGUCUAGGUUAGAGGUUACCCUCGUUUGCCUCGUAUCCCAUGGUUGAGGGGUCGGCAGCAGGUGAUGACAGCCCUGUUUGUCCAUAGUUUCCCCCACGUCUAGAUAUGGCGUAGAGCUACACGCCGGUAUUACCUGGCAGACCAGGUACGCUCCGGUGCCCGAAGUAAGAUUAGAAAAGCACGUUGCCUUGCACAAAACUUCUACCAUUAGGCUGUCUCCAAUAGGAGACCCAAACCCAAAAUGGGUCUCCAACACAAUACCUAUAGCCUCCAACAGAGUACCCAUACAGAAAACCCAUUUUAGGUAUCAGGAGAGGCAUAACCCAAAUUUGGGUAUUCUCUCUCCUCGAGACCCAUUUGCAGAGAGUGUUUUCUUUUAGGUCUCGUUGCUGGAGAAGACUAAAAAUAGGUAUGGAACCUUGUACCUGUAGCGCUACCCAAAGGAUAAAUGAGUCUUUAUUUUGGGUGAUGAUUGUUGGAGAUAGUCUUAGGAGAACCUCACUACCUAAGUCAUCCCUCUCACUUUACUCUAGGGUACACUUAGUUUAUGUCUCAAAACACCUCCGUUCCCUGUGAAAUCUCGAUACCCUGAAUACCACUGGGUGAAGUGCUACAACGGUACUUCCGUGCGCUUACGGAUAAUUGGCUGCAUCACUAAGAAAUACCAACAACUAGUCCCCAAACUCUUAUGCAUUCGCUCCCAGAAAUGAGCGAUGAACUGCGGUCCUCUAUCUGAUAUGAUGGUCUUGGGAAUACCAUGCAGCUUGACAAUCCCGGCUAGAUAUAGAUCAGCGUACUCGGGAGGUCUGUAACGAGUCUUAACAGGAAUGAAAUGAGCCGACUUGGUCAAUCGAUCUAUGAUUACCCAAAUCGAGUCAUUCCCCUUUCGUGUUGUCAGUAAACCUGUGAUAAAGUCCAUACUGACCUCUUCCCAUUUCCACUCUGGAACUGACAACGGUUGCAACAGACCCGCAGGUUUCAUAUGUAUAGCCUUGACUCUGCAACACGUGCCACAACGGGCCACAUGUGCUGCUAUCUCCUUCUUCAUUUUGGUCCACCAAAAGUGAGACCUUAGAUCUUGAUACAUCUUACUCCUGCCAGGAUGAAUAGAAAGCUUGGAAAGAUGUGCUUCAUCCAUGAUGCGAUUCUUCAAUUCUCGAUUCUUCGGAACUACCAGCCGGUGCUGAAACCACAAUCCCCCUUUUUCAUCAACUCGGAACUGAGUCUUUGGGUCGUCUUUGAUCUUUUCUUAGAUGUGGAAAAUACCCUUGUCCGUUUUCUGACCUUCGAUGACUUGACUUUCAAGUGAACAACUGAGCUGUAUGUGACAUAAGACUUCAGGAUGCAUGAGAUUGAAACCAUCUUCAAACAACAGUUGAACCACUUGAUAGUGCGGUUUGUGACUCGAAGCGUCUGCUACCACAUUAGCCUUGCCCGGAUGAUAAUGGACUUCCAGAUCGUAAUCCUUGAUCAGCUCUAACCAUCUUCGUUGCCUCAUAUUCAGCUCGGACUGAGUGAAGAUGUAUUUCAGACAUUUAUUGUCUGUGUAGAUAUGACACUUGUUUCCCAGCAAAUAGUGCCUCCAGAUCUUCAAAGCGUGCAACACUGCUGCUAACUCGAGGUCGUGAGUUGGGUAGUUAACUUCAUGCUUUCUCAACUGUCGUGAAGCAUAAGCUAUAACUCUGCCGUCUUGCAUCAGCACACAUCCUAAACCACUUUUCGAUGCGUCGCAAAACACAUCAAAAGGCUUCUCGAUAUUGGGUUACGCUAAAACGGGAGCGGUGGUUAGCAACAUUCGCAAGGUGCGGAAGGCUAGUUCACACCCUUCUGUCCAGACAAACUUAUGAUCCUUUUGUAGCAAACUGUUCAUUGGCUUAGCAAUCUUGGAAAAGUCGGGUAUGAAACGACGGUAAUACCUGGCUAGGCCAAGAAAGCUUCGAACUUCCGAGAUAGAAGUUGGUGCCUUCCAGUCCAUGACUUCCUAUACCUUUGACGGAUCCACAGCAAUCCCUUCUUCAGACAGAAUAUGCCCUAGGAAAGGAACUUUCUUCAGCCAGAACUCACACUUGCUGAACUUUGCAUACAACUGAUGCUCUCGCAGUCGUGUUAGCACAACUCUUAGAUGCUCGGCGUGAUCUUACUGAUUCUCUGAAUAAACCAAAAUGUCAUCGAUGAACACCACCACAAACUUGUCUAACUCUGGCAUAAAGAUGGAGUUCAUCAGAUACAUAAAGUAUGCAGGAGCAUUUGUCAACCCAAAGGACAUGACAAGAUACUCAUACAACCCAUAUCUGGUGGAAAAAGCAGUCUUCGGGAUAUCUUGCGGGCGAAUCUUUAUUUGGUGAUACCCGGACCUCAAAUCUAUCUUGGAAAACACUUUGGCCUUGGACAACUGAUCAAACAAUAUAUCAAUCCUUGGCAAUGGAUACUUAUUUUUGAUUGUCACCGCAUUGAGUGGACGAUAGUCCACGCACAUACGUAACGAUUGAUCCUUCUUUUUCACAAACAACGCCGGACAACCCCAUUCCGACGAACUUGGCCGGAUAAACCCUUUAUCCAGCAACUCCUUUAGUUGAUUCUUCAAUUCAGCAAGCUCAUUAGGCGGCAUCCUGUACGGCCUCCUAGAUAUCGGUGCGGUACCUGGUAUUAACUCUAUUGCAAACUCUACUUCCCUGUCUGGGGAAGUCCUGGCAAUUCCUCACGGAAAACAUCAGGAAACUCACAGACCACUGGGAUCUAUGGCAGAGGAACCACGUCCGUAGCACAAGAGAUGCUAGCAAAGGCAAAGCGAUGGGGCAGAGGUACUUGAAAAGAUACACUGCCCUGGGGUUCUCUGAGAGAUAACACCCUCUUCCCAGUAUCAAUAACAGCAUCCCACUCUUUCAUCUAGUUCAUGCCCAUGAUAAGAUCCAAAACUAACCCAGGCAUGACUACCAGAUUAACAAGAAACACCCUGUUACUUAUAUCUAGGGUUGCCCCUCGAACCACUCUAUUUGUCAACACAUCUGCCCCUACUGAGCUGAUGCGAUAGCCAUAACCCAGAUCUGUAACUGCUUGGUCAUGCUUUUGUGCAGAUACUUGGCUCAUGAAUGAAUGCGAUGAUCCAGAAUCAAACAAAACAACUGCAAGAUGUUGGUUGACAGAAAACAUACGAGCUGUUACCGGUUCUCCUUCCGAGAUCUCCUCAAUCGAGGUAUGGUGCACUUGAGCUGGGUAGGUCGUCUGCUGCCUCUUGGGGUAGGGACAUUCCUUGGCAAAGUGCCCCAUCUUGUGGCAAUUAUAGCACGGUCCCUUGGUCAUGUUGUUGGUGGCAGGUGCUGCAGCUUGAAUUGCCUUUGGCUUGGCGGGAGCUAUUGCUACUUUGUACGGCUUCUGCUGCGUUGGCUGCCCUGUGUUCCUUCUCUACGGCGGUCGGAACCUAGCACCUGGGGCAGGAGGACUUUACUGCUGUCGCCCUGCCACCGGUGCCCUGGACUAGGACGAUCCAGCUUCAAAAGCCCUCUUGCGAGACUUGGAUGCACUAUAGUUGUUGUUAUUGUUCUCCUGGGUCAAACAGUCACUGAUGUAUGCAUUGAAGGUAGUCUGGGUUCCUGUACCCAUGGUCUUCAGCAUUUUUGGGCUCAAACCUCUCUGGAAAUUAGCGAUCUUCUUGGCCUCUGUGUUCACAUACUCGGGGGCGUAACGAGCAAGAUUGUUAAAAGCGUGUAGAUACUCCUUCACAGACUUUGUUCUCUAGGACAGCCUCAUGAAUUCCCCAACCUUCAUUUCCACCACACCCGGAGGAAUGUAAUUUCCCCGGAAAGAGGUGGUGAAGCGGUUCCAGGUGAUAGGGGUCCCCUCUGGGUAGGUGGUACGGUGAUGGGACCACCAAAUCCUAGCAGGUCCCUGCAAUUGAUGCGCUGCAUAUUCGGCCUUGAGUUCUUCGGUCAUCCUAAGAAGACGGAACUUUUGCUCCAUAGUGUUGAUCCACUCAUCUGCCUCGAGCCGUUCUAAGGCCUCCUAGAAGACUGGUGGUUUGGUAUCCAUGAAGUCCUUGAAAGAGCUGUACUGAUUGGCUUCACGGCCGCCCUGGUUAUCCCCACGGUGGGUAUUGUCAGUGAUAUUGCGCAGGGCUUCUUACAUGUUGUGCUGCAUCUGCUCCAUGUUGCGUUGGCUCCCCAGAAACUACGCGAAAAACAUGUCAACAGUGUACGGAGGUGGUGGUGGUGGUGGCGGUGAUGGUGCUCUUUCCUCAUUCCGUUGAGCCCCACCUCCGAAAGUACCUGCUCCAAGACCGGGGUUGCUGUUACCCUCGCCACAUGUUUGCACCAUCUACAUGCGUCAAUGAUAAGCAGUCGUUAGGAGUUGCCAUCAACGGUAGACAUAUGUAGAAUUAUGUCGUACUGAAUUUACUGAGGAAAAUAAGUUCGCACAAUAAAUAGAGACACAACAAUUCACCACCCACACACAACAUUGUUGGGUAUUCUUAACAUCAUUACCAAAAGUAGACAGUUUUCUAAUUCUAGUAACGGUGCCAAAAAUGCCAAACCUAUCCCUCAUACCACUUAAGCCAAGUUGUCAUCCCCAGCAUGAUAUAAGAGACGCGGUAUUGAAAUAUGCAAUUGCUCUUCUAUAUAAAUAAUGAAUGGGAUCUGCAAGCACACAGAUUAAUACCGAUGUAACAUUUUAACCGGGAAGUAUUCGAGGUAUCGUUAUUUAUAUUUUUACCACUGGAAAGGGAUUAGCAAUCAUCAAUAUUGAUUACAGAAUAGAAUAUGAUAUUGAGUAUCUAUCAUUGCAUGUAUAAUUGAGAACAUUUAUCUAUCUUUUUCAUAUAGGGGUAAGUGUCACAUAAAAGAUAUAUGAAGUAAUGAAUAGUGACAAAGAUAAUUAAUCUGAUCAGCAUAACUUAGCCACAUAAUAAAUAUGAUAAGCACCUCAAUUAGAUACUCUAGAAAGUCAUUAGCAUGGAAUUAGAACGAACUACAAGAAUAUUUCCUAAGUUAUUCUCAACUAUAUAGUCUAGCAUUAUCAUAGUUAGUGCAAGCAUACUUAGCAAUCAUUGCGAGACAAGACUACGCCCAUGCAUAGUGAUAUUAGCAAGGUAAAUGAGAAACAUAGCAAUCGCUCCCCUGUAAUAAUGUUGCUCUGCCAGCCCAAUACACGAGAGGGGGACUAUAUAAGAAUCAAUGAAGCUGUCACUAUCACAAACUACCCCACGAUCUGGCAUAUUGGGUAGAAUUGUAGAUAAAUACGGUAUAAGCACCACGCCUACACAAUAUCAAUCAUUUACCCAUGGAUCCGAUGGAUAAACGCUAUACGAUCCUAAAUAUGUAUAUAAAUCCAAUCUAACUAAGCCAAGUAUAUAACUAUGAUAAACUCAGAACAAUAUAAUCUUGAAUAUAAACAAGUAGAGCAAAGUCAUAAGCAAUAUAUUGAAGUAGAACUAAGUCAUAUUCAUAAUAUUGAAGAACAAAGAUAAUUAGAAUAACAAUUAGAAGCACAAUUAGAGAAUUACCAAGAAUCCUCUUGACAGAUCCGGAAACCAAUCGAAGAUUGACUCCUUCUAGUUCUAAUCCUAUGUAGCUAUGCUAAUCUAGAUGUCUAAUUGAUGUGGUGGCUCUAAUUUUGAUCAGAGGCUUCUUCUUCUCCCUUGAGGAAUAAUGAAUUAGGGUUGAGAGGAUCCCUCCUCCAGGGGCCAGGGGGUCUGGUUUUAUAGUCCCUUCAAGUGAAUAUGGGUCGUUGGAUCAAACCGACAUUGAUUGAACGAUUAUCCUUGAUCCUUUAGGUCGGUGGAGAUCUUUCCCGAAAGAGUGUCCUGAUUGGAGUCCAACAGGGGGCGGGCGCCCAGGUCAAUUGGGCGGGCGCCUAGUGCCUGGCCCCGUUCAGCCUCUGCUUCCUUCCCGUGGCUUCUGGAGUCUUCUAGAUGUAAGAUAAUUGCACUGCACGUUGAUAUCUCUAUGUAAUCCCAACAUGUGGGCCUUUCUUCCAUAUUCCCUGAUAACCCACUGCAGAAAUAGACAAACACCAAAACUCGUGGAAUUCUGUCAGAUAAAACCCUAAGUCUAGAUGUUGGUUUCAUUUGGAUCCUUUUCUUUGUUUAUUUGAUAAUUAAAUUUGAUACUUAAGGACCGAAAACAAACUCCCCCAAGCUUACCUCUUGCUCGUCCCUGAGCAAGGAUAGACUCAGCGAUGGAUCAGAAGUUGUUGCAAUAUCUUUAAAAAUUGACGGUACACAUGCUUUCAAAUGAGUUCUCAUCUCUGAGUUAGAGUAAACUAUCAAGACUUAAAACUUACUUAUUUUACCUUUCACCAUGGGACUUGUAACUGUCACCUCUGUCUUGAGUGGUUAAAAGAUAGAAUAGUCUAGUCAAGUGCCAUGUCUCUUAUUCUUGAUCAGCUAUAGCUCUCGAGUUUUUGCAGAUUUUCAAAUAAAACUCAGAGAUUCCUUGUAUGACUCUCUCAGAUCACUCUUUUGUGGUAUUUCUGGAUCCUUACCAAGGUAGUGAUGGUAUAUGCCUUCUCUCAAAAUAUGUGGUAUUUAUGGUUUAAGGCAUAGUGACAUUGCCCUCUCUCUCACCCUACUCUAAUAAGGCUUUUAAUAUCUGGAGCUCACAGGUGGGAGAUAAAAUAUACAUACUCAUAAGACAUGUAUUAUAUAGUCAAACCAUAGAUCCAAAGAAACAAAUCAAUAAGUCAAAUCAAGAUGUGCAUGUGUGGCGAAUGAAUGGUGUAUGGUGAUAAUGGUGAUAACAAUGGUGAAAGUCUAAUUCUACUUUUGCUCUUUUGAGGAGAUACAUACCUUCCUUGCUUUCUUGAAACUUUUUGAGGAGAAUGAGAUGCUCUUCUUUUUCUUUUCUCUCAGGUGGGUAUCUUGUACCCCUAAUUUGUAACACCCUAGGUGUUAAGCAUGCACUUAGUCUUCUCAAAACAUUCAUAAACAUUCUCAUCAAGCAUAGCAUCACAUGAGCAUGUCAUCCAUCCAAAGUGUGAUUUUAUGUGCUUUAUUCUAUGUGAUUUAAAUGUGUUAAAAAUAUGAUGCUUGCUACUAAAAUUGUGAAAUAUUCAAAUUAGGUUGAAUUGUGUGUAAAAAGAUUUAAGAGUAUUUUUGUGCAAUUUUUGGAGCCAUAGAAUUUGAGAAGUGGAAUUUAUACAAAAAUCCCCAAAAUGAAUUUAUUUGAAAACCUAGAACUAGUUUUAAUCUGUAAUUCAAAUUCCAUUUGGAAUUUGGUCUUGCUUAUUAAAACAAAGUUGUAGGGUUUUUGUUUUGGAACAACUUUGAUUUUGGGAGAAAAGGGUGAAAGUGAUUUUUAAAUGGUCCAAAUGAAUUUAGAAAGAAUUUGAGAAAAGAAUUUCAAAAAAAAGAAAAGGGGACAGGCGCUGCUGGGCCGACCCGCCUCCCUUUCGGCCCAGCCAGCAGCCCGGCCUGCCUCCCCCUCCCCUCUCUCUCCCGCGCGCGGCGCCCGCCUUGCCCCAUCCCGCGGCGGCCACGUGGCGGCCGUACGCCGGCGUUGGGCGCGCCGCGGCCGACCACCCCCUCCCCCUGGUCGAGACGCCGCCCCGCGCCCCCAGACCGCUCCCUCCAUUCUGUCGCCCGCGCCUUCUCCCUCCUUCCUCCGUGCGCGUGCGCAGCCGCAGCAGCAGCAGCUCCGCCCGCGCCAUUUCCGGAGAAAGCCCCGCCGCUCGCCGCCGGUCGCACCAGAGCUCCACCUCGACGUCAAGGACACCAGCGCACUCGCCGUCGCCGCGGUAAGCCCCUGCGUACGCUCUACCGAGGGGAGAAGCAGUCGUGCGCCGUGAAUCGCUCGUCGGAGUUGCUCCGACCUCGCCGUAGAGCUCCGCCGCGACGGAUCUUGCUGUAUCCUGCCUCUUUUCGCUCGUUCUUUGGUGCGCUAGGUCGGUAGUGAGGUGAGGAAGCUCGGAGGGUUGUUUGCGCGCGCUCUACCGCACCAGAGCGGCCUAGCCACGGCGAGCAGCGCCACCGUGCCGCCAUGCACGCUCGUCGGAGGUGUUCCGGUCAUCCUCCGGCCGAUCCAAGGGCACCGCUGGGUGCGCCUCGCUGCGGGGAGCACGCUGGUGCUCACCCCGUGGCCGGAGACCUCGCAGUCGGCGAGAGCCGGCCGGCCGAAGAUCGGCCGGUGUGUUGCGUGGCUGACCCGUGGGGUCACGGCCCUGGAUCCCACCUGUCAGUGCCUCUGCGGGUGUGGAUCUGGGUGAGUUUAGUGUUUUUCAGCGGUUUUCUUAAAUAAAUAUUUUCUAGAAAUCGGUUUAAAUCUUGUAAAAUCUAUAUCUUGAGUUGUAUGGUUCCAAAAUUGGUGAAACAAAUUUUGGUUUGCUCUCUGUUCUCAGAUCUACAGUUUGAUGUAAUUGCAUGUCAUGUUUGAACACUUUUUCUGGACAAAAAUAAUUAAUCUAUGUUCUUGCUGAAAUUGGAAAAUGCAUAGUAAUUAAAAUAUGACUCAGAAAAAUAUGAAAUUUGUUUUGCUGUCUCUGCAUGUAUGUUUAGUCACUGGGAAAAUAUUGCUACACAUUAUUUGGUGUAUGAAUGAAUUUUUUGUGAUUUAAAUGCUUGCAUGGCAGUGGUUUAUGAUUUUUAAUAAAUAAUUGGAUCAUGCAAUUAAUCUGUAAAUUUUUGUAGAUGUUUCUCAUGAUACUAAGGGUGUGUUUGGUUGGGCUGUGACUUUUAGAAAAGCUACUGUGAGCUUUGAGCUUUUGAAAAGCUGCUGUGGGAUGUGGGCUUUGAGAAACCCAAAAGUCAUUUGGUUGGUCACUCAUGGCUUUUGGAAAAAAACUGAACGAAUCCCAAAAGUCAGUGAAAGCAGGGGGUGAGGUGCUUUUGGAUUUGUACUACGAGAAAAGCUGCUUUUGGGCAAAAGCACUUGUGGCUUUUGGGCCCUUUGGUUGGCUUUUGGCUUUUACAAAAGCAAAAGCAGGUUCAAAAGCCCAACCAAAGGGACCCUAAGCAAAUUAUAAAAAUAUGAAAUCUGGUGUUUGAAACUUAUACCACAGUAGAGUAUUUUUAUUUGCCCUUAGGAAUUAAUCUUGUGAUUUUUGUAGCUCAAAAUAAGUAUCCAAAAAUUAUGGAAAAUUUAUUGUGGACUUUAUGUUUGACUGGUAGUCUCCUGUAAUUUUUGUGGAAUUUAUUGAUAAACAGAAAUGCAUGCUAUUUUGAUGGGUCUAAAAAUGAAUAAAGAGAAUAUGAAUUGUUAUAUAUGGUUUAAAUAGAAUAAAAGGGGUUUGGUGUAUCUUUGAAGCAUCUUGUGAGUUUGCUGGUUACACUUGAGGAUAAUUUGUAGAAAAGAAGGAAUUAGAUGUUUACAUGCUCUUGUAUGACGUUGACUACCGUGUAGAUGACCAUCUAAACCAUCUAUGCAUCAUGUCAUAGUCAUGUGGUUUUCUCUCACAUGAGCAUUGCACCCCGGGCAUCUCGCACUCCACUCAUGAGCACACAUGCAUCAUACAGGCUCGCAGGAGAACGAGGUGGGACCCGAGGAGCAGGAAGAAGCACAGGAGUAGGAACAUCUGGGAGUGUCGGAACCCGGAGAGGAGCAACAGGAGUGCCCGGAUCAUAAGCUGAGCACGUUCGAGAAAGGCAAGCCCCGGAGCAUUCUAAGCCUCCAUAUUCUCGCUAACUUAAAUAAUACAUUAUGCUCGUUCUACUAUGUUGCAUUUAAGUGGUAGGAAUCGCUUGACACCAUUAGUGCAUAUGCACUCCUUGCUAUCACUACUCAUUGAUCUACCUUGUCCUAUGUAGAUAGGCACGGAGUCUAUGCUUAGCCUGCUUAGUACGGUAGAAGUCGGGUGAUUUCCUGUCACCUGCGAGAUAUAGGUGGAUACCUACUUGAUUAAGCAGUGAUUGUUUUGGUAGAGAAUAACCAAGUGUGGAAUGGAAUUGGAGACCGGGCAGGGUCUUAUGGUGGGUUGACUAUAGUGCCCCUGCCUGUGUCGAUUAAGGACCGAUCGUUGACGGCCCUCUUGUCAUGUUGAACGCAUGCCCCACACUUAGCUGGAAGGAUAAGUCGUUCCGACCGCGAAGCCUGAUCACUAUCCGGGCCGGGAAUUGGCCCAAUGUACGCGCUGUAUUGGUGAUGGUUGAGGAGAACGACGAGGGCGCGGCGCGCAACCUUGGUAUACCUUGGAUACCUCGGUCGCCGGAACAGUCCUCGGGUACGGGCGGUGCCUGUCGAACCCGCGAAUUGGUCCUGGAUAGUGCAACACGGUGAUCUGUAGCUCACUUGAUCAGUGAGUGUGGUUUGUGUGGGGAAUAACUCGCCAGCUGGUUAGAAAUCGAUUUGAAUCGCCAUCGCUCCUGGAUAGUGAGCACUUGACAUGAGCCCUGUCCUUGUAGUAAGGACUAUGGAACACUUGGGUUAUAUGACAAAUAAUUGCAUGGAUGCUAUGAUGAGGCACAAUCAUAUUAUUAUAUUUGUUUGUCUUAGUGCAGGUGCAAACCUAGAUAAUAGGUAAUGAUACUUUCAACUUGAGCUCGUGCUUUUAUGCAAAAGGUCGUCGGCUACCCCCACUAUAUAGCCUUCAUGAUUUUUGAAGAGUCUUUAUUUUUGAGUUUAUGACGAGUAAGUUUAGUUGAGUACAUUCUCGUACUCAGGGUUCUAUUCCCAUGUUGUUUUGGAGAUGGUCAAAUAUACUAUGGUUAUCGCAUCCUCUGCCUGUACCCUGCUAUGGGUGAUGACUAGACCAAGGGCGAUGGUCAUUCCAUCUUCUCUUUUGCUUUUGUGGGAAUGACCAAAACUAUGGCACUGUAUCAAACUAAGUGUGUGUGUUAUUUUCAACUAUGAAGCUUCCGCUACUUGUGAACUUGGUUUGUAAUAACUUUAAGCACUCCGAUGUUUUUGAUGGAUAUUUUCGAACUGGAUGUAACUGUGGAUGGUGACCGCUGAACUUAUUACGAUCUUGGCUGUGUGUACGAUAUGUGGUUUGAAAUCCUUCGAGAUUUCACGGAAUACUGGGAUUAUAUGGGCUUAAGCUGGAUGGUUUGACUAUGCAAAUGGACGCUAUUAGGCUUAAUCUCUUAUAAUUUGGGCGGUUCUGUUACAUAAUUCUACUGUCGGACACUUGUCCAUUUUUACCUCUCGUCUCACUUUUUCUUUUCUUUCAAGGUUCCAGGCACAUGCCCCUUUUUAUUUCCUCGUAUCUUUUUUUUCUUUUUUUUAUUAGAGCACUCAUCUCUUGAGAUAAUAUCGCAAGUGGUAGUAACAAGAUAACUUGAGCAUUUAUUUCAUAGGGAAAAACAGAAAUAUUUUUUGGCUAUUCUCUCCCGGAUUAGGAGUAGAAUAUUUUUGGGUGGUUCUGGAGAUGGAAAUGGAUGGAUAUAUGUGGAUGGUACUUCUAGAGUAGAAGUAGCAUGUGUGAGUGAACGUGCAAGUGAAAUUUGAUUUAACCACAUAACAAGCUCCUAAGGGUCUACACAGCUUGACCACACUCAAUGCUCAUAAGCAGUAAAUAGUAAAUGUGUGGCUCAAAGUCUAACAAGCUUGUAUAUAUGGCUAUGGUAGGAAUUUGUUGACACCGUUUUUGGACACGUACCUAGGUUUGGUAGAGUGUAGAUCAGCAAGAUAGGGCAACAGUAACUGGUCUAUGUUGGGUAUUCUUAACACCACUACCAAAAGUAGACUUAGUUUUCUAAUUCUGAUAACGGUGCCAAAAUUGCCAAACCUAUCCCUCACACCACUUAAGCCAAGUUGUCAUCCCCAGCAUGACAUGAGAGACGCGGUAUUGAAAUAUGCAAUUGCUCUUCUAAAUAAAUAAUGAAUGGGAUCUGCAAGCGCACAGAUUAAUACCGAUGUAGCAUUUUAACCGGGAAGUAUUCCAGGUAUCGUUAUUUAUAUUUUUACCACUGGGAAGGGAUUAGCAAUCAUCAAUAUUGAUUACAGAAUAAAAUAUGAGAUUGAGUAUCUAUCAUGGCAUGUAUAAUUGAGAACAUUGUAUCUAAUUCUUUCAUACAGGGAUAAGUGUCACAUAAAGUAUAUAUAAAGUAAUGAAUAGUGACAAAGAUAAUUAAUCUGAUCAUAAUUAGCCACAUAAUAAAUAUGAUAAGCACCUCAAUUAGAUACUCUAGAAAGUCAUUAGCAUGUAUUAGAACGAACUACAAGAAUAUUUCCUAAGUUAUUCUCAACUAUAUAGUCUAGCAUUAUCAUAAUUAGUGCAAGCAUACUUAGCAAUCAUUGCGAGACAAGACUACGCCCAUGCAUAGUGAUAUUAGCAAGGUAAAUGAGAAACAUAACAAUCACUCCCCUGUAAUAAUAUUGCUCUGCCAGCCCAAUACACAAGAGGGGGACUAUAUAAGAAUCAAUGAAGCUGUCACUAUCACGAACUACCCCACGAUCUGGCAUAUUGGGUACAAUCGCAGAUAAAUACGGUAUAAGCACCACGCCUACACAAUAUCUAUCAUUUACCCAUGGAUCCGAUGGAUAAACGCUAUACGAUCCUAAGCAUGUAUAUAGAUCCAAUCUAACUAAGCCAAGUACAUAACUAUGAUAAACUAAGAACAAUAUAAUCUUGAAUAUAAACAAGUAGAGCAAAGUCAUAAGCAAUAUAUUGAAGUAGAACAAAGUCAUAUUCAUAAUAUUGAAGAACAAAGAUGAUUAGAAAGCAAUUAGAAGCACAAUUAGAGAAUUACCAAGAAUCCUCUUGACAGAUCCGGAAACCAAUCGAAGAUUGACUCCUAGUUCUAAUCCUAUGUAGCUAUGCUAAUCUAGAUGUCUAAUUGAUGUGGUGGCUCUAAUCUUGAUCACAAGCUUCUUCUCCCUUGAGGAACAAUGAAUUAGGGUUGAGAGGCUCUCUCCUCCACGGGCCAGGGGGUCUGGUUUUAUAGUCCCUUCAAGUGAAUAUGGGUCGUUGGAUCAAACCGACAUUGAUUGAACGGUUAUCCUUGAUCCUUUAGGUCGGUGGAGCGUCGUGUGCGAAAAGAGUCCCGAUUGGGCUCGGUAGGAGGGCGGGUGCCUAGGGCAACUAGGCGGGCGCCCAGUCCCUUGCCUCGUUCGGCCUCCGCUUCCUUCCCGUGGCUUCUGGAGUCUUCUAGAUGUAAGAUAAUUGCACGACACGUUAAUAUCUCUAUGUAAUCCUGACGUGUGGGCCUUUCUUCCAUAUUUCCUGAUAACCCCCUGCAGAAAUAGACAAACACCAAAACUCGUGGAAUUCUGUCACAUAAAACCCUAAGUCUAUAUGUUGAUUUCAUUUGGAUCCUUUUCUUUGUUUAUUUGAUAAUUAAAUUUGAUACUUAAGGACCGUCAACAAACUCCCCCAAGCUUACCUCUCGCUCGUCCCUGAGCAAAGAUAGAUUAGAAGUUGCUGCAAUACUUUAAAAAUUGACGGUACACAAGCUUUUAAAUAAAGAUCUCAUCUCUGAGUUAGAGUAAACUGUCAAGACUCAAAACUUACUUACUUUACCUUUCACCAUGGGACUUGUAACCGUCACUUCUUUCUUGAGUGGUUAAAAGAUAGAACAGUCUAGUUAAGUGCCAUGUCUCUUAUUCUUGAUCAGCUAUAGCUCUGGAGUUUUUGCAGAUUUUCAAAUAAAACUUAGAGAUUCCUUUUAUGAUUCUCUCAUAUCUCUCUUUUGUGGUAUUUCUGGAUCCUUACCAAGGCAGUGAUGGUAUAUGCCUUCUCUUAAUAUAUGUGGUAUUUGUGGUAUGAAGCAUAAUGACAUUGCUUUCUCUCUCACCCUACUCUAAUAAGGCUUUAAUAUCUGGAGCUCAUAGGUGGGAGAUAAAGUAUACAUACUUACAAGACAUUUAUUGUAUAGUCAAACCAUGGAUCCAAAGAAACAAAUCAAUAAGUCAAAUCAAGAUGUGCAUGUGUGGCGAAUGAAUGGUGUAUGGUGAUGAUGGUGGUAACAAUGGUGAAAGUCUAAUUCUACUUUUGCUCUUUUGAGAGGAUACAUACCUUUCUUGCUUUUUGAAACUUUAUGAGGAGAAUGAGAUGCUCUAUCUUUUUCUUUUCUCUCAGGUGGAUAUCUUGUACCCCUAAUUCUACCAUCGGACACAUGUCCAUUUUUACCUCUCAUCUCACUUUUUCUUUUCUUUCGAGGUUCCGGGCACUUGCCCCUUCAUAUUUCCUCGUAUCUCUUUUUUUUCUUUUUUUUCUAGGCACUCAUCUCUUGAGAUAAUAUAGCAAGUGGUAGUAACAAGAUAACUUGAGCAUUUAUUUCACAGGGAAAAAUCAGAAAUAUUUUUGGCUAUUCUCUCCCGGAUUAGGAGUAGAAUAUUUUUAGGUGAUUCUGGAGAUGGAAAUGAGUGGAUAUAUGUGGAUGGUACUUCCAGAGUAGAAGUAGCAUGUGUGGGUGAACGUGCAAGUGAAUCUUGAUUUAACCACAUGACAAGCUCCUAAGGGUCUACACAGCUUGACCACACUCAAUGCUCAUAAGCAGUAUAUAGUAAAUGUGUGGCUCAAAGUCUAGCAAGCAUGUAUAUAUGGCUGUGGUAGGAAUUUAAAACUUUCAUCAUACAGGAACUCAUCAUGCAAUAUUUUAAAGAUUUUCAAAGAUAAAAUUCUCCAGAAUUCUAGCAUCUCUAGGAACAGAUAAAUAGCAGCUCUACCUUCCCGUAUCGUAUCCGUUAACAACUUAGACUUUAGAUCAAGUUUUCAUCCCACAAGUUUAGGUCUAGAGCAAGAUUUAAAUUAUAACAGUUAUAUCUAAAUGUGAGAGAGAACUUAAAAUGUGCAAAUUAGGAAGAGCAACUGUUGACACUUGCUAACACCACUUGAAUACUAGGUUGUCAUCCCCAGCAUGGCACUAGAGUGUACUAUGGUAUUUAUCGGCACACAGAUAAUCCGCAAGCGCACGGAUACCGUUGAAGCUUUUACCCGGUUAAAGGUUUUAUCGUAUCCACAGGGAAACAGGAGAACUGAUCUAUGCUCUAACUUAACCAAGAUAAGUAAAUAAGUGUAAAUAGGAAAGAUGGUAGAAUCGAAUAAGAACAAUAUUAAAGGUAAGAUAACAGUGAGUGAUAAUAUGGGAAUAGAGAAUAGAGCAAUUAUAGUAUAUGGGCGAUGGUAGCAGAAUAGAGAGGAUAACUAUGGUUUCUCUACUUCAAAGGGGUAUGUCUAUGUCUGGGACGAACCACGUGAUAAGAAGUACACCACAAAGGAUGCUUAUCCUUAGGCCGAUAAACCAUACCCGUCCUGCUAACGAGAGGUGGACUACAGAGGACCAACGUAACUGUCACCUACGCGGCCUACCACACGAUCCAGCUAGACAGGGGAUAUCCACAAGUAAUCUAGAUCUAAGCACCUCGCUUACACCUAUACUACAACUCUCACCUAUAGCGUCCUAUAGAUUAAAGUACUCAAAAGAGUUGUGAACCAGAAUAUACAUAAUUAGAAAUUGCAUAAUGAAUUAGAAGUAGAUUACCAGAGUCAUCCCAUGAGCAAGCUUGAUUAGAGCUUGAUCAUGACGAAGUACAACCGGAGGAAGAACUGACAGGCCGGCCUCUCCUCUAAUCCUCCUUCGCUCUCCAUCUUGCUACUAUCUAGAUCUACUCUAGUUUAGAGAAGAGAGGAGAGCUCUCAUCUCUAAACCCUAGCUUUUGCUCUGUCUAUGAAUAAUGAAUAAUGAUCAAGGGGUGCCUCCUCCAGGGGCUAGGGGGUCUAGUUUUAUAGUCCCUUCAAGUGAACCUGGGCCGUCAGAUCAAACCGACAUAGAUUGAACGGUUAUCCUUGAUCCUUUAGGUCGGUGGAGAUCUCCCGAGAAACAGAGUCCUAAUUGGCCUCCAGAGGUGGGCGGGCGCCCUGCCUCUAGCCCUGUUCGGCCUCCGCUUCCUUCCCGUGGCUUCUGGAGUCUUCUAGAUGUAAGAUAAUUGCGCGACACCUUAAUAUCUCUAUGUAAUCCUGACGUGUAGGCCUUUCUUCCAUAUUUCCUGAUAACCCCUUGCAGAAAUAGACAAACACCAAAACUCGUGGAAUUCUGUCACAUAAAACCCUAAGUCUAGAUGUUGAUUUCAUUUGGAUCCUUUUAUUUGUUUAUUUGAUAAUUAAAUUUGAUACUUAAGGACCGUCAACAAACUCCCCCAAGCUUACCUCUUGCUCGUCCCUGAGCAAGGAUAGACUCAGCAAUGGAUCAGAAGUUGUUGCAAUAUCUUAAAAAUUUGUCGGUACACAUGCUUUUAAAAAAGAUCUCAUCUCUGAGUUAGAGUAAACUGUCAAGAACUAAAACUUACUUACUUUACCUUUCACCAUGGGACUUGUAACCGUCACUUCUGUCUUGAGUAGUUAAAAGAUAGAACAGUCUAGCCAAGUGCCAUGUCUCUUAUUCUUGAUCAGCUAUAGCUCUGAAGUUUUUGCAGAUUUUCAAAUAAAACUCAGAGAUUCCUUGUAUGACUCUCUAAAUCUCUCUUUUGUGGUAUUUCUGGAUCCUUACCAAGGCAGUGAUGGUAUAUGCCUUCUCUCAAGAUAUGUGGUAUUUGUGGUAUAAGACAUAGUGACAUUGCCUUCUCUCUCACCCUACUCUAAUAAGGCUUUAAUAUCUGGAGCUCAUAGGUGGGAGACAGCUAAUACAUACUUACAAGAUAUUUAUUGCAUAGUCAAACCAUGGAUCCAGAGAAACAAGUCAAUAAGUCAAAUCAAGAUGUGCAUGUGUGGUGAAUGAAUGGUGUAUGGUGAUGAUGGUGAUAACAAUGGUGAAAGUCUAAUUCUACUUUUGCUCUUUUGAGGGGUUACAUACCUUCCUUGCUUUUUGAAACUUUAUGAGGAUAAUGAGAUGCUCUAUCUUUCAUUUUUUUCUUUCCUCUCAGGUGGGUAUCCUGUACCCCUAAUUCUACUGUCGGACACUUGUCCAUUUUUACCUCUCGUCUCACUCUUUUUCUUUUCUUUCGAGGUUCCGGGCACUUGCCCCUUUUUAUUUCCUUGUAUAUAUUUUUUUCUCCUCUUUUUUUUUAGAGCACUCAUCUCAUGAGAUAAUAUAGCAAGUGGUAGUAACAAGAUAACUCGAGCAUUUAUUUCACACGAAAAAACAGGAAUGGGAUAAUGUUUUUGGCUAUUCUCUCCCGGAUAGGAGUAGAAUAAUUUUAGGUGAAUCUGGAGAUGGAAAUGGGUGGAUAUAUGUGGAUGGUACUUCCGAAGUAGAAGUAGCAUAUAUGAGUGAAUGUGCAAGUGAAAUCUUGAUUUAACCACAUGACAAGCUCCUAAGGGUCUACACAGCUUGACCACACUCAAUGCUCAUAAGCAGUAAAUAAUAAAUGUGUGGCUCAAAGUCUAGCAAGCAUGUAUACAUGGCUGUGGUAGGAAUUUAAACUUUCAUCAUACAGGAACUCAUCAUGCAAUAUUUUAAAGAUUUUUCAAAGAUAAAAUUCUCCAGAAUUCUAGCAUCUCUAGGAACAGAUAACCAGCAGCUCAACCUUCCCAUAUCAUAUCCGUUAACAACUUAGAUUUCAGAUCAAGUUUUUAUCCCACAAGUUUAGAUCUAGAGCAAGCUUUAAAUUAUAACAGUUAUGUCUAAACUUGAGAGAGAACUUCAAAUUUGCAAAUUAGGCAGAGCAACUAUUCAUCAUAUCCAUGCUAGAGUUUUAUUAUUAAGAUUCAGAUUAGCAUAGCCACUUUAUUUAUUUAUUAAACACACUAAGCAAAAGAUAUAUAUAUAAGCACAAAAUCUUUAUUUGGUUUUUCAUAGUUUAUGUAUUUUAAUAUUCUAAUAUAAUAUAAGUAUAAAGAUAGGUAGAAAUACUUAGCGAGAUAAAUGGGGGUGCUCUCCCCCAAGCUGAAUUUUGACGUAAUUUCUCUUGAUGUAGCUAGCAGGUGGCAGAGGUGUAUUUGAAAGUCAACAGCAUUCUGACAGCGAUUAGAAUGUCCUCCGUCUGCUAGUCAUCUUGAUUCUUAAAUUCUGUGGAGCUCAAAUAGACAACAAAGCUUGUGGAACUAAUUAAGUGUUAGCAUAAAUAUCUAGCCUUCAUCAUGUUGAGCUUCCUCAAUAAAUAUUACUCCCUGUUUUUAUAUUUUUAUUUUAUAAAGCAGAAAAGAAAUAUUUAUUUUAUUUUUAUGCCACCACAGUGAAGGUACUUAUGGGUUUUAUGCCACUCGUAUACAUGGGGCUUAGUAUUUUUUAACAUUUUUAUUUUCUUUUCAAGAUAGCAUGAUUAACUAAUAAUCUAUUUAAGGAAAGUAAAUAAUUAAAGGGAAAAAGCAAUGCAGAAAGGAUAAAUAUGGAUAACUACUGAUCUUACCUUUCGGCGAGGGUUCAAUGUUUUAAGUCUUCUUAACAAGACUUCUCACCGUGUUCAUUCUUCAGGUGCGUCAUUUGAUUCAGGUGCGGACCUUGACGUCUGCACCUCUUGAUACGGUGUCACCCAUGUUCUUCGUUUGGCCAGCAGUUCGAAGUGCGGUGUUGGUAGUAACCUGCUCAGUGUGUUUGUGCUCGUAGAUCCAGGUCCUUCACUUGGUAGAGUCUGAGAGUUAUAAAACUCCUCCGUAUUUUGCUCAAAGUGUACCUGCUCAUAGAGACAAGGCAGAGAUCAAGUGCAUCGGUCCUGUUGGUGGAAAACACCAACAGAACCUAAAGUGUAUUUGUUCUUCUCUAACCCUAAGCAUAGUGAGCAAAACAAAGUUGAUGGAUGAAAAGUUCAUGAGUGUAGCACUUAUAACAUUUGUCAGAUCAGAUCGCUCAACCUUAUGGAAAGAUAAUCUAUCUAUGUAUAUGUCUUUUUCUUUAUAUCUCUCAAUGACUGAAUGUGUUACAUUUUAGCUCAUGUGGGAUCAUGUAGGUAGUACUAAGAACAAGGAUUAAAGGACUAAACAUGUUGAAUCAGUUGGGUUGGUUAAUCUAGAGUUGUAAAUCAUACAUGUUUGUCUCUUUUAUUUAUAUGAACGCUAGAACCAAGGAGAAGCUUAUAAAAGGGAUAGUCAAGUACCUUAAGAUGUUACCUUGCUUGAAGAGUGAUGGUACAGUAUCACCUUGUGGAAGCUUUCCUUUCUUAGCGGUUGUGCAUCGUGUUUGUGGCACCCUCCAUGGAUCAUCUCUCCAUGAUGAAUGAGCUAUGUCCUUCUUGUGCAAAUUGUUAAACUUCAUGUGUCACUCUCUUCGUCUCUGAUGUGAGUUUAUCUCAGGACUUCCCAAAUCGAUAGUGAAAUUUUUUUCUGCAGGGGUUAGUCUGACAAAAAUAUACCAAUGUCUACAAAAGCAGUUUUUAGUUCAAUAACCAAACUACACUCCAUGUCUAAUCAGAUUAAGGAAGGCUGUUUAACCUAAGCACCAUGCUUAAUUUAAAAGCCAAUAGAAGUAUGUGCAGUACUUCCAAACUAACACUUACUAGUAAAUAGACAAAGGUGACAUGACAGCAUUUAUAGAGAUCUACUCAAGUAGAGAUGAAGUAGUGUGAUUAGUACUUAACAAAUUGAGCAUGUCUCAAAGGUAGGGACAACCAACAUAGUAACAUGGCAAAGGAUGGUUUUAUGUAAAGUACUCCCCCAAGCUUGAAUUUUGCAAAAUUCAAGUUUGGAUUUAAUUCAAUGUUGUAUGAUGAUUGGUUGGACAUACCAUGUGCUUGUUAUUCAUCCGAUCUUCUUGCUCCAAUCCUGAAAAAGGUUAGUGACAAGAAUACCCGAAGGAAUAUUUUUACAAUUAUCCUUAUAUGCUCAAUACACAAGGUAAUGUUAAAAGCUCAUGUUACAAUUUGAUCAGUGCUUAUUUUAGGACACUAAGCUUGUCCUUGGGAAACCAUCAAUUUAUGUCGGUGAAGUGGUUUCCCUUCCAACGCUGACCUAUAUCAAGAUCAACUCAACGAGAUCUGCAAUAUUUAUUAUAGACAUAUGCAUCGACAACUGCCCUUUUAAAGUUUUUAUAAAUAGAAAGGAAGAGGGGGUUGGAUAUCUCAAGUGUGGUGAUGUCGGAGAGACCAAUAGAUUGGGAAGAUGUUGCAUAUGAGCAUGGAGUAAACGAAGUGGCUAUGAAAUAAAUUCCAUGCUCAUUAAUGUUAUCUUCGUCUCCAAUCUGAAUGUUCGGAGUUUCUCUUGGAUUGGUCUCACUUAUGUCCUCUUCUAUAGUUGGAUGAAUCCCAUCUUCAAAGGGAGUCAAGAACUCACCAUUUGAAAUUGAACCAAAGUCAGAAUUCAUUAAGGCUUCUUCCUUAUCUAUCCAUUCUACACAUUCUAUCCAUUUAGAACUUGUGAUCGGGAAAGGGGAGGUGUUAGAAUUUUCAAUAUGGCUUAGCUCUCCUUCACUUGAUAUGUCAUCCUCGACUUCUUCAUAACAGGAACCAGGACAUUCUCUAAGAGAACCAUUAUUGCGAGGAUUUGAAUUAUCCCUGCUUAAAGGUCUCUUAUGGAACCAGAAGUCUAAACCAUCAGUAUCUGAAAGAUUUAAGGUCGGAAUUCCUUCCUCCCUUGGAGAAUUUUGGGGUAUUGAUGCUUUAGGAUCGAUAGCUAAAGUUUGGAAUUGAAGUGGUUGUGAUCUGGCUAUCGAAACUUCUUCUUCUUGUCUAGGAACUGGUUCUUUCUCUUUCUCAGGGAUAUAAAAGCUAGGAGACUUUCCGCUCAUUAAAUCAAUCAAAUUCCAAGCUUCACUAGCGGAUAGGUGGUGGAAAGAUCCUCCAGAGGCCGCAUGAAGGGUUUGCUUAUUUUUCCCACUAAGGCCCUCAAAAAAGUGGAUUAGAAGAACAUCUUUUGGAAUAGAAAGCUUUGGGCCAGUGAGGGUAAGGUUAAUGAAGCGGUCCCAUGAUUUGCCAAGAGAUUCUUCUUCCAGUUGUCUAAAAGAAAGAAUCUCACGCCGAAGUUCCGCCACUUUGGAGAUUGGAAAAUAUUUAGAAAGAAAACUACUAUAUAACUCCUUCCAAUCUCCAUGAACACUCCCUAUUUUGAGUUUGUACCAAUGUCUAGCAUUUCCCGUUAAAGAGAACGGAAAGAGCUUCCAUUUGAGGGUCUCAUCAGACAUUCCUUCUAUGCGAAGGAGGUCCUUCCAAUCUCCAUGAACACUCCCUACUUUGAGUUUAUACCAAUGUCUAGCUUUUCCUGUUAAAGAGAAUGAAAAGAGCUUCCAUUUAAGGGUCUCAUCGGGCAUGCCUUCUAUGCGAAGGGGGUCACAGACUCGAUAGAACUCUCUUAGGUGUGUGUAUGGGUUUUCCUCACCUUCUCCUGAGAAAGGUUGUUUUUGAACAAAUUCUAUGUAUUCGGGGUCUAUCUCAAAACUAGAUGCUAUGAUAGGCUUUGAAGAUUUUGGUGGUUCGAGAUGUGUGCCCAUAGGUCUAUGAAAUUCAUAGAUAGACAUGUUUGAAUUCAUGAUAGACCAGAGAUCAAGGAUUAGAUAAGAAGAAAGAAUAGUAGAGAUAAGGCAAAGGAUAAAAAGAAAAUAUAUUUUUUUAUUAUUUUUUUAGAAAAUGAUUAAGCUAGUUCGUAGUCAACUCAGCAACCGUUUCCCCGGCAACGGCACCAAAAAAUGCUUGUUGACACUUGCUAACACCACUUGAAUACUAGGUUGUCAUCCCCAGCAUGGCACUAGAGUGUACUAUGGUAUUUAUACGCACACAGAUAAUCCGCAAGCGCACGGAUACCGUUGAAGCUUUUACCUGGUUAAAGGUUUUAUCAUAUCCACAGGGAAACAGGAGAACUGAUCUACGCUCUAACUUAACCAAGAUAAGUAAAUAAGUGUAAAUAGGAAAGAUGGUAGAAUCGAAUAAGAACAAUAUUAAAGGUAAGAUAAUAGUGAGUGAUAAUAUGGGAAUAGAGAAUAGAGCAAUUAUAGUAUAUGGGCGAUGGUAGCAGAAUAGAGAGGAUAACUAUGGUUUCUCUACUUCAAAGGGGUAUGUCUAUGUCUGGGACGAACCACGUGAUAAGAGUACACCACAAAUGAUGCUUAUCCUUAGGCCGAUAAACCCUACCCGUCCUGCUAACGAGAGGUGGACUCCAGAGGACCAACGUAACUGUCACCUACGCGGCCUACCACACGAUCCAGCUAGACAGGGGAUAUCCAAAAGUAAUCUAGAUCUAAGCACCUCGCUUACACCUAUACUACAACUCUCACCUAUAGCGUCCUAUAGAUUAAAGUACUCAAAAGAGUUGUGAACCAGAACAUACAUGAUUAGUAAUUGCAUAAUGAAUUAGAAGUAGAUUACCAGAGUCAUCCCAUGAGCAAGCUUGAUUAGAGCUUGAUCAUGACGAAGUACAACCGGAGGAAGAACCGACAGGCUGGCCUCUCCUCUAAUCCUCCUUCGCUCUCCAUCUUGCUACUAUCUAGAUCUACUCUAGUUUAGAGAAGAGAGGAGAGCUCUCAUCUCUAAACCCUAGCUUUUGCUCUGUCUAUGAAUAAUGAAUAAUGAUCAAGGGGUGCCUCCUCCAGGGGCCAGGGGUCUGAUUUUAUAGUCCCUUCAAGUGAACCUGGGCCGUCAGAUCAAACCAACAUAGAUUGAACGGUUAUCCUUGAUCCUUUAGGUCGGUGGAGAUCUCCCAAGAAAUAGAGUCCUGAUUGGCCUCCAGAGGUGGGCGGGCGCCCAGGGCAGGAGGGCGGGCGCCCUGCCUAUGGCCCCGUUCGGCCUCCGCUUCCUUCCUGUGGCUUCUGGAGUCUUCUAGAUGUAAGAUAAUUGCGCGGCACGUUAAUAUCUCUAUUUAAUCCCGACGUGUAGGCCUUUCUUCUGUAUUUCCUGAUAACCCCCUGCAGAAAUAGACAAACACCAAAACUCGUGGAAUUCUGUCAGAUAAAACCCUAAGUCUAGAUGUUGAUUUCAUUUGGAUCCUUUUCUUUGUUUAUUUGAUAAUUAAAUUUGAUACUUAAGGACCGUCAACAGCAACUAUUCAUCAUAUCCAUGCUAGAGUUUUAUUUAGAUACAGAUUAGCAUAGCCACUUUAUUUAUUUAUUAAACACACUAAGCAAAAGAUAUAUAUAUAAGCACAAAAUCUUUAUUUGGUUUUUCCUGGCUUAUGUAUAUUUAUAUUCUAAUAUAAGUGUAAAGAUAGAUAGAAAUACUUAUCGGGAUAAAUGGGGGUGCUCUCCCCCAAGCUGAAUUUUGACGUAAUUUCCCUUGAUAUAGCUAGCAGGUGGCAGAGGUGUAUUUGAAAGUCAGCAGCAUUCUGACAGCGAUUAGAAUAUCCUCUGUCUGCUAGUCUUCUUGAUUCUUAAAUUCUGUGGAGCUCAAAUAGACAACAAAGCUUGUGGAACUGGUUAAGUGUUAGCAUAAAUAUCUAGCCUUUAUCAUGUUGAGACUCCUCAAUAAAUAUUACUUCCUAUUUUUAUAUUUUUGUUUUAUAACAUAGAAAAAUAUUUAUUUUAUUUUUAUACCACCAUAGUGAAUGUACUUAUGGGUUUCAUGCCACUCGUAUACUCACAUGGGGCUUACUAGUUUUUAACAUUUUUAUUUUCUUUUUAAGAUAGUAUGAACUUAAUUAACUAAGUAGACUAUUUGAAAUAAUUGAAAGGGAAAGGAUAACUACCAAGUUUACCCCUUGGCAAGGCGUUCGGUGUUUUUAAGUCCUCCGAACGGGACUCUCUGUUUUCUCAAUUGUCCUGGGAUUCGUUGGGUGGCGUAGUCGGUACUUCUGGCUGUGCCUCCUCUUCAUGUAUAGUUAUCUUCUCUUUCCAUACCUGGCUCGGUGCUACGGUCUCUUCUUGAUAAUUCUGUUUAAACUGUACGUCUUCUGACCUUACCACUUCUCCUUCAUAGUCUGCCCAUCCAUCCUUGAUGAUUUCCCUCCUCUGGUUGCGGUUGCGUUGUUUUCUUACCUGCUUAGAUUCUUCGACGAUGUAGUUAGGGUCAGUAAAAUAUCAGCGUACCUUCUCUGAGGGGAAGUGCAUAUGGACUUCUCCGGUUCCAAUGUAGAUAAUUGCUUAAACGGUUCUGAGGAACGGUCUUCCAAGGAUGAUGGGUGGAUCGUACUUGUCUUCUCCCAUGUCAACAACCUGAAAGUCUGUGUAGACAAAAUGAUCGUCUAUUUUGACUGGGACAUCAGUUACUGUUCCUUUAACUUCUCGAAACAUCUGAUCUGCCAUCUGGAGCUGAAUGUAUGUUGGUUUCAGGGGCAUGGUUCCGAACAAGAGCCGAUAGGUGACUGUGGCCAUUAUGUUGACGCUCGAUCCAGUGUCGCACGUCGUCUUGUAGAAGUUAUAUCCAUUUAUUGAGCAAUAGAUGCUUGGCAUUCCUGGGUCAUCCUUCUUGGUCAAAAACGGUGACUUAAGUUGGUGAUCUUGGCCUCCAUGUACUGCAGUGACCAUCUUAGCUGACUCGGUCCACACUUACUUGUUCCUGUUCGUCCUGUUGGUCCUCUUCCUUGAUUCACGUCUGGAUUGAUCUGGGAUUUGUGUAGUCGUGUUCUUGAAGAAAAAUGUCUCCUUCCUCCCUUUGAUGUAGAAACUGAUCUUGGCAGCACUGACGUAGAUGAUAGCACCCGAGGUGUUUAAGAAUGGCCUCCCUAAGAUGAUGGGUGCUCUCUCAUCAUUACCGGUCUCUAUCACCACGAAGUCUGCUAGGGCAUAUAAGGUACCAACUCGGACGCAAAGAUUCUUCAAUAUUCCUUUUGGAAAACUUAUCGUCUGAUCUACAAACUGCAAACACAUGGUUGUUUCUAAUAAAGGAUAUGUAAAAAAUUUUUCAUAGAGUACCCUGGGUAUAAUGUUGACGCUGGAGCCAAAGUCGCAGAGUGCUUCUGGGACGUCCACCAUGCCGAUGGAGGUCGGAAUGACGGGGCGUCCUGGAUCGCCUCUCUUGACCGGCAGAAGGUCAGUAGUGAAUUCAGUGACGGGGUUACUCCAAUUAUUACCUGCAUCAAACAUGUCUACAAGAUUUGUAGAUUCUAAUCCUUCCAGUUGUGAUGGUAUACCGGGGUUAGUAGCAGGAACAGCAGCAGCUAUUUGAUUUAAUUGAGAUUCAAUCAUUUUAUUAAAGCUAAUUUGAUUCUUGAUGGCACUAGAGAAAUUAUCCAUUCUAUUAUUUAUAUUUUCUAGCAUUUUAUCAUUAGAUGCCAAUUUCUUAGAUAGGUUAUCCAUUAGCUUCCCUUGAUUAGACACUAACUCUCUCAGAGGUAUAAAAUUAUUAUUAUUGUUGUAAGCAUUGUUACCUUGAUAAUUACCUGAGUAGUUAGGCCUCUGUUGAUUCCAACCUUGAUUUUGUUGAGGACGGUUGUAGUACUUGUUGUUGUUGUUGUUGUUGUUGAUGAUGUAGUUCACAUCCUCAACCAUCUCAGGGCAGUGAUUGCCUGAGUGUCCAGUAUCUCCACACUCCUCACAAGUCAUGUGAGAGUCAUAGAUGUGCAUAACUUCUUUCUUAUCUCCAGCUCUAUCGUCGAGCUUCUUCAUGAGCAGGUCUAGCUUUGCAGACAACAUGUCUACCUCCUUGAGCUGAUGCAUACCUCCACCUCUCUUGCGUGUCUGGGUCCUCUCAUCAUUCCAGCCUUGGUUGGACGCCAUCUUCUCCACAAGAGCUGUGGCUUGUGGUAUAGUAAGUGAUAAGAAUGCUCCUCCAGCUGCAGCAUCCAUGGUUUCUCGGGCACUGUUGCCGAGUCCAUGAUAAAACGUCUGCAUCAGUAGCCAACUCUCCAUUCCAUGAUGGGGACAUUCUAGGAUGUAGUCUUGAAAGCGCUCCCAUGCUUCUGGAACAGAUUCAUCAUUUUGUUGCUGAAAACUUGUAAUCUUCCCACGGAGAGCAUUGGUCUUGCCCAUGGGAUGGAAUUUAGCUAGGAAGUUUGUGGAGCAGAGUGCCCACGUAGUAUUCUUCUCCUUUGUAGCGUAGAACCACUGCUUCGCUCUUCCUAACAGUGAGAAUGGGAAGUGGCGAAGUAGUAUAGCAUCUCUGGAGACUCCUGAUAUGGUAAAUGUGCUGCAUAUCUCCAGGAAGUGUUGGAGAUGAGCACUAGCAUCUUCGUGUGCCUUCACACAGAACUGGUUGGAUUGCACCAUGUUGAUAAGUCCAGGCUUGAGCUCAAAGUUGCCAUCGAUCUCUGCAGCAGGUCCAGUGCGGAUGUUGUCCGUAGUGGGAGCUGAGAACUCGUGGAUCGAUUUGUUCGCCAUGGCUUCGAACUCUGAAGACAAGUUCCGAUGAUCUUCUUGAUUGGAUGAAGCUUCUUGCUGAAGUGUUGAUGAUCUCUUCUUGAGCUUGGCUCUUGUUUUCCUGAAUAAUGCUUCGGGAUUGUCAACAAAAUUUCCUGGAAGAUGUCUUCUACUCAUACAUUCCCCUGCAUAAGAUAAAAUGGAAAAAUAUCGGGGUAAAACUAUAUGAGAGAAUAGAUAAGCUCAAUCAUAUUAGUGAUGCAAAUGAUAACUCGAAAAUCCUUUAUUCAUUCUUGGUUAGUAGUCAACCUUCCCCGCCAACGGCGCCAAAAAUGCUUAUUGGGUAUUCUUAACAUCACUACCAAACGUAGACUUAGUUUUCUAAUUCUGAUAACGGUGCCAAAAAUGCCAAACCUAACCCUCACACCACUUAAGCCAAGUUUUCAUCCCCAACAUGACAUGAGAGACGUGGUAUUGAAAUAUGCAAUUGCUCUUCUAAAUAAAUAAUGAAUGGGAUCUGCAAGCGCACGGAUUAAUAACGAUGUAGCAUUUUAACCGGGAAGUAUUCCAGGUAUCGUUAUUUAUAUUUUUACAGCUGGGAAGGGAUUAGCAAUCAUCAAUAUUGAUUACAGAAUAGAAUAUGAGAUUGAGUAUCUAUCAUUGCAUGUAUAAUUGAGAACAUUGUAUCUAAUUCUUUCAUAUAGGGAUAAGUGUCACAUAAAGGAUAUAUAAAGUAAUGAAUAGUGACAAAGUUAAUUAAUCUGAUCAUAACUAGCCACAUAAUAAAUAUGAUAAGCACCUUAAUUAGAUACUCUAGAAAGUCAUUAGCAUGGUAUUAGAACGAACUACAAGAAUAUUUCCUAAGUUAUUCUCAACUACAUAGUCUAGCAUUAUCAUAAUUAGUGCAAGCAUACUUAGCAAUCAUUGUGAGACAAGACUACGCCCAUGCAUAGUGAUAUUAGCAAGCUAAAUGAGAAACAUAGCAAUCACUCCCCUGUAAUAAUAUUGCUCUGCUAGCCCAAUACACGAGAGGGGGACUAUAUAAGAAUCAAUGAAGCUGUCACUAUCAUGAACUACCCAACGAUCUGGCAUAUUGGGUACAAUCGCAGAUAAAUACGGUAUAAGCACCACGCCUACACAAUAUCUAUCAUUUACCCAUGGAUCCGAUGGAUAAACGCUAUACGAUCCUAAGCAUGUAUAUAGAUCCAAUCUAACUAAGCCAAGUACAUAACUAUGAUAAACUAAGAACAAUAUAAUUUUGAAUAUAAACAAGUAGAGCAAAGUCAUAAGCAAUAUAUUGAAGUAGAACAAAGUCAUAUUCAUAAUAUUGAAGAAAAAAGAUGAUUAGAAAGCAAUUAGAAGCACAAUGAGAGAAUUACCAAGAAUCCUCUUGACAGAUCCGGAAACCAAUCGAAGAUUGGCUCCUUCUAGUUCUAAUCCUAUGUAGCUAUGCUAAUCUAGAUGUCUAAUUGAUGUGGUGGCUCUAAUCUUGAUCAGAGGCUUCUUCUCUCUUGAGGAACAAUGAAUUAGGGUUGAGAGGCUCUCUUCUCCAGGGGCCAGGGGGUCUGGUUUUAUAGUCCCUUCAAGUGAAUAUGGGCCGUUGGAUCAAACGGACAUUGAUGGAACGGUUAUCCUUGAUCCUUUAGGUCGGUGGAGCGUCGUGUGCGAAAAGAGUCCCGAUUGGGCUCGGCAGGAGGGCGGGCGCCCAGGGCAACUGUGCGGGCGCCCAGUCCCUGGCCCUGUUCGGCCUCCGCUUCCUUCCUAUGGCUUCUGGAGUCUUCCAGAUGUAAGAUAAUUGCGCGGCACGUUAAUAUCUCUAUGUAAUCCUGACGUGUGGGCCUUUCUUCCGUAUUUCCUGAUAACCACCUGCAGAAAUAGACAAACACCAAAACUCGUGGAAUUCUGUCAGAUAAAACCCUAAGUCUAGAUGUUGAUUUCAUUUGGAUCCUUUUAUUUGUUUAUUUGAUAAUUAAAUUUGAUACUUAAGGACCGUCAACAGUCUGCAGGAGAGUUGCCGAUGAGGGUGGUUGCCGAUGAAGGGGCAGCUGAAUGUGACUAAGUCCAUGGGUGGUGACGUGUUCAUGCCGAUGGUCAGCGUUAACCUUUGCCGAUUGCUACGAUGAGGAGUCUGCCGAUGAUUCGGAAGGAGAACCUGAAGGUUACCGAUUGGUCUAUGGUGGUGUCCCAGUUUGUCACGGGAGGAUAGUUUUGUGUUUUCCUUAGUUAAUUAAAUUGUUUUGUAUACGAAUUUUGUUUAAUUUGGAAUUCAAGUCCUAGUCGUGUCUGAUUGUAGCUCUUUGAGCAGGGUAUAAAUGUGGACCCUGGGGCCUUGCAAGAAUCAAUCUAUCAAUCAAUCAAACACAAGUUUUUACUCAUAUUCCAGCAUCUACUUUUUCGAUGACUUCGUCAUAUUUUCCUUUUCAUUACGAGUUCUUAGGAGUUCGUCGACUUAAGCUUGGCGUUUUCUCCAGUUCCGCGUGAAUACCCCUUGGCCGUGGCAUCCGGGCGCAUCGCUGUUGUCGGGACCAAAGUAUUCGAGUUAUCACCUUUGCCGAUAGUAAGGUCAAAUCGGCUAGCACGCCUUAACGUUUAAAUCGGGUAUUAGCCCUUUGUGUUUGCAGAUCCACUUUUUGCAUCAACACAUCUUUUGGCACGCCCAGUGGGACCAGAUUCAAGACCAAGAUCGACAUGGCGACUAGCGAUUUCGACUUGGAGAAUGUCUGUUGACGGUCCUUACUUAUUAAAUUUAUUUAUCAAAUAAACAAAGAAAAGGAUCUAAAUGAAAUCAACAUCUAGACUUAGGGUUUUAUCUCACAGAAUUCCACGAGUUUUGGUGUUUGUCUAUUUCUGCAGGGGGUUAUCAGGAAAUACGGAAGAAAGGCCCACAUGUCGGGAUUACAUAGAGAUAUCAACGCACCGCGUAAUUUUCGACCAUCUAGAAGACUCCAGAAGCCACGGGAAGGAAGCGGAGGCCGAAAGGGGCCAGGCCCAGGGUGCCCGCCCCCUGUUGGAUGCCAGUCAGGACUCUCUUCGCACGGGAUGUUCCACCAACCUAUUGGAUCAAGGAAAACAUAGUACCACCUAGCCUAUCGACCCAAAAACGCAUAGAAGGGGAGGACUAUAUAAGGAGACCCCCUGGCCCCUAGAGAAGACAUGAAGAAAUUAUCAUAGAGACUGAGGGGUGCCCUCGAAGGAAAACCUCUUCUCUAAUUAAUAUUUCUUUUUAGGCUUAGCAACCAAUGUAAGGUAGAAAUAGAUCUUCUAGUUUCUACUAGAUUGAGAGAGAUAGAGUGGAGGUGUAGAUUGGAGGAAGCCCGGCCUGUCGGUGUCUACUCCAAGCUUGUACCUACGGGAUCAAGUUCUCCUAACCCGAAGCUUGCUUCUAGGAUUCUUCAGUAAUUCGACUUCGAAAUUCUAGUAAGUUCUUGUUUUAUUGUUCUUAUGGUUUAUGAGUUUACUUUAAUCUCUUCGCGUAGAGUUUAGAGUAAUCAUUGCUGGCGUAAACGUGGUGUUUAGGCUGGGGUACUCAUAGAUAUUCCCUGACUAGCUGGACCGUGGUAGUAGUGAGGAACGUGACAAUUCCGAGUUACCUUUGUAGAUCACAUCUCGUUAGCAGGAAGGAUAGGGGUUAUAGGUGCGGGUCGAACAUCCUUUUUGGUGUCUAGAUUCCGUUAGCCUCCCCAUUAGCACAGUAGAUCAUCCUUACCAAGGUUAGAAGGAGACUACGGUUGCAGUCUUCUCUAUUUAUCACUCACAUCGAAAGACAUUCUUUGUGCCUAAAGGUUAGUAGUAAUAGACCGGUUAGUCAGAUGCACUCUUUCUCCUAGUGGUAAAAAAUAAAUACGAUACUCUGGAUAAUUUCCCGGGUGAAGUGCUCACCGAUAUCCGUGCGCUUGCGGAUCAAUUCCUUAUUGCGUUCCCAAAUAUCAACAAGCAUUUCUGGCGCCGUUGCGGGGGAGAAAGACGAUUGCUGAGAUAACCUGAGUCUUACUAUUAGCUUGUAUCUAUACUUUUAUCUUUUCUUAUCUUUUAUACUCUUUAUUUAUUUUCUUUACUCUUACCUUAUGGAAAACUAAAAUUCUAAAUCGAUCCAUGAGUCUGCAAUCCCUUUAACAACUGACCUUUUACCUUGGGAAUCAUCACAGCCUAUCCAAACAUCCCAGUAUAUGUUAAGUUCUAGGUUGAUUGCCAUGAUUCAAAACCUAUCUUUUUCGGGAAAGGAAGACGAAAACCCUUACCUUCAUAUUAGAGAUUUUGAGCAAACAUGUGGUUGUCUUCGCAUUGAAGGCAUUUCUGAUAAAUUCUAGAUUCCGUUAGCCAAGGUAAGGGUUAGCCUCCCCAUUAGAACAGUAGAUCAUCCUUACCAAGGUUAGAAGGAGAAUACGGUUGCAGUCUUCUCUAUUUCUCACUCACAUCGAGAGACAUUCUUUGUAGCCUAAAGGGAUAGUAGCAAUAGAUUUGGUUAGUCAGAUGCACCCUUUCUCCCAGUGGUAAAAAUAUAAAUACGAUAACUCUCGAUAACCUCCCGGGUGAAAUGCUCAUCGAUAUCCGUGCACUUGCGGAUCAUUUCCUUAUUGCGUUACCAAAUAUCAACAAGCAUUUCUGGCGCCGUUGCCGGGGAGAAAGACGGUUUGCUGAGAUAACUUUGAAUCUUGCUAUUAUCUUGUAUUAUACUUUUAUACUUUUAUUCUUUUAUCUUUUUAUCUUUAUGGAUAACUCAAAUUCCAUACCUAUUAUUAAAUUCUUUGCACCUUCGGAGACCAGCCAUAGACCAUGGGAGUCAACACGUCCUGCCCCUAAUUAUGAUCUGUGUCCAGAGUUGAUUGCAAUAGGUCAAAACCAACCCUUUUCUAUAGCCGAGGUCCUAUCUUUUAAUCAAAAAGAUAAUGCACUUUUAGCUACACCUAGGGAAUCUGUUAAUUUUUCUAUAAAUUCUGGUUUAAACCUAGCCGUACAAGACCAUGUUUUUUCUCGAUAUUUUCACAUUGGUCUUAAUCAUAUACCCUUUGGUAGAGUCUUUCUUUCUUUAUCUAUUAGUAAAGGAAGGUAUGUCUUCAUUCGUGGACAUCCUUCUUGUACUAGUCUUCAUAGAAUAAUCUUAGAGAUAGAGAAGGAAUCAUCUCCCAGACGAGGAAAGGAAGUUUCAAUAGCCGAUUUCCAAACAUUUCAAUCCCUUAAUUCGGCUAUCCAUCCCAUCCUUGAGCUUAAUAAUUUCUACAAUGCUUUUUCUCUUGAACCUCCCGAUAAUCCUAUGAAUCUCUCUAGACAUCCCAUGCAUAAGAAGGAGUAUCGAGAAGAGCAGCAUCAAUGGCUAGAGGGCAUUAAAAAUCCAUGGGCUAUCACCAUUGAAUGGAUAGAUAAAACAAACUUGAGAGACAAUCCUAGAGGAAUUUUAAGCAUUCAUGAAGAAUCAUCCUUGGAGUUUAAGAAUGAGAGAAACAACAGUGAGCAUGGAAGUUAUUUCAUAAAUACCUCACCCAGUCCUUGCUCAUAUAAAACAUCUCUCCAAUCAAUUUGUCUCUCCAUCCUUACCACAUUUGAGAUCUCCAACCCCCUCUUCCUCUUCAUUUAUAAAAACUUUAAAAGGGCGGUUGUCGAUGUAUAUGUCUAUAAUAAAUAUUGCAGAUCUUGUUGAGUUGAUCUUGAUAUAGGUAGGUGUUGGAAGGGAAACCACUUCACCAACAUAACUUGAUGGUUUCCCAAGGACAAGCUUAGUAUCCUAAAACAAGCACUUAUCAGAUCAUAACAUGAACUUCUAAUUAUUUGCAACAUUGCCUUGUGUAUUGAGCAUAUAAAGAUAAUUGUAGAAAUAUUCCUUCGGGUAUUCUUGUCACUAACCUUUCCAGAAUUGGAGCAACAAGAUCGGAUGAAUGGCAAGCACAGGGUAUGUCCAACCAACCAUCACACAACAUUGAAUUAAAUUCAUCCAAACUUGAAUUUUGUAAAAUUCAAGCUUGGGGGAGUACUUUACAUAAAAACAUCUUUUGCCAUGUUGCUACGUUGGUGGUCCUUACCUUUGAGACAUGCUCAAUUUGUUAAAUACUAAUUACACUACUUCAUCUCCACUUAAGUAGAUCUCUAUAAAUGCUCUCAUGCUACCUUUAUUUGCUUUAGUAUAUGUCUAGGUUUGGAAUAGUUUCAUUUAUCUCUUAAUUAAGCAUGGUGCUUAGUUUAGGAAUGAUGAUCUUACUUCCAAGGGAUUUUAAAUUAAGCAUGGUGCUUAGGUUAAAAUGCCCUUCUAAAUCAAAUUAGACAUGGUGUCUAGGUUGAUUUUUAAGCCGAUAGUAUGCUAUAGUAGAUAUGGGAUAUUUUGUUGGACUAACCCCUACAGGGAAACUUUCAAUAUCAACCUGGGAAGUCCUGAGAUAAACUCGCAUUGGAGAUGAAGAAAGUGAUACAUGAAGUUUAACAAUUUGCACAAGAAAGACGUGGCUCAUAAGAGAUGAUUCAUGGAGGGUGCCACAAACACGAUGCACAAACCGCUAAGAAAGGAAAGCUUCCACAAGGUGAUACUGUACCGUCACUCUUCAAGUAAGGUAACACCUUAAGGUACUUGACUAUCGCUUUUUUAAGCUUCUCCUUGGUUCUAGCAUUCACAUAAAUAAAGAGACAAACAUGUAUGAUUUAUAACUCUAGAUUAACCAACUCAAUUAAUUCAACAUGUUUAGUCCUUUAAUCUUUGUUCUUAGUACUACCUUCGUGAUCCCACGCUCCUAAACAUAUAAGCUAAUAUGUUGCACAUUCAAUAUUUGGAAGAUAUAAACAAAAUAUAAAUAUAGAUAGAUUAUCUUUCUAUUAGGUUGAGCCAUCUGAUCUGACAAAUGUUUCAAAUACUACACUCAUGAUCUUAUUAUCCAUCAACUUUGUCUUGCUCACUAUGCUUAAGGUUAGAGAAAAACAAAUACACUUUUGGUUCUGUUGGUGUUCUCCACCAACAGAGCCCAUGCACUUGAUCUCUACCUUGUCUCUAUGAACAAGUACACUUCAAGCAAAACAUGGAGGAGUUUUACAACUCCCAGACUCCACCAAGUAAAGGACCUGGAUCUAUGAGCACAAACACACUGAGCAGGAUAUUGCCAACACCAUACUUCAAGCUGCUGGGCAAAGAAGAACAUGGGUGACACCGUAUCAAGAGGUGCAGACGUCAAGGUCCACACCUAAUCAAAUGAUGCACCUAAAGGAUGAAGAUGGUGGAAAGUCUUGUUCAGAAGACUUAAAACAUUGGAUCCUUGUCGGAAGAGGUCAACACCGUCGACUCAAGUCACCUUUCUUGAUCAAGAAGGACGACCCUAGUGUUCCAAGCAUCGAGUGCGCAAUCAAUGGAUACUCUUUUCAGAAGACACUCUACGACACCGGAUCUGACGACAACAUAAUGGCCGCAGUCACUUAUCAGCUCCUGCAUGGAACCAUGCCCCUACAACCAAUAUAUUCAGCUCUAGAUGAUUUUCAGGUCAUUCACAUGGGAGAAGACGAAUAUGAUCCACCCACCAUCCUUGGAAGACCGUUCCUCAACACUAUCAAAGCAAUCAUCUACAUUGGAACCGGAGAAGUCCACAUAUACUUCCACUCUGAGAAGGUACGCAACUAUUUUACUGACCAUAACUAUAUAGUUGAAGACUCUAAGCAAGUCAGGACAAGAAGACGACGCAACCGCAACCAGAGGAGGCAAAUCAUCGAGAACGGAUGGGUAGACUACGAAGGAAAAGUGAUAAGGACUGAAGUCAUACAGCUUGAACAGAACUGUCCUGAGGAGACCGUAGCACCGAGUCAGGUGUGGAGGGAGAAGAUAGUUAUACACGAAGAGAGGCGCCGCCGGAAUCACCGACUACGCCACCUAGCGAAUCCCAGGACGACUGAGAAAACAGAGAGUCCCGUUCGGAGGACAUAAAAAUACCGAACGCCUUGCCAAGAGGUAAUCUUGGUAGUUACCAUUUCCAUUCAAUUAUUCAAUUAUAAUUUGCUUAGUUAAUCAGGUUCAUGCUAUCUUGAAAAGAGAAUAAAAAUAUUAAAAAAUAGUAAGCCCCAUGUGAGUAUGCUCAUGGCAUAAAACCCAUAAGUACAUUCACUGUGGUGGCAUAAAAAUAAAAUAAAUAAGUUUUCAUCUUACAAUAAAAAUAUAUAUAUAUAUAAUAAGUAUAUGAUCCUGCUAAAUAAAUAACAUUUAUUAAGGAAGCUCAACAUGAUGAAGGCUAGAUAUUUAUGCUAACACUUAAUUAGUUCCACAAGCUUUGUUGUCUAUUUGAGCUCCACAAAAUUUAAGAAUCAAGAAGACUAGUAGACGGAGGACAUUCUAAUCGCUGUCAGAAUGCUGCUGACUUUCAAAUACACCUCUGCCACCUGCUAGCUACAUCAAGGGAAAUUACGUCAAAAUUCAGCUUGGGGGAAAGCACCCCCAUUAUUCUCGCUAAGUAUUUCUACCUAUCUUUAUACUUAUAUUAUGUUAGAAUAUUAAAAUACAUAAACUAUGAAAAACCAAAUAAAGAUUUUGUGCUUAUAUAUAUUUUGCUUAGUAUGUUUAAUAAAUAAAUAAAGUGGCUAUGCUAAUCUGAAUCUUAAUAAUAAAACUCUAGCAUGGAUAUGAUGAAUAGUUGCUCUGCCUAAUUUGCAAUUUUGAAGUUCCCUGUCAAGUUUAGACAUAACUGUUAUAAUUUAAAGCUUGCUCUAGAUCUAAACUUGUGGGAUGAAAACUUGAUCUAAAAUCUAAGUUGUUAACGGAUAUGAUAUGGGAAGGUUGAGUUGCUGUUUAUCUGUUCCUAGAGAUGCUAGAAUUUUUGAAAAUUUUAUCUUGAAAAAUCUUUAAAAUAUUGCAUGAUGAGUUCCUGUAUGAUGAGAGUUUAAAUUCCUACCACAGCCAUAUAUACAUGCUUGCUAGACUUUGAGCCACACAUUUACUAUUUACUGCUUAUGAGCGUUGAGUGUGGUCAAGCUGUGUAGACCCUUAGGAGCUUGUCAUGUGGUUAAAUCAAGAUUCACUUGCACGUUCACUCAUAUAUGCUACUUCUACUACGGAAGUACCAUCCACAUAUAUCCAUCCAUUUCCAUCUCCAGAAUCACCCAAAAAUAUUCUACUCCUAAUCCGGGAGAGAAUAGUCAAAAACAUUUUCCUAUCCCUGUUAUUCCCUGUGAAAUAAAUGCUCCAAAUAUUUUGGUUACUACCACUUGCUAUAUUAUCUCAAGAGAUGAGUGUUCUGAAAAAAAGAAAGAAAAGAGAAAAUAUAUAUAUAUAUAUAUAAACGAGGAAAUAAAAAGGGGCAAGUGCCCGGAACCUCGAAAGAAAGAAAAAGUGAGACGAGAGGUAAAAAUGGACAAGUGUCCGACAGUAGAAUUAGGGGUACAAGAUACCCACCUGAGAGGAAACAAAAAGAAGAGCAUCUCAUUCUCUUCAUAAAGUUUCAAAAAGCAAGGAAGCUAUGUAACCCCUCAAAAGAGCAAAAGUAAAAUUAGACUUUCACCAUUGUUAUUACCAUCAUCACCAUACACCAUUCAUUCGCCACACAUGCACAUCUUGAUUUGGCUUAUUGAUUUGUUUCUCUGGAUCCAUGGCUUGACUAUGCAAUAAAUGUCUUGUAAGUAUGUAUUAACGGUCUCCCACCUAUGAGCUCCAGAUAUCAAGCCUUAUUAGAGUAGGGUGAGAGAGAAGGCAAUAUCACUAUGCCCUAUACCAUAAAAUACCACAUAUCUUGAGAGAAGGCAUAUACCAUCAAUGCCUUGGUAAGGAUCUAGAAAUACCACAAAAUAGAGAUAUGAGAGAGUCAUACAAGGAGUCUCUGAGUUUUAUUUGAAAAUCUGCAAAAAAAAACCCCAGAGCUAUAGCUGAUCAAGAAUAAGAGACAUGGCACUUGGCUAGACUGUUCUAUCUUUUAACCUCUCAAGACAGAAGUGACGGUUACAAGUCCCAUGGUGAAGGUAAAGUAAGUUUUAAGUCUUGACAGUUUACUCUAACUCAGAGAUGAGAUCUUAUUUAAAAAGCAUGUGUACCGUCAAUUUUUAAAGAUAUUGCAACAAAUUCUAAUCCAUUGCUGAGUCUAUCCUUGCUCAGGGACGAGCAAGAGGUAAGCUUGGGGGAGUUUGUUGACGGUCCUUAAGUAUUAAAUUUAUUUAUCAAAUAAACAAAGAAAAGGAUCUAAAUGAAAUCAACAUCUAGACUUAGGGUUUUAUCUGACAGAAUUCCACGAGUUUUGGUGUUUGUCUAUUUCUGCAGGGGGUUAUCAGGAAAUACGGAAGAAAGGCCCACAUGUCGGGAUUACAUAGAGAUAUCAACGCACCGCGCAAUUUUCUACCAUCUAGAAGACUCCAGAAGCCACGGGAAGGAAGCGGAGGCCGAAAGGGGCCAGGCCCAGGGCGCCGCCGCCCUGGUGACCUGGGCGCCCGCCCCCUGUUGGAUGCCAGUCAGGACUCUCUUCGCACGGGAUGUUCCACCGACCUAUUGGAUCCAGGAAAACAUAGUACCACCUCGCCUAUCGACCCAAAAACGCAUAGAAGGGUAGGACUAUAUAAGGAGACCCCCUGGCCCCUGGAGAAGACAUGAAGAAAUUAUCAUAGAGACUGAGGGGUGCCCUCGAAGGAAAACCUCUUCUCUAAUUAAUAUUUCUUUUUAGGCUUAGCAACCAAUGUAAGGUAGAAAUAGAUAUUCUAGUUUCUACUAGAUUGAGAGAGAUAGAGUGGAGGUGUAGAUUGGAGGAAGCCCGGCCUGUCGGUGUCUACUCCAAGCUUGUACCUGCGGGAUCAAGUUCUCCUAACCCGAAGCUUGCUCCUAGGAUUCUUCAGUAAUGCGACUUCUAAAUUCUAGUAAGUUCUUGUUUUAUUGUUCUUAUGGUUUAUGAGUUUACUUUAAUCUCUUCGCGUAGAGUUUAGAGUAAUCAUUGCUGGCGUAAACGUGGUGUUUAGGCUGGGGUAAUCAUAGAUAUUCCCUGACUAGCUGGACCGUGGUAGUAGUGAGGAACGUGACAAUUCUGAGUUACCUUUGUAGAUCACAUCUCGUUAGCAGGAAGGAUAGGGUUUAUAGGUGUGGGUUGAACAUCCUUUGUGGUGUCUAGAUUCCGUUAGCCUCCCCAUUAGAACAGUAGAUCAUCCUUACCAAGGUUAGAAGGAGACUACGGUUGCAGUCUUCUCUAUUUAUCACUCACAUCGAGAGACAUUCUUUGUAGCCUAAAGGGAUAGUAGCAAUAGAUUUGGUUAGUCAGAUGCACCCUUUCUCCCAGUGGUAAAAAUAUAAAUACGAUAACUCUGGAUAACCUCCCGGGUGAAAUGCUCACCGAUAUCCGUGCGCUUGCGGAUCAUUUCCUUAUUGCGUUACCAAAUAUCAACAAUGUCAUCCCCGUGACAGAAGCCAAUCUCAGAGAUGAGCAGAAGCAAGCUCUUGCAAAGGCUAUGGAGGAUUACAAGCAACAAUGUUUGAAGUCCUUCAGCGUAAACAGGAGUGGCGAGGUGAUCCAGAAAGAAGCACUGCCGAUGCCUCGGUAGGUUACUUUUGAAGCCAAUCCUGGUAAACUUCAAGACAUGGUUGAUAGUGCUAUUAACCGUGCCCUAAUCAAUCAAGCUAGUGUGCUGUCCACUACGAUUUUUAAUGCCGUGGCUAGGACUUUCAAGGAAGGGCAAUUACCACCAAAUUAUGUUGGUCCUUCUCAUCAUUGUUGACACUAGCUAACACCAAUUAGAUACUAGGUUGUCAUCCCUAGCAUGGCGCCAGAGUGUACAAAGGUAUUUAUAAAUGUGAAGGCUCUUUAGAAAAUAAUCUAUUCUAUCCGCAAGCGCACAGAUAAAACACCUCAUUGUAGCAUUUCACCAGGAUAAGUAUUCUAGGUAUCGUUAUUUAUAAUUUUGCUCUAGGGAUCUAAAGAAGAUGGAAUUAAAUCAAGGGACAAAAUCUAUCAAGGCAUAGACUAGAGAUAAACUUGCAAGAACAUGAUUACUAAUGAGAAACUCGUCACACAGUCACUUACUUUAGCAGGGGGUAAACCAUAAAGAUAAUGAUAAUAAAGUAUAAGUUCAUGGGAUAAAGAGCACAGCGAUUAGAAAAUAGACUACUCCUCAUAUAUGUAGGUGAUGUCGGAUUAGCUAGAGAAUGGAUUCUAAGUUAUCUACUAACUACUAAGUCAUAAUCUACUCUAGUUAUCUACAAGAUCAUAUAUAGCAUAAAAGACUCUUCAUUCAUGUAUAAGGAACAUUGAUAAAGUAAAUCAGAACAUCGCAUGACUUACUCCACAAUACCGGUUCUGCCUGUCCUAUCAACGGAGGGUGGACUAUAUAAGAAUCAACGAAGCUGUCAUUAUCGCGAACUACCACACGACUCGGCCAAUAGGAUACAUUUGUAGAUAAAUAACAUCUAAGCACCACGCUCACAUGUGAUCUAUCACCUAACUCCCUCGCGACAAGAGCUAAGCGCUUUGCAAACUUAUACAUAAACUCAUUAUCAAUUAGAACUAUAUCAAAUAUAGAACUAGAGCAAACUAAGAACAUAAUAAUUAGAGACAUAAUGCAAUUAGAACAAUAGAAUUAGAGAAAGAUAUGAAUAAUACCAAUCUUUAUUACCGAAGAUCCGAAUCCAGAGCGUAGUGCUCUACUUCUCUAAUUGCUAUCUAAUCAACCUCUAAACUUGAAGGAUUAGGGAGUAGCUAAUUCUAAUUCUCUGUGGAAGAGAGAUCUAAACCCUAACUUUGAUGGCUACCUCUGAAUAAUGGUUUCUCCUCCUCUCCUCCAGGGGCCAGGGGGUCUGGUUUUAUAGUCCCCUCAAGUGAACGUGAGCCAUUGGAUCAAACCGACAUAGAUUGUAUGGUUUAGAUUGAUCCUUUAGGUCGGUGGAGAGUUGUCCCGAGAGAGAGUCCUGAUCCAACUCCUGGCCAGGGCGGGCGCCCAAGGGGGGUGGGCGGCCGCCCAGCUCCCGAGCCCGAAUCGCGUCCCUUUCGUUCCCGUGGCUUCUGGAUCCUUCUAGAUCAAGGAAAAUUGCGCGGCAUGUAAUUAUCUCAUUAUAAACAUGACAUGUGGGCCUUCUCUCCCUAUUUUCUGAUAAACCCCUGCAGAAAUAGAUAAACACCAAAGCUCGUGGAAUUCUGUCAGAUAAAACCCUAAUUCUAGAUGAUUGUUUCAUAUUGAUCCUUUUUCAUGUUUAUUUGAUUAUUAAUUUUAGUACUUAAGGACCGUCAACAAACUCCCCCAAGCUUACCCUUUGCUCGUCCCUGAGCAAACAGCUAAACUCAGACGGAUCAGGAGUUGCAUCGAUGUUUUCUUUCCUGACAGGCACACAUGCUUUUACAUAAAAAAUUCUUCCAGAUUAUAGUGAAGUGUUAUGGAGUUUAGUACCUGCACUUAAAUCUUAAGUAAUCAAAAGACAAAAUAGUUAAGUCAAGCACUACCCCUCCUGUUUAUACUUCACCUUUGUUCUAGAGUUUUUCAUAAGUUUUCAAAAUAAAACUCAGAGUUCCCAGCAAUGAUUCUCUCAAGUCUCUGUAUAUGUGGUAUUUGUGGAUCCUUACCAUAAUGUCACUUUCCUAUAGCUAAUGGAAUAUUUAAGUGGAGCUCAUAGGAGUGGAAAACAGCUCAUACAUAUGUUGUCUAAUCGAGCCAUGGAUCCAAAGGAACUCAGCAUAUAAUUAAAUCAAGAUGUGCAUGUGUGAUGGAGUAAAUGAUAGUGAUGGUGAAAAUGCAUAAGUGAUAAUAAAACUUAGUUCUCAUUGCUCCUCAUAUUGCUAUCUCUCCUCUUCUUUUUGAUCUUUGCUUUGGGAGAACAUGGGCUAUCUUUUUUUUCUUUUUUCUCUUUUUUUUUCAGGUGGGUAAUAGAUACCCCUAAUUCUACUGUCGGACACUUGUCCAUUUUUUCGGCUCAAGUGGGCAUCUUUGUACCCCUAAUUCUACUUCGGACACUUGUCCAUUUUUACCUCUCGUCUCACUCUUUUUCUUUCUUUCUCUGAGGUUCCGGGCACUUGCCCCUUCUUAUUUCCUCGUAUAUUUUUGCAUAACCCAUACCUCUUCUGCAUUGAAUCUUUUUAGAGAGAGAGAAUAACAAUACUCGGGACAGUGAGUGAUAAUAUUUUUAGCAAUUUUAAUGAUUGAUGAUGAAUGCUGUGGUAGAUGUGUGCAAGUGAAUAUCUUAAUUUAACCACAUGAAAAGCUCCUAAGGGUCUACACAGCUCGAUCAAACUCAAUGUGAAUAUAGUAAAAGAUGUUAAAGCAAGUAUGGCUGUGGUAGGUAGUUUGUUAUGCUAGGAACUCAUCAUGUGAUUUGUAAGUUUUCAAAAAUAAAUCUCUAGAACUUGGUGUAGUAGGAACAAGAUAAACAGCAGCUCAACUUUAUAUCAUGCCUUUCUCUUACCUAGACUUUAGUUUUUACGCUUCCCAAAGAUAGUAAUUUCAGUUUUAGUAAUUCCUGGAAGAACUCUAAUAUAAAAGCUAGGUACUUGUAAGUAAGCAAACAGAGCAACUAUUCAUCAUUUCCAUCAUGUAUAUUUUUGGUCUUUUUGUUUUUUCUAGAGAUUAAACUUAGCAGGAAAAUAAAGCACACUUAUCUACACACUCUUUUUAUUUUGUUUUCAUGUUUAUAAAGUGCAGUGAAUUAAAGCAAGAAAAUAUUUAUUUGGUUUUCUAAGUUUUUCUUUUAAGGUAAAUUAAAUAAUAAAUAAGAAGAGCAAAUAUAAACUUACUUGAUAAAUUGGGGAGGAACUCCCCCAAGCUGGAUGUUGACGUGGGUCUUACCCGAUGUUCCAGAACCGCAUCAUGGUUGUGAUGUUGUCGUUCAUUGUUGUUGUAUCUUGUCUCAGCUCUUCUACUGCAGCGGCAUGGUCCUGGUUCCAUUUUUGUUGUUCUUCCAGGAGUCUUCCAUGUUCUGCUUGCGUGUUCUGGAUGUCGAGGAGGGUGUUGUCGGUACGAGUGAAGAAAGCACCGGCCUCUUGAUAGUAGUCAUUCGUGAAGGCGUAGGAGGCGUCGGAGUAUCGUCCUGUAUCAAAUUGGGGUGGAGGUCUGGAUCCUGAAGCUCCAUAUGGAUCAGUGGAGUACCUGCCCGUAUGAAAAGGCGGGUUUGUCCACUGGUGAUCUUGGCUCUCCGGCCAUGUCUCCUCUGUUGGCUCUUGUGGUUGCGCAUGUCGAGCCCAUGGGUCUCGAAGGACUCGUGGAUUGUAAUCGCAAUAAUGCAGGUGCGCUGCUUCUUCUGGUCCAGGGUUAGCUCCAUACCAAGUGCGUUCUCGGUGAGUGGUUAUCCUUUCAGAUGCCACUCGCUGUGGAGUUCUCUGAUUCACUGGUGUUGCUGCAAUCUCAAUCGAAAAGUUUUGCACAGAGUAGAGGCCAAGGUUCGGGUUAGGUAACCGAAUCUUGCCUUUAUCAUCAUAUAGCAUAUACAUUAUAUUCCCCUCUUUCUUUAACAUCCGAGCUUGUCUAAAUGUGUCAUAGCCAUGAUAAAUUCUUAAUUCUUCUAUGAAGUCCAACGAUGAGUUUUCUAGUAAGUGAAGAUUAGUGGCUAGACGAGUGAUAAGUGAAGUACAUCCUACUGGUCCCUGAAGACUAGGUAUACUAAGCCAAUGUGAAACUAAUAGUGUAACAGGUGAAGUAGGUACUUUACUAAUAGCAGCAUAUAAAAGUUAUAAAUCUCCUACUCUUACUUUCCUAAUAUCGUCGCGAUAGAAAAGAUUGUACCCAAGCCAUUUGUGGAACAUCCUAAGAGUGGGGUGUUCCAUGUCACUGGUUCGGGCUUGACUGUAAAAAUUAUCUCAAGAUAUUUCUCUCCAAAACUGGUGUCUCUCAACAUUGGGUAAAUCGGAGUCAAUGUUCAGGAUGCAUCUUGAAGAAAAACCAAGAUGGUCGCUUAGCUCUCUCCAAGACAACAUAAUUUUCUGUUUGAACAUCCGAAAAACAAUUCCCCCCUCAUAGUAUUGUAAGGUGCAAAGAAAUUCGAGGAUGAGAAGACGAGAACCCAGCUCAGUUAUAUUCCAAAAAUUUGUCCAACCCAUCAUUUGAAAAAUUAAGUCAAAUUCAGUGUCCAUACCUGUUUCUCGUAGUAGGAUUGGAUCGAUAGUAGGGGUGUGAAUGAAAUCCUUGUUCUUCAGUUGCUGAUAGACUUCCUUCUCUCUUCGGGUCUUCAGUCCUAGGUCUCCUAUCUUGAGAAGGACCUUAACUUGCUGACCUGAUGAAGAUGAUGGACCUUGUGUGGGUGUCGGGUCGACGUUCAUCUCUGAUGGCUGUGAGGAGUGUCGGGAUGAACUCCUUGUACCAAGGUUCUUGAUAGCCUUCCCUGCAUUCUUCACCUUCUUAAACAUCCUGCAAAAGUUGGCAAAAACACAACUGGUGGAAAAUGUGAGAUAAAAUGUUAGUGGUUAGCUGUCCGGAGUGUCAGUAGUCCAGGGGUUAAUCGUUCAAGACAAGUUUCUAUUUUGGUAUAGCCUCCCCCUAAACAACUUUUACUUCCGCUUAGACAGCGGGAUCACUACUUGCUAGGUGACAAUCACUCUCUCAAAAGAACUCCAACCUUCCCUUCCACUCUCCUCUUUCUCUCUACUCUCUAUUCUCUUUACUACAAAAGUUCCUCCUCGGGAAACUGAGAUUUGUGUGCUUUUCUGAAGUGUUUGUGUGAAGAGAAGGGAAACUGGAGGUGGCCUUUUAUAGGCUGAGCAGGGGACAGGGCGGGCGCCCACCCCUGGUGUCCAUCCUGGGUGUGCCUCCUCCACUUGCUUCCUUGCUUUGAUCUCACGCAAAAUAAUGUUGUGUUGGUAGUGGUUGGACGGUGGAAAGAUGUCAGGUGAGUGGAAACAUAUUGGUGGAUGAAAUUAUGUGAUGGGAUGUAUGUGAGAUGAAGUGUAUGACAAGUGGGACCCAAAGAGUGUGGGUCAUGCUUCUAGAAGAUCAAUAUAAAUAAAUAUAAUGCAGGAAAAUCUAUGAGAAUUGAAACUUAAUGAUAAUGGAAAAUAUUUUUGUGCCUCCACAAUAAUUAAUAAAUAUGGGUUGUUACACACCACGAAUAUUAUUUAUAUGGGGCUUUUUAAUUAUUAUAAUAAUGCCAUGACUAAUUAAUUAUGCAAGAAUUUAAUAUGAGAAAAUUAAUAAUGCGGGUAAAUACCGAUUUACCUCCCGGUGAGGGUUUGGGAUUUUUAGGUCCCCCAAGCUGGACCUCCAAAUCUUUUAAUCUUCUGAGUUUCCUUCCUCCGGAGAUGGUGUCUCCAGUGGUUCUUCAUGUACUUCCUUCACUGUAGAGUCUCUCUCUGGUCUGGGUUUGAAUGUGAAGUGUUCUUCUUGACCGUUUAUGUUGAACUUGAUUUCUCCUUUUCCGACAUCAAUGUGGGCAUUGGCAGUGCUCAGAAAUGGCCUUCCAAGGAUGAUGGACACUUUCGAGUCAGGACUCAUGUCCAGUACUACGAAGUCUACUAGCACCAGGAAAUCUCUGAUCUUGACUGGAAUGUUCUCGGCGAUGCCCAGCGGGUGUCGAACCGAUUGAUCCGCUAGUUGUAGGCACAUUGAUGUUGGUUCUAAGGUUGCAUGCUCAAGCUUUUUGUAGACUGAUGCUGGCAUCACACUGUCACUUGCUCCGAGAUCACAAAGUGCAUUGUUGAAGUGUUGGUUUCCGAUCGAGCAGUCAAUAGUGGGACAUCCGGGGUCUUCCUUCUUUUUUGGUGGUUUGUUGAGGAUGGCCGCACUACAUUCUUCUGUAUGGCAUCGAGCAGAGGUAUGUUGACAUAUAAUUUCUGAAUGACCUCUACAAACUUACCAAACUGCUCAUCCGACUGCAGUCCUCUGUUUCUUCUGGGAAAUGGUAAAUAGUUGGUGUCGUAAAAAUCUUUCUUCAUUUCUCCAGUUCUUGGUGGUUGUAGCAGAUCUUCUGCUUCAACUGGGCUUUCUUCUUCUAUCACUGCUGGUUGCACUGGUGCUGAUGUUCUUUGUUUCUCUUUUGGGUAUGGUGGAUCUCUGGUGGCUUUGCCUUCUCUAGUAGUUAUAUUCUUUACCUGCUCAAGGUUAGUAGCAACAGGCAGUGCAGCAGCUAUCUUUAUUAAUUUAAGCUCUACCCUUUUAUUAAGAGUGUUUUGCUCAUCAAAGGCAGUUAGUAGAAAAUCCAUUUUAUUGUAUAUAUCUUUUAGAGAUGAUUCAUUUGUAUUUAGCCUUUGUUUAACUUCAUCAUUAAUUUUAGUUUGUUGAGCAAUUAUCUCUUUUAGUGAAAGUUGCUUGAAAGUAUUACCUGAAUUCAUACCUUUGCUAUUGGGUUGACUCGAAGUUGGUUGAUAUUUGUAUGCUAUCUCAAUGGCCCUUUGAUCUUCUUUGAACUUGGCCCUCUGGUCAAUCCAAUGGAGCAAAAUUUCCAUCUUAGUUGAUAAUGCUUUUACUUCUUCUGGUAUUUCUUCAGUUUGAUGACAUUGUUGAGCUUUAUCUUGGAACCAGCUUUGGUUUUCUGCUAUCUUAUCCAAAAGUAUCUCUGCUUUUCUAGUUGUAAGCUCCAAGAAUGAUCCUUUAGCAGAUGCAUCUAGGCACUCACGAGCCUUCUGGGUUAAUCCAUGGUAGAAGGUCUGCAUAAGUAACCAUGUGGCCAUUCCAUGUUGAGGACAAUCUGAUACGUAUCCUUGAAAACGCUCCCAUGCUUCUGAAAUGGCUUCUGUCUUCUGCUGUUGGAAACUGACAAUAUUUCCUCUUAAGGCAGUUGUUUUGCCUAUAGGGAAAAACUUUGAUAGAAAGGCAUCUGACAAGUUCGUCCAGUUGUUGAUAUUAUCUUGAUGAGUGUAGAACCACUUCCUCGCUUUCCCUUCUAGUGAGAAUGGAAAAAGGCGAAGCAGUAUGACGUCUUUGUCAACUCCGUUGAUGUGGAUUGUGCUUCCAAUCUCUAAGAAAUUCUGCAAGUGUGCACUGGCAUCUUCAUGUGCCUUUCCACUGAAUUGUGUAGCUUGCACCAAAUUGAUGAGGCUUGACUUGAGCUCAAACUCGGGCAUUCCUUCUUCUACUACAAAUCUUGGACCGGUUGGAAUGUUGUCAAGACUUGGAGCAGAGAAUUCUUGCAAGGUCUUUUGUGCCAUAGCUUCAGCAAUUGGUAUCUAGCUUCUUCUUCUCUAGAUUGCUUUGGUUCUGAUGAUGAAGAGUUGAAUGUACCCAAAGUCAAUCCUGUUAUACCCUGUAUAAAAAUAUAAACAUAGAAAAACAACAGGGUGAACCUGCCAAAGCAGCGGUGCCUUGUUAUGAUUUCUCAUUUAGUAGCUGUUGUAUGCAAUUAUUUCUCUAUAGUCUAGUCUAAAAUUUUAUAUGAAUAACCUUGAUUGAUUUUCUGGCUUUCCUUAAUAAUACCCUUUUGUUCCCUUUUAUGACUUAUUCCUGAGGCUCAUAUAAUUCCUAUAAUGUUCUAUAAUUCCCCGGCAACGGCGCCAGAAAUGCUUGUUGACACUAGCUAACACCACUUAGAUACUAGGUUGUCAUCCCUAGUAUGGCGCCAGAGUGUACAAAGGUAUUUAUAAACGUGAAGGCUCUUUAGAAAAUAAUCUAUUCUAUCCGCAAGCGCACAGAUAAAACACCUCAUUAUAGCAUUUCACCAGGAUAAGUAUUCCAGGUAUCGUUAUUUAUAAUUUUGCUCUAGGGAUCUAAAGAAGAUGGAAUUAAAUCAAGGGACAAAAUCUAUCAAGGCAUAGACUAGAGAUAAACUUGCAAGAACAUGAUUACUAAUGAGAAACUCAUCACACAGUCACUUACUUUAGCAGGGGGUAAACCAUAAAGAUAAUGAUAAUAAAGUAUAAGUUCAUGGUAUAAAGAGCACAGCGAUUAGAAAAUAGACUACUCCUCAUAUAUGUAGGUGAUGUCGGAUUAGCUAGAGAAUGGAUUCUAAGUUAUCUACUAACUACUAUGUCAUAAUCUACUAUAGUUAUCUACAAGAUCAUAUAUAGCAUAAAAGACUCUUCAUUCAUGUAUAAGGAACAUUGAUAAAGUAAAUCAGAACAUCGCAUGACUUACUCCACAAUACCGGUUCUGCCUGUCCUAUCAACGGAGGGCGGACUAUAUAAGAAUCAACGAAGCUGUCACUAUCGCGAACUACCACACAACUCGGCCAAUAGGAUACAUUUGCAGAUAAAUAACAUCUAAGCACCACGCUCACAUGUGAUCUAUCACCUAACUCCCUCGCGACAAGAGCUAAGCGCUUUGCAAACUUAUACAUAAACUCAUUAUCAAUUAGAACUAUAUCAAAUAUAGAACUAGAGCAAACUAAGAACAUAAUAAUUAGAGACAUAAUGCAAUUAGAACAAUAGAAUUAGAGAAAGAUAUGAAUAAUACCAAUCUUUAUUACCGAAGAUCCGAAUCCAGAGUGUAGUGCUCUACUUCUCUAAUUGCUAUCUAAUCAACCUCUAAACUUGAAGGAUUAGGGAGUAGCUAAUUCUAAUUCUCUGUGGGAGAGAGAUCUAAACCCUAACUUUGAUGGCUACCUCUCAAUAAUGAUUUCUCCUCCUCUCCUCCAGGGGCCAGGGGGUCUGGUUUUAUAGUCCCCUCAAGUGAACGUGAGCCAUUGGAUCAAACCGACAUAGAUUGUAUGGUUUAGAUUCAUCCUUUAGGUCGGUGGAGAGUUGUCCCGAGAGAGAGUCCUGAUCCAACUCCUGGCCAGGGCGGGCGCCCAAGGGGGGUGGGCGGCCGCCCAGCUCCCGAGCCCGAAUCGCGUCCCGUUCGUUCCCGUGGCUUCUGGAUCCUUCUAGAUCAAGGAAAAUUGCACGGCACGUAAUUAUCUCAUUGUAAACAUGACAUGUGGGCCUUCUCUCCCUAUUUUCUGAUAAACCCCUGCAGAAAUAGAUAAACACCAAAGCUCAUGGAAUUCUGUCAGAUAAAACCCUAAUUCUAGAUGUUUGUUUCAUAUUGAUCCUUUUUCAUGUUUAUUUGAUUAUUAAUUUUUGUACUUAAGGGCUGUCAACAAUCAUCAGCCAGGAUCACUAGUUGUCACAGCUCCAUGGGCUGCAACAGCCGCUGCAGGCGCCGAAACAGUUGUUCCUCCAAGUACGUUAGGAGUCACUAACGCGCAAUCCACGCCAACGCCGGCCAAUCCAUCAACAUCAGAUGAGUCAAUCAAGCUCACUACAGACCUAUUGGCAUCGGCAAUGUCGGGAUCUGUACCUCCUAACUGGUGGGGUUUUGGUAUGCCCCCAGAGUUCAUGUUGAAGACACCUAGUACAUCUCAGAUGGCUGACAUGAGAGGCAAGGCUCCUAUGGUAUCGGCACCUCCAAAUGUGCCGAUGAAUCAGAGUCCUCAGUAUACUACAACUACUACUGCCAGACCUUACACUGGGAUUUCUCAAGCUCCAACGUUCCAGAUGCCUAAUGCAUCGGCAGAUCCAAUGCCGACGCAACAGAGAUUUAUGACUCAGCCAGGGUAUGUCAAUUCAAUGAUGAUGCCCAAUUACCAAUCAUCGACAGGACCUAUGCCGAUGAAUGCUAAUGGUGGAUGGCUUGGGCAGCAAGUCUUUCCACAAAUACCCCAACAGAAUCAUCAGGCUACAGGGUUUCAACAAGGCUAGAUCCAACCUGGGUUCCAUAAUCAAGGGAUGGUCCACCAGCCGAUGAAUCUUGGUCAACAAAUUGGUGGCCAACAAAUUGGUGGUCAGCAGAUUGGUGGUCAACAAAUUGGUGGUCAGCAGAAUGGUGGUCAACAAAUCGGUGGUCAGCAGAUUGGUGGUCAAAUGAUUAAUCCAAUGUUCCAUGCAGAACGUGCACCGCAUAGACACGUAGAAGUGUAUCAACAGGUGCCAGAUCCGCAACCACCUCAUCAGCAAGAUGCUGAUGCUUAUUGGGCCGAUAAGAUUGCUGAAGUAAUGAGAGACCAAUUUGGGAUAAAACCCAAAGUCAACACUUACUCAUCGGACACCAUAUCCUCCUGCAUACAAUUUGAUUCCACUUCUAAAUCGGUACAAGGUGCCGGAUUUCACUAAAUUUUCUGGACAGGAUGAUACGUCAACCAUGGAGCAUGUCAACAGGUUUAUCAUCCAAUGUGGAGAAGCUGCUAACAGGGAUGAAUUGAGGGUUCGACUGUUUUCAUCAUCAUUAUUUGGAUUGGCUUUCACUUGGUUUAUAUCAUUGCCUCCUAAUUCAGUGAUUACUUGGGCUGAUCUGGAGAAGCAGUUUCACAAAUACUUCUUUUCUGGAGUUCAUGAGAAGAAGAUUACCGAUUUGGUCAGAUUGAAACAGCGUAAUGAUGAAUCGGUUGAAAGUUUUGUGCAGAGGUUGCGGGAAGUCAAGAACAAGUGCUAUAGUCUGGUUCUAGAUGAUCGGCAGCUAGCCGAUUUGGCUUUCCAGGGUUUGUUGCCACAUAUCAGGGAUAAAUAUGCCUCUCAAGAAUUUGAGAGCCUGAGUCACUUGGUCCAGAGGAUUUCCGACCAAGAUAUUGAGCCCUUUGAACCUAAGAGGGCUUGGAACAAAAAGGUGUCAUUUGUUGAUGAGGCAGCAAGCUCAGAUUCUGAUGAGGAACCAGUCAUCGGCUUAGCAGAGUGGGUAAAGAAUAAGAAGCCGAUGUCUUGCCCUUUCGGGCAUAAGGAACCAGAGAAGUUUGCAUUUGAUAUAACCAAGGCCGAUAGGAUAUUUGACUUUCUACUUCAGGAAGGCCAGGUCAAGUUGUCGCCCAACCAUGUGAUUCCAUCGGUUGAAGAGUUAAUGAAGAUGAAAUACUGCAAGUGGCAUAAUGCAACCUCUCACAGCACCAAUGAGUGCAAAGUUUUUAGACAACAGUUGCAAUCGGCUAUAGAAUCUGGGAGGAUCAAAUUUGACAGCUCCAAAACUCAGAAGUCGAUGAAGAUUGAGCAACACCCUUUCCCAACAAAUAUGUUGGAUGCUAAGGGAAAGGCCAAGGUCUUAACGUCGGAAGCAGCUGAAAGAAGUGCAUCGGUGGAUCCUCAGCAUCAAAUCACUACUGCCGAUGCAAAAGGAAAAGGCUUGAUCCAGGAGGGAGCUAACUCAGGAAGGCCUCCCUGAUCCGGUAUUGUGAUAAAUCAUAGAAGGCCUCGGGAAACUUGGCAGCAACGUGAGGAUCGAUAUCGGCGCUAGUAGGAAGACUAUCAUCGGGAAGAAGAAAGAUGCCGACGGGAAUGGAAUCUGCAUAAGGAUCACUGGAACUGCCUGUUCUUUAUCCAUUGCUGGGAGCAGAACAUUAAGUUACCUACUGUUAGAGAUUGCCCUGAAUGCAAUGGUUAUGAUCGGUAUGACAGGUCCGAGCGGCGCUAUCACGAUGAUGAUCGGCGGCUUAAUGGGCCAAUCAGGAGGAGAGCGUCAGUUCAAGAUCGACUGGGGGGCAGGCUCAGUUUACAUGAUAGGCUUGGUGAUUGUGUUGAAUAUUUUCCCAGGAACUAGGAAGAGCUUGAAGAGAUGGCUAAUGCUCGAGUUCCCGAUGAGUUCAUAUUUUGCAGGGAUGCUAAUACUCAUCGGAUGGAGUCAAGGGAAUAUCGUCGUCCAUUGGCAAGGCAGUCCCCACUUCCCCCAUGGUGUCCUGAGGGGUUGACUAAAACACAAAAAAAUAAGACUGCAACGCGAAAGAUGAGAAGAGCUAAGCAAGGGCGAGAACUCUGACCAAUCUGGGGAUCAGCAACGAUCAGAUCCUAAGGGGAAAGGGCCAUCGACAAAUGUCAACAUGGUAUUUAUGUUGCUGAUGAAAUUCCUUGCGCCAUCCAGUGAUGAUGAGGAGUUGGAGUUUUCCGACCAAAUAGCCCAGUUGGCUCUGGAUCCGAUGAUGGCUAUCUUUGAAAAGCCUGCCGACAAUGAAAGGCAACAUCUUAAAGCUUUGGAAGGGUUGAUAAUCAGCCAAUGACCAAAAUAUUAAUUGAUGGUGGAGCUGCCAUCAACAUCAUGCCGUAUGUAGUAUAUCGGAAGCUUGGAAAAGGGGAUGAAGAUUUGACCAAGACCGAUAUGAUGUUGAAGGACUUCGAGGGGAACGUGUCUCCGGUUAAGGGGGCAAUAUGCGUCGAGUUGACCAUCGGCAGCAAAACCUUGCCGACAACUUUCUUUGUGAUCAGUGGAAAAGGUGCUUAUAAUUUGCUGCUGGGGAGAGACUGGAAUCAUGCCAAUUGUUGCAUCUCGUCUACAAUGCACCAGUGCGUGGUCCAAUGGGUGGGUGACAAGAUUGAAAUUGUCACGGGGGAUUCUUCUUACGUCAUUGCAUCGACAGAAGCAGAUACCUAUGAGAGGACUAGGUGUAUCUCGGGAGAAAUUUGGGAGAAGGAUUUUCUCAAAGUUGCUGAUUAUGAGAUUCCACCGAUCCGAGCAGUCGGUUCUGAUGAAGGUUUUUAAUGGAUAGGUUCGCCGAGAAUGGAAAAUUGGGCUAGGGAUUCACAUCGGCCGAUGAUUUAGUAGAAGUAGAUAUAGGUAGUGGUGAUAAGCCUAAACCUACUUUUAUCAGUGCUAAGUUAAAUUCUGAGUGUAAGUGGCAAUUAACUGAUUUGUUGAAAAAAUAUAAAGAUUGCUUUGCUUGGGAUUAUACUGAGAUGCCUGGUUUGGACCGAUCGAUUGUUGAACAUCAGUUGCCUAUCAAGUCUGGAUUUCGGCCACAUCAACAGCCAGCUCGCCGAUGUAAUCCUAAUAUUCUUCCUGAUAUUAAGGCCGAAAUAACCAAACUUAUUAAAGCUAAAUUUAUUCGGCAGUGUCGGUAUGCCGAGUGGAUUUCCAAUGUUGUUCCGGUUUACAAGAAAAAUGAGAAGCUUCGGGUCUGCAUUGAUUUCAGAAAUGUUAAUAAAGCUACGCCGAUGGAUGGUUACCCAAUGCCAGUUGCCGAUCUACUAGUUGAUGCUGCGGCUGGACAUCGGAUCAUCAGCUUUAUGGAUGGCAAUGCAGGAUAUAAUCAGAUAUUCAUGGCUGAAGAAGAUAUUCCAAAGACUGAAUUUAGAUGUCCUGGUCAUGUUGGGCUGUUUGAAUGGAUAGUCAUGACCUUUGGCUUGAAAAAUGCUGGUGCUACUUAUCAGAGGGCUAUGAAUUUUAUAUUUCAUGAGUUCAUCGGCAAGCUGGUGGAAAUUUAUAUUGACGAUGUGGUGGUUAAGUCUUGAGACUUCACAAAGCAUCUUGCCGAUUUGCGAAAGGUGUUAGAAUGCACAAGGAAGCAUGGUUUAAAGAUGAAUCCCAAUAAGUGUGCAUUUGGUGUAUCGGCAGGACAAUUUCUUGGUUUCAUGGUGCAUCAAAGGGGGAUUGAAAUUAGUCGGAGAUCCAUUGAUGCCAUCAACAAAAUAGUUGCUCCCACCAACAAAACUGAGCUUCAAUCCUUGAUCGGCAAAGUAAAUUUUAUGAGGAGGUCUAUAUCUAAUUUGUCUCGUAAAAUUCAUGCUUUCAGUCCUUUACUUAAGUUGAAAGCAGAUCAAGAGUUCGUCUGGGGAAAGAGCAACAGUUGGCCCUAGAUGAAAUCAAGAAUUAUUUGGUAAAUCCUCCAGUUUUGAUUCCACCUCAACAAGGAAAGCCCUUUAGGUUAUAUUUGUCUACCAAUGGGAUGGUCAUCGGUUCGGCUUUAAUUCAAGAAUUUGAAGGAAAGGAACGUGUGAUUUACUAUUUAAGCAGGGGAUUGGUUGACGCUGAGACCAGGUAUUCGGCCAUUGAAAAGUUAUAUUUGUGUCUUUAUUUCUCAUGUAUUAAGUUGAGACACUAUUUGUUAUCGGCUGAAUGCACUGUCAUAUGCAAAGAUGACGUGGUCUGAUAUAUGCUGUCUAUGCCGAUCAUGAGUGGAAGGAUCGGUAAAAGGAUUUUGGCACUGUCGGAUUUCGAUUAGCGUUACGAAUCGGCUAAAGCAGUUAAGGGACAGAUUAUGGCCGAUUUUGUGACUCAACAUUGUGGCGCAGUGGAGACUUUGGAAAUCGUACCUUGGACGCUCUUCUUUGAUGGAUCCACGUGUGACCGGGGGGCAGGAAUUGGCAUAGUACUAAUUUCCCCUCGGAGAAGGAAAUAUGAAUUCUCCUUGCCGAUUGUUUCCACAUCAACAAAUAAUCAAGCCGAAUAUCAAGCUUUGAUAAAAGGGUUGGAAUUAUUAAGGGAAGUUCAUGCUGAUGCUGUUGAAAUCUUCGGGGAUUCUAUGCUGGUUAUAAAUCAAUUGGUUGGAAGCUAUGAAUGCCGAAGCGAAGUCCUGAUAACUUAUCAUGAAAGGAGUAUGCAAUUAUUAAAGGAAUUCAAAGAUUUCUGGUUAGAACAUGUUCCUCGAUUGCAUAAUGAAGAGGCCAAUCGAUUGGCUCAGCAUGCCUCGGGAUAUCAGCCCAUGUUAAACGCAAUAUCGGCAAUCGGUGCUGAUGAUUGGAGAAAAGAAAUCGUUGAUUAUUUAAAAGAUCCAUCCAAGAAAGUUGAAAGAUGUGUUCGGUUUCAACCUACCAAGUAUGUGCUCCUCGAUGAUGAAUUAUAUUAUCGAACAAUUGAUGGAAUUCUUCUCAAAUGCUUAGGUGAUGAUGAGGCUAGGAGUUUAAUGGGGGAAAUCCAUGAAGGAGCGUGUGGAGCACACCAGUCGGCAUUUAAGAUGAAGUGGAUGAUCAGGAGAAAUGGGUAUUAUUGGCCGACUAUACUUGAGGAUUGUUUUAAGUAUUUGAAAGGGUGUCAAGGAUGUCAGAAGUUUGGCAAUGUUCAGAGGGCACACGCAUUGGCCAUGAAUCCCAUUAUUAAACCUUGGCCGUUCCGGGGAUGGGCUAUUGAUCUAAUCGGCCAAAUUUACCUGCCAUCAAGCAAAAGACAUAAAUUCAUCUUGGUUGCCACUGAUUAUUUCACUAAGUGGGUUGAAGCUAUUCCUUUGAAGAAAGUUACAUCGGCCAAUAUGAUUGAUUUCGUGAAAGAGUAUAUUAUUUACCGAUUUGGAAUUCCUCAAACAAUUACUACCGAUCAGGGUACUAUGUUCACGUCAGGGGAGUUUGAUGAGUUUGCAGUCGAUAUGGGAAUUAAAGUAUUAAACUCUUCUCCUUAUUAUGCUCAAGCUAAUGGGCAGGCCGAGGCAUCUAACAAAGGAAUUAUCAAGCUCAUUAAGUGGAAGAUUGAAGAAAAUCCUAGGAGGUGACACACGUUAUUAAAUGAAGCUUUAUGGUCGUAUCGGAUGGCUUGUCAUGGAUCGACCAAGGUUUCACCUUAUUAGUUGGUGUAUGGGCAUGAUGCAGUGUUACCUUGGGAAAUUAAGACUGGGUCUAGGCGACUAUCUUUUCAAGAUCAAUUGGCUACCGAUGAUUAUGCUACUUUGAUGACAGACGAGUUGGACGAUCUAGCAGGGCAUCAGCUAAGGGCUUUGAUGAGUAUAGAAGAGAAUAAGAAGAGAGUUGCCAGAUGGUAUGAUAAGAAGGUGAAGGCCAAAGAGUUUGCCAAUGGAGAUUUAGUGUGGAAGUUAAUCUUACCGAUUGGGACUAAAAGUUCAAAAUUUGGGAAGUGGUAACCCAAUUGGGAGUGUCCCUAUCGGAUAAAUCGAUCUGCUCCUGGCAAUGCCUAUAUCUUAGAAACUCUCGAAGGAGUUGAAUUUCCUAGGGCGUUAAAUGGCAAAUAUCUAAAGAAAUAUUACUCCAGCUUAUGGGUCGAUGCAUAAAAGUUUAAGUGUCGAUAACAUUCCUAUCGGCUGGAUUAAACUGUGUCUAGGGCCGAACUUGAUGUUUUAAAAGGUGCCGAUAACAGUCCUAUCGGCUAGACCAAAACAUUAGGAGUGUUCGAGAGAAGAGAACAAAUAUGCCGCUGAUGAAGAAUUCAGAUGUUUGACAAAGCCUGGAUCGUCGAUAUGGCGCGUAGAUGGAUCUGAUUGGCUUCUUCUAUCUCCUUUAUGUCGUCAUCGGCAGAGCCCUCCACCGGCUUCAGCUUCUUCUUCAUCUGCAGGGCCUUGCGGGCUUGGACAUUUCACUCUUGUUCAAGAACCUUGAUCGUCUCAGGCAGCUGACUUUCUUCUUGUUGAGCUUGGGACAAUGCUUCUUCUACCUGCUUGAGUUCUGUCAGCAGAGCCUCUCUCGUUGCCGAUAAGUCGGAAAUCUUGUGCUUCAAUACGUCUCCCGAGGACUUUAAGAUGCCGAUGUUCUUGUGUUUCUCAUUGACAAGGAGCUUCACUUUUGUCAUCUCUUCUGAGAGCUGGGCAUGAGUGGCCCUAUCGGCAAGGCGUUGAGCGGCCUUUUGAUAUUGAAGCUGCCAACUUUCUAAGUAAGCAGCCUUGAAAAGGAUCUCCUCAGCAUCAGCAGGAAUAUGGCCUCUGAGAGUCUUGAACAGGGCUUUGGCCGGAUCGGAAUCGUCGACCAAUUGGGCCGUGUCUUGAUGAAGGAGGGCCGAUAAUUCUUCUAACUUUGCCCUGAUUUCUGCCGAUGUGAUUCCAACUGCUCGAGAGGAACUUGCCUCCUCGCCCUCAUCUUUAGAGAUGUCGAUGGCAAAGGAGAACAAACUGUCAGGGGAGUCUUGUUCCUGAAAAAGAAAAUAAAAUAAGUUAUUCUAUGAUCAAGCAUUGGUAAACAAUACAGGUAGAGAUCAGGUAACUUACUUGUUUCAGAGCUAUCUCUCGUCUCUGACUGGAUGGUGCCGAUGGAACCACGGGUUGAUCGGCUGAGAUUGCCGAUGAGAUUAUGUCAGCUGAAAGAGUAAUAGAGAUAAUUAUAAGACGGAAAAGUAGGUUCAUCGGCAAUGAUUUCAUAGAGAGUAUGUUACCUUGAGGGGGAGCAGUACUUGUUUGGAUUGAGGAAACUACCGAUGCUAUGAUUGAACUUGCUGGAUCGGCAGAUUGCUCGUGCACGUCAGCCGAUGUAUCUUCUAGCUGAGGUUCCUCUGGCUGGGUUCUUCUGUGUGAGGUUCUUCUUAUGGCUAAGGAGGAGUUGGUGUUUAUUGUAUCUGGACUUCUGGAGAGGAAGGAGAAGAUUCCACUAGGAUUGGAGACACUGGGGGAGGAGAAGGUGUUGCUGUUCUCUGGCGCUUCGCCUGGGUUCUGGUACUCUUGGGGCUUUUCCCCUUUGGUUGGCUGGACUGGGGGGCAUCAGCAGUCACACCUCUGGUCUUUACCGAUGUGCCGGUUUGCUGAUACAACGAUGAAAAUUCGUGAGUGCAAGUGUAACAGUGUAAAAACAAAAUCGGUAUGGGUGAAAGAAUUCAAAAAUUUACCUUGAAGGCUUGUGCUAGGGUAGAAGCAGCUACCGAUGGAGAUACCUUUGUCUGCUUGGUGGUGACUUUCUUGAGACGUACACCCCGAUGCAUUAUAGCGGCCAAGGAUGGAGAGUUGUUGCCGGUCGAAGAAAUCGGACCUGAUGGGAAGAGCUCAAUCGGCUUGCCACUCCUGCUGACCGAUGGGGGUGUGUUGUCGACCUACAAUAUAACCCAGAAAGUGAGUUACCAAUGAAAGUACAAAUGAAAGGAUUGAAACAUCGAUUUAAAAUACUUACAGUGUUGCCAGGAACUUUGUAUUGAGAGUCGAUCUUGCCACGGUAUGUAAGAGCCGAUUUGCAGAACAGGUGCUCUUUCCAUUCUUCCCACCAUUGCUUGUAUGCCUGAGUAAUGAAAAGGGCCGGGAUCCAAUCUGAUAGAUUGGCGUCUGUGUCAGCAUUUGGUAGCAGUUGAGCUAGUCUGGUCCACUCAAGAAGAAUAGUGAUGGUUUCCCUGGGUUUUAUUACAUCGGCAUAACAGAGUGCAAUCGGCAGCUGACCGAAAGCUAGUUGACGGGCUAGUGCCGAUGGGUUGUAAAAUUCAUAGGUUUGGUUGGAAGCUUUCCCACUGCCGAAGAAGUUUACUGGUAUGGCUCUUGGAGUGAUGAGUGCCAUCAUCACAUCAUGAUCUUUAUUAAGAGCAUCAUCGAAGGGAUGAAAGGUCAGAGGGAAUCUUGUGUCUGGAUCUUCAUAGGGCAUCCAUGCUCGCUGUUCUUUGGUCAAACCCUCAUAAAGAGUCUGAAAGAAUCGGCUAACUUGAUCUCUAUUACCUCCAGUACCAGGCAAAACUAUGACAGCUUCACCAUAGUUUAAGGGAGGAUGGGUUGCCGAUUCUUCUUCAUCUAACUCGUGAUCCUCUGCUAUGUCCUUGGGGAAACGCUGUGCAAAGAGGUCGAAUUCCAGUCGCUUAUGCAUAUGGAGGCUAAGCCACAUGUUGAUGAACCACCAAGGACCCCCUAAGUUGCCGAUGGGUUUGCCGAGCAGAAGUUUCUUGGUUACUUGGUGGAGCAGAUGAUAGAGCCAAGCAGGUAUCGGCCGAGGGGAAAUCGGCCACCAUUAGCUAAUCUCUCUGCUGCCGAUAGGUAGACAGAGGUUGGUCCUGCCGAUCGACCACAGAAUACAAAUUUGUCCAGCCACAUGUUUAGGAAGGUGGUUUGUUCUUUUAUGUUGACAGGCCCUGUUCUACGGUACUUCUGAAUGUACCCAGACCAACCGCCGAUAGAGUGGGUUUCCACUUUAGCACUAGGUGUGGUGUCAAAUAUGUGGCUACUAUCGGCAGUGGACACAUCUAAGCCGGUGAGCAUGAGUACAUCGACAAGAGUGGGAGAAGCAGGGCCAUGGCCGAAAACAAAAGCAUUAAGUGUGUCUGACCAGAAGUAUGAUGCAGCAAUCAGCAGUGAUUCAUUCCUAUGCAUAUCGGCAAGUGACAAUCUUAUGCACUGGUCCAGUUUUCGCUCACCCCAUUGAACAUCAUUUGAGUGGCUGACUCUCAAAAAUCAAUCCUUCCAUCCCUUGGUAGGACUGGGCCAAGAGCAGAAGGCAUCUUUCCACAGAUCUAGAGAAAAAUUCUCGGCUCUAAAGGGGAUUUUGUUUGUCUCUGCAUUGAUCAGAUCGGUAGGAUCUGGGUUCCCUAGCGGACCGAGACAUUGGAGGUGUGGUUGAUCGUUAGGGAUGACGAUUCUAUUGGACAGAUCCUAGAUGUUUUUGGGGGUAAAAAGAAGAGCAAAAGAGAAAAAAGAAAGAAAAAAUAUUCAGUAAGAUGAACUACGGAAGAACAGGGGUGCGAUAAAAGACAGGAGAGAAGUAGGACUGACCUCAGGCACGACGAAGUUGAUGGCCAUUUCCUCGCAGGAGAGAAGAUCGAAGACUUGGGAGUUGUUGGAGUUCUUGGGGCUCUCGAACAGUGCCGCUGCCAGAAAAGUAGAGUUGAGGCUGUAGAAUGAUGCGGUGGGGAAGGAGUGCCCGAGAAGGAACUAUUUAUAGGACAAAACGGGCAAGGGCAAAUCUGACUUAUCUCUUCACCGUAUCCGUGAUAUCCGAGGAUACUUAGGUCGAUAUGGUAACUGUUCGCACGGUAAUCAAUGGAUUGCGUAGGUGAUUUGACAGGAAGCGGUCAUAAUCUGGAGAUAUUUCACUGUGCGGGAUUUUCUAGUCGGUCCAUCGGCAACUCCCUCUAACGGUAAUAUUGCCGAUGGGCGAGUAAAGUGGAGACGUCUAGUUUGGGAGGUUGAGGAAUUCGAGGAAUCUGCGGAAGAAUCGGGCCGGAGUUGUCCGAUUUUAAUAGUCGGUUACCAAAUUGGGAGAAUUAAUUGCGGAAAGGCAUCAUUACUGCAGAGAAUUUCGGAGCCUUAAUGAUUUCAUACUCCAAAAUUGGGGGGCAUGUGUUGACACCGUUUUUGGACACGUACCCAGGUUCGGUAGAGUGUAGAUCGGCAAGAUAGGGCAAUAGUAACUGGUCUGCAGGAGAGUUGCCGAUGAGGGUGGUUGCUGUUGAAGGGACAGCUGAAUGUGACUAAGUCCAUGGGCGGUGAUGUGUUCAUGCCGAUGGUCAGCGUUAACCUUUGCCGAUUGCUACGAUGAGGAGUCUGCCGAUGAUUCGGAAGGAGGAACUUGAAUGUUACCGAUUGGUCUAUGGUGGUGUCCCAGUUUGUCACGGAAGGAUAGUUUUUUGUUUUCCUUAGUUAUUUAAAUUGUUUUGUAUACGAAUUCUGUUUAAUUUGGAAUUCGAGUCCUAGUCGUGUCUGAUUGUAGCUCUUUGAGCAGGGUAUAAAUGUAGACCCUGGGGCCUUGCAAGAAUCAAUCUAUCAAUCAAUCAAACACAAGUUUUUACUCAUAUUCCAGCAUCUACUUUUUCGACGACUUCGUCAUAUUUUCCUUUUCAUUACGAGUUCUUAGGAGUUCGUCGACUUAAGCUCGGCGUAUUCUCAAGUUCCGCGUGAAUACCCCUUGGCCGUGGCAUCCGGGCGCAUCGCUGUUGUCGGGACCAAAGUAUUCGAGUUAUCACCUUUGCCGAUAGUAAGGUCAAAUCGGCUGGCACGCCUUAACGUUUAAAUCGGGUAUUAGCCCUUUGUGUUUGCAGAUCCACUUUUUGCAUCAACAGAAUUUAAACUCUCAUCAUACAGGAACUCAUCAUGCAAUAUUUUAAAGACUUUUCAAAGAUAAAAUUCUCCAUAAUUCUAGCAUUUCUAGGAACGGAUAAACAACAGCUCAACCUUCCCAUAUCAUAUCCGUUAACAACUUAGGCUUCGGAUCAAGUUUUCUUCCCACAUGUUUAGGUUUAGAGCAAGCUUUAAAUUAUAACAGUUAUGUCUAAACUUGAGAGAGAACUUCAAAUUUUAAAAAUUAGGCAGAGCAACUAUUCAUCAUAUCCAUGCUUGAGUUUUAUUAUUAAGAUUCAGAUUAGCAUAGCCACUUUAUUUAUUUAUUAAACACACUAAGCAAAAGGCAUAUAUAUAACCAUAAAAUCUUUAUUUGGUUUUUCAUAGUUAUGUAUAUCUAUAUUUUAAUAUAGUAUAAGUAUAAAGAUGGAUAGAAACACUUAUCGGGAUAAAUGGGGGUGCUCUCCCCCAAGCUGAAUUUUGACAUAAUUUCUUCUGAUGUAGCUAGCAUGUGGCAGAGGUGUAUUUGAAAGUCGGCAGCAUUCUGACAGCGAUUAGAAUGUCCUCCGUCUGCUAGUCUUCUUGAUUCUUAAAUUCUGUGGAGCUCAAAUAGACAACAAAGCUUGUGGAACUGAUUAAGUGUUAGCAUAAAUAUCUAGCCUUUAUCAUGUUGAGACUCCUUGAUAAAUAUUACUCUCUAUUUUUAUAUUUUCGUUUUAUAAAGCAGAAAAGAAAUAUUUAUUUUAUAUUUAUGCCACCACAGUGAAUGCACUUAUGGGUUUCGUGCCACUCGUAUACUCACAUGGGGCUUACUGUUUUUAACAUUUUUUUUUCUUUUUAAGAUAGUACGAACAUGAUUAACUAAGCAAACUGUUUAAAAUAAUUGAAUGGGAAAGGAUAACUACCAAGUUUACCUCUUGGCAAGGCGUUCGGUGUUUUUAAGUCCUCCGAACGGGACUCUCCUCUUUCUCAAUUGUCCUGGGAUUCGUUGGGUGGCAGAGUCGGUACUUCCUGCGGCGCCUCCUCUUCAUGUAUAGUUAUCUUCUCUUUCCAAACCUGACUCGGUGCUACGGUCUCCUCUGGAUAAUUUUGUUUAAACUGAAUGCCUUCUGACCUUACAACUUUUCCUUCAUAGUCUGCCCAUCCGUCCUUGAUGAUCUCCCUCCUCUAGUUGUGGUUACAUCAUUUUCUUACCUGCUUAGAUUCUUCAAAGAUGUAGUUAGGGUCAGUAAAAUAACGGCGUACCUUCUCUAAGGGGAAGUGCAUAUGGACUUCUCAAGUUCCAAUGUAGAUGAUUGCUUUAACGGUGCUGAGGAACGGUCUUCCAAGGAUCAUGGGUGGAUCGUACUCAUCUUCUCCCAUGUCUAUAACCUGAAAGUCUGUGUAGACAAAAUGAUCGUCUAUUUUGACUGGGACAUCAGUUACUAUUCCUUUAACUUCUCGAAAUGUUUGUUCUGCCAUCUGGAGCUGAAUGUAUGUUGGUUUCAGGGGCAUGGUUCUGAACAAGAGCCGAUAGGUGACUGCGGCCAUUAUGUUGACGCCCGAUCCGAUGUCGCAAGUUGUCUUGUAGAAGUUGUACCCAUUUAUGGAGCAGUAGAUGCUUGGCAUUCCUGGGUCGUCCUUCUUGGUCAAAAAUGGUGACUUAAGUUGUUGAUCUUGGCCUCCAUGAACUGCAGUGACCAUCUUAGCUGACUCGGUCCACACUUGCUUGUUCCUAUUCCUCCUGUUGGUCCUCUUCCUUGAUUCACGUCUGGAUUGAUCUGGGAUUUGUGUAGUCUUGUUCUUGAAGGUAAAUGUCUCCUUCCUCCCUUUGAUGCAGAAACUAAUCUUGGCAGCACUGGCGUAGAUGACAGCUCCCGAGGUGUUUAAGAAUGGCCUCCCUAGGAUGAUAGGUGCUCUCUCAUCAUUACCGGUCUCUAUCACCACAAAGUCUGCUGGGGCGUAUAAGGUACCAACUCGGACACAGACGUUCUUCAAUAUUCCUUUUGGAAAACUUAAUGCCUGAUCUGCAAACUGCAAACACAUGGUUGUCUCUAAUAAAGGAUAUGUAAAGAAUUUUUCAUAGAGUACCCUGGGCAUAAUGUUGACACUAGAGCCAAAGUCGCAGAGUGCUUCUGGAACGUCCACCAUGCCGAUGGAGAUCGGGUGACGGGGCAUCCUGGAUCGCCUCUCUUGACCGGCAGAAGGUCAGUAGUGAAUUCAGUGACGGGGUUACUCCAGUUAUUACCUGCAUCAAACAUGUCUACAAUAUUUGCAGAUUCUAAUCCUUCUAGUUAUGAUGGUAUACCGUGGUUAGUAGUAGGAACAACAGCAGCUAUUUGAUUUAACUGAGAUUCAAUCAUUUUAUUAAAGCUAAUUUGAUUCUUGAUGGCAGUAGAGAAAUUAUCCAUUCUAUUAUUUAUUUUUUCUAGCAUUUUAUCAUUAGAUGCCAAUUUCUUAGAAAGAUUAUCCAUUAGCUUUCCUUGAUUAGACACUAACUCUCUCAGAGGUGGAAAAUUAUUAUUAUUGUUGUAAGAAUUGUUACCUUGAUAAUUACCUGAGUAGUUAGGCCUUUGUUGAUUCCAACCUCGAUUUUGUUGGGGACGGUUGUAGUAGUUAUUGUUGUUAUUGUUGAUGUAGUUCACAUCCUCAAGCAUGUCAGGGCAGUGAUUGCCUGAGUGUCCAGUGUCUCCACACUCCUCACAAGUCAUGUGAGAGUCGUAGAUGUGCAUAACUUUUUUCUUAUCUCUAGCUCUAUCAUCGAGCUUCUUCAUGAGCAGGUCUAGCUUAGCAGACAGCAUGUCUACCUCCUUGAGCUGAUGCAUACCUCCACCUCUCUUGCGUGUCUGGGUCCUCUCUUCCUUCCAGCCUUGGUUGGACGCCAUCUUCUCCACAAGGGCUGUGGCUUGUGAUAUGGUGAGUGAUAGGAAUGCUCCUCCAGCUGCAGCAUCCAUGGUUUCUCGGGCACUAUUGUCGAGCCCAUGAUAAAACAUUUGCAUCAGUAGCCAACUCUCCAUUCCAUGAUGGGGACAUUCUAGGAUGUAGUCUUAGAAGCGCUCCCAUGCUUCUAGAACAGAUUCAUCAUUUUGUUGCUGAAAACUUAUAAUAUUCUCACGGAGAGCAUUGGUCUUGCCCAUGGGAAAGAACUUAGCUAGGAAGUUUGUUGAGCAGAGUGCCCACGUAGUAUUCUUCUCCUUUGUAGCGCAGAACCACUGCUUCGCUCUCCCUAACAGUGAGAAUGGGAAAAGGCGAAGUAGUAUAGCAUCUCUAGGGACUCCUGAUAUGGUAAAUGUGCUGCAAAUCUCUAGGAAGUGUUGGAGAUGAGCACUAGCAUCUUCGUUUGCCUUUCCACAGAACUGGUUGGAUUGCACCAUGUUGAUAAGUCCAGGCUUGAGCUCAAAGUUGCCAUCGAUCUCUGCAGCAGGUCCAGUGUGGAUGUUGCCCGUAGUGGGAGCUGAGAAUUCACGGAUCAAUUUGUUCGCCAUGGCUUCGAAUUCUGAAGACAAGUUCCGGUGAUCUUCUUGAUUGAAUGAAGCUUCUUGCUGAAGUGUUGAUGAUCUCUUCUUGAGCUUGGCUCUUGUUUUUCUGAAUAAGGCUUCAGGAUUGUCAACAAAAUUUCCUAGAAGAUGUCUUCUAUUCAUACAUUCCCCUGCAUAAGAUAAAAAUAGAAAAUAUCGAGGUAAAACUGUAUUUGAGAAUUGAUAAGCUCAAUCAUAUUAGUGAUGCGAAUGAUAACUCAAAAAUCUAUAUCCAUUCCUGAUUAGUAAUCAACCUUCCCCGGCAACGGUGCCAAAAAUGCUUGUUGGGUAUUCUUAACAUCAUUACCAAAAGUAGACAGUUUUCUAAUUCUAGUAACGGUGCCAAAAAUGCCAAACCUAUCCCUCAUACCACUUAAGCCAAGUUGUCAUCCCCAGCAUGACAUAAGAGACGUGGUAUUGAAAUAUGCAAUUCCUCUUCUAAAUAAAUAAUGAAUGGGGUCUGCAAGCGCACAGAUUAAUACCGAUGUAGCAUUUUAACCGGGAAGUAUUCCAGGUAUCGUUAUUUAUAUUUUUACCACUGGGAAGGGAUUAGCAAUCAUCAAUAUUGAUUACAAAAUAGAAUAUGAGAUUGAGUAUCUAUCAUUGCAUGUAUAAUUGAGAACAUUUAUCUAACUCUUUCAUACAAUGGUAAGUGUCACAUAAAAGAUAUAUGAAUUAAUGAAUAGUGAAAAAGAUAAUUAAUCUGAUCAGCAUAACUUAGCCACAUAAUAAAUAUGAUAAGCACCUCAAUUAGAUACUCUAGAAAGUCAUUAGCAUGGAAUUAGAACGAACUAAAAGAAUAUUUCAUAUGUUAUUCUCAACUAUAUAGUCUAGCAUUAUCAUAGUCAGUGCAAGCAUACUUAGCAAUCAUUGCGAGACAAGACUACGCCCAUGCAUAGUGAUAUUAGCAAGGUAAAUGAGAAACAUAGCAAUCACUCCCCUGUAAUAAUGUUGCUCUGCCAGCCCAAUACACGAGAGGGGGACUAUAUAAGAAUCAAUGAAGCCGUCACUAUCACGAACUACCCCACGAUCUGGCAUAUUGGGUACAAUCACAGAUAAAUAUGGUAUAAGCACCACCCCUACACAAUAUCUAUCAUUUACCCAUGGAUCUGAUGGAUAAACGCUAUACGAACCUAAACAUGUAUAUAAAUCCAAUCUAACUAAGCCAAGUCUAUAACUAUGAUAAACUAAGAACAAUAUAAUCUUGAAUAUAAACAAGUAGAGCAAAGUCAUAAGCAAUAUAUUGAAGUAGAACAAAGUCAUAUUCAUAAUAUUGAAGAACAAAGAUAAUUAGAAGAACAAUUAGAAGCACAAUUAGAGAAUUACCAAGAAUCCUCUUGACAGAUCUAGAAACCAAUCGAAGAUUGACUCCUUCUACUUCUAAUCCUAUGUAGCUAUGCUAAUCUAGAUGUCUAAUUGUUGUGGUGGCUCUAAUCUUGAUCAGAGGCUUCUUCUCCGUUGAGGAAUAAUGAAUUAGGGUUGAGAGGCUCCCUCCUCUAGGGGCCAAGGGGUUUGGUUUUAUAGUCCCUUCAAGUGAAUAUGGGCCGUUGGAUCAAACCGACAUUGAUUGAACGAUUAUCCUUGAUCCUUUAGGUCAGUGGAGAUCUUUCCCGAAAGAGUGUCUUGAUUGGAGUCCAACAGGGGGCAGGCGCCCAGGUCAACUGGGCGAGCGCCCAGUGCCUGGCCCCGUUCGUCCUCCGCUUCCUUCCCGUGGCUUCUGGAGUCUUCUAGAUGUAAGAUAAUUGCGCGGCACAUUGACAUCUCUAUGUAAUCCCGACGUGUGGGCCUUUCUUCCGUAUUCCGUGAUAACCCCCUGCAGAAAUAGACAAACACCAAAACUCGUGGAAUUCUGUCAGAUAAAACCCUAAGUCUAGAUGUUGGUUUCAUUUGGAUCCUUUUCUUUGUUUAUUUGAUAAUUAAAUUUGAUACUUAAGGACCGUCAACAAACAUCACUAACGAAUUACUUAACAUUCGAGCAACAAGGUUCACAUACAUCCAGAAUUGCCAGCAUACAUACACUGGACUUUCAGCGUCAUCACAUAAAGUUUUACACAGCCUAGAUCCACAGAUUACAAGACAUGCCAUUUAACAACAACAUCAAAAGAAGAAGGACUAGCUCUAGAGCUCUAGCAUCUACUCGCUAUGGUCACUGUCCAUGCCGGAGCCCUCCUCGUCCUCAUCUCUACUAGCGGCUGCCUCUAUCUCUAGAACCUCAUCCAUCUCAUCCUCAGAGUCCAACUCAGCUCCUCCAGGCAGGUGGUGAGGGUGGAGCUGGUUAUGUAGCUGGUGGAUCUCCUCAUGCAGGUUCUCAUUGUACUCCUCAGCAUUAGCUAGCUGCUGCUCAAGCUCUAGCUAUCAGGCCCUCAGGGUGUCCUCCUCGUGCCAGGCUUCAUUCCUCUGACCAAGAACAUGAACUAGCAUGCGCUCGCAGUUCCUGUGAGCAGUAGUCACCCUGUCCCUCUGCUCUCUCAGUGCAAUCAGGUCCUGACUCAGCUCACUGUUCUUCUGGACUGCCCGAUCCCUCUCUCGGGUCACACGGGUCAACUCUGCUUGCAGCCUCUCAACCUCAGUGUCAAACUCACACAGCAGCUGGCGCUUCUCAUCCUGAACUGUGAGAAGGGACCCAGACAAGCAUCCCAAAAAGCUCCAGACCCCCAUAGGUCUUCAUCAAGGCGAACAUAGCACUCAUAGCGCACUAUCACUGUGCUGGUCCUCAUCUGCACUCCUCUCUAGAGCAUUCACCUCGGACUGAUCCCACACCGAAGUGUAGGGGUCACCCCGAGGAAACACCCCAGCAAAGGCAUGGGCCAGCUCCUGUGGAAACCUCUUCAUGAUGUCCCUCAGAACUGCAAAGGCUGCUCUGCUGGUACCGUGGAAAGGCGUGGUACCUCGGGACUCGUACACCUAGCCGCCCCAGGCGGGGUCACCUCCACUGGUAGGGACCACUAUCUCGAUCCCCACCAGGGUCCCGUCACCAAGCUGCUCCUUGUUCCAAUAGUAGCGAGGUUCCCUUCCUUUGGUAUACCCCAUCGAACUGAGCACCCUCCAAAGGAAGGUGGACAUCCCAAACUCCUCGAGGAACAUGCUCUUAUGACGCGAGCUCCUGGCUGCCAACUGAUGGCGAGGGGCCUGCCCACCAGUGGACUUGCGAGCGGUGAGCCUAGUGCGUGCCAUCUGCUGCAAAUAGAAUACCUUGGGUAAGAUUGAAGAUUAUCUUUUAUUAUCUUAAUUGAAAGUGGGACAGAUUUAAUUAAGGGGAGGAAGUGUGCAAUGUUAUGGAAUGAACAUGAUGCAUGCACGAACUUACGAUCUCACAAACUUAGAAACAAAAGUUAACACUAAUCGGUAUAUGCGGUGGCACACAACAUUCUCUCAUAACGUAACUAGCGUUCUAAGCGGGAACGUGGUUAGUGUACCUGCAGAAAACUCAUUUCAGCCCAACCUCAGUAUGAACAUGCAAAACAAGAAUUCAAAGCUAUGCACCCCACACACAUAGACACCAGGUCCAUGCAUAUGGCGUGUUACUACCCACAUCAUCGCCCAAAUGACGGCAUCACCUCUCAGGACGGAAUCUCCCAACAUGCGGUACUGUUCCCAGGCACACCAAACAUGUGUGCAUGACACAGCACCUAACAACACUUCCCUAGAUUGGCAGUGUAUCCGAUCAUGCUCUCACAGCUCCCACUUACCGAAGCGUAGAGGAAGAAUUGAUCCAUACAUUACCACUCAAAUGAAUGGUACUCAUACUAUUCCAUAGAAAUAUGAUGCAAUAACUCCCAAGUUAGUACUUAACUAGCCACCUUAGAGUCCGUAACUGGGCAUAAAGGAUAUGACCAUGGCACACUAGAUAGUUUUCCAAAAACUUAGUUAACACCUUGAUUAUCAUUAAUUAAUAAUAAUCUUUUAUUAAACUGGUUUAAGGUUAGUUAGAACGUACUUAUGAACAAUAACUCGCUAAACCUUGCUCCGAUGCCAGCUGUAAUAGAACCGCCCAAAUUAUAAGAGAUUAAGCCUGGUAGUGACCAUUUGCAUAGUCAAUCUACCGAGCUUAAGCCUAUAUAAUCCCGGUAGUCCGUGAAAUCUCAAAGGAUUUCAACCAUAUUUCGUACGUACAACUAAGAUCGUAAUAAGUUCAGCGGUCACCAUUCACAAUUACAUCCAGUUCACCACAUUCAUAAAAAUACUUCAGAGUACUUAAAAUUAUUAUAAAAAAGUUCUCAAGUAGCGGAAGCUUCAUAGUUCAAAAGUAACACACACAUAUUUAGUCUGGUACAGUGCCAUAGUUCGAUCAUUCCCAUAAAAGCAAAAGAGAAGGUAGAGUGACCAUCGCCCUUGGUCUAUUCAUCGCCCAUUGCUGGGUACAAGCAGAGGAUGCAAUAACCAUAGUACAUUUGACCAUCUGCAAAAUAACAUGGGAAUAGAACCCUGAGUACGAGAAUGUACUCAGCUAGACUUACCCGUCAUAAACCAAAAAUAAAGACUCUUCAAGGAUCAUGAAGGCUGUAUGGUGGGGUAGUUGAGACUCUUUGCAUAAAAGCAUUAUUCCACUAAAACAUAGCCUAGAGACCUUUCUUCUUUAAUUAGCUCAAGUUUGAUAAUAUCACUACCUAUUAUCUAGGUUUGCACCUGUACUAUUGCAAACAAGUGUAGUGAUAUGAUAGUACCUCAUCAUAGCAUUCAUAAAUCAUUUAUCAUCAUAACCCAAGUGUUCCAUAGUCCUUACUACGAGGACAGGGCUCAUGUCAAGUGCUCACUAUCCAGGAGCGAUGGCGAUUCGAAUCGAUUUCUGACCAGCUGGCGAGUUAUUCCCCACACAAACCACACUCACUGAUCAGGUGAGCUACAGAUCACCGUAUUACACUAUCCAGGACCAAAUCGCGGGUUCGGCAGGCACCGCCAGUACCCAAGAACCGUUUCGGCGACCAAGGUAUCCAAGGUAUACCAAGGUUGCGCGUCGCGCCCUCGUCGUUCUCCUCAACCCUCACCAAUACAGCGCAUGGCGGCUCGACUCCCGGCCCGGAUAGUGUUCAGGCUUCACGGUCGGAACGACUUAUCCUUCCAGCUAAGUGUGGGGCAUGCGUUCAAUAUGACAAGAUGGCCGUCAACGAUCGGUCCUUAAUCGACACAGGCAGGGGCACUACGGUCAACCCCACCAUAAGACCCUGCCCGGUCUCAAAUUCCUUUCCACACUUGAUUAGUUUUCCCCAUAGCAAAUACAACUAAUCAAACAGGUGUCCACCUAUAUCUCGCAGGUGACCGGGAAUCACCCGACUUCUACCGGACUAAGCAAACCAAGCAUAAACACCAUGCCUAUCUACAUAGGACAAGGUAGAUAACAAGUGGUGAUAUCAAGGAGUACAUAUGCAUCAACGGUACCAAGCAAUUCCUAUCACUUAAAUGUAACAUAGUAGAACAAGCAUAAUAUAACAUUUAAGUUAGCGAGAAUAGAGAGACUUAGAAUGCUCCGGGGCUUGCCUUUCUCAAACGUGCUCGGCUUGUGAUCCGGGCACUCCUGCAACUCUUCUCCGGGCACUGGUCCUCCCAGAAGUUCCUACUCCUAGGUCUCUUCCUGCUCCUCGGGUCCCACCUCGUUCUCCUGUUGGCCUGUAUGAUGCAUCUGUGCUUAUGAGUGGAGUGCGAGAUGCCCGGGGUGCAAUGCUUAUACAAGUGGAUACUAGAUGACCAUGACAUGAUGCAUAGAUGAUAUAAGUGGUUAUUUUUACAAGGUAGUCAACAUCAUCCGAGAACAAGUAAUCGAACUAAGCAUCUAUUGCAUUCUCUUCUACAAGUUGUCUUCAUGGUUAAACAGCAAGCUAACAUGAUGCUUGAAAGAUACUCCAAACAAUCUUUUAUUCUAUCUAAUUCAUGCACAACAAUUCUUAUUUUAUUUAAUCGCUUUUGGACCUACAACAGUUGCAUAUAUCUCUGUUUAACAAUAAAUUCCACAAAAAUUACAGUAGACCACUAGUCAAUCAUAAAGUCUAUCAUAAAUUUUUCAUAAUAUUUGGACAAUUAUUUUGGGCUACAAAAAUUACAAGAUUAAUCCAUAUAAUUAAGUAUAGUUACCCUACUGUUGUGUAAGUGUCAAACAGCAGAUUUCAUAUUUUUAUAAUUUACUUAUUAACAUAAGAAACACCCACUAAAAUUUCCAGAUUAAUUGCAUGAUCCAAUUAUUUAUUAAAAAUCAUAAACCACUGCCAUGCAAGCAUUUAAAUCAUCAUAAAUGAAUUCUUACAGCAAAUAAUGUGUAGCAUAAUUUUCCCAGAGACUAAUCAUCCAUGCAGAGCCAACAAAACACGUUUCAUAUUUUUCUGAGCUAUAUUUUAAUUACUAUGCAUUUUCCAAAUUUCAGCAAAAACAUAGAUUAAAUAUAUUUGUACAGAAAAGUUGUUCAAACAUGACAUGCAACUAUACCAAACUAUAGAUCUAGAAUUAUAGAACACUCCACAAUUUAUUUCAUUAAUUUUGGAGCCAUAUAUCUCAAGAUAUGGAUUUUAUAUCAUUUAAACUAUUUUCUAGAAAUCUUUUUCUGAAAACCAAUUCAAAACCGGGAUGAAAAACACUAAAGACACCCAGAUCUCUACCCACCUCGGUCCCCUUGCGACUGACAGUGGGCCCCCGACCCCACUGGUUAGCGUGACCGAGAGGGAGAGCACCUCCGACGUGCGGAUCUCGUCGGCGGUGAGGUCUCCGGCCACGGGGUGAGCACCAACGCGCUCCCCGCAGCGAGGCACACCCGAGGGUGCCUUGGAUCGGCCGGAAGAUGACCGGAGCACCCCCGCGGGCAUGCAUGGUGGCACGGCGGCGCUGCUCGCCGUGGCCAAGCCACUCCGGUGGGGUAGAACGCGUGCGGAGAAUCGUCCGAGCUUCCUCACCGUGCUACGAACCUAACGCGCUCGUAAGCAAGCAAAAUGAGGCAGAAACGAGCAGGUUUCGACGCGGCGGAGCACUCCGACGAGGUCAGGGAAACUCCGGCGAGUGAUUCAGGGCUCGCGGCGGUCUCUCACCUCGGUAGAGCGUGCGCAGGGGCUUAUCGCGGUGAAGACGAGUGCAGCGGUGGUUUUGGCGCAGAGGAUGGGUCACUAGUGUGGCCGGCGGCGAGCAGCGGAGCUCAGCCAACAAUGGCGCCGCAGCGGAGCUGCUGCGCUCGCGAACGGGGAGGAGAGGGAGCGGGGAGGGGACAGAAUGGGGGUGCCUGGGGGCGCAGGGUGGCGUCCCGACCAGGAUAAGGCCGGUCGGCCGCGGCGCGUCCACGACGCCGGCGUACGGCCGCCAUGUGGCCGGCGCUGGGUGGAGCGAGGCGGGCGCCCGCACGAGGGAUAGAGGGGAGGGCAAAACGGGCCGCGCAGCUUGGCUGGGCCGAAAGGGAGGCGGGUCGGCCCAGCAGCGCCUGCCCCCUUUUCUUUUUUUUGAAUUUCUUUUCUCCAAAAAGCUUAAAUAAAAUAUUUGAAGCCUCUGCAAAACUUUUCAGGGGUUGGGGUAAGAAGAAGAAUUGCUCUCCACAAAAUUCCCUACAACUUUGUUUUGAUAAGAAAAUUCAAAUUCCAAAUAGAAUUUGAAUCACAAAUUAAAACUAGUUCUAGGUUUUUAAUAAAUUCAUUUUAGAGAUUUUUGGUAUAAAUUCCAUUUCUCAAUUUCUAUAGCUCCAAAAAUUUCACAAAAUUACCCUUAAAUCUUCUAACCCUUAUUUCAACCUAAUUUGGGCAAUUCAAGAAUUUAGAAGCAAGCAUAAUAUUUUUACCAUAUUUAAUUCACAUAAAAUAAAGCACAUAAAAUCACACUUGAAUGAAUAACAUACUCAUGCGAUGCUAUGCUUGAUGAGAAUGCUUAUGGAUGAGUUUAUGAGACUAAGUGCAUGCUUAAAACCUAGGGUGUUACAAGUUGUAUGCUCUUUUCAUAAUAGGUUAUCAAAACUUCACUUUGGCACUCAUAAAUUCCAGCCAAUUGAUUUAUAACAAGCAUAGAAUCGCCGAAAAUUUCAACAGCAUCGGCCUGAACCUAAUUUAACAAUUCCAACCCUUUGAUCAGAGCUCGAUAUUCAGCUUGAUUAUUCGUUAACGUGGCAACAAUCGGCAAAGAGAACUCAUACUUCUUUCCCCAAGGAGAAAUUAGUACUAUACCGAUUCCUGCACCCCGAUCACACAUGGAUCCAUCAAAGAAGAGCGUGCAAGGAACAAUCUCCAAAGUCCCCACUACACCGCAGUGCUGAGCCACAAAAUCGGCCAUAAUCUGCCCUUUAACUGCCUUAGCAGAUUCAUAACACGGAUCAAAUUCCGACAGCGCCAAAAUCCAUUUGCCGAUUCUACCACUCAUAAUCGGCAUAGAUAGCAUGUAUCGGACCACAUCAUCUUUGCAUAUAACGGUGCAUUCGGCCUAUAACAAAUAGUGCCUCAACUUCAUACAUGAAAAGUAUAAGCAUAAACAUAAUUUUUCAAUGGCCGAGUACCUUGUCUCAACAUCAACCAGUCUUCUACUCAAAUAAUAAAUCACACGUUCCUUCCCUUAAAAUUCCUGAAUUAGAGCUCAACCGAUGACCAUUCCAUCAGUAGAUAAAUACAAUUUGAAAGGUUUUCCUUGCUGAGGUGGAAUCAGAACUGGAGGAUUUGGCAAAUAAUUCUUGAUUUCGUCCAGUGCUGACUGUUGCUCUUUUCCCCAUACAAACUCUUGAUCGGCUUUCAACUUAUGUAAAGGACUAAAAGCACGAAUCUUACCAGACAAGUUAGAUAUAAAUCGCCUAAUAAAAUUUAUCUUGCCGAUCAGAGAUUGGAGUUCAGUCUUAUUGGUGGGAGCAACUAUUUUGUUGAUAGCAUCAAUAGAUCUCCUACUAAUUUCAAUUCCUCUCUGAUGCACCAUGAAACCAAGAAAUUGUCCUGCCGAUACACCAAAUGCACACUUAUUAGGAUUAAUCUUCAAACCAUGUUUCCUUGUGCACUCUAACACCUUUCGUAGAUCGGCAAAAUGCUUUGUGAAAUCUGUUGACGGUUCUUAAGUAUCAAUUUUAAUUAUCAAAUAAAAAUGGGAAAUGACCAAUAUACAAACAACACCUAGAAUUAGGGUUUGAUCUGAUAGAAUUCCACGAGUUUUGUUGUUUAUCUGUUUUUUCAGGGGGUUAUCAGGAAAUAAGGAAGAAAGGCCCACAUUUCAGGAUUACAUAGAGAUAUUAACGCACCGUGCAAUUUUCUACCAUCUAGAAGACUCUAGAAGCCACGGGAACGAAUGGGAAGGCGAUCGGGCCCGGGGGUAGGGCGCCCACCCACCCCCCUAGGGGGCCGCCCAAGAGUUCUGCCCAAACACGUCCAGCUUCGCGGAUCACGCUCCACCGACCUAAAGGAUCCAGGAUAACCGUUCAAUCAAUGUCGGUUUGAUCUGACGGCCCACAUUUACCUGAGGGAACUAUAUAAGCAGACCCCCUGGCCCCUGGAGGAGAACAAGUUCAUCAUAGAGUUGAGAGGUACGAAGGAUAACCUCUCCUCUAAAUAGACUUAGGGCUUAGCAUCCAAUGUGAGUAGAAUUAGAUCUUCUAGUUCUACUAGAUUGAGAGAGAUAUAGUGGAGGUGUAGAUUGGAGGAAGCCCAGCCUGUCGGUGUCUACUCCGUGGUUGUACCUGCGGGAUCAAGUUCUCCUAACCCGAAGCUUGCUCCUAGGAUUCUUUAGUAUUUUGACUUCUAAAUUCUAGUAAGUUCUUGUUUUAUUGUUCUUUGGUUUAUGAGUUUACUUUAAUCUCUUCGUGUAGAGUUUAGAGUAAUCAUCUCUAGCGUAGACGUGGUGUUUGGGCUAGAAUACUCAUAGAUAUCCCGUGACUAGCUGGACCGUAGUAGUAGCGAGAUACGUGACAUUUUCGAGUUACCUUUGCAAACCAUAUCUCAUUAGCAGGAAGGACAGGGUUUAUAGGUGCAGGUUGAACAUCCUCUAUGGUGUCUAGAUUCCGUGAGCCUCCCUAGUAGAACAGUAGAUCAUCCUUACCAAGGUUAGAAAGAGACUACGGUUGUAGUCUUCUCUAUAUAUCACUCACAUCAAGAAACAUUCUUUGUAGCCUAAAGGUUAGUAGUAAUAGACUAGGUUAGUCAGAUGCACUCUUUCUCCUAGUGGUAAAAAUAUAAAUACGAUACUCUGGAUAACCUCCCAGGUGAAGUGCCCACCGAUAUCCAUGCGCUUGCGGAUCAAUUCCUUAUUGCGUUCCCAAAUAUCAACAAGCAUUUUUGGCGCCGUUGCCGUGGAGAAAGACGGUUUGCUGAGAUAACCUUGAGUCUUACUACUAGCUUGUAUCUAUACUUUUAUCUUUUCUUAUCUUUUAUAUUAUUUAUUUAUUUUCUUUACUCUUACCUUAUGGAAAACCAAGAUUCUGAAUCAAUCUACCAAUUUGCAACACCUUCGGAAACUGGCCUUUUACCAUAGGAGUCAUCACAGCCUAUCCAAACAUCCCAGUAUAGGUUAAGUUCCAGGUUGAUUGCCAUGAUUCAAAACCUAUCUUUUUCAGGAAAGGAAGACGAAAACCCUUACCUUCGUAUUAGAGAUUUUGAGCAAACAUGUGAUUGUCUUCGCAUUGAAGGCAUUUCUGAUAAAACUUUACGUUGGAAGCUUUUUCCUUUUUCUUUAAGGGGAGAAGCUAGACAAUGGUAUAAUCAGAAGGUAAGUCAACAACGAGGUGAAUGGGGAGUUUUAUGAGCCAACUUUUGUCUAGAUUUUUAUUCCCUCGACCGUAUCGGCGACCUUAGACUCGAAGUCCUAUCUUUAAACAAAAAGAUAAUGAAACUUUGGGAAAAUCCUGGAAAUGUUUUUCUGAUCUUUAAAAUCUGGCCCAAACCUUAAUCUUGAAGACCCUAUUCUUUUAUUUUACUUUUUUCAAGGUCUUCAGAAAGAUCAUAAACAAAUGCUACAUACAAUAUCUAGAGGUUCUUUCUUUCGCAUCUCUACUGAUGAUGCUAGAGUGGUCCUAGAUAGAAUCCUAGAAGCUGAGAUGGAUAAUACCCUUCAUAUGAAACCACGAAGCCAAAGUAGACACUCUGCCAAAUUCUCUGUCUACUUUAGCUAUCCCAUGUUCUGAGCCACAAAAGGAAGAAAUUCCAUCACCUGAUUUCAUGUUGGAUAUAGAAUCUGAUCUUUUUGCCGAUUUUGGAAACAUUUCAAACUACCAUUCUAUAAACAAACCCCAAAAUGGCCAUUUUAGUAAUUGUUUACCAAGUGAACAUCAAUUAAGAGAGCUUAUCUUAGUCAUGAGUAGCGAGUGGUUGGAGGAGUCAGAGCUUUCCUCUGAUGUGAUCCGUUUGGACACACCCUCUAUAACUAUACGUUGUGCUUAUGAUUCUGAUCGUUUUGAUCCUCUCUAUAAUCCUGUUGUGGGGAUCAACAUCAUGUCUGAAUCUUUUGCACUUAAAUUAUUUAAAAAUUUGGUUUUAACCCCCACAACAAAAGUCAUAAAGGAAUCUUCGGGACAAUUAGUCCCCAGUCUUGGAAUUAUUAAUGUCCUACCUCUUACGGUAGAAGGCUCCAUGGUUCAUUUGAACUUCUGUAUCUUUGAUACAUGGGACUUCAACCUGUUGAUAGGACAACCUUUUAGAAGACUCCUUUAUGAAGGUCAUACUAGAAAGCUACACAUUUCUUUUGGAAAAACUCUUAAAUUUCCCAUAACAAUUUCACACUCCUUGAAUAAUAAGGCCGAGUCAUAUCUUUUGCUUGAUCCUAUGGAGGAGGUAUAGGCUGCAUCUCUAGAGCUUUUAGAUGAACCAGACUUAGAAGAUGAAGCUCCUUUCUUCACAGAAGAAGAAGCUGAACCAUCUGAACCUGAACCCUUACAUGAGUUUGCAGAAACACCUAGACCCCCCAUAGAGCUUAAAACUUUACCACCUGGUCUUAUCUAUGCUUUCCUAAACAAUAAUCCAGAGUGAUCAUUACUGAUAAACUCACUCAGGAGCAGAUUCUGAGAUUAAUGACCAUUCUUGAAAAACAUCACUCAGUUUUUGGCUACUCACUCCAAGAUCUUACAGGAAUCAGUCCUAUGAUUUGUACCCAUCGUAUUCCGACAGAUCCUUCUGUUUCACCUUCUCGAGAACCCCAACUAGACUUAACAACGCGAUGAGAGCGGUAGUUAAAAAGGAAGUUAUAAAGUUGCUGCAUGCAGGGAUUAUAUAUCCUGUGCCGCAUAGUGAGUGGCUGAGGCCAGUUCAAGUUGUGCCUAAAAAGGGAGGCAUGACUGUCAUUAUGAAUGAAAAGACCGAGCUAAUUCCGCAACGCACCGUCACAGGGUGGCGGAUGUGCAUAGACUAUAGAAAACUGAACAAAGCCACGAGAAAGGAUCACUUUCCUUUACCUUUCAUAGAUGAGACGCUAGAGCGAUUAGCGAACCAUUCGUUCUUCUGUUUCUUAGAUGGAUAUUCAAGGUAUCACCAGAUCCCGAUCCAUCCCGAUGAUCAAAGCAAAACCACUUUUACAUGCCCAUAUGGAACUUAUGCUUACCGUAGAAUGUCUUUUGGGUUAUGUAAUGUGCCAACUUCUUUUCAAAGAUGCAUGAUGUCUAUAUUUUCUAAUAUGAUUGAAGAGAUUAUGGAAGUUUUCAUGGAUGAUUUCUCUGUUUAUGGAAAAACUUUUGAUAGUUGUCUUGAAAACUUAGACAAGGUUUUGCAAAGAUGUGAAGAAAAGCACUUAAUCCUUAAUUGGGAAAAAUGUCAUUUUAUGGUUAGGGAAGGAAUAGUGUUGGGACACCUAGUGUCUGAAAGAGGUAUUGAGGUAGACAAAGCUAAAAUUGAAGUAAUUGAACAACUACCUCCACCUGUGAAUAUAAGAGGAAUUCGAAGUUUUCUUAGCCAUGCUGGUUUUUAUCGCAGAUUCAUAAAAGAUUUUUCAUUCAUUGCUAGACCACUUACUCUUUCGCUAGCCAAUGAUGCUCCUUUCGAAUUUGAUGAUGCAUGCCUAACAUCUUUCAAUUUAUUAAAGAAAGCACUCAUCUCUGCACCGAUCAUUCAACCCCCUGAUUGGUCAUUGCCUUUUGAAAUUAUGUGUGAUGCUAGUGAUUAUGCUGUGGGGGCAGUUUUGGGACAAACUAAAAAUAAGAAGCAUCAUGCAAUUGCUUAUGCAGUAAAACUUUGACAGGAGCUCAACUUAAUUAUGCAACCACUAAAAAAGAGCUUCUGGCUGUUGUCUGUGCCAUUGAUAAAUUUAGAUCUUAUUUAGUUGGAGCUAAAAUAAUUGUUUACACUGAUCAUGCUGCACUAAAAUUUCUGCUCACUAAAAAAGAUGCUAAACCUCGCCUGAUUAUAUGGAUCUUAUUACUUCAAGAAUUUGACUUAGAAAUAAAAGAUAAAAAGGGAGUAGAAAAUUUUGUUGCUGAUCACAUGUCUAGAAUGUAUUUUAAGAAUCCACAGGAACCCUCCAUCAAUGAUUCACUUCGGGACGACAUGCUCUACGGGAUUAACAGGUCUGACCCCUGGUAUGCAGAUAUUGUUAAUUUUAUGGUUUUAGGGUAUGUACCACCAGGAGCAAACAAGAAGAAGCUUAUUCAAGAAAGUCGUUCACAUAUAUGGGAUGAGCCAUACCUCUUCCGAAUAUGCUCUGAUAGCUUACUCAGGAGAUGUGUGACCACCAAGGAAGGAUGGAAGAUCAUCGACAGAUGUCAUUCAUCACCAUAUGGAGGUCAUUAUGGAGCAUUCCGUACACAUUCAAAAAUUUGGUAGUGUGGAUUCUACUGGCCUACAAUGUAUGAAGACACGAAGCAAUAUAUCAGAAGAUGUGGGCCAUGUCAAAGGCACGGAAACAUAAACACAAGGGAUGCCAUGCCACUCACCAACAACCUUCAGAUUAAGCUCUUUGAUGUCUGGGGAAUAAAUUACAUGGGUCCAUUUCCUCCAUCAAAGAAGUGUGAGUUCAUCUUUGUGGCAGUUGACUACGUCUCCAAGUGGGUAGAGGCACUACCUUGCAAGCAUGCCGACAACAUCAGUUCAAAGAGGAUGUUUGAAGAAAUUAUAUUUCCAAUAUUUGGAGUUCCCACAGUAGUGAUAAGUGAUGGAGGAGCACACUUCAUCGACAAACGCUUCAAGCAAUAUCUAUCAAAACAUGGAAUCCGUCACAACGUCGCUACCCCCUAUCAUCCUCACACAAGUGGCCAAGCAGAAACUUCCAACAAACAAAUCAAGAAUAUUCUUCAGAAGACUGAAUGAAAUGGGAACGGCAUGGAAAGACAAGUUACCCGAUGCACUCUGUGUAACACCCCAGUGUUAUGGUUGCAUAAAUCACAUGCAUAACAUGAGCAUCAUCAUUUACUCAAGCAUAUCAUGAUCAUCAUCUACCUUGAGCCAUGUCAUUUUAUGCAAAAUGUGAUUUAAGUUGUCUAAAUAGGCUUCCUAGGCUUGUGUUGGUGUGUACCAUGCUUGUGUUUGUGCUCUAUGCCUUGGAAAUUAGUUUAUCUAUGCUUGACUCAACAUUAGGAACAAUGUUCAUGUUGAUUACUUCUCCAAAAUAAUCACUUAAGUCAUGCUCUUUUGCUUAGUCUUUUAAAAAGUGUUUCAUAAAUUGUUUGCAUGUCAAAACUUUCUACAGCAAAGUUGUAGCAAAUUUUAUAAGGAACAAAAGUUGUUUUAUGGCCAUCUAGCUCAAAAGUGACCCACAAGGCAGAUUUGGGGCUGUUUCCAACACUUAGAAAAUUUUCUAAGUCUGGGAUCGUAGCAGUUUGCUCGAGGGUAUGUUGUUCAUCUUCCAGUUCAAAUUCUGGACCGAAUCAGACUUUGAUCCUGUAGACAAUGUUGGAGUACUCAUGUAGCUCUCUAGCAGAGAGCCAUUAGCUAGCAAAAUCAUCAAGUGGAUUAGGAGAUAAUUGCAGUGCAAAAUCGAGUUUCAGUCGGGUUCAGAAACUGAAUGGAGUCGCCGUCAGUUCAGGGGAGCUCGCAGGUGACGCCGCGUGUCUGGACCCGUGGCGUCCGUACGUCGCUGUUGGUCUCGCUCGUCAAUCCCCAGCGCGUCCUACAGCUUGCCACGGCGCCCCCGGUCGCGUGGACAGCGCCAUUCCACUCCCGGCUCUCUCCCUCUCGCGUGCGUCGUCUUCUCCACGUCGCCGCUGUUGCUUCGGCGAGCUCGCGCGCGUGUGUCUCCGUGUCUCCGGCCAAGCGACUCUGUCCAUCGCUCCGCUAGCUUCCCCGCAACACCGUCGUCAAGUUGGCUGCAGCUGCCGAGCCUCGGUAAGCCCGCAUUGUCUCAUCCGUCGCGAGCUUACCUCGCCGGAGCUCCGCCAUGGUCAUCGGCGUCGUGGCCAGGGCUCUGUAGUCCACCAUUCCUCCUCAUUCUUGUCCCAAAAGCUCCGCUAGGUCAUGCUGAUGCUCGUCCGCAUUCUCUUUCGCUCUGUCUCCGGCCAGAGACGCCGGCGGUCGGCCGCGCACCACCGCCGUGCCGCCAUUCGCGAGGGCGAUGUACCUAGGGUCCAGUAGAGUUAGGGUUUCGGGUACCGUUCGAUGCGGAAUGGAGUGGAGAGCACGAUGGUGCCCUUGGCCAUCGCCGAGACCUCGCCGUCGACGAGAUCUCCGGCGGUCAAGUCGCGCCUCUGCUCUCGGGUCACUGACAUGUGGGGUUCGUUGACUCGUGGGGUCCCUCUGUCAUUCUCUCUCUUUCUCCUUUAUUGAUUUAGGGUUUGAGCUGUUUUUGCAAAAAAUCAUAUCUCUUGUUCCUGAGAUCCAAAAAUUGUGAAACCAAUUUUGUGGGAUUCCUUGGGAUGGCUAGCUUUUAAUAAAAAUGUAAAAUAGACUAUGUUGGCUGGGAAAAUAAUUAAUAGGAUUUAAUCUUGGUUAUUUAAGUAAAAAUUCAUAUCUGUUGGUAGGCUGCUCCUUUUGAUAUAAAAAAUUUUAUGGUAGUCUCUGAGUGAUGCUAGAAUGCCAUGAUAAAUAUUUCAUGAUUUUUGGAGUACUAUAUCUGUGAUAUGAAAUUUAUGUUGGUUCUAUGGCUUGUUUUCUUAUUUAAAUCAUAGUAAAUAAUUGGUGAUUAUGCUGAUGCUCUACUUUGGGGGCAAACUUGUUUAUGGUAUUGGUAACAUGUAAAUAAUCUGAAAUCUGCUGUUUGGCACUAUAUAAGCCAUGUUCCUUAAUUUAUGAAAUAAGUACCUUGUCACAUGUUAAAUUCUUAUCUAAAAAUUGGCAUGUGCAAUUGCCCUGAAAAUUUUAUGGUGAUGUCAAGAUGCUAUGCUUGUGCUCCUGUAAUUUUUGUAGAUUUUUCUGGGCAAUUUUGCUAGUAUCUUGUAAUUAUGCUCUUUUAUAGAAUUAAAUGGAUAAAUGCCUUGUUACGAAACAAUUAAAGGGUAACAUAUAAUGUUCUGGUUAUCUUAUGAUAUACUUGUGCUUAUAAGCUAUUUGGUUGGCACUGUUUAUGUUUUGGCUAUGUCAUCAAAUAAUUAAUUGGAGGGUUAAGAGCUGUCUGGACAGCAAGAGAGUAAUACAACCUUUACUUGUUGAUAACUUGGUUUUCUGGGAGACUUGUCUAAAGCAAAGUUAUUGUAAACUCUAUGAACUAGCUGUGGUUUAAUUUUGGGAUCCUUUGGUUCAAUAGUUUGAAAGUUAUGGCUGUUCCAAGUUGGGUUCCAGAAAUAGGUAUUCUCUGUUUUUCUGGGACAGAACCUGGAACUUUGUUUGAAUGACAUAUUUAAUUUAUGAAUCUUGCUGUGAUGUUUAAAGAUGAUUUGUAGACAAUUUCAUUAGCUUUCCAGAAUGUUCUCAUUUAUGUUUAUUGGAUCUUUAUAGCAAUAGUUAUGACCUGUUUACUGAGCUGUUCUGUUAUGUGUUGCUUGCUGUUUAUAGUUUGACUUGCCAAGUUUGCUAAGUCAAUUGGUUUUCCUUUGUGAGUUAACUUAGAAGUUUACUCAGUAAAUGAGUGUCCAGUGAGUCUAAUUAUGUUAUCAAGCAUUCAUCCUUUAGUAUGCACACUUUCUUAUUCAUCGAGCAUGCAAUAGGUGCACCGGACACGACCGCCUCUUUCGAGCUUCAAGUGAACCCCGAAGGCCAGGAGGGCAACCCGGAGGUGGAGGUCUAGCAAAUCGGACUCGAGGAGCCCAAAGAGGAGAUUGAGUGCCCAAACCACGAGCCAGCCUCGUUUGUGAAAGGCAAGCCCCAGAGCAUCCUAAGUCUCCCCUUUACUUUCGAAAUUUACUUGAAUAUGUUAUAUCUAUUGAUGCAUUUAAGUAAAGGAGUUGUGAUGAAGCCCUUGAUGCAUUUUACUCAAUCCUUGUCUAGAUAUCUUAUCACUACCUGGUUAUAGAGUUAGGAUCGAGUAGCUGCUUAGCCAUGCUUUAACCGGUAGAAGUCGGGUGAUAUACUGUCACCUGCGCGAUAUAGGGUUAUGUCGGAUCACGAUGGACUAUAUGUGCUAUCGUGGAUGGAACCUGAUUAAAUUGACUUAAGCCGGGCGGAAUUUUGCAAGGUUGUAGUAACUCCGUCUGUUGUAGCUAAGGACCGACCGUUGUACGUCCUCUUGUCAUGUUGAACGCAUGCCUAACACUUAGUUGGCCAGAUAACUCGUUCCGACCGCGAAGCCUAGUAGUAUGACUCAGGCCGGAAGACCGGCAAGUAUAAAGUGCGCACUACCGGAGGAAGUGCGGUGUGUGGGGAACCAUUGGCGUAAGACCAAAGGCAGGUGAGUUAAAAUUCCUGACCUCCCUGGCAGAGUGGUUGUCGACGGUUCUUAAGUAUCAAUUUUAAUUAACAAAUAAACAAGAGAAAGGACCAAUAUGCAACCAUCACCUAGAAUUAGGGUUUGAUCUGACAGAAUUCCACGAGUUUUGUGGUUUAUCUAUUUCUGCAGGGGGUUAUCAGGAAAUAAGGAAGAAAGGCCCACAUGUCGGGAUUGCAUAGAGAUAUCAACGCACCGUGCAAUUUUACUUCAUCUAGAAGACUCCAGAAGCCACGAGACCGAAGCGGAGGCAAAACUGGGCCAGGCCCAGGGCGCCCGCCCUGGAAGCCUGGGCGCCCGCCCCCCUGCUGGAGCCAAAUCAGGACUCUUUCGCUCGGGAUAUUCCACCGACCUAUUGGAUCAAGAAAAAUAUAGUACCACCUCGCCUAUCGACCCAAAAACGCAUAGAAGGGGAGGAAGACAUGAAGAAAUUAUCAUAGAGACUGAGGGGUGCCCUCGAAGGAAAACCUCUUCUCUAAAUAAUAUUUCUUUUUAGGCUUAGCAAUCAAUGUAAGGUAGAAAUAGAUCUUCUAGUUUCUACUAGAUUGAGAGAGAUAGAGUGGAGGUGUAGAUUGGAGGAAGCCCGGCCUGUCGGUGUCUACUCCAAGCUUGUACCUGUGGGAUCAAGUUCUCCUAACCCGAAGCUUGCUCCUAGGAUUCUUCAGUAAUUCGACUUCUAAAUUCUAGUAAGUUCUUGUUUUAUUGUUCUUAUGGUUUAUGAGUUUACUUUAAUCUCUUCGUGUAGAGUUUAGAGUAAUCAUUGCUGGCGUAAACGUGGUGUUUAGGCUGGGGUACUCAUAGAUAUUCCCUGACUAGCUGGACCGUGGUAGUAGUGAGGAACGUGACAAUUUUGAGCUACCUUUGUAGAUCACAUCUCGUUAGCAGGAAGGAUAGGGUUUAUAGGUGCGGGUUGAACAUCCUUUGUGGUGUCUAGAUUCUAUUAGCCUCCCCAUUAGAACAGUAGAUCAUCCUUACCAAGGUUAGAAGGAGACUACGGUUGCAGUCUUCUCUAUUUAUCACUCACAUCGAAAGACAUUCUUUGUGCCUAAAGGUUAGUAGUAAUAGACCGGUUAGUCAGAUGCACUCUUUCUCCUAGUGGUAAAAAAAUAAAUACGAUACUCUGGAUAAUUUCCCGGGUGAAGUGCUCACCGAUAUCCGUGCGCUUGCGGAUCAAUUCCUUAUUGCGUUCCCAAAUAUCAACAAGCAUUUCUGGCGCCGUUGCCGGGGAGAAAGACGGUUGCUGAGAUAACCUGUGUCUUGCUAUUAGCUUGUAUCUAUACUUUUAUCUUUUCUUAUCUUUUAUAUCCUUUAUUUAUUUUCUUUACUCUUACCCUAUGGAAAACCAAAAUUCUAAAUCGAUCCAUGAGUCUGCAAUCCCUUUAGCAACUGACCUUUUACCAUGGGAAUCAUCACAGCCUAUCCAAACAUCCCAGUAUAAGUUAAGUUCUAGGUUGAUUGCUAUGAUUCAAAACCUAUCUUUUUCGGGAAAGGAAGACGAAAACCCUUACUUUCAUGUUAGAGAUUUUGAGCAAACAUGUGAUUGUCUUCGCAUUGAAGGCAUUUCUGAUAAGACUUUACGUUGGAAGCUUUUUCCUUUUUCCUUAAGGGGAGAAGCUAGAUAAUGGUACGGUCAGAAGGUAAGUCAACAACAAGGUGAAUGGGGAGUUUUACGAGCCAACUUUUGUCUAGAUUUCUAUUCCCUUGACCGUAUAGCCGACCUUAGACUCGAAGUCCUAUCUUUUAAACAAAAAGAUAAUGAAACUUUGGGAAAAUCCUGGAAACGUUUUUCUGAGCUUUUAGAAUCUGGUCCAAACCUUAAUCUUGAAGACCCUGUUCUUUUAUUUCACUAUUUUCGAGGUCUUCAUAAAAAUCACAAAUAAAUGCUACACACAAUGUCUAGAGGUUCUUUCUUUCGCAUCCCUGCUAAUGAAGCUAGAGUGAUCCUAGAUAGAAUCCUAGAAGCUGAGAUGGAUAAUACCCUUCAUGAUGAAACCUACGAAGCCGAAGUAGACACUCUGCCAAAUUCUUCAUCUACUUUAGCUAUCCCAAGUUUUGAGCCACAAGAGGAAGAAAUUCCACUACCGGACUUCAUGCUGGAUAUAGAAUCCGAUCUUUUUGCCGAUUUUGGAAAUAUUUCAAACUACCAUUCUAUUGACAAACCCCAAAAUGGCCAGUUUAGCAUUUAUUUACCAAGUGAAUAUCAAUUGAGAGAGCUUAUCUCAGUAAUGAGUAGCGAAUGGUUGGAGGAAUCAGAGCUUUCCUCUGAUGUAAUCCGUUUGGACACACCCUCUAUAACUAUACAUUGUGCUUAUAAUUCUGAUCGAUUUAAUGCUCUUUAUAAUCCUGUUGUGGGGAUCAACAUCAUGUCUGAAUCUUUUGCACUUAAACUAUUUAAAAAUCUUGUCUUAACCCACACAACAAAGAUCAUAAAGGAAUCUUCGGGACGAUUAAUCCCCAGUCUUGGAAUUAUUAAUGUCCUACCUCUUACGGUAGAAGGCUCCAUGGUUCAUUUGAACUUCCAUAUCUUUGAUACAUGGGACUUCGACCUGUUAAUAGGACAACCUUUUAGAAGACUCCUUUAUGAAGGUCAUACUGGAAAGCUACACAUUUCUUUUGGAAAAACUUUUCAAUUCCCAAUGAUAAUUUCACACUCCUUAAAUAAUAAGGCCGAGUCAUAUCUUUUGCCUGAUCCUAUGGAGGAAGUAAAGGCUGCAUCUCUAGAACUUUUAGAUGAAUCAGACUUAGAAGACGAAACUCCUUUCUUCACAGAAGAAGAAGACGAACCUUCUGAGCCUGAACCCUUAGACGAGUUUGCAGAAACACCUAGACCCAUAGAACUUAAAACUUUACCACCCGGUCUUACCUAUGCUUUCCUAAACAAUAAUCCAGAGUUCCUUGUGAUCAUUAGCGAUAAACUCACUCAGGAUCAAACUCUGCGAUUAAUGACCAUUCUUGAGAAACAUCACUCAGUAUUCGGCUACUCACUUCAAGAUCUUACAGGAAUCAGUCCUAUGAUUUGUACCCAUCGUAUUCCAACAGAUCCUUCUGUUACACCCUCUCGAGAACCCCAACGUAGACUUAACAACACUAUGAGAGAGGUAGUUAAAAAGGAAGUUAUAGAGUUGCUGCAUGCAGGGAUUAUAUAUCCUGUGCCGCACAGUGAGUGGGUGAGCCCAGUCCAAGUUGUGCCCAAAAAGGGAGGCAUGACAGUUAUUAUGAAUGAAAAGAACGAGCUAAUUCCGCAACGCACCGUCACAGGAUGGCGGAUGUGCAUAGACUAUAGAAAACUAAACAAAGCCACGAGAAAAGAUCACUUUCCUUUACCUUUUAUAGAUGAGAUGCUAGAGCGGUUAGCAAACCAUUCAUUCUUCUGUUUCUUAGAUGGAUAUUCAGGGUAUCAUCAAAUCCCGAUCCAUCCUGAUGAUCAAAGCAAAACCACUUUUACAUGCCCUUAUGGAACUUAUGCUUACCGUAGAAUGUCUUUUGGGUUAUGUAAUGCAUCAGCUUCUUUUCAAAGAUGCAUGAUGUCUAUAUUUUCUGAUAUGAUUGAAGAGAUUAUGGAAGUUUUCAUGGAUGAUUUCUCUGUUUAUGGAAAAACUUUUGAUAGUUGUCUUGAAAACUUAGAUAAGGUUUUGCAAAGAUGUGAAGAAAAGCACUUAAUCCUUAAUUGGGAAAAAUGUCAUUUUAUGGUUAGAGAAGGAAUAGUGCUAGGACACUUAGUGUCUGAAAGAGGUAUUGAGGUAGACAAAGCUAAAAUUGAAGUAAUUGAACAACUACCUCCACCUGUGAACAUAAAAGGAAUUCGAAGCUUUCUUGGCCAUGCUGGUUUUUAUCGUAGAUUCAUAAAAGAUUUUUCAUUUAUUGCUAGACCACUUACUCUUUUGCUAGCCAAGGAUGCUCCUUUCGAAUUUGAUGAUGCAUGUCUAACAUCUUUCAAUUUAUUAAAGAAAGCACUCAUCUCUGCACCAAUCAUUCAACCCCCUGAUUGGUCGUUGCCUUUUGAAAUUAUGUGUGAUGCUAGUGAUUAUGCUGUGGGGGCAGUAUUGGGGCAAACUAAAGAUAAGAAGCAUCAUACAAUUGCUUAUGCCAGUAAAACUUUGACAGGAGCUCAAUUUAACUAUGCAACCACUGAAAAAGAACUUCUAGCUGUUGUCUUUGCCAUAGAUAAAUUUAGAUCUUAUUUAGUUGGAACUAAAAUAAUUGUUUACACUGAUCAUGCUACGCUAAAAUAUUUGCUCACUAAAAAAGAUGCUAAACCCCGCCUGAUUAGAUGGAAUUUAUUACUCCAAGAAUUUGACUUAGAAAUAAAAGAUAAAAAGGGAGUAGAAAAUUCUGUUGCUGAUCACCUGUCUAGAAUGUAUUUUAAGAGUCCACAGGAAACCCCAAUCAAUGAUUCACUCCGGGACGACAUGCUCUAUGGGAUUAACAGGUCUGACCCCUGGUAUGCAGAUAUUGUUAAUUUUAUGGUUUCAGGGUAUGUACCACCAGGAGCAAACAAGAAGAAGCUUAUUCAAGAAAGUCGUUCACAUAUAUGGGAUGAGCCAUAUCUCUUCCGAGUAUGCUCUGACGGCUUACUCAGGAGAUGUGUGACCACUGAGGAAGGAUGGAAGAUCAUCGACAGAUGUCAUUCAUCACCAUAUGGAGGUCACUAUGGAGCAUUCCGUACACAUUCAAAGAUCUGGCAGUGUGGAUUCUAUAGGCCUACAAUGUAUGAAGACACGAAGCAAUAUAUGAGAAGAUGUGGGCCAUGUCAAAGGCACGGAAACAUAAAUACAAGGGAUGCAAUGCCACUCACCAACAACCUUCAGAUUGAGCUCUUUGAUGUCUGGGGAAUAGACUACAUGGGUCCAUUUCCUCCAUCAAAGAAGUGUGAGUACAUCUUGGUGGCGGUUGACUAUGUCUCCAAGUGGGUAGAAGCAUUACCUUGCAAGCAUGCCGACAACGUCAGUUCAAAGAGGAUGUUUGAAGAAAUUAUAUUUCCAAGAUUUGGAGUCCCCAGAGUAGUGAUAAGUGAUGGAGGAGCACACUUCAUCGACAAACGCUUCAAGCAAUAUCUAUCAAGACAUGGAAUCCGUCACAACGUCGCUACCCCUUAUCAUCCUCAGACAAGUGGCCAAGCAGAGACUUCCAACAAACAAAUCAAGAAUAUUCUUCAGAAGACAGUAAAUGAAAUGGGAACAGCGUGGAAAGACAAGUUACCCGAUGCACUCUGGGCAUACCGGACAGCAUACAAGACCCCAAUUGGAAUGUCUCCAUACCAAUUGGUGUACGGGAAGACUUGCCAUCUACCUGUUGAACUAGAAUUCAAAGCACACUGGGCCAUAAAGAGAUGGAAUAUGGACCUAGAUGUUGCUGGAGAUUAUAGAAGAAUGCAAUUAUCAGAAUUGGAAGAAUGGCGAGAGAAGGCAUAUCACAAUUCAAAGAUCUACAUAGAAAGAGUCAAGAGGUGGCAUGACAAGAGAAUCAAGAAGAAGGAGUUCACACCCGGAGAUAAGGUAUUACUUUUUAAUUCCAGGGUGAAGCUUUUUGGGCAUGGAAAACUCCGGAGCAAAUGGGAAGGACCAUUCAAGGUAAUCAAUUCAUCAUCCCACGGAGCUAUCACACUUCAAAACAGCGAAGGUACGUUAUUCAAGGUAAAUGAUCAACGUCUUAAAUUAUUUUUAGAGCCCAAUGAGGAAUUUGAAGAAAUAGACGUAGUCCAUUUUUACCUUCCCAUGGAGAAUUAGAGCCCGACACUUUUGGUCUGAUGGUUUUGGGGCAUAUAUAUAUUUUUCUAAAUAAUUUUGCAUCUAGAAACGCGCUCGGAGAAGUGGGCCCACAGAGGGGCCAGAGAGAGGGCGGGCGCCCAGGUCAAGUGGGCGGGCGCCCAGCCCCUGUUCCCCCUCGGUCCCGACUUUCUCUGUUAUGGAAAAUGCACUUAGGGUGAUCCGAAUAAUCCCUCAGAUGGAAAGUUUCGCACGCACAUCGACGGGAGCAACCCGAACAACCCAUAGAGGCAUCCUUUUGACCCCUAUAUAAACAGACCCCUGACCUCAGUUUUCAAACACCAAGCCACCAAGCUUUCUCUCCUUCAACUAGAGCUUGAUUAGCUCUCCUUUAAUUAGAGCUUAAUUAGCUCUACUUCAAUUAAAAUUUUAUUAGUUCCUUGCUACUCCAAUGGCCGACAAGUACCACGACGAUUGGGAAGUCGUCCCCUUCAACCUCAACAUGGAGCCAGUGGAAGACCCCGAUGCCCGUGCUCUCGUCCCGGCCAAAACAGAGCGUCAGCUAGAAGCCAUGCCAUUACGCCAACGCAGCUCCGCCCAAUCUUACCAUGCUCAACCAGUUCUCACCGCACCACCACAACCCCUACUCCUCAAAGGACCAUCAUCCAAGACGAAGACCACUAUCAAGGUGCCAAUCGACACAAGGAUCCUUCCACCUAGACCCAAUGAGAGGGUCAUUGGAGUCAAGACCAACCGAAGCGGCGAGAUUAGCAGCGUACGCUACACUUCAGAGGUGGAAAGGCCUUACUUUGAAGGAAUUAGAGCAGCCAAAGUCCGUUUCAUCCCUCCAAAGGCAGCCUCGAAGCAUUCUCUCAAUGCUUUUGAAACACCUCCCAAGCGUCGCAAGACUAUAAUGGAUAUUGAUGAGGAAGUUCGCAGGCUAGAUAGAGUUAUCAUAGACCUCCAGUCCUCAAUUAAUUCCCUCACUAGGCAGCUCUCUAACCACAAAACCAUUAUACUAGGCCUUAGGCAGGAUCUUGCCAGUGCCAACAAGAAGAUCAAGGAAUUAGAGCGCCGUUAAGUUAUCUAGAUUAGACCUUGAGGCAAUGCAUCUUAGUCAUCUAUCUUUAAAUUCGGUUUAGGUUUGCAAUUAUCAUCAGUUUACUAUUAUUAUCAGUUUGCUAUCAGUUUGUUAUCAGUCUUUUGUACUAAAUGCCUCAAGAUCAAUAAAGGGUAUUACUAUUAUUACUAUGUCUUGUGUGUCUCUACUUUAUUUUUGUGCAAGAAAGCAGAAAACAAGUAUGGGGGAGAUCCCUCGACAUGCUAAACACACUCCGACUGCACCACUCCACCACUCAGGUACACACUCUGCACACUUUACUUCAUACAUACAUUUAUUUUGGAUUAUGCAGAUUACUGUUUCCGACAUGAUAAAAUAAAAAGAUUAAAAUAUUUCUAAUCAUGAUUAAUCGCAAUCUGUGAUAUUUCCUGAAAAUUUGCAAUUAUUAUAAAAUCAUUUUUAAAACCCUGUGUUACUUAAGUCAAUAUGGAAUAUGUGAUGGUAGAGUAUGAGUUUCUUAUUCUUGAUAUCAUUGUUGCUUGGAGAAUUUGUUUCAAAAUAUUCAAAAUUCUAGCUACCAUCCUCAGAGUUUUAUAUGCCUGAUAAAAAUAAAAAUAUUAAUGAUGAUUAUAAAGCUAUCUACUCUGUAUUGAGUUUGUUCAAAAUGAGUUAGACCCUUGUUGAGAGAUUUAUCAUGCUCCCAAGAUCAAGACACUAUUUCAGUAAGAUUCACUCUUCCGAAGUAUUAUUGCAUUAGAGGCAUGGGCUAUGCAAAAAUAAAAAUAUUUCGAGGAAAUAAAAAGGAGCAAGUGCUCGACAACCUCGUAGAAAAAAAAUGGGCAAGUGUCCGGCAGUAGAAUUAGGGGUACCUCGGUAUCCACUUAAAAAAAGAUGAUAGCCCAUGGUCCCUCUAAUAAGCAAUAUGCCAGCAAGAGUUGACAAAGUUUUUAAUUUUCAAAGUCUUUGAUCUAAGACUAUGACAUUCCCCUCCUCGGAUCCCGUUUUGAUCAGGCAAUAAAUGCAAAGUAAGUAUGCUUGAGAAUUUUUGCAAAAUAAAAUAGCCUCAGUGAGAUAUAUAUAAAAGAUAAUGAGUGAUCUGAGAGAACCUAUGAGGAUCAAAAGGUAUGCUGUGGGGGUAUAAACCCCUAUACCCUUGCGGCUAGAUUUCGGCCAGGAGGCUUGGUCCAUUACGAGACGAGUUCAAGGCUUGAUCCGACAACCUGGAGUUUCGCGCAAGGAAACAAGAUGUGGAGAUCAAGCAGGAUUCUAGUCGGUUAGAAUAGGAAUUGACAUCGAAUUAUCCAUGGCAAUUGUAACCGACUAGGAUUAGUUUCCAGAUCUGUAACCCCGCCCUCCAGACUAUAUAAGGAGGGGCGAGGGACCCCCCUAGGACAUCAUAUUCUCUCAGCACAAAUCAAUACAACCAGACGCAGGACGUAGGUAUUACGCCAACUCGGCGGCCGAACCUGGAUAAAAAGCUUGUCCGUGUCUUGCGUCACCAUCGAGUUCGUAGUUUGCACACCGUCUACCGAAAAACUACUACCGUGGGUAUACCCCAAGGUAGACUGCCGACUAGCUUUCGUCGACAGUGGCGCGCCAGGUAGGGGGUGUGCGUGCAACUUUUCCGGCGAACAAGAUGGUCACGAUCCCAGCUUCCGCGACCGUGCCCGAAGGCCUCACGUUCACCGUCGGCCAGAUCACGUGGACGACGUGCAGCGGCGGCUUCGCGACCACGGUUUCGAAAGAGACCCAGAUCCAAUCUGAGAUCACGCUGUCUCCGACCACGCGCACGACGGCACCAAGCACCCGACUACCGAUCCCACCCUACAAGGGAAAGGCGAUCGACUGCUCGGACCUUCUCCGAGCACUCGAUCGCGUUGACCCCAAGCUACUCGAAGUUUCCCAACUCAUAGAUGGGGUUCUGCGUCGGCCCGACCAAGCUGCUCCAGCGGAUUUUUUCAAAUCCCGCCGGCCAACUCGUGUCGCCACACACGAACGGCUGGGAACGUCUUUGACGAUAACCUCAAACCCCUCAGGACGAUCCGUCGAGCUCAGGAAGGAAGACUAUCCUUGCGGCCUGAACAACUCGGCCUCUGUUUACUCACGGCACACCCAAUCUGUUUUUAGCAAGGCGGGUUGGUCGCCGACAAGGAACAAUCGUCACCACGUCAACAUGGUGACAAUCCGAGAAAUACGGGACGGCCAGGUCUCCAGCACCAACUCAAGCACCGGCUCCGUUCCCACCGAGGUUAUAAACACUGAAGACGAGGACUACGACCUGGAUUUCCCUUCACACCCUCCGGGUUUCGACCGAUUCCCGAUAUUUCCCCCCCGGCGAGGGGAUAUUGUGUUUAAUGUCAGCGCCGACGAACCGGACGUUGAUGGAGAAACAGAUGACCAGAGGCAACUCCGCGAACAGCGUAACGCCGAGCGCGCCCGACGACGUGCGGACGAGCAACAACAAAUGCCACCAAAUAAUCUCAACGAUGCCUUUGACAUGGUCGGGGACCAGCCAGUCUACAAAACGCCAAGCGCCAACGUAGCUGUUGCCAUGGCUAACCUAGAUCGGCUUCCUGAUACCCCCGAAUGCCAGGGAGUCCGGACCAGCAUACGAGCACACCUGAUCGCCGCAAUGGGACAGACAGCCACUCUGCUCAAGAGAGUCCAGGACGUCUCCUAUACGGGAGCCGCCUCCGACCAGACUAAUCGUAGCCGGGCCCCACCCAGCGGGCGUCACCGCAGCCGCUCCCCCGACAACCGUCGAUGGGACUCACGGCGCGACGAUGGUGGUCGGGACGCCGAUGGCCGCCGCCAGCAGAACCGCGCACGCGGCCAAGAAGAAGAUCAACACAGGGAUCUCCGCCACAACAUCCCUCCCAAAGAUGCCCGGGACCGCAUCAACAGGCGCGCCGCAGAGAGAGCAGUCCACGAAAACCUGCGACGCAUCGAGUACGAUGCAACGCACGGUCCUCCGGGCCUAAGACAGUUCUCCUCACACCUCCGCCAGGUCGUGUGGCCCCGCAAUUUCAAGCUCGAAAAACUUAAAAAAUAUGACGGCAAGGAAAAUCCAGAGAACUGGAUCACCCUCUAUGAAAUCGCCGUCCGAUCAGCGGCAGGGGAUGAGCACGUCAUGGCCAACUACUUCCCCGUAGUCCUCGACCAGGCUGGUCAUCAGUGGCUUCUCGGCUUGCCCGAGGACUCCUUCGACUCUUGGGAAGAGCUGCGCCAGGCUUUCAUCGACAACUUCAUCGCCACAUGCGAGCAGCCUGGAAACAAGUAUGACCUUGAAAGGAUAAGGGACAGGAGGAACGAACCUCUGCGCGAUUACAUCCGACGAUUCUCGGAUAUGCGCCUCAAAAUCCCGAAGAUUUCUCAUGACGAGGCCAUCUCAGCCUUCAUCAAGGGCCUGCGAUUCCACGAAGCGCUGAGGAACAAGCUGUUGCGUAAACGUCCAACAACGGUAGCAGAGCUCCUCGCCACGGCUAAAAAUUACGCCGAUGCCGACGACGCAGAAAAACUAAUCCGAGACGAUGCGAGAGGUCCCGACCAGCCUCCCCAGCGAGAUGACGGUCGUGGUCGCUACGACAGCAGAAAUCACCGCCGCUCCGACAACCGCGAUCACCGAGAGGGUUGGGAUCGGCGGCGCGACGACUUCAGAGGAAAACGCCCCCGCGACUACGACCACGAAGUAAAUACGGUCAAACGUCCCAAUGGACGACGGGACUACCAAGAAGACUACAACAAAACGUUGAAGGGACCAUGCCAACUACACCCAAAGUCCAAUCAUACCAUGGAAGAGUGUCGCGUCCUCAAAAGUAUCUAUACACGGCGGGCCGCCCAAGACGACUCCGCCAAGAAAAAUAACAAGCGCGACGGGCACGACCACGAAGAUGAGGAUGAGGACCAAGAUAGGGACCCCCGACACCAAUACGUCAGCCCCACUGACGUGGUCCACUCCAUUUUCGGAGGCAAGGUCUCCACUGAGUCCAAGCGAGAAAGAAAGCUGUUAAAGAGAGCCUGCCUCAACAUAGACAGCACGGACGGGCUGAUCGCAGAUCCGAAAUUUCCCACGUGGUCCCACAGGGAGAUCUCGUUCAGCAGGAAGGACCAGUGGGCUGCUAUGCCAGAGCCGGGUCGUUUCCCACUGAUUCUUGACCCCUGCAUCAACAGCAUCAGAUUCGAGCGCGUGCUCGUGGACGGGGGAAGCUCCAUCGACAUCCUCUUCCGCAACAGCCUGCCCGCCCUCAAGAUAUCACCGGCACAACUAAAACCUUACGACGCCCAAUUCUGGGGGGUUUUGCCAGGUCAAAGUUCGGUGCCUCUCGGACAGAUAACAUUGCCUGUCCAAUUCGGCACACCCGAUCACUUCCGGACGGAGUUCAUCAACUUCGUAGUCGCGGAUUUCGACGGGACCUAUCACGCCAUACUGGGCCGCCCAUCGCUGACAAAGUUCAUGGCAGUCCCGCACUACUCAUACCUAGUCCUUAAGAUGCCCACGGAGAAGGGUGUCCUAACCGUCAGAGGCAACGUCUACACUGCGUACACCUGCGAAGAAGAAAGCUUCAAGAUCACCGAGGCAAUUGACCUCUCAAUCCGCAUGGCGGAAACAGCAAACCAAGCCGCACAGCUGCCUCCCGACCAGCUCCGAUUACCUGAGCAGGAGACAGCCAGAAAGAACUCGAAAUCCAAGGAGUACAAAGAAGUGCAGCUGGUCGAAGGCAACCCCGAGAAGACAGCCCUCAUCGGGGCUAACCUGGAUCCAAAAUAGGAAGACGCGCUCGUCAGGUUUCUAAGGGACAACGUGAGCGUUUUCGCAUGGAAACCCGCAGACAUGCCCGGUGUCCCACGAAACCUGAUCGAGCACUCCUUAAAUGUCUCGAAGACCGCAAGACCAAUCAAGCAAAAACUGCGACGGUUCGCUCGUGACAAAAAGGAGGCUAUUAGGACAGAAAUAACACGGCUUCUAGCAGCCGGAUUCAUAAAAGAAGUGUAUCACCCCGAUUGGCUCGCCAAUCCGGUUCUUGUACGCAAAAAGAAUAAUGAAUGGAGAAUGUGCGUUGAUUACACCGAUCUCAACAAACACUGUCCUAAAGAUCCUUUUGGUCUUCCUCGCAUCGACGAGGUGGUCGACUCAACGGCCGGAUGCGAACUCCUCUCCUUUCUAGAUUGCUACUCUGGUUAUCACCAGAUCUCGCUAAAGGAAGAAGAUCAGAUCAAAACAUCCUUCAUCACACCCUUCGGCGCAUACUGCUACACUACCAUGUCUUUCGGACUUAAAAACACCGGGGCCACUUAUCAAAGGGCCAUCCAGCAAUGCCUCCACGACGAGAUUCGCGAUGACCUCGUCGAGGCCUAUGUGGACGACGUGGUCGUAAAAACAAGGGACGCGAGCACCCUAAUCGACAACUUAGACCGAACCUUCAAGGCACUCAAUAGGUACAAGUGGAAGCUCAACCCCAAGAAAUGCAUUUUCGGCGUUCCUUCCGGUCUACUACUCGGCAACGUCGUCAGUCGCGACGGCAUACGACCAAACCCUUCAAAAGUCAAAGCCGUACUCGACAUGCGACCACCGAAGAACGUCAAGGAUAUUCAGAAGCUAACCGGAUGCAUGGCCGCCCUCAGUCGUUUCAUCUCAAGGCUGGGAGAAAAAGGCCUCCCUUUCUUCAAACUAUUGAAAGCGUCAGAAAAAUUUUCUUGGACAGAGGAAGCCGACGCUGCGUUCACUCAGCUUAAGACCUUCCUCACUUCACCACCUGUCCUCACAGCGCCUCAGCCCAAUGAAGACCUACUCCUUUACAUUGCUGCAACCGACAGGGUCGUUUCCACGGCAAUAGUGGUCGAGCGAGAUGAACCAGGUCACGUCUUCAAGGUCCAGAGACCCGUUUACUUCAUAAGCGAAGUCUUAAACGAGUCCAAGGCCAGGUACCCACAAAUACAGAAGCUUAUAUACGCCAUCCUGAUAACGUCAAGAAAGCUGAAGCACUACUUCGACGGCCAUCGAGUCCUGGUGACAACCAGCUUUCCUCUCGGGGACAUCCUGCGCAAUAAAGACGCCAAUGGCAGAAUCGUGAAAUGGGCAAUGGAAUUAUGUCCAUUUUCCCUGGAGUUCCAGAGUCGCACCACUGUCAAGUCUCAAGCCCUGGUCGAUUUCGUUGCCGAAUGGACGGAUCUCAACGAGCCUUCCGUUCCCGAUGUCUCAGACCACUGGUCAAUGUUCUUUGACAGGUCCUUGAACAUCAACGGUGCAGGCGCUGGGAUAUUGUUCGUAUCACCCAACAAGGACAAACUCCGUUACGUCCUUCGGAUCCAUUUUCCGGCGUCAAACAACGUCGCCGAAUACGAAGCAUGCUUGCAUGGCAUACGACUAGCCGUUGAACUGGGGGUCAAGCGCCUCUAUGUCUACAGCGACUCCGCUUUGGUCAUCAACCAGCUCAACAAGGAGUGGGACGCAACCCACGAGAAAAUGGAUCUCUACUGCAAAGAAAUUCGCAAAUGGGAAACUAACUUCUAUGGCAUAGAGUACAUCCACGUGGUCCGGGAUAAGAACCAAGCAGUAGAUGCGUUGUCAAAGUUAGGCUCAUCUCGGGCCCAAAUCCCGCGGGGUAUUUUCGUCCAGGACAUCCAUGAGCCGAGCGUAAGCUCCCCCCUGGUCGACAAGCAACCCACCGAGGCAAUGCUCAUAGAUGACGCCACUCCGACAACCGGUGGGCGUGACUGGCGUACCCCGUUCAUCAAAUACAUAUCAGACGGGACAGGCUUUCAGGACAAAACAGAGAACGAGCGCCUCAUCCGACGAUCAAAGAACUACAUCCUGGUCGACGGAAAACUCAUGCGGAAAAACGCAAGCUCCGAAGUACUGCUCAAGUGCAUACCCCAAGAUGAUGGUAUCAAGCUCUUGGAGGACAUACACGCUGGAUCCUGCGGCAAUCACGCCGCAUCUAGAACGCUGGUCGGAAAGGCUUUCCGAGCAGGUUUUUAUUGGCCAACCGCGGUCGGCGACGCAGAAAAACUGGUUCGGCAUUGCGAAGGAUGUCAGUUUUUCGCUAAGAGGACCCACGUACCUGCCCAUGAAAUUCAAACCAUCCCGUCGUCUUGGCCCUUUGCUUGCUGGGGGCUUGACAUGAUCGGACCAUUUAAACCAGCCCCGGGCAAUUUCAAGUUUGUCUUCGUGUUAAUCGACAAGUUCUCCAAGUGGAUUGAAUACAUGCCCCUGGUCAAGGCAACCUCCGAGAAGGCUGUGGAGUUCCUCAAUCAAAUCAUACACAGAUUCGGCAUCCCGAACAGCAUAAUCACCGACCUGGGCACUCAGUUUACUGGCACCACUUUUUGGGAUUUCUGCGAUGACAGAGGCAUAGUCAUAAAAUAUGUGUCAGUGGCACAUCCACGUGCCAACGGUCAAGUCGAACGUGCUAACGGAAUGAUCGUUGACGCCCUAAAGAAAAGGCUGUACACCGAAAACGACAGAGCACCCGGUCGAUGGAUGAAAGAAUUGCCGGCAGUGGUCUGGGGCCUCCGAACCCAGACCAGUCGAAACACAGGGGUGUCUCCCUACUUCAUGGUGUACGGUGCAGAGGCGGUCCUGCCGUCUGACAUACACUUCGGAUCUCCUAGAAUCGAGCACUUCGACCAGGCGACCGCCGACAACGCCAGAGAACUCGAAAUCAAUUGCAUGGAGGAAAAGCGUUUAGUUUCAUGUCUCCGAACAGCAAAAUAUCUCGCGGCAGUCAGGCGAUACUACAACAGGAACGUCAAGGACCAUUCCUUCGUGGUCGGCGAUCUGGUGCUUCGAUGGAAAACAAGCCAGGAGGGAAUGCACAAGCUAUCCACUCCCUGGGAAGGACCCUUCGUGGUGACCGAGGUCACACGACCUACGUCCUACAGAUUGGCAUACCCAGACGGAACACGAGUGCCUAACUCUUGGCACAUCGACAAACUGCGACGUUUCUAUCCAUAAAGUUUUAAUGACUUUCUUUUGUAAGUAUCUUAUAAUUUUUGAUAAUGAAAUUCUCUAUUUUUUGCCUAUACCUUGUCACACACAGCACUCGGCAAAACUCCUGCAAUGGAUGCUCUUAGCGACAACCAAGACAAAUACGGUGACACGUCACUCAGAUAUUCUUACAGCGCUCAAAACAACAGUCAUGACAAAAAGUAAACUUUAUUACAAACUUUACAUACAAAGUUUACAAUAAAUACCCUGACGGGCAGACACUAGUCUAUUCCUACAGACUACUUUAUUGGCCUAGCUGCUCGGGCUGAUCACCCGCCUGGCCCUGCUGCCCGGACGAAGGGGUCGGGGCCACCGGCGCCUGGCUGGUCGAGACCGCAGGCGUCGACCGCCCAUCUCCCGCAACGGACGCGCCCGACAACUCCCUGGCCGACCUAUCUGAACUCGGCUGGUCUGGAGGAGUGGCCGUUCCGCAUAGAUUGAUGUCGCCGAUCACUGUCGACGACAAGUCCAGUAGACUACCCCGAAGCUCGUCCGCGUCCUGCGGGCCGACUUCCUUCGGGUACCCCUUCUCCAGCCUGCUCAAGUCGACCAGGGUGUAGUGGGCGCGCACCAUGCUGAGGACGUGCGCGCCGGCAAACUCCCCGGCGUCCUUCACAAACUGCUGGAGCCAGUCCCACGCCCGUUGCGCCUUCUCGACCGGGGUCAACUGCGGCGCGCGGGGCUGGCUCUCCGGGAGCUCGGGACUGAUCAGGUCUAGGACCGGGGACACUCCUUUCCAGAUCCUGCAACAGUUGACCUUCCAGGAGUCCCAGUCCUUGAUCAGAUCAUCCAGGUGCUUUUUGGCGUUCACCUUGAGCACUGCAAACGAAACGAAGCGUUAUUUUCGGCAUAACAAAGGGGCAGGCAACAACCAACAAGGCGGCACCCAUUACCAGAUAGCUCCCGGUCUUUUCGACCCAAUUCCUCUCCUGCUCGCCGCCCGGACUCCAGCGCACCGGCGAGCUGUUGGCUGAGCUGCUCCUUCUCUUGUCGGAGGCUCGCCACCUCCUCCUCCAAGUCUGCGUGAAUCCUAAACUGGUCAGCAGAGCAAACUAUACAAGUACGCGAAGCUGCUCGGCUCGCCGGCCGGACUCCAGCGCACCGGUGAGCUGUUGGCUGAGCUGCUCCUUCUCUUGUCGGAGGCUCGCCACCUCCUCCUCCAAGUCUGCGUGAAUCCUAAACUGGUCAGCAGAGCAAACUAUACAAGUACGCGAAGCUGCUCGGAGCGUGUGACUAACCUUCUUGCAGCCGGUACUGGUCGGCCAAACGACGAGCGAGGUCGAGACGACGCUCCUUUUCGGCACUCAUCUCGACCACCUUCUCCCCGACCUCCGACCGCAACCGGUCUACCUCCGCGGCAAGGGCCUUGUUCUCGGCCAUGACGGCUUCUAUCUGGUCAAAGCACCGUUUCUGGUACUUCGCCGUUUUCAUUGCGCCCUACAAAGCAAGCAUAUAACGACCAUGCAAGACAAGGCAAAAGAAUGUACAGCAGUACAAAAAGCCGCUUACCUUGACUUCGUCGACGAGGCGCUUGGCCGCGCGCUCCACCCUGGCGGCCUCUUCGGUCUCGGCGAGCUCCUCAUGCCCGAUAAAGUGAUCCCCGCGUUGGCGCCACACAUACACGUGUUGGCGGCCAUCACGGGGACGACCCUCAAUCUCUUCCACCUCAUCAUCGGAGGCCGCCCAGGUUUCCUCCUCCUGUGCUGCGUCACCCCCGGUGGUGGUCCCAGGUAUUACUGGCCCUUGGACCAGACCUGGGGAGCCCGCAGCCGAAGAGGCUCCUGCUCGGGGCGGCGUGGGGACUUCACUCCCCCCGGCAGGAGGAGCGGUCGGAGAUCUUCCCUUCUCUGAGGAGUCAGUUGGGGGAGCCUCUCCAGCCCUGGUCGGGCUGCUUGUCGUAGUCGGUGCCGCGCUCGGGAGCCCCUCGGUGCUCCCAGGCGCGACUGCAGCUGUUGGCUGCUCUGUGGUCUGGGGGGCCGCAUCCCCAGAACCGCGGGCAGGCUCGCCCGUUCCCUGGCUGGCAGUUUGGCCGGGGUCGACAUCCGAUGCCGCACUACAGGAACAAAAGUUAAAUUUCGAAAAAAAAAGUCAAAGAGGAGUCCAAAAUACGUAAGUCGAACACUUACAGGUCUGACCGACGGUGGGUCCCGGUGAACCUCCUCCUCGCCCGGCCGGUCGGCACCUGUGCCCCCAUCUCGACAGCUUGCGGGGCAGCGGCGCCGCUGGCCACUCGAUCAGUGGCGACCGGCGCAUUGUCUGGGCGGCUCCGAGGCCGUCGGACCAACGACGGCGCAGCCUCCUCGUCGUCGUCGUCGUCGACGAUCCGCACGAGCCGACGACGCUUCGGUGCUUGGCUGCUCUCCGCCGGUAGAUCUGCCGGCAGCUCCGGUGUCGGCAAGGGAUCUGCCGGCAAUGGCCUUUUCCCCGCUACCCUCUCCUCGAAGGUCGGGACGAGGCGGGCUUGGUCUUCCUCACUGCUGGUGUAAUGAGUACACCGAGCAGCGUCCUCCUCUGGCGGGACCUCUCCCGCAGGAUUUUCCAUCCCCGGUGCCAGUGAUACAUACACUGUGCACCGGUCGACAUCGCCGAUCUGCAAAAGCAACAGAGAUGAGUCAACUGCAGACGAUAUACGAAUGCUAAAACAGAAUCUGCUACAUACCUUUGGUGCUGGUCGUCCUAACUUGAAGGCUUGCACCCGAUCACUGCCACGGAUGAAGCUCCCAUCCGCGAAGUUAAACAGCUCGUUCAACAGCUGUUGUACCUCCGCUUUCUCCAAGAUCUCCGACCGCAUCCUGGUCGGGUCUGCGCUUCCGGCAUACUCGUACGCCGAGUGCACCCUCUUCUGGCAGGGCAUCACCCGGCGGCAAAUGAAGUUGCCGACCACGCCAAGCCCGUCCAGGCGCGACCAGUCGAUCAGCUUCAUGAGAUCCGCCACUGGACCGUCGAACUCCGGGCGGUCGGUCCAGCUCGUCCUCUUCUCAGGAAUGUAUCCCACAUCGCAGAACGUGGAGCUGCCCGGUUCCUCCCUGAUGUAGAACCACUUCCUGUACCAUUCGGUCAAGGAAGUGUUCCAUGGGCAGUGCAGGUAGCGAUUCUUCAUUCCAUCACGAAGGUUGAGGUAUACUCCACCUGCAACCUUGGAGCCUCCAACUGCUCCCUUCUUCCUCAAGCAGAAAAGAUACCGAAAAAGAUCGAAGUGCGGCUCUAUGCCAACAUAGGCCUCGCACAGGUGGAUAAAGGUGGAAAUGAGGAGAAUUGAGUUCGGGUGCAGAUUGCAAAUCCCGAUCUCAUAAUACAAAAGAAGACCUUGAAGAAAAGGAUGAACAGGAACACCAAAACCCCUCUUAAUGAAAUCUUCAAAUACGACGAUCUCACCGGCGCGAGGGUCGGGGUAGCUCUCCCCCUCCGGUGCCCUCCAGCCGCCGAGCUCCGGGCCGUGCAGAAGCCCCAUAUCGACGAGGUCACCAAGAGAUUUUGUGGUGCUGCGAGACUUCUUCCACUCCUUGGCCAUCAGUUCGGCCCUCUUCCUGGAGUCGCUCUUCGCCAUUAGAGGUGCGAAUGUGGGCUUGAGUUAGGAAGAUGCAGGAGAUUGGAGAAGAUGAGAGCGGAAGGUUUGAAGGCAAUGGCAGGGUAAGCGGUACAGGCGGACCUAUUAGGCUCUUAUAAGCCCGCAACUCCACCUCUCCCACUUCCUGUAUUCUCGGGAAGUGGGCAGGCCAUGCGGCGGACGCGGCGUUUCGGUUUACAAUGAUUAUAGACAAUUAAUGCGGCGGAGUUUUCGUACCAAUUGAUGGUUUCCUUUUCUCAAACCAUGCAAAGGGCGGCUGUACAGUUGUCAGGUGCAACUUUUCAUGCAUCCGUCUGACACCCCGUCAGGAGGCCUCGUCACGUCAACUUUAACUGGAAAGAUCUUUUCAAAAAUAAGAAGACACAUACGCCAGUGAGUCAACAAUCCGGGGACUGCACCGACCACUGAGUACUCGACGCUCGGGGACUGGUCGCCCAGUCUAUCAGCUCGGAACUUCAAGGACUGCACCGACCACCGAGCACUCGACGCUUGGGGACUGGUCGCCCAGUCUAUCAGCUCAAAGCUUUAAAGCAUGCACCGACCACCGAGCACUCGACGCUCGGGGACUGGUCGUACGGUAUAGCAACAUAUAAUUCCAAGGAGCACACUUAGUGCUUGGGGACUGGUCGAUUGGUCUUUUCAUUUGCAGACGAGCAUGACAUGCUCGGGGACUGGUAAAUUCACUUUUGACCUUGCUACAAGGCUCAUACUUCGCCUUCCAGCAAGCUCGGGGACUACAUCGGUACGAUGCAUCUAGCGAUGCAUCUCAGUCUCAAAACUACUUUGGGGAAUUUUCUUUUGACCCUGGCACCACGUGCCUACGUCACCUACUACCAGGCUCGGGGACUAAGUGGGCACACUUCACCUAGCGGAGAAUUUGCUUGCUUUUUUGAUGUUUAUACCUUUCAAAAAGGUAAAGUGGGCACACUUCAUCAGGAAAGAAAUUUUUUGAGAGCACCAUGCAUUCUUCGAACAACCUGCUUCUUCGAUGUCAAUGUUGAUCAACUGUCUUUUGAGUUGGUCAAAAUACCGUUGCAACUGUUCGGACGACUUUCCUGCUUAUUGAAGACGUCAAGCCACACUGAUCGAAGAAGCUCAAGACGGCGUGUUACAUCACAAUACAUGGUGCUCGGGGACUAGCUGUGGGGGUAUAAACCCCUAUACCCUUGCGGCUAGAUUUCGGCCAGGAGGCUUGGUCCAUUACGAGACGAGUUCAAGGCUUGAUCCGACAACCUGGAGUUUCGCGCAAGGAAACAAGAUGUGGAGAUCAAGCAGGAUUCUAGUCGGUUAGAAUAGGAAUUGACAUCGAAUUAUCCAUGGCAAUUGUAACCGACUAGGAUUAGUUUCCAGAUCUGUAACCCCACCCUCCAGACUAUAUAAGGAGGGGCGAGGGACCCCCCUAGGACAUCAUAUUCUCUCAGCACAAAUCAAUACAACCAGACGCAGGACGUAGGUAUUACGCCAACUCGGCGGCCGAACCUGGAUAAAAAGCUUGUCCGUGUCUUGCGUCACCAUCGAGUUCGUAGUUUGCGCACCGUCUACCGAAAAACUACUACCGUGGGUAUACCCCAAGGUAGACUGCCGACUAGCUUUCGUCGACAAAGAAUCCUGCUUGAUUUGAUUAACCAGGAUUGAGAACUCCAAGUGACAGGAUUGAGAAGAAAGGAUCUUUACUCUUGAUUUGAUUAACCAGGAUUGAGAUCUCCAAGCUAACUUUCUUUCAAAAAUAUACAAAAAACUCCAAGUGACAGGAUUGAGAAGAAAGGAUCUUUACUCUUGAUCAUAAACUUCCCUGACUAUGGUACACAGUGGAAUUUUAACACCCUGCAAUUAUAUAAAGAGAAUGUUUUAAAUGUUUACCCCAGAUAUUGUUCUUAACCAUCCUUUUCUCGAGGACGAGUAAAAGCCUAAGUAUGGGGGUAUUUGUUGACGGUUCUUAAGUAUCAAUUUUAAUUAACAAAUAAACAAGAGAAAGGACCAAUAUGCAACCAUCACCUAGAAUUAGGGUUUGAUCUGACAGAAUUCCACGAGUUUUGUGGUUUAUCUAUUUCUGCAGGGGGUUAUCAGGAAAUAAGGAAGAAAGGCCCACAUGUCAGGAUUACAUAGAGAUAUCAACGCACCGCGCAAUUUUACUUCAUCUAGAAGACUCCAGAAGCCACGAGACCGAAGCGGAGGCAAAACUGGGCCAGGCCCAGGGCGCCCGCCCUGGAAGCCUGGGCGCCCGCCCCCCUGCUGGAGCCAAAUCAGGACUCUUUCGCUCGGGAUAUUCCACCGACCUAUUGGAUCAAGAAAAACAUAGUACCACCUCGCCUAUCGACCCAAAAACGCAUAGAAGGGGAGGACUAUAUAAGCAAGCCCCACUGGCCCCUGGAGAAGACAUGAAGAAAUUAUCAUAGAGACUGAGGGGUGCCCUCGAAGGAAAACCUCUUCUCUAAUUAAUAUUUCUUUUUAGGCUUAGCAAUCAAUAUAAGGUAGAAAUAGAUCUUCUAGUUUCUACUAGAUUGAGAGAGAUAGAGUGGAGGUGUAGAUUGGAGGAAGCUCGGCCUGUCGGUGUCUACUCCAAGCUUGUACCUGCGGGAUCAAGUUCUCCUAACCCGAAGCUUGCUCCUAGGAUUCUUCAGUAAUUCGACUUCUAAAUUCUAGUAAGUUCUUGUUUUAUUGUUCUUAUGGUUUAUGAGUUUACUUUAAUCUCUUCGCGUAGAGUUUAGAGUAAUCAUUGCUGGCGUAAACAUGGUGUUUAGGCUGGGGUACUCAUAGAUAUUCCCUGACUAGCUGGACCGUGGUAGUAGUGAGGAACGUGACAAUUCCGAGCUACCUUUGUAGAUCACAUCUCGUUAGCAGGAAGGAUAGGGUUUAUAGGUGCGGGUUGAACAUCCUUUGUGGUGUCUAGAUUCCGUUAGCCUCCCCAUUAGAACAGUAGAUCAUCCUUACCAAGGUUAGAAGGAGACUACGGUUGCAGUCUUCUCUAUUUAUCACUCACAUCGAAAGACAUUCUUUGUGCCUAAAGGUUAGUAGUAAUAGACCAGUUAGUCAGAUGCACUCUUUCUCCUAGUGGUAAAAAAAUAAAUACGAUACUCUGGAUAAUUUCCCGAGUGAAGUGCUCACCGAUAUCCGUGCGCUUGCGGAUCAAUUCCUUAUUGCGUUCCCAAAUAUCAACAGUGGUAGCCCUGGGUGUGCGGCGCUGAUCGGAGCCACGAUUCUUGAGUCGUACCAAAGGUGACCCGAUGGCUCUCCGACGGGGGAUGUUUGGGUGAGUGCUAGGAAUAACCCUCCAGCUGGAUAGGAAUCGAUUCGAAUUGUCGUCUCUCCCGGAUAGUGAGAACUUGACAGAGCAGCGGCAAACGUAGCAUUCACUAAAGAACUUUGGUUCAUGGUAAUGAUGAUAGCAAGGAAGAACAUGUGAUGAAUUUGAUAUGGUUAUUAUUGCUUGUAAUAAUCAAGUGAAGUGCUUUAGUACAGGUGCUAAUCUAGUGGUAGGUUGAUGAUGAUUAAUAUGAUGCUCUCACAACAUUGUAGCUAUAAUUUAAGCUUUUGGCAACUGUUGAGUCGACUAGCUCCACUUGAUCUUAGCCGUGCAUGAUCCCUGGUGUCUUUUAUGUUUUACUAGGUGGGUAAGUCUAGCCGAGUACAUUCUCGUACUCAGGGUUUAUUUCCCACCUGUUGCAGAUGAUAUCUUUUAUGAUGGCUUCUGCAAGACCUGUCUCCAUCCCGCUGGGGAUGAGGACUAACCGUUGGGCAUGGUUCUCUAACUACUCUGUAUCUGUUGCUUUUGGAUGGAUGGCAUGAGACCCUGGCUGAACCAAAACUUGUGAAAUGAACUUUGGAAAGUGUGUGUAAUUAUUUUGCUUCCGCUACUUCAAACAUGGGUUGUAAUAACUAAGUAACUCCGAUGUGGUGCCACUUCGACGGCAAUGAAUGACUAUGUAACAUUCGCUGUGUUGUGUUGAACUAUUUUGAUCUUGGUUUGUUGCAAGUUGGUUUGAAGUCCUUCAUGAUUUCAGUUGACUACCGGGAUUAUAUGGGCUCAAGUUUGGAAACUUGAUUGCUUGUCGAUCGUUUCUGCACUUGAACUCUUAUAAUUUGGUCGGUUCUGUGGCAGCUGGCAUCGGAGCAAGUUCAGCAUUAGAAAUGCAGCGUUUGUGUAUUUGAAAACAAAGAGUUUUUAAAUAAAAUUUUGAAAAUCAACACUUAAUUAUGCCAGUGGUCAAAUCCUCCUUGCCCAUAUAAGGACUAUAGGUGGCUAUUUAAGUACUGACUUGGGGGGUUUUAUUUUACGCAUCUCCGGCAGUACUCAGGUAUGGAUGUGUGAUGACCGCACUAUGCUACCCUGUGGUCUAAUGGUAGAGGUAGCCUUCAUAUGUGAACUAGCCACAUAUGUCGCUAGAUUUAAAUUAUGCAACGUCGCACCUACGCUCUGGUAAGUGUGAGAUGUGAGAGCAUGAUCGUCCAAACGGCGGUCUAGGGGAGUGUUCGCGGUGGUUUUCUGGAGUGGUUACAUGUCAAAACCAUGGAACCACCAAAGAAACUUAAUUGGGGAGCAUUUAAAUUCUCGGGUAGCCGUGGUGUCAUUGUUUGUGCAUGUUGGGCAUGUCCAAGCAAUGUGCACUUAGUUUACUGCUUUAUUGAGUGAUAUAUUGGGAACAGUUGGGCUACAAUAAAGUUUUCUGCAGGUACUCUAACAGCGCACGGGUAACUCGAUAGAUAUCGUAUCGAGAGACGAAUGUAUGCCACCAUAUAUCCGUUUGAAUAUUAAUUUUCUAAGUUUGUGAGGACCUACGGUUCGUGCAUGCAUCAUGUCGCAUUCAUACAUACAUUCUGUCUACUCUUUCCCUUACCAUGUCGUCCCUUUUAAUUAAAUAAAUGUUGCUUAAAUUAAUCUCCUCUUACCCAUGGUAUUCCUAUUCCAUUCCACAGAUGGACGUGCCCGCUUCACCUCGCCCCAGUGACACCUUCUUGAGCGAGCUUGGCACUCCUACCUUGCUUUGGAGAGUGCUACAGUCCGUGGGGUAUACUGAGCCACCUCAGUAUUCUUGGUGGGAGGUGGAUAUGACAGGAGAGUUGCAGUGGUUUGCUGUGCAGGGAGUUGUCCCUCCACAUGGGGGCAGGCCUGCAUGGACAGGGUGGACCUGUAACUCAGAUGGGCAGACCCUAUGGGAGGCAGCUCAGGUUGCAGCCCAUGUGAUGCUGCUCAACAUCUGUCAGAGGUUUGGCGAUGAGCUGACACGAGGUCCAGCGGCCUCCAUUCCCUGUGCUGACCCAGCAGCAGCAGAGUGGAAGCGGGUUGAAGGUUGUGCGUUGGUACGAGGCAGGGGAGAGCGAGCUGAGAGUUCUAGUCCUGCUAUGAGUGCUAUGAUGGCUGUGCUCAAGCUGUUCAGUCAGCGAGAGGACACUUAUGCACAGGUGAUGGUGGCUGUUCGCCAGGCUCAGGAGAUGCAACAGAAGGCUGAAAAGCGUGCUCGCAAGUUUUGCAAGCAAGCUAGGCUCCUGGAGCAAGCUCAGAAGGAUCGCAAUGACUGGGAAGGCAUUGCGGAGUACCGUAGGCAGCAGUGGGUGAAGGCCAUUAGGGAAAGAGAUCAUAAGCAGGAUCAGAUGAGUCAGUUAGCUCAAGAGAGGGAGACAGUGUAGGAGCGCUUGGUGCAGGUCACUCGUGAGCAGGACACUGCACUCCGUGUGUCGGAGAACAGGCGCCGGGCUUGGGAGAUGCACCGGAUUCAGUCGCUUGAGCGGGAGAACUAUCUGCAGGAUCAGAUUGAGGCUGGUCUUGUGGAGAUUCACCGUCUCAACAACUUGCUACACCCUAUUCCUCGCCCUGUACCCAUUUAUCUAGAGGUGGAACCUCAGGUGAUUGUGGCUGAUGACGAUGGUAUGAAGGUCGAUGGACCGGCAGCGGCUGCACCACCCUUGCACGAGGACGUGGAGGAUGAGGAGCUUGAGUCAGUUAGCGACGAGGACGGAGAGGCAAUCUUCGACGCUGACUCGGAUGACGAGCCUAGAGUGUAUUGAGUAGUGGGUAGUUGUUAUGUGUGGAUCUUUUGUAGUUUGGCAGUUAGCAGUGGUGCUUUUGUAAUCAUGUUGUAAUCCAGAACCUUGACCUUUGACUCAUGUCAUGUACUGUGAUGGUGUAAUAACUUUAUGGACCCAAUGUUGUUAAUCUUAUCUUGAUCGACUACAUGACGAUAUUUUCUGCAUUAUGCAUAUUACGGAUGUCUCUGUCAUGUGUUGGAUUGGUGAUGUUGUUUUGUGGAAUUGAAUUAUUGUGCCUUUUCUGUAAAGCUAUUCUCUCGAAUACUUUCAGGCAUAAAUAUAAGUUCUUCUACGGCAAAUCUUGUCAUCAUCAAUGCUCACUGACUGUGUCUUUACAGAUGUCUCGUGGCACUCAAGGUGUGGAACAACAUGCGAACAUGAACCCACCCCCUCCUCCACCACCAAAUCCAGCUGAGCUGAUGCAAAUGAUGGUGGAAAAUAAGAGGAUGCUUACUGAAACCAUCAACCGGAUGGCGAAUCAGGGUGGCCGUCAUGCACAAGAAGGGCCAGCACCUAACCAGUACAGUAGCUUCAAGGACUUUAUGGAUACUAAGCCCCCACCUUUUAGAGAGGCUGAAGAACCCCUUCAAGCUGAGGAAUGGCUGAACACGGUGGAACAAAAGUUCCGCUUGCUUCGGUUGACCGAGGGUUUGAAGGCCGAAUAUGCCGCUCACCAACUGCAAGGACCAGCAGGCAUCUGGUGGAAUCAGUAUCGGGAAGCUCUUCCAGCCGACACUAUGCUUGACUGGAAUCUUUUCCGUGAAGCUUUCAAGGGGCAUUUCAUUCCUUCGGGUGUUAUGGAGAUGAAGCAUACUGAGUUCAUGCAGUUAACUCAGGGAAACAAAACUCUGAAAGAGUAUUUGCAUGCUUUUAAUCAUCUGUCAAGGUAUGCUCCUCAGUUUGUGAACACUGAGACGAAGAAGAUUGCUAGCUUCAAGCGGGGUCUUGGCCCCAAGUUGCUGAAGACUAUGGGCCGCUCCAAGUGUGCAACUUUUAAUGAGUUUCUCAGUGACGCUCUCACUCAAGAGAACUAUAACACUAUGUACACUGCGACCAAGACUCGCAAAAGGGCUUUUGAGGCCGGGGUAGGGGCAUCUCAAUCCAAGGCUCCAGUGGCAGCUAGGCCACCGUUCCGUGCUCCAACUCCUAACCAGCGGUAUCGCCCUCCUGUGAAGAAGAAUCAGGCACAGACGGGUUUCCGCAAGGGUUACUCCAUUGCUCUUCCUAGGGGUAACACGGGUCCCAACUAUACCAAGACUCCACCUGCCAACCGUUUGUGAUGGAAUUGCAAUCAGACCGGGCACUGGCAGAGCAAUUGUCCUUACCCUCCGAAGAAGGGCAACCAAGGGAACGUCCGCCAGUGGCGUGUUCACUACACAACUGUGGAGGCAAUCCCUGCUGGUGAGGUAGUUACAGCUGGUAAGUUUCUAGUUAACCAAUGUGAUGCACUUGUGCUUUUUGAUUCAGGAGCAUCGCAUUCUUUUGUGAGUUCAGACUUUGUGUCUAAGCAUAAUCUCAAGGCAAUUACACUCGAAAAGGGCAGUUAUUGCAUUAGUGCUGCUGGAAAUGAUAUUUCUACCAAUCAAGUGGUUUUGGGGGCAACUCUGGAAAUAGGAGACCCUCAGUUUCUUGCUGAUCUGGUUGUUUUACCCGGUGUGGGUAUAGAUGUAAUUCUGGGUAUGAAAUGGAUGAGUGGUAAUGGAGUUCUUAUCGACACCACCACUCGUGUAGUGAUGUUGAGAGACCCAAAUACCAAGGAGGCAUUCUUAGUGCAACUUCCUCGAGACAUCCAUAUCCGUAGCACGUUGAAUGCAAUUACAGCUAAGGCCAUCCAGGAUAUUCCGGUGGUGUGUGAGUUCCCGGAUGUAUUUCAUGAUGAUUUACUUGGGCUUCCUCCAGAUCGGGAUGUGGAGUUUAAAAUCGAAUUGAUUCCAGGUACCACUCCUAUCUCUAGAAGACCUUAUAGAAUGCCACCAAAUGAGCUAGCUGAGCUUAAGACCCAGUUAAAUGAGUUGUUGAAGAAGGGUCUUAUCUGUCCUAGUUCUUCUCCUUGGGGUUAUCUGGCUAUCUUUGUGAAGAAGAAGGAUCAGUCCUUACGCAUGUGUGUGGACUAUCGUCCCCUGAAUGCGGUGACCAUUAAGAAUAAAUACCCUCUUCCUCGCAUUGAUGUCUUGUUUGAUCAGUUGUCUAAAGCUAAGGUACUCUCCAAGAUUGAUUUGCGAUCUCGGUACCAUCAGAUCAAGAUCUGUCCUGAAGAUGGACCUAAGACAGCUUUCUCGACGAGGUAUGCGUUGUAUGAGUAUCUCGUCAUGUCCUUCGGUCUUACGAAUGCACCUGCUCAUUUCAUGUACCUCAUGAACUCGGUGUUCAUGCCUAAAUUGGACAAGUUUGUGGUGGUCUUCAUUGAUGAUAUCCUAGUAUAUUCUUGCAAUGAAGAGGAGCAUGCAGAGCAUCUGCGUGUGGUGUUGUCGUGCCUGUGGGAGCAUCAGCUUUAUGCCAAGUUCAGCAAAUGCGAGUUCUGGCUAAAGAAAGUAACUUUCUUGGGUCAUGUCUUAUCUGAAGAACGCAUAUCAGUGGAUCCGGCUAAGGUGCAAGAAGUGCUGGAUUGGAAGGUUCCAACUUCGGUACACGAGGUUCGUAGUUUUCUCGGUCCGGCUGGGUAUUAUCGUUGAUUUAUUCCAGAAUUUUCAAAGAUAUCCAAGCCUAUGACUCGCCUACUUCAGAAAGAUGAGAAGUUUGUGUGGACGCCUAAGUGUGAAGAGGCAUUCCACAAGUUGAGGACAUUGCUGACAUCAGCUCCUACCUAGCUCAACCUGAUAUCGAGAAGCCCUUCGAUGUCUUCUGUGACGUGUCGGGUAUUGGUCUAGGCUGCGUGUUGAUGCAGGAAGGUCGCGUUAUCACGUAUGCCUCGCGCCAACUUCGAAAGCAUGAGGUCAAUUACCCUACUCAUGACUUAGAAUUAGCAGCAGUUGUUCAUGCUUUGAAAAUCUAGAGGCACUAUUUGCUGGGUAAUCUGUGCAAUAUCUACACCGAUCAUAAGAGCCUCAAGUACAUCUUCACUCAACCUGAAUUAAACAUGCGGCAGCGAAGGUGGCUUGAGUUGAUUAAAGAUUAUAAUCUACAAGUGCACUAACAUCCGGGCAAGGCAAACGUGGUUGCGGAUGCCUUGAGUCGGAAAGCGCACUGUCACUUAGUCCAGGUGGAAGAUCCAUUGUUGUCACACCUUAUGCACCCACUUGUGCUCAACCAGAUUUCUCUGGAAAGUACUCUUCACAAUCGAGUCAUCGAAUUGCAGCAAACAGAUGUAGGUAUCCACCAUAUAAAGAGGAAAAUGAAGGAAGAAGAAACCAAGCAUUUCCGGGUCGAUGAGAACGGUAUUCUUUGGUUCAAAGAUCGACUAGUGGUCCCAAAAGACCGUGAGCUGUGAAAUCAGAUCUUGUGUGAAGCUCAUUCAUCCAAGUUGUCUAUUCAUCCUAGUAGUCGCAAGAUGUAUCAGGAUCUAAAACCUCUCUAUUGGUGGACAAAGAUGAAAAAGGAGAUUGCUGCUUUUGUCGCUCGUUGUGACAAUUGUUGUCGCGUGAAGGCCGUUCACAUGAAAGCUGGUUUGCUUCAACCCUUGUCAAUUCCUGGUUGGAAAUGGAAAGAAGUCAGCAUGGAUUUCAUCGUUGGACUCCCAACUUCUGUUAAGGGUUACGACUCUAUCUGGGUGAUUGUAGAUCGUUUGACCAAGGUUGCUCGUUUUAUUCCAGUCCGAACUGACUAUCGUCCACAUCAAUAUGCGGAGUUGUAUUUCGAGCACAUUGUUCGUCAGUAUGGUGUGCCUCGAACUAUCAUAUCAGAUCAUGGACCACAGUUCACUGCCCGUUUUUGGGAGUGUCUACAUGAGCAGAUUGGUACUCACUUAGUCCGUAGUUCGGCAUAUCAUCCCCAAACGGCCGGUCAAACUGAACGGGUCAACCAAAUCCUAGAAGACAUGUUGAGGGCAUGUGCUCUCUCUUCAAAAGGUUCUUGGGUUAAGUGGUUGCCAUUAGCUGAGUUCUCUUACAACAAUAGUUAUCAGGAGAGUAUCAAGAUGGCUCCAUUUGAAGCCCUAUAUGGUCGAAAGUGUCGAACCCCGUUGAAUUGGGUAGAAUCCGAGGAGCGAAGGUAUUAUGGCAUCGAUUUCAUGAACGAAGUGGAACAACAAGUCCGUACCAUCCAACAACAUCUGGAAGCUGCUCAAGCUCGUCAGAAAAGUUAUGCUGACAAGAGAAGGAAGCCGAUUGAGUUUGCGGUCGGUGACUAUGUGUAUAUCAAGGUGUCUCUGAUGAAGGGUGUACAAAGGUUCGGAGUCAAGCGAAAGCUUGCACAUCGUUAUGUGGGACCUUAUCAGAUUCUCGAAAGGAAAGGAAACGUAGCAUACAAAGUUCAACUCCCAGUUGAGCUUCGAGCUAUUUUUCCUGUCUUCCACGUAUCACAGCUGAAGAAAUGCCUUCGUGUUCCGGAGGAACGAGUGGAAGUUCGGGAUAUCAAGUUGAAGUCGGACUUGGUGUAUGAAGAAAAACCUGUAGCGGUUCUUGACUGCAAGGAACGGGUGACUCAUAAUUGUGUGGUUAAGUUCUACAAGGUGUUGUGGAGUAACCAUGGGGAGGAAGAUGCCACUUGGGAAACAGAGGACUAUUUAAGAGAAGUUUAUAAAACCUUCUUCAAAAACCAGUAAGCUUCCAAAUCUCGGGACGAGAUUUUUGUAAGGGGGGAGGGCUGUAACACCCCAGUGUUAUGGUUGCAUAAAUCACAUGCAUAACAUGGGCAUCAUCAUUUACUCAAGCAUAUCAUGAUCAUCAUCUACCUUGAGCCAUGUCAUUUUAUGCAAAAUGUGAUUUAAGUUGUCUAAAUAGGCUUCCUAGGCUUGUGUUGGUGUGUACCAUGCUUGUGUUUGUGCUCUAUGCCUUGGUAAUUAUUUUAUCUCUUCUUGACUCAACAUUAGGAACAAUGUUCAUGUUGAUCACUUCUCCAAAAUAAUCACUUAAGUCAUACUUCCACAAAUAGGCUCUAAAAACCUCUUUUGCUUAGGCUUUUAAAAAGUGUUUCAUAAAAUUUUUGCAUGUCAAAACUUUCUACAGAAAAGUUGUAGCAAAUUUUAUAACGAACAAAAGUUGUUUUAUGGCCAUCUCAUGAAAAUGAACACAUCUAGCUCAAAAGUGACCCCCAAGGCAGAUUUGGGGCUGUUUCCAACACUUAGAAAAUUUUCUAAGUCUGGGAUCGCAGCAGUUUGCUCGAGGGUAUGUUGUUCAUCUUCCAGUUCGAAUUCUGGACUGAAUCAGACUUUGAUCCUGUAGGCAAUGUUGGAGUACUCAUGUAUCUCUCUAGCAUAGAGCCAUUAGCUAGCAAAAUCAUCAAGUGGUUUAGGAGAUAAUCGCAGUGCAAAAUCGAGUUUCAGUCGGGUUCAGAAAUUGAAUGGAGUCGCCGUCAGUUCAGGGGAGCUCGCUGGUGACGCCGCGUGUCUAGACCCGUGGUGUCCGUACGUCGCCGUUGGUCCCGCUCGUCAGUCCCCAGCGCGUCCUACAGCUUGCCACGGCGCCCCCGGUCGCGUGGACAACGCCAUUCCACUCCGGGCUCUCUCCCUCUCGCGUGCGUCGUGUUUUCCGCGUCGCCGCCGUUGCUUCGGCGAGCUCGCGCGCGUGUGUCUCCGUGUCUCCGGCCAAGCAACUCCGUCCAUCGCGCCGCUAGCUUCCCCGCAACAUCGUCGUCGAGUUGGAUGCAGUUGCCGAGCCUCGGUAAGCCCGCAUUGUCUCAUCUGUCGUGAGCUUACCUCGUCGGAGCUCCGCCAUGGUCACCGGUGUCGUGGCUAGGGCUCUGUAGUCCACCAUUCCUCCUCAUUCUUGUCCCAAAAGCUCCACUAGGUCAUGCUGAUGCUCGUCCGCAUUCUCUUUCGCUCUGUCUCCGGCCAGAGACGCCGGCGGUGGGCCGCGCACCACCGCCGUGCCGCCAUUCGCGAGGGCGAAGUACCUAGGGUCCACUAGAGUUAGGGUUUCGGGUACCGUUCAAUGCGGAAUGGAGUGGGGAGCACGAUGGUGCCCUUGGCCAUCGCCGAGACCUCGCCGUCGAUGAGAUCUCUGUUGACGGUCCUUAAGUAUCAAAUUUAAUUAUCAAAUAAAUAAAGAAAAGGAUCCAAAUGAAAUUAAGAUCUAGACUUAUGGUUUUAUCUGACAGAAUUCCACGAGUUUUGGUGUUUGUCUAUUUCUGCAGGGGGUUAUCAGGAAAUACGGAAGAAAGGCCCACAUGUCGGGAUUACGUAAAGAUAUUAAAGUGCUGCGCAAUUAUCUAACAUCUAGAAGACUCCAGAAGCCACGAGACCAAAGCGGAGGCGAAACGGGGACAGACCCUGGGCGGCCGCCCAGUUGGUCAGGGCGCCCGCCCACCUCCUGAGUCCAAUCAGGACUCUGCUUUGCGGGAGAUCUCCACCGACCUAAAGGAUGAAUCUAAACCAUACAAUCUAUGUCGGUUUGAUCCAAGGGCCCAUAUUCACUUGAAGGGACUAUAAAACCAGACCCCCUGGCCCCUGGACGAGAGAGCCUCUCAACCCUAAUUCAUUGUUCCAUCAAGGGAGAAGAAGCCUCUGAUCAAGAUUAGAGCCACCACAUCAAUUAGAUAUCUAGAUUAGCAUAGCUACAUAGGAUUAGAACUAGAAGGAGUCAAUCUUCGAUUGGUUUCCGGAUCUGUCAAGAGGAUUCUUGGUAAUUCUCUAAUUGUGCUUCUAAUUGCUUUCUAAUUAUCUUUGUUCUUCAAUAUUAUGAAUAUGACUUUGUUCUACUUCAAUAUAUUGCUUAUGACUUUGCUCUACUUGCUUAUAUUCAAGAUUAUAAUGUUCUUAGUUUAUCAUAGUUAUGUACUUGGCUUAGUUAGAUUGGAUCUAUAUACAUGCUUAGGAUCGUAUAGCGUUUAUCCAUCGGAUCCAUGGGUAAAUGAUAGAUAUUGUGUAGGCGUGGUGCUUAUACCAUAUUUAUCUGCGAUUGUACCCAAUAUGCCAGAUCGUGGGGUGGUUCGUGAUAGUGACAGCUUCAUUGAUUCUUAUAUAGUCCCCCUCUCGUGUAUUGGGCUGGCAGAGCAACAUUAUUACAAGGGGAGUGAUUGCUAUGUUCCUCAUAUUCCUUGCUAAUAUCACUAUGCAUGGGCGUAGUCUUGUCUCGCAAUGAUUGCUAAGUAUGCUUGCACUAACUAUGAUAUGCUAGACUAUAUAGUUGAGAAUAACUUAGGGAAUAUUCUUGUAGUUCGUUCUAAUACCAUGCUAAUGACUUUCUAGAGUAUCUAAUUGAGGUGCUUAUCAUAUUUAUUAUGUGGCUAGAUCAGAUUAGUUAUCCUUGUCACUAUUAUUAUUUCAUAUAUCUUAUAUGUGACACUUAUCCCUGUAUGAAGAGUUAGAUAUAAUGUUCUCAAUUAUACAUGCCAUGAUAGAUACUCAAUCUCAUAUUCUAUUCUGUAAUCAUUAGUGAUGAUUGCUAAUCCCUUCCCAGUGGUAAAAAUAUAAAUAACGAUACCUGGAAUACUUCCCGGUUAAAAUGCUACAUCGGUAUUAAUCUGUGCGCUUGCAGAUCCAAUUCAUUAUUUAUUUAGAAGAGCAAUUGCAUAUUUCAAUACCGCGUCUCUUAUAUCAUGCUGGGGAUGACAACUUGGCUUAAGUGGUGUGAGGGAUAGGUUUGGCAUUUUUGGCACCGUUGCUAGAUUUAGAACUUAGUAUACUUUUAGUAAUGAUGUUAAGAAUACCCAACAAGCAUUUUUGGCGCCGUUGCCGGGGAAGGUUGAUUACUAAUCAGGAAUGGAAUAAAAGAUUUUGAGUUAUCAUUCGCAUCACUAAUAUGAUUGAGCUUAUCUAUUCUCUCAUACAGUUUUACCCCGAUAUUUUUCUAUUUCAUCUUAUGCAGGGGAAUGUAUGAAUAGAAGACAUCUUCCAGGAAAUUUUGUUGACAAUCCUGAAUCAUUAUUCAAGAAGACGAGAGCCGAGCUAAAGAAAUCAUCAACACUUCACGAAGAAGCUUCAUCCAAUCAAGAAGAUCACCGGAACUUGUCUUCAGAGUUCGAAGCCAUGGCGAACAAAUCAAUCCGCGAGUUCUCAGCUCCCACUACGGACAACAUCCGCACUGGACCUGCUGCAGAGAUCGAUGGCAACUUUGAGCUCAAGCCUGGACUUAUGAACAUGGUGCAAUCCAACCAGUUCUGUGGGAAGGCACACGAAGACGCUAGUGCUCAUUUACAACACUUCCUGGAGAUUUGCAACACAUUCACCAUAGCAGGAGUUUCCAAAGACGCUAUACUACUUCGCCUCUUCCCAUUCUCACUGUUAGGAAGAGCGAAGCAGUGGUUCUACGCUACAAAGGAGAAGAAUACUACGUGGGCACUCUGCUCAACAAACUUCCUGGCUAAGUUCUUUCCCAUGGGCAAGACCAAUGCUCUCCGUGGGAAGAUUACAAGUUUUCAGCAACAAAAUGAUGAAUUUGUUCCAGAAGCAUGGGAGCGCUUUCAAGACUAGAUCCUAGAAUGUCCCCAUCAUGGAAUGGAGAGUUGGCUACUGAUGCAGACAUUCUAUCAUGGGCUCAGCAACAGUGCCCGAGAGACCAUGGAUGCUGCAGCUAGAGGAGCAUUCUUAACACUUACUAUACCACAAGCCACAGCUCUUGUGGAGAAGAUGGCGUCCAACCAAAGCUGGAAUGGAGAGAGGACCCAGACACGCAAGAGAGGUGGAGGUAUACAUCAGCUCAAGGAGGUAGACAUGCUGUCUGCAAAGCUAGACCUGCUCAUGAAGAAGCUCGAUGAUAGAGCUGGAGACAAGAAAGAAGUUAUGCACAUCUACGACUCUCACAUGACUUGUGAGGAGUGUGGAGACACUGGACACUCAGGCAACCACUGCCCUGAGAUGCUUGAGGAUGUGAACUACAUCAACAACAACAACAACAACUACAACCGUCCUCAACAAAAUCAAGGUUGGAAUCAACAGAGGCCUAACUACUCAGGUAAUUAUGAAGGUAACAAUUCUUACAACAAUAAUAAUAAUUUUCCACCUUUGAGAGAGUUAGUGUCUAAUCAAGGAAAGCUAAUGGAUAACCUGUCUAAGAAAUUGGCAUCAAAUGAUAAAAUGCUAGAAAAUAUAAAUAAUAGAAUGGAUAAUUUCUCUAAUGCCAUCAAGAAUCAAAUUAGCUUUAAUAAAAUUAUUGAAUCUCAGUUAAAUCAAAUAGCUGCUGUUGUUCCUACUACUAACCCCGGUAUACCAUCACAACCGGAAGGAUUAGAAUCUGCAAAUCUUGUAGACGUGUUUGAUGCAGGUAAUUGGAGUAACCCCGUCACUGAAUUUUCUACUGACCGUCUGCCGGUGAAGAGAGGCGAUCCAGGACGCCCCGUCAUCCCGAUCUCCAUCGGCAUGGUGGACGUUCCAGAAGCACUCUGUGACUUUGGCUCUAGCGUCAACAUUAUACCCAGGGUACUCUAUGAGAAAUUCUUUACAUAUCCUUUAUUAGAGACAACCAUGUGUUUGCAGUUUGCAGAUCAGAUGAUAACUUUUCCAAAAGGAAUAGUGAGGAACCUUUGUGUCCGAGUUGGUACUUUAUAUGCCCCAGCAGACUUUGUAGUGGUUGAGACCGGAAAUGAUGAGAGAGCACCUAUCAUCCUAGGAAGGCCAUUUUUGAACACCACGGGAGCUAUCAUCUACGCUAGUGCUGCCAAGAUCAGUUUCUACGUCAAAGGGAAGAAGGAGAUAUUUUUCUUCAAGAACAAGACUACACAAAUUCCAGAUCAAUCCAGACGUGAAUCAGGGAAGAGGACCAACAGGAGGAACAGGAACAAGCAAGUGUGGACCGAGUCAGCUAAGAUGGUCACUGUAGUCCAUGGAGGCCAAGAUCACCAACUUAAGUCACCGUUUUUGACCAAGAAGGACGACCCAGGAAUGCCAAGCAUCUACUGCUCCAUAAAUGGAUAUAACUUCUACAAGACGAUUUGCGACACCGGAUCGGGCGUCAACAUAAUGGCCGCAGUCACUUAUCGGCUCUUGUUCGGGACCAUGCCACUAAGACCAACAUACAUUCAGCUCCAGAUGGCAGAUCAGACAUUUCGAGAAGUUCAAUGAAUAAUAUCUGAUGUCCCAGUCAAAAUAGACGAUCACUUUGUCUACACAGACUUUCAAGUUAUUGACAUGGGAGAAGACGAGUACGAUCCACCCAUCAUCCUUGGAAGACCGUUCCUCAGCACCGUUAAAGCAAUUAUCUACAUUGGAACCAGAGAAGUCCAUAUGCACUUCCCCUCAGAGAAGGUACGCCGUUAUUUUACUGACCCUAACUAUAUCAUUGAAGAAUCUAAGCAGGUCAGAAAGAGACGCAACCGCAACCAGAGGAGGCAGAUCAUCAAGGACGGAUGGGCAGACUAUGAAGGAGAAGUUGUAAGGUCAGAAGACGUGGAGUUUAAACAGAAUUAUCCAGAGGAGAUUGAAGCACCGAGUCAGGUAUGGAAAAUGAAGAUAACUAUACAUGAAGAGGAGGCGCUACCGGAAGUACCGACUUCGCCACCCAACGAACCUCAGGACGAUUAAGAAAUUGGAGAGUCCCGUUCGGACGACUUAAAAACACCGAACGCCCUGCCAAGAGGUAAACUUGGUAGUUACCCUUUCCCUUUCAAUUAUUUCAAUUAUCUCAAAUAGUUUACUUAGUUAAUUAUGUUCGUGCUAUCCUAAAAAAAAAUAAAAAUGUGAAAAACAGUAAGCCCCAUGUGAGUAGACGAGUGGCAUAAAACCUAUAAGUACAUUCACUGUGGUGGCAUAAAAAUAAAAUAAAUAUUUUUUCUGCUUUAUAAAAUAAAAAUAUAAAAACAGGGAGUAACAAUUAUUAAGGAGUCUCAACAUGAUAAAGGCUAGAUAUUUAUGCUAACACUUAAUCAGUUCCACAAGCUAUGUUGUCUAUUUGAGCUCCACAGAAUUUAAGAAUCAAGAAGACUCGCAGACGGAGGACAUUCUAAUCGCUGUCAGAAUGCUGCUGACUUUCAAAUACACCUCUGCCACCUGCUAGCUACAUCAAGAGAAAUUACGUCAAAAUUCAGCUUGGGGGAGAGCACCCCCAUUUACCUCGAUAAGUAUUUCUAUCUAUUUUUAUACUUAUAUUAUUUUAGAAUAUUAAAAUACACAUAAACUAUGGGAAAACCAAAUAAAGAUUUCAUGCUUAUAUAUGUCUUUUGCUUAGUGUGUUUAAUAAAUAAAUAAAGUGGCUAUGCUAAUCUGUAUCUAAACAAAAACUUAAGCAUGGAUAUGAUGAAUAGUUGCUCUGCCUAAUUUGCACAUUCUAAGUUCUCUCUCAAGUUUAGAUAUAACUGUUAUAAUUUAAAGCUUGCCCUAGACCUGAACUUGUGGGAUGAAAACUUGAUCUGAAGUCUAAGUUGUUAACGGAUACGAUAUGGGAAGGUUCAGCUGCUGUUUAUCUGUUCCUAGAGAUGCUAGAAUUCUGGAGAAUUUUAUCUUUGAAAAUCUUUAAAAUGUUGCAUGAUGAGUUCCUGUAUGAUGAGAGCUUAAAUUCCUACCACAGCCAUAUAUACAUGCUUGCUAGACUUUGAGCCACACAUUUACUAUUUACUGCUUAUGAGCAUUGAGUGUGGUCAAGCUGUGUAGACCCUUAGGAGCUUGUCAUGUGGUUAAAUCAAGAUUUCACUUGCACGUUCACUCAUAUAUGCUACUUCUACUCCAGAAGUACCAUCCACAUAUAUCCAUCCAUUUCCAUCUCCAGAAUCACCCAAAAAUAUUCUGCUCCUAAUCCGGGAGAGAAUAACCAAAAAUAUUUCUGUUUCCCCUUGUGAAAUAAAUGCUCAAGUUAUCUUGUUACUACCACUUGCUAUAUUAUCUCAAGAGAUGAGUGCUCUAAAAAAAAAUAAAAUAAAAUAAAAAGGAGCAAGUGCUCGGAACCUCGAAAGAAAAGAAAGAGUGAGACGAGAGGUAAAAAUGGACAAGUGUCCGACAGUAGAAUUAGGGGUGCAAGAUACCCACCUGAGAGACAAGAAAAAGAAGAGCAUCUCAUUCUCCUCAUAAAGUUUCAAAAGCAAGGAAGGUAUGUGUCCCCUCAAAAGAGCAAAGUAGAAUUAGACUUCCACCACCAUUGUUUUCACCAUUGUUAUCACCAUCAUCACCAUACACCAUUCAUUCGCCACACAUGCACAUCUUGAUUUGGCUUAUUGAUUUGUUUCUUUGGAUCCAUGGUUUGAUUAUGCAAUAAAUGUCUUGUAAGUAUGUAUAUUUUAUCUCCCACCUAUGAGCUCCAGAUAUUAAGCCUUAUUAGAGUAGGGUGAGAGAGAAGGCAAUGUCACUAUGCCUUAUACCACAAAUACUACAUAUCUUGAGAGAAGGCAUAUACCAUCAAUGCCUUGGUAAGGAUCCAAAAAUACCACAAAAGAGAGAUCUGAGAGAAUCAUACAAGGAAUCUCUGAGUUUUAUUUGAAAAUCUGCAAAAACCCCAGAGCUAUAGCUGAUCAAGAAUAAGAGACAUGGCACUUGGCUAGACUGUUCUAUCUUUUAACCACUCAAGACAGAAGUGACAGUUACAAGUCCCAUGGUGGAGGUAAAGUAAGUAAGUUUUAAGUCUUGAUAGUUUACUCUAACUCAGAGAUGAGAUCUUAUUUAAAAGCAUGUGUACCGUCUAUUUUUUAAAAAUAUUACAACAACUUAUGAUCCAUAGCUGAGUCUAUCCUUGCUCAGGGACGAGCAAGAGGUAAGCUUGGGGGAGUUUGUUGACGGUCCUUAAGUAUCAAAUUUAAUUAUCAAAUAAAUAAAGAAAAGGAUCCAAAUGAAAUUAAGAUCUAGACUUAGGGUUUUAUCUGACAGAAUUCCACGAGUUUUGGUGUUUGUCUAUUUCUGCAGGGGGUUAUCAGGAAAUACGGAAGAAAGGCCCACAUGUCGGGAUUACGUAAAGAUAUUAACGUGCUGCGCAAUUAUCUUACAUCUAGAAGACUCCAGAAGCCACGAGACCGAAGCGGAGGCGAAACGGGGCCAGACCCUGGGCGGCCGCCCAGUUGGUCAGGGCGCCCGCCCACCUCCUGAGUCCAAUCAGGACUCUGCUUUGCGGGAGAUCUCCACCGACCUAAAGGAUGAAUCUAAACCAUACAAUAUAUGUCGGUUUGAUCCAAGGGCCCAUAUUCACUUGAAGGGACUAUAAAACCAGACCCCCUGGCCCCUGGAGGAGAGAGCCUCUCAACCCUAAUUCAUUGUUCCAUCAAGGGAGAAAGAUGCCUCUGAUCAAGAUUAGAGCCACCACAUCAAUUAGAUAUCUAGAUUAGCAUAGCUACAUAGGAUUAGAACUAGAAGGAGUCAAUCUUCGAUUGGUUUCCGGAUCUGUCAAGAGGAUUCUUGGUAAUUCUCUAAUUGUGCUUCUAAUUGCUUUCUAAUUAUCUUUGUUCUUCAAUAUUAUGAAUAUGACUUUGUUCUACUUCAAUAUAUUGCUUAUGACUUUGCUCUACUUGCUUAUAUUCAAGAUUAUAUUGUUCUUAGUUUAUCAUAGUUAUGUACUUGGCUUAGUUAGAUUGGAUCUAUAUACAUGCUUAGGAUCGUAUAGCGUUUAUCCAUCGGAUCCAUGGGUAAAUGAUAGAUAUUGUGUAGGCGUGGUGCUUAUACCGUAUUUAUCUGCGAUUGUACCCAAUAUGCCAGAUCGUGGGGUGGUUCGUGAUAGUGACAGCUUCAUUGAUUCUUAUAUAGUCCCCCUCUCGUGUAUUGGGCUGGCAGAGCAACAUUAUUACAGGGGAGUGAUUGCUAUGUUUCUCAUAUUCCUUGCUAAUAUCACUUUGCAUGGGCGUAGUCUUGUCUCGCAAUGAUUGCUAAGUAUGCUUGCACUAACUAUGAUAUGCUAGACUAUAUAGUUGAGAAUAACUUAGGGAAUAUUCUUGUAGUUCGUUCUAAUACCAUGCUAAUGACUUUCUAGAGUAUCUAAUUGAGGUGCUUAUCAUAUUUAUUAUGUGGCUAGAUCAGAUUAGUUAUCCUUGUCACUAUUAUUAUUUCAUAUAUCUUUUAUGUGACACUUAUCCCUGUAUGAAGAGUUAGAUAUAAUGUUCUCAAUUAUACAUGCUAGAAUGCCAUGAUAAAUAUUUCAUAAUUUUUGGAGUGCUAUAUCUGUGAUAUGAAAUAUAUGUUGGUUCUAUGGCUUGUUUUCUUAUUUAAAUCAUAGUAAAUAAUUGGUGAUUAUGCUGAUGCUCUACUUUGGGGGCAAACUUGUUUAUGGUAUUGGUAACAUGUAAAUAAUCUGAAAUAUGCUGUUUGGCACUAUAUAAGCCAUGUUCCUUAAUUUAUGAAAUAAGUACCUUGUCACAUGUUAAAUGCUUAUCUAAAAAUUGGCAUGUGCAAUUGCCCUGAAAAUUUUAUGGUGAUGUCAAGAUGCUAUGCUUGUGCUCCUGUAAUUUUUGUAGAUUUUUCUGGGCACUUUUGCUAGUAUCUUGUAAUUAUGCUCUUUUAUAGAAUUAAAUGGAUAAAUGCCUUGUUACGAAACAAUUAAAGGGUAACAUAUAAUGUUCUGGUUAUCUUAUGAUAUACUUGUGCUUAUAAGCUAUUUGGUUGGCACUGUUUAUGUUCUGGCUAUGUCAUCAAAUAAUUAAUUGGAGGGUUAAGAGCUGUCUGGACAGCAAGAGAGUAAUACAACCUUUACUUGUUGAUAACUUGGUUUUCUGGGAGACCUGUCUAAAGCAAAGUUAUUGUAAACUUUAUGAACUAGCUGUGGUUUAAUUUUGGGAUCCUUUGGUUCAAUAGUUUGAAAGUUAUGGCUGUUCCAAGUUGGGUUCCAGAAAUAGGAAUUCUCUGUUUUUCUAGGACACAACGUGGAACUUUGUUUGAAUGACUUGUUUAAUAUAUGAAUCUUGCUGUGAUGUUUAAAGAUGAUUUGUAGACAAUUUCAUAAUCUUUCUAGAAUGUUCUCAUUUAUGUUUAUUGGAUCUUUAUAGCAAUAGUUAUGACCUAUUUACUGAGCUGUUCUGUUAUGUGUUGCUUGCUGUUUAUAGUUUGACUUGCAAGUUUGCUAAGUCAAUUGGUUUUCCUUUGUGAGUUAACUUAGAAGUUUACUCAGUAAAUGAGUGUCUAGUGAGUCUAAUUAUGUUAUCAAGCAUUCAUCCUUUAGUAUGCACACUUUCUUAUUCAUCGAGCAUGCAAUAGGUGCAGCGGACGCGACCGCCUCUUUCGAGCUUCAAGUGAACCCUGAAGGCCAGGAGGGCAACCCGGAGGUGGAGGUCCAGCAAGUCGGACUCGAGGAGCCCGAAGAGGAGAUUGAGUGCCCAAACCACGAGCCAGCCUCGUUUGUGAAAGGCAAGCCCCGGAGCAUCCUAAGUCUCCCCUUUACUUUCGAAAGUUUACUUGAAUAUGUUAUAUCUAUUGAUGCAUUUAAGUAUAGGAGUUGUGAUGAAGCCCUUGCUGCAUUUUACUCAAUCCUUGUCCAGAUAUCUUAUCACUACCUGGUUAUAGAGUUAGGAUCGAGUAGCAGCUUAGCCAUGCUUUAACCGGUAGAAGUCGGGUGAUAUCCUGUCACCUGCGCGAUAUAGGGUUAUGUCGGAUCACGAUGGACUAUAUGUGCUAUUGUGGAUGGACACUGAUUAAAUUGACUUAAACCGGGCGGAAUUUUGCAAGGUUGUAGUAACUCCGUCUGUUGCAGCUAAGGACUGACCGUUGCACGUCCUCUUGUCAUGUUGAACGCAUGCCUAACACUUAGUUGGCCGGAUAACUCGUUCUGACCGUGAAGCCUAGUAGUAUGACUCAGGCCGGAAGACCGGCAAGUAUAAAGUGCGCACUACCGGAGGAAGUGCGGUGUGCGGGGGACCAUUGGCGUAAGACUAAAGGCAAGUGAGUUAAAAUUCCUGACCUCCCUAGCAGAGUGGUAGCCCUGGGAUUGCGGCGCUGAUCGGAGCUGCGAUUCCUGAGUCGUACCAAAGGUGACCCGCUGGCUCUCCGACGGGGGAUGCUUGGGUGAGUGCUAGGAAUAACCCUCCAGCUGGAUAGGAAUCGAUUCGAAUCGCCGUCUCUCCCAGAUAGUGAGAACUUGACAGAGCAGCGGCAAACGUAGCAUUCACUAAAGAACUUUGGUUCAUGGUAAUGAUGAUAGUAAGGAAGAACAUGUGAUGAAUUUGAUAUGGUUAUUAUUGCUUGUAAUAAUCAAGUGAAGUGCUUUAGUACAGGUGCUAAUCUAGUGGUAGGUUGAUGAUGAUUAAUAUGAUGCUCUCACAACAUUGUAGCUAUAAUUUAAGCUUUUGGCAACUGUUGGGUCAACCAGCUCCACUUGAUCUUAGCCGUGCAUGAUCCUUGGUGUCUUUUAUGUUUUACUAGGCGGGUAAGUCUAGCUGAGUACAUUCUCGUACUCAGGGUUUAUUUCCCACCCGUUGCAGAUGAUAUCUUUUAUGAUGGCUUCUGCAAGACCUGUCUCCAUCCCGCUAGGGAUGAGGAUUAACCGUUGGGCACGGUUCUCUAACUACUCUGUAUCUGUUGCUUUUGGAUGGAUGGCAUGAGACCCUGGCUGAACCAAAACUUGUGAAAUGAACUUUGGAAAGUGUGUGUAAUUAUUUUGCUUCCGCUACAUCAAACAUGGGUUGUAAUAACUAAGUAACUCCGAUGUGGUGCCACUUCGACGGUAAUGAAUGACUAUGUAACAUUUGCUGUGUUGUGUUGAACUAUUACGAUCUUGGUUUGUUGCAAGUUGGUUUGAAGUCCUUUGUGAUUUCAGUUGACUACCGGGAUUAUAUGGGCUCAAGUUUGGAAACUUGAUUGCUUGUUGAUCGUUUCUGCACUUGAACUCUUAUAAUUUGGUCGGUUCUGUGACACUCUGGGCAUACCGGACUGCAUACAAGACCCCAAUUGGAAUGUCUUCAUACCAAUUGGUGUACGGGAAGACUUGCCACCUACCUGUUGAAUUAGAGUUCAAAGCACAUUAGGGCCAUAAGGAGAUGGAAUAUGGACCUAGAUGUUGCUGGAGAUCAUAGAAGAAUGCAACUAUCAGAAUUGGAAGAAUGGCGAGAGAAAGCAUAUCACAACUCGAAGAUCUAUAAAGAAAGAGUCAAAAGGUGGCAUGACAAGAGGAUCGAGAAGAAGGAGUUCGCACCCGAAGAUAAGGUAUUACUUUUUAAUUCCAAGGUGAAGCUUUUCGGGCAUGGAAAACUCCGGUGUAAAUGGGAAGGACCAUUCAAAGUAAUCAAUUCAUCAUCCCACGGAGCUAUCACAUUUCAAAAUGACAAAGGUACGUUAUUCAAGGUAAAUGGUCAACGUCUUAAAUUAUUUUAGAGCCCAAUAAAGAAUUAGAAGAAAUAGACGUAAUCCAUUUUUACCUUCCCAUGGAGAUUUAGAGCCCAACCUUUUUAAUCUGACAUUUUUGGGUCACACAUAUAUUUUCCUAAUAAGUUUUGCAUCUAGAAACUCGCUCGAGGAAGCGGGCCCACGGAGGGGCCAGGCACAGGGCGGGCGCCGUGAUGAAUAGGGCGGGCGCCCAGCCCCUGCCCCCUCUCGGUCCCGAUUUCCUCCGUCGCGGAAAACACAUUUAUGGUAAACCAAAUAAUCCUUCAGAUGGAAAGUUUCGCACGCACGGCGAUGGGAGUAACCCGAACAACCCCUAGAGGCACUUUUUGACCCCUAUAUAUACAGACCCCUGACGUCAGUUUUCAAACACCAAUCUAUUCAAGCCUUCUCAUCUUCUUCAAUUAGAGCUUGCUUAGUUCCUCGCUGCUCCAAUGGCCGAAGAGUUCCAUGAUGAUUGGGAAGUCGUUCCCUACGACCUCAACAAGAAUCCUAAGGAAGACCCCAAUGCCCGUGCUCUCGUCCCGGCCAAUACAGAGCGACAGCUAGAAGCCAUGCCAUUAUGCGAGCGCAGCUCUGCCCAAUCCUACCAUGCUCAACCAGUUCUCACUACACUGCCACAACCCCCUACUUCUCAAGGGACCAUCAGCCAAGAAGGAGGCCACCAUCAAGGUGCCAGCUGGCACGAGGAUCCUUCCACCUAGACCUAAUGAGAGGGUCGUUGGAGUCAAGACCAACCGGAGCAGCGAGAUCAGCAGCAUCCGCUACACUAUGGACGAAGAGAGGCUUACUUUGAGGGGAUUAGAGCAGCCAAAGUCCGUUUCAUCCCUCCAAAGGCAGCCUCGAAGCAUGCUCUCAAUGCUCUUGAGACACCUCCUAAGCGCCGCAAGACUAUAGUAGAUAUUGAUGAGGACGUUCGCAGGCUAGAUAGGGUCAUCAUAGGCCUGCAGUCCUCGGUUAAUUCUAUCACUAGGAAGCUCUCUAACCACAACACCGUUAUAGUAGGCCUUAGGCAUGAUCUUGCUAGUGCCAAUAAGAAGAUCAAGGAGUUAGAGCGCCGCUAAGUUAUCUAGAUUAGAUCUUGAGGCAAUGCAUCUUAGUUAUUUAUCUUUAAAUUCGGUUUAGAUUUACUAUUAUCGUCAGUUUGCUACUAGUCAUUUGUAAUAAAUGCCUCAAGAUUAAUAAAGUUUAUUAUUAUUAUUAUGUCCUAUGUGUCUCUACAUUAUUUUUAUACAAGAAAGCAGAAAACAAGUAUGGGGGAGAUCCCUCGACAUGCCAAACACACUUCGACUACACCACUCCACGAUUCAGGUACAUACUCUGCACACUUUACUUUACACAUGCACAUAUAUCUUGGAUUAUGUAGAAUACUGUCUCCGACAUGAUAAAUUAAAAAGAUUAAAAUAUUUCUAAUCAUGAUUAAUCUCACUCUGUGAUAUUUCCUGAAAAUCUAGUCAUUUAAAAAACCAUGUGUUACUUAAGUCAUUGUGGAAUGUGAGUAUGAGUAUCUUAUUCUUGAUAUCAUUGCUGCUUGGAGAAUUUAUUUCAAAAUCCUUAAAAAUUCUAGCUACCAUCCUCAGUGUUUUAUAUGCCUAAUAAACCUAAAAAUAUUAAAUAUAAUAAUUAGAAAAGCUAUCUACUCUGUAUUGAGUUUGUUCAAAAUGAGUUAGACCCUUGUUGAGAGAUUUAUCAUGCUCCUAAGAUCAAGAUAUUUAUUCAGAAAGAUUCACUCUUCCGAAGUACUGUUGUGUUAGAGGCAUGGGCUAUGAAAAAAUAAGGAUAUUUCGAGGAAAUAAAAAGGAGCAAGUGCUCGAUAACCUUGCAAAAAAAAUGGAAGGUAUCCGGCAGUAGAAUUAGGGGUACCUCGAUAUCCACCUAAAAAAAAGAGAAAGAAGAAAAUGAUAGCCCAUGGUCCCUCUAAUAAGCAAUAUGCCAGUAAGAGUUGACAAGUUUUUAAUUUUCAAAGUCUUUGAUCUAAGAGUAUGGCAUCCCUCUCCUCGGAUCCUGUUUUGAUCAGGCAAUAAAUGCAAGGUAAGAAUGCUUGAGAAUUUUUGCAAAUUAAAACAGCCUCAGUGAGAUAUAAAAGAUAAUGAGUGACCUGAGAGAACCUGAGGAUAAAGGUAUGCUAAAUUUCUUUUCAAAAAUAUACAAAAACUCUAAGUAACAGGAUUGAGAAGAAAGGACCUCUACUCUUGACUAUAUAUUUCCCUGACUACGGUACACAGUGAAUUUUUACAACACCCUGUAGGUAUGAAGAGAAUGUUUUACAAUGUUUUAACCUCAGAUAUUUUUCUUAACCAUCCUUUUCUCAAGGACGAGUAAAAGCCUAAGUAUGGGGUAUUUGUUGACGGUUCUUAAGUAUCAAUUUUAAUUAUCAAAUAAACAAGGGAAAGGACCAAUAUACAAACAACACCUAGAAUUAGGGUUUGAUCUGACAGAAUUCCACGAGUUUUGUUGUUUAUCUGUUUCUGCAGGGGGUUAUCGUGAAAUAAGGAAGAAAGGCCCACAUGUCGGGAUUACAUAGAGAUAUUAAUGCACCGUGCAAUUUUCUACCAUCUAGAAGACUCCAGAAGCCACGGGAACGAACGGGAAGGCGAUCGGGCCUGGGGGCAGGGCGCCUGCCCACCCCCCUAGGGCGGCCACCCAAGAGUUCUGCCCAAACACGUCCAACUUCGCGGAUCACGCUCCACCGACCUAAAGGAUCAAGGAUAACCGUUCAAUCAAUGUCGGUUUGAUCUGACGGCCCACGUUUACCUGAGGGAACUAUAUAAGCAGACCCCCUGGUCCCUGGAGGAGAACAAGUUCAUCAUAGAGUUGAGAGGAGCCCCUGAAGGAUAACCUCUCCUCUAAAUAGACUUAGGGCUUAGCAUCCAAUGUGAGUAGAAUUAGAUCUUCUAGUUUCUACUAGAUUGAGAGAGAUAGAGUGGAGGUGUAGAUCGGAGGAAGCCCGACCUGUCGGUGUCUACUCCGAGGUUGUACCUGCGGGAUCAAGUUCUCCUAACCCAAAGCUUGCUCCUAGGAUUCUUCAGUAUUUUGACUUCUAAAUUCUAGUAAGUUCUUGUUUUAUUGUUCUUUGGUUUAUGAGUUUACUUUAAUCUCUUCGCGUAGAGUUUAGAGUAUUCUUCUCUAGCGUAGACGUGGUGUUUGGGCUAGAAUACUCAUAGAUAUCCCCUGACUAGCUGGACCAUGGUAGUAGCGAGGAACGUGACAUUUCCGAGUUACCUUUGCAAACCAUAUCUCGUUAGCAGGAAGGAUAGGGUUUAUAGGUGCGGGUUGAACAUCCUCUGUGGUGUCUAGAUUCCGUGAGCCUCCCCAAUAGAAUAGUAGAUCAUCCUUACCAAGGUUCGAAAGAGAUUACGGUUGUAGUCUUCUCUAUAUUCUCUAUAUAUCACUCACAUCAAGAAACAUUCUUUGUAGCCUAAAGGUUAGUAGUAAUAGACUGGGUUAGUCAGAUGCACUCUUUCUCCUAGUGGUAAAAAUAUAAAUACGAUACUCUGGAUAACCUCUCGGGUGAAGUGCUCACCGAUAUCCGUGCGCUUGCGGAUCAAUUCCUUAUUGCGUUCCCAAAUAUCAACAAAAUCUCCAGACUUAACUACCACAUCAUCAAUAUAGAUUUCCACCAAUUUGCCGAUGAAUUCAUGAAAGAUAAAAUUCAUAGCUCUCUGAUAAGUAGCACUAGCAUUUUUCAAGCCAAAGGUCAUGAGUAUCCAUUCGAACAACCCAACAUGACUAGGACAUGUAAAUGCAGUCUCUGGAAUAUCUUCUUCAGCCAUGAAUAUUUGAUUAUAUCCUGCAUUGCCAUCCAUAAAGCUAAUGAUCCGAUGUCCAGCUGCAGCAUCAACUCGUAAAUCGGCAACUGGCAUUCGAUAACCACCCAUCGGUGUAGCCUUGUUAUGAUUCCUCAAAUCAAUGUAGACAUGAAGCUUCCCAUUCUUUUUGUAAAUUGGAACAACAUUAGAAAUCAUCUCGGCAUACCGACAUUGCCGAAUAAAUUUAGCUUCAAUAAGUUUAGUUAUUUUGGCCUUAAUAUCAAGAAGAAUAUUAGGAUUGCAUCGGCGAGCUGGCUGCUGAUGUGGCCGAAAUCCAGAUUUGAUAGGUAACCGAUGUUCCACAAUCGAUCGGUCUAAACCAGGCAUCUCAGUAUAAUCCCAAGCAAAGCAAUCUUUGUAUUCCUUUAACAAAUCGGUUAAUUGUUGCUUACACUCAGAAUCUAACUUAGCACUAAUAAAAGUAGGCCUUGGCCUAUCACCAUUACCUAUAUCUACUUCUACUAAAUCAUCGGCCGAUGUAAACCCCUGGCCUAAUUUUCCAUCAUCGGCGAACCUAUCCAUUAAAACUCCUCAUCAGAACCGACUGCUUGGAUCGGUGGAAUUUCAUAAUCGGCAACUUUGAGAAAAUCCUUCUCCCAAAUCUCCCCUGAAAUGCAUCUAGUCCUUUCAUAAGUAUCCGCUUCUACCGACGCAAUGACAUACAAAGAGUCUCCUGGGACAAUUUCAAUCUUGUCACCUACCCACUGAACCAAACAUUGGUGCAUCGUAGACGGGACGCAACAAUUGGCAUGAAUCCAAUCUCUGCCCAACAGCAAAUUUUAAGCACCCUUUCCACUGAUGACAAAGAAAGUUGUAGGCAAGGUUUUGCUGCCGAUGGUCAACUCAACGCUUAUGGCUCCCUUGACUAGAGACACAUUCCCUUCAAAAUCUUUCAGCAUCAUAUCGGUCAUGGUCAAAUCUUGAUCUCCUUUCCCAAGCUUCCGAUAGACUGCAUAUGGCAUAAUAUUGAUAGCAGCCCCACCAUCAACAAGUAUCUUAGUCAUCGGCUGUACAUCAACCCUGCCUUUGACAAACAGAGCUUUAAGAUGUUGUCUUUCAUUGUCGGCGGGCUUUUCAAAAAUAGCUGUCAUCGGAUCCAGAGCCAACUGAGCCACCUGAUCGGGGAAAUCUACCUCCUCAUCAUAACUGAAGGGUGCGAGGAAUUCCAUCGGCAACAUAAACACCAUAUUAACGUCCGCCGAUGGACUCUUUCCUUUAGGAUCUGAUUGCUGCCGAUCUCCAGGCUUAGCAGAAUUCUCUCCUUUGCUCCGUUCUUCUUGCCGUUCUCGCUGCAACCUCCUCUUUGUGUCCUUGUCAAUCCUUCCAAACACCAUGGUGGAAUUUGUGGUUGCCUCACCGAUUGACGACAAUUUCCCCUUGGUUCCACCCGAUAAGUAUUAACAUCUCUGCAAAAUAUGAACUCAUUGGGAACUCGCGCAUCUGCCAUCUCCUGAAGCUCCUCUUGGUUUCUGGGGAAAUAAUCGACACGCUCACCCAGCUUGUCAUGCACACUGAGUCUGCCCCCCAGCCGAUCAUGAACUGAGGCCCUUCCCCUAAUCGGUCCAUUAAAACGCCAAUCACCGUUCUGCUACUAUCGAUUUGGUCUAUCAUACCGAUCAUAUCCGUUACACUCAGGGCAAUCUCUAACAGUGGGUAGCUUCAUAUUUUGCUCCCAACAGUGGACAAAGAACGGGCAGUUUCAGUGAUCUUUGUGCUGAUUCCACUUUUGUCGGCAUCUUUCUUCUUCCCGACGACGAUCUUCCUGUUGGCGCCGAUACCGAUCUUCACGCUGCUGCCAGGUUUCCCGAUGCCUUCUAUGAGUGAUCACAAUGCCAGAUCGAGGAGGCCUUCCUAAGCUAGUUCCCUCCUAAAUCAAGCCCUUGCCUUUGGCGUCAUCGGCGGUGAUCUGAUGCUGAGGAUCUACCGAUGCACUUUUUUCAGCUACCUCCGAUGUCAAGACUGUAGUCUUUCCCUUAGCAUCCAACAUAUUUGUAGGGAAAGGGUGUUGGUCGAUCUUCAUUGGUUUUUGAGCUUUAGAGCUAUCGAACUUAAUUCUCCCAGACUCUAUAGCCGAUUGCAGCUGCUGCCUGAAAAUCUUACACUCAUUUGUACUGUGAGAUGUUGCAUUAUGCCACUUGCAGUACAUAAUCUUCUUUAAUUCUUCUGCCGAUGGAAUCACGUGAUUGGGUGACAACUUAAUUUGCCCUUCCUGAAGCAGAAAGUCAAAUAUCAUGUCCGCUUUGGUGAUAUCAAAUGCAAACUUCACUGGUUCUUUAUGUCCAAAAGGGCAAGACAUCGGCUUCUUAUUCUUCACCCAUUCUGUCAAGCCAAUAACUGGUUCUUCAUCAGAAUCUGAACUUGUUGCCUCAUCGACAAAGGACACCUUUUUGUUCCAUGCUCUUUUAGGUUCAAAAGCUUUAAUAUUUUGGUCAGAAAUCCUCUGCACUAAAUGACUCAGACUUUUGAACCCUUGAGAAGCAUACUUGUCUCUGAUAUGUGGCAACAAUCCCUAGAAAGCCAAAUCGGCUAGCUGCCGAUCGUCCAGAACCAGACUAUAGCAUUUAUUCUUGACAUCUCGCAACCUUUGCACAAAGCUUUCAACCGAUUCAUCAUUGCGUUGCUUCAGCCUGACUAAAUCGGUAAUCUUCUUCUCAUGAACUCUAGAAAAGAAGUACUUAUGGAACUGCUUCUCUAGAUUGGCCCAAGUAAUCACUGAGUUUGGAGGUAAUGAAAUAAAGCAAGUAAAGGCCGAUCUAGUCAAAGAUGAUGAGAAUAAACGAACCCUUAACUCAUCUCUAUUAGCAGCUUCUCCGCACUAGAUGACGAACCUGAACAUGCGCCAUGGUUGACGUGUCAUCCUGUCCAGAAAAAUUGGUGAAAUCUGGAAGCUACAGAUUUAUUGGCAUCACCAAUUUGGAAGCGGGAUUAAGUCAUACGCAGGAGGAUAUGGUGUCCGAUAAGAGUAAGUGUUGACUUUGGGUUUUAUCCCAAAUUGAUCUCUCAUCACCUCAGCUAUCUUAUCGGCCCAAUAAGCAUCGACAUCUUGCCGAUGGACUGGCUGUGGAUCUGACACCUGCUGAUAAGCUUCCACGUGUCUCUGUGGCGCACGAUCUCCAGGGAACAUAGGAUUAACCAUCGCCUGUUGACCGCCAACUUGUUGACCAAGAUUCAUUGGCUAGUUGAUCAACCCUUGAUUCUGAAAUCUAGGCUACAUUGGUCCCUGUUGAAAUCCCAUAGCCUGAUAAUUCAGCUAAGGUGUCUACGGAAAGACAAACUGCCCUGUCCAUCCAUUAUUAACGUUCAUCGGCGUAGGUCCUACCGAUGGUUGAUAAUUGGGCAUCAUCAUUGUAAGGUGAACCUUUGCUGCGUCGGCAUUGGACCUGCCGAUGCGUUUGGCAUCUGGUACGCUGGUAUCUGAGAAUUCCUAGUAAAAGGUCUUGCAGUAGUAGUAGUAGAAUACUGAGGAUUUUGAGUCAUCGGCGACACUGGAGGUGCCGAUGCCAUGGGAGCCUUGCCUGUCAUAUCAGCCACUUCAGAUUUUCCUAUGCUAUUUGCCAUAAAUUCCAGGGGCAUACCAUAUCCCCACCAAUUACGAUGAACUUGAGAGCCUUUAAACACAGACCCUGACAUUGGUGAUGCCAAUAAAUCUGUAGCGAGUUUGACUUGUUCCUCUGACGUCGAUGGAUUAGUUGUCAUCGGUGUAGAUUGCGCAUUAGUCAUCCCUAAUGUGCUUGGACGAGAAGUAACCUCCGUACCCCGGAACGGCUUUAGUAGCCGAUGGAGCCGUAACCGAUGAUGACCCUGGCUGAUGAUAGGCAGGACCCACAUAAGAUGGUGGCUCUUGUCCUUCUUUGAAAGUUCUAGCCACAACAUUGAAAACUGUAUUGGACAGUACACCAGAUUGAUUGAUCAAAGCACGGUUGACAGCACUAUCAACCAUCUCUUACAGUUUACCAGGAUUGGCUUCAAAGUAAUUUGCCGAGGCAUCGGCAAUGCUUCCUUUUGGAUCACCUCGCCACUCCUGUUGAUACUGAAGGAUUUCAAGCAUAGCUGCUUGUAGUCCUCCAUAGCUUUUGCCAUAGCUUGCUUCUAUUCAUCCCUGAGAUUGGCUUCCGUCACGGGGAUGACGUUCUCCAAGUCGAAAUCAAUGUUCGACAUGUUGAUCUAGAUAUUGAAUCUCUGUCCCACCAGGCAUGCCAAAAGAUGUGUUGGUGCAAAAGUGGAUCUGCAAACACAAAGGGCUAAUACCCGAUUCAGACGUUAAGGCGUGCCAGCCGAUUUGACCUUACAAUCGACGAAGGCGAUAACUUGAACACUUUGGUCCCGACAACAGCGAUGCGCCCGGAUGUCACGGCCAAGAGGUAUUCACAUGGAACUUGAGAACUCGUCGAGAUUGACUCAAUGAAUUCCUAAGAACUCGUAAAUAAAAAGAAAAUAUGCGAGUUGAGAAGUCAUCGAAAAAGUAGAUGCUGGAAUAGAUAUAAAAACUUGUAUUUGAUUGAUUAUGUAUAUUCAUUACAUUGCCGCAGGGUCUACAUUUAUACCCUGUCCAAAACAGUUACAACCAGACACGACUAGGACUCAAAUUCUAAAUUGAACGGAAUCCGUAUGCAAAGCAAACUCUAUAAACUAUGGAAAGCAUUAAAUCACCUUCCACAACCGAUCGGUACACCAUCAUGAGUCGAUCGACAACCCCUACGCCCUUCUCCAUGACCAUCGGCAAACCACCUCUCAUAGCCAUCGGCAACUAUCAGCACCAGUCAUCGGCACGAAUCCAUCACCACUCCUGGACUUGGCCAUAUCCUGUUGUUUUCUCAUCGGUACCAACCCUCAUCGGCAACUCUUCUGUAGACUAGUCACCACUUUUCUGCCUGCCGAUCUACACCUCAUUAUCUCCUAGAUACGCGUCCAAAGAUACGUGUCCAAAAACGGUGUCAACACAUUUAAAUUCUUGCCUAUUCAAUUCUUGCAUUAGUCAUAUUUAUUCAUACCAUUAUUAUAAUCAAAAGCCCCAUAUAAAUAAUAUUUAUGGUGUGUGACAACCCAUAUUUAUUAAUUAUUGUGGAGGCAAAAAAAUAUUUUCCCAUGAUCAUUUUUAAUAAGUUUUAAUUCUCAUAGUUUUUCCUGCAUUAUAUUUAUUUAUAUUAACCUUCUAGAAGCAUGACCCACACCCCUUGGGUCCCACAUGUCAUACACCAUUCCUCACACACAUCUCAUCACAUUAUUUGAUCCACCAAAAUUUCUCCACUCACCAGACAUUUUUCCACCGUCCAACCACCACCCACUCAACAUUAUUUUGCGUAAGAGCUAGCAAAGGAGGGAGUGGUGAAACAUCAGCCACAAAGGGCACCAAAGGAGGGCGCCUGCCCUACUGUAGAGGGUGCCUACCCUACUGUAGAGGGCGCCCGCCCUGUCCCCCCAGUGUAACACUCCUAGUGUUAGCUUGCAUGUUAACCAUGAGCAUUGCAUCAACAUAAGCAUCAUCAUGAUCACUCAUGAGCAUCAUACCAUGAUCACAUGCCAUCUACUACAUGCACUAUGUGAUUAAAUUGCUUGUGUGACUUGUUUUGAGUGACUUUAGUGGGUGAUCAAUACAUGUAAGUGUGCGAUCUUGUCCAAAAUACUUUAAUCAUGUUUAGAACAUCAUUGUGAACAUAGUUCAUGUUGGAGGUUGCACCCAAAAAUGCCCCUAAGUCAUGGUUAGCCCUAGGUUGACCUAGUUGACCCCCUAAACCUCUUUUUAAAGAUCUUUUAUGAAACCUGUGUUAGAAACCUUGCAUGUCAAUGACCCCUAAAGCCAAGUUGUAGAAAAUUUUAUAGGCUACAAAAGUUGUUUUAAGGCCAUCUCAUGAAACUGUGCAGAACAUGCUCAAAAAAUGCACACAAGGUAAAUUUAGGGGCUGUUUGGACAUGGCAGUUUUUGGCUAAGUGUGGGAACUGACGAAACCGAAUGCCAGUUUACGUGUAGGGUACUUUGGCAGCUCGUAGUUUCUAAUUUAAGCUGAACUAGACCAAACUCUUAUAAUCAAAGUUGGAGUACUCAUUCAGCUCUCCAACUUGUAUCACUGAAGUUUUUGCUAGUUCGCACUGGUUUGGGAGUUGGAGGGCAGCGAAGUUUCGAGUUCAGACGUAUUUUUGCAGUACUUUUGCUGGUUUCUGAUCAGACUUCGAUUUGGUUGGAGUCGGGUCGUGGCCGACCAGCUCUGCUUGGCUUGCGCCGCGUGGAUGCCGUGCGUCGAUAUUGGCCCCACAUAGCUACGAAUAAAGCCGAGCGCCGUGCGACUCCGCCAAGGCAAUAGCCCACCUGUUCGUCCACAUCGCACUCGUCGCCAAGGCCAAAGAGGACAGCCGCCGCCGCCAUGGAUGUUGCUGAGGUGAAGCUCGUGCAUCGCCAUUGCGUCCUGCACCUCUCGCUACUCUCUAUCCCUCUUGUUCUCAGUAAAGUAGGGCUGCGGCCGCUCGCAUGACCGGCCUUCGGCCAAGUUGGCCGCAGGCGGGUGCCAUGGCCUGCAGCCGUGCUGCGUACGUACGGGAGCCGCCUCUUCCUUUGUCGUUCUGUGAAAGUCGAUGCGUUUCCUUGGUAACCUAUCCUGAUAGAUGCGUCUCGAUGUAAGGAGUCUGUUGGUGGUGGUCGCGUCGCCGGAAAGUUCGCCGCCGGCGAGCUAUGGCCGGUCAAAGUAGCUCCCCUGUUUUUGUCCUUAUGACGUGUGGGUCCAGAUUGACCUUGGGUCCCAGCUGCCAGCCUUUGGGGUACUCAGCACUGGGUGCGUGUAGUAGUUCUUAGGGUUUGGUUAUUUUCGUUUUAAUCUUUUCUAUGUUUUUCUUUUGGAAGUUUGUAAAUUCAAUAUCUCAAGCUACAGGGAUCCGUUUUGAGUGAAACCAAUUUUGUUAGCUUCCUCUUGGUGGAUAUUAGCUAUUAAAAAUAUGAAACAUGCCAUGUUUUUGUAGAAAUAAAUAGAUAUGAUUUAAUCUUGAUUAAAUAGGAGGUAAUUAUAUCUUGAAAUCUAUUGAUCUGCUGGCCAUGCAAAUUUAGGGUGUUGUUAGUUAUGUUAUGACUAGUCUCUGAUAAAUUUAUCAUGAUUUUUGGAAGCCUAGUUGUGAAGUUAAAAAAAUAGUUCUUACUUAAAUAGGGGUUUCUUGUGGUAUUUUUAAUAAUUAAGUUAUAACUCCUUUGGUGAUGAAACUUGCUGAGUGUUGUACUCAUGUGUAAACAAGGCUAACAAAAAUCUGAAAUCUGCUGUUUGACACUUUUUGAUAAGGUUUCAUAUUUAUGCCUUGCAUGCCUUUACUAGCUUGUUGUUUUUGUAUCUCCCAAUCUGUAUGUGCAACUGUUCUGAAAAUUUUACAGUGAUCUUAUGUUAGCAUAAGUAGCUUGCUGUAAUUUUCUUAGAAUUUUUGGAACACUUGGAGUAUAUGUUCAUUAAAUCACCUUAAUAAUUAAAUAAAUGGAAAAGGUGAUGAUAGAAAUAGUUUUAGACCUUGCCAUGAUAUUUUCUGGUGUUUCUUAGAUAUGUUGUACCUACUGGUGCAAUUAGAUUGUUCCUUUGAUACAUUCUCAACAUGUGCAAAAUAUUAUUUUUGGCUAUUUAUACCUUUCCUAGAGCAUUUCUGUGUAGCUGAUAGCAAAUGCUUGAGAACUAAAUAAAGAUGUUAAUUUCUGGGAAACCUGUCUACAACAAACGUGUAGCUAACUUACUGAUGUACUCCGUGUCCAAAUUUCGUGGCAUUUGGUUGAGUAGUUUGAAAGUUAUGCAUGUUUCAAGUAGCUGCUGCAAAGUGCUUGCUCUCUGGAAUUUCCAGAGCAGCCAGUCAACUUUGUAUGUUUUAGCAUCUUUCGGUUGGGAAUCUUCCUGGGAUGUCUAAAAGUGAUUUGUAGACAAUUUGCUAAGCUUUCCAAAAAGUGCUUACUUGCUUAAUUUGGUUAACAGAUGCUUGAGUUAUAGCUGAAACUUGUGACUGGUUGGUUUGUCUACUAAACCAGUGGCUGAGUAGGCAUAACUAGGAUUUGUUAACUUGUCUAUUUAGUCUCUCUAUCAGAGAAGAGGUAUGCACUUACUUGUUGUUCCAUGAUUCACUUAAUCUUAGAAGCUUAUGCUCAUAUUAUACCUUGUUUUAUGUCCCUUUGGCUCUUCAUCAUGACAUCAUGCAUCAUUUGUGCAUUCUCUAUAUUCAUGUCCUUGUCAUGCAUACAUAGGUGUACCCAAGGGCGUGACCGUGUUGGAGUACGAGCUGCCGGAGCCGGAAGAACAGCAAAGGGAGCUACCUCAAGGAGCUGAGGAGGAGGAGGACUUGCCGGAGUGCCCUGACCAUCGUCCCUCUACCUACGUCGAAGGCAAGCCCCGGAGCAUUAUAGGCCUCCUACUAUUUUAUUAUCAUGUUCAGCUAUCAAAUGACUAUGGUUAUAUAUUGUUGCAUUAAGUGGUAGGCGUUGAUAUGACACCCUUGCUGCAUAAUGACUACCUUGUCCACCUUAAACAAUACCAAAGUAGGUCCAGGAUCGAAGUAAUGCUUAGCCAUGCUUAGCUCGGUAGAAGCCGGGUGAUUUCCUGUCACCUGCGAGAGUUAGGUGGAUGAUGAUCACGGUUGGCUAUAUUUGCUAUCGUGGAAAUAACCAUGUGUUAAUAAUGAAUUUGAGACCGGGCGGGAUGACGCUAGUGCAGCAACAAGGCAUGGAGGUCUUGGGUGUGAACCUAUCCCCGUCUGUGUCGUUUAAGGACCGAAUCGCUGUACGUCCCCGUGUCAUGUUGAACGCAUGCCUAUCACUUAGUUGGCCGGAUAAGUCGUUCCGACCGCGAAGCCUACGAGUGCAACUCCGGCCGGAUACCCCGAUCUGGUUAAAGUGCGCACCCCGGUUGGUAGUAAGGAUGUGCGGGGAGUCAAUGGCGUAAGACCGAGGUGUCAGGUUAGAGUCCUGACCCAGGCAGAUUGGCGGUCCCUGGGGGUGCGGCGCCGUACGGACCCGCGAAUUGGUCCGGAGUUGUGCUAAAGGUGAUCCGAGCUGCCGUCAUGAAGUAUGCUUGGGUGAGUGUUAGGAAUACCCCUCCAGCUGGAUAGGAAUCGAUUCGAUCGCCGUCUCUCCCGGAUAGUGAGAACUUGACUUGGGCAGCGGCAACGUAGAAUUUACUAAAGAAACUUAAUGGUUAUGAUGAGAAUGAUGAUGGCUAUGUGAUAAUCCAGAUAUGGUUAUUAUUGUAAUGCUUAAAACUCAAGUGUAUGCUUAGAACAGGUGCUAAUCUAGUGGAUAGUUGCUAAGUAAUAAACUUGCUGCUGAAUUUAAUAAAUGAGUUACUUAUAACAAAGGCUUUUAUGCAAAAGAUGAGUCAAACCAGUCCACAGAGAUCAGCCUUGCAUACUCCUUGGUGUCACUUUAUUUCUGGUUUAUGACGGGUAAGUCUAGCUGAGUACAUUCUCGUACUCAGGUUUUUAUUUACCCCUGUUGCAGAUGACGUCGUUUAUCACGGCUACUGUGCUAAGUGUCAUCACCCGGCUGCGGAUGAUGAAUAGAUCAUGGGCGUGAUCACCACCUUUAUCUUCAGUUGUGCUUUUGUUGGGACUUGACCAUGGAACUGGCAUGUAUUAUAAACUAAGUUGGUGUUGUUCAAAACUACUUUGUUUCCGCUACCGCUAUGGUUUGUAGUAACCACUUUAAACUCUGAUGUGAUGUAAAACUAUGUUCUGUGAUGAAUGUUGUAAUCUGUGAUGGUGAAGCUUGAUCAUGUACGAUCUUGGUUGUAUGUUGGUUGAAUCGAGGUCUUUUGAGAUUUCGUCGGACUACUGGGUUUAUAUGGGUUCAAGUCCAUUGGCUUGACUGCCUCCGUGGUCGCUAAUUCACUUGAAUUCUUAUAAAUGGGACGGUUCUGUUACAGCUGGCAUCAGAGCAAGAUUAAGCAUAUAACCAUCAUAGAUGUAUUUGAAAACAAAUGAAUUUGGUUUUGUUAAACUAAUUUGGCAAAAUUAGGUUAUAAAUAGGGUUGUUUUAAAAAGGUUUUGAUAACUUAUACCAUGCCAGUGGUCAUGCCCUUUAUGCCCAUAUAAGGAUUUCUAGGUGGCUUAAUAUUACUAACAUGGGGGUUUUUCCUUUCGUCGUCCAUAUGGCGUGUAAUUAUAUGGAUACCGCUUACUUAAGUGGUAAUGAAUGGAUCACAUACCUCUACGCCAUGGUAAGCAUUGUUUGUUUUCUUUCGUCGUCCAUACGGCGUGAAAUUGUAUGGAUGCCACUUGCUUGAGUGGUAAUGUAUGGAUCUAUAUGCCUCUACGCUACGGUAAGUGUGAGCUGUGAGAGCAUGACCGUCCAACCGUCGGUCUAGGGGAGUGUUAGCUGUGGUUACUGGAAUAUUUACAUGUUUCACACAUGUAUAUAUGAAGGUACUUAAUUGUGGGUAGUAGGUGCAGCCAUGUAUACAUAUUUGAUGUAUAGGUGGGUGUAUCCAAAAUGGGUAGUGUGCUGCGAUAUAUAUCUGGGAAUAUAUAUCGGAGUACCUAGCUUGAUUGUUGGUGAUUGGAUUUACAUUUCUGCACUUAUACUAUUGUGGGGCUGGGCUGAAAUGGAAUCUUCUGCAGGUACACUGACAACGAAACGUGUAGACCGGGUAGUUGCGUAUAAAGAGUGUACGUAUAUAUGCCACCGAAUAUACCGUUAGAACUUUCUUCUAGGAAUGGAAAGGACGUAUGGAACGUGCAUGCAUCAUGAAUCAUUCAUACAUUCUUUAUGCAAUACUUGGGUAUUAAAUUCUGAAAAUAUGAUUCUUUAUUUUUCCUUGUAAUUAAUCUCCCUUACUCAAAUGUGGUCUUUCUACAGAUGGCAGCCCCGCACGCGAGUGAGACUUUUCUGGACAUGUUUGGCACUCCUACUUUGUUGUGGAGGGUGCUAAGUUCAGUUGGAUAUGAGGAACCACCUAGGUACACUUGGACCGAGUCUGAGCAUGCAGGGGCCUUACCUUGGGUAGAUGUCCAAAUUACAGUUCCUCCUUGUCCAAAUAACCCACAGUGGCUAGGGUGGUUAGUUGACUGUGAUGGCCAAACUCCUUGGGAGGGCGCCCAAGUAGCAGCCCUAGAGGUUUUGCUAGAAAUAUGUCAAGAGUUUGGUGAUGAGUUAGUGAAUGGCCCAGUGGGAUCCAUCCCCAGAGUGAGUGUGACUGACACAUUUGUGUCCCAGAUAGGGAAUGAGUCCUUAGAGACGAGAGAAAUCUUGCUAGGAUAUAGCUCUAGCCCUGCUAUGAGUGCCAUGGUAGCGGUACUUAAGCUGCACUAUGUACGCCAGGACACAUACAUAGAGGCCAUGCUAGCGCUCCAACGAGCUCAAGUUGGGCAGCGCAAAUUGCGCAAACGAGUGCGCAAACAUCGCAAGGCUUUUAUGGAUGCACAAGCUGAAAUCUAAAACUAUCACACCGCUUUGCAAGCCCGCCGCAAUCAAGUUGCGAAUGCAGUUAGAGAGCGCAAUGAGGCACAAGCCCGCAUGAUGCAAAUGACUAGAGAGAGAGAUGAGGCUAUGCGCUUGGCUGAAAAUAGAGAAACUGCUAGAGUUAGAGCCUUGUUCCAUGCUGAAAUGAGAGAGGAAGAGCUGAUUACUAGGAUUGCUGAGUUGCAGUUGGAUGUCCAUCGCUUAAAUAAUAUCAUAAAUCCUAUCCCACAACCAGCCCCUUUUGAUCAUGAAGAAGCUCUUAGUGAGGAAGAUCAGGGUGGUGGCAUCAUCUCUAAUGGAGAAUCCGAGGAAGAUAUGUAGCCUAGCAAUGAUUUUAUGACCAUGUAUCAGUUUCCAUCUCUUUGUGUAAUGGACAUGUAAUCUGAAUUUUAGUUGAGACUCUAUGUAUUUGGCUAGGGUGCCCCUCCUGUAAAACUUAAGUUGUGGCAAUGACUCUAUGUAACCUUAUGCACUUAUCUGUGAUGCUCCAUGUUUAUGUUGAGCUGAAAUAAAUCUCUGCAAUGUCGUUAAUCCUUGAGGAAUUGUGGCUCUGAAUGAACGCGAGAAUAACCAAGUGUCAUGGAAGAUAUUCUCUUAUUGUACAUGGAUUAUUGCGCCUUAAUUUAUGUGAAUUUACUUUAUUAAAUUCCGUAUGGCAGCAAUUGAAGUUCAUGACAAUCAUAUCUGUUAUCCUAAACGAUCACUUGAUAUGCCUUGUGUAGAUGGCUCGCAACACUCGCUCCGGUCACAACGAGGUGCCGCCACCACCACCUCCUCCCCCGCCUACACCUACUGAGCUAUUGGCAGCUCUUGUUGAGGGCCAGCGUAUGCUCAAUGAGGCUAUGCAAACUAUGGCGCAGCAGAACCGGGGUGGUCGCCAUGCCCGCCAAGGCGGAGAGGCAAAUCAGUAUAGCAGUUUCAAGGAUUUCCAGGACACCAAGCCGCCGCUUUUCAAGGAGGCUGUUGAACCUCUAGAAGCUGAUGAGUGGCUUAACACUCUUGAACAGAAAUUCCGGUUGCUAAGGUUAACCGAAGAGCUCAAAGCGGAGUAUGCAGCCCACCAGUUGGAGGGCAAAGCAGGUGUCUGGUGGAGUCAUUACAGGACUAGCUUGCCCGCCAAUGCUGUUGUAACCUGGGACCAGUUCCAAACUGCUUUCAGGAAUACUUAUAUUCCACAAGGCUUAAUGACUAUCAAGCACACUGAGUUCAUGAACCUGACGCAAGGCACUAAAAGCUUGACUGAGUAUCUUCAUGCUUUUAACAAUUUGUCUCGCUAUGCUCCUGAGAUGGUUGACACCGAAGCCAAGAAGCUCGCUAGUUUCAAAAGAGGGUUGGGACCCAAGUUGUCCAAGAACAUGGCUGGUAACAAGAGUACCACCUUCAACGAGUUUGUGAGUGAUGCAUUGACUCAGGAAAAUUCUAAUGCUGUGUAUGCCGCAUCCAAGAACCGCAAGAGGGCCUAUGAGGCAGGUGCUUCGCAGUCCAAGGCUCCAGCGGCAAGCAAGCCGGCCUAUCGCCCACCCAAUGCUGUGACAAGGUACAGGCCGCCGCAGAAAAAGUCAAAUGUGAAGACGCGAGUGCGCAAGUCCUUCACAGUUGCUCUCCCAAGAGGUGCCACGGGUCAAGGAAGUCCCAAGAAUCCUCCUGAUAACCGCCCUUGUUUCAAUUGCAAACAAGUUGGUCACUGGGCAAGAGAUUGCCCCUACCCUAAGAGAAGUGCUGCAGCCGGAGGAAAUAACCGUAUGGGUCGUGUGCACUACACCACGGUUGAAGAAAUUCCGGAAGGUGAAGCAGUCACCGCUGGUAUGUUCCUUGUAAAUCAACACCCUGCAGUUGUCUUGUUUGAUUCUGGAGCUUCACAUUCAUUUAUGAGUCAAGCAUUCGCAUCUAAGCAUGGGCAAAAUGUCAUCGAUCUUGAUAGCGGAAAAUUUUGCAUUAGUGCUGCUGGUAAUCAAAUUGCUACGAAUCAAGUAGUGAGGGAUGUACAUAUUGCCAUAGAAGGGCGUAAUUAUGCAGCAGAUUUAGUCGUACUGCCAGGCCUAGGGAUAGAUGUUAUUCUGGGGAUGAAUUGGAUGAGCAGGCAUGGGGUGCUAAUAGAUACCUCCACGAGAGUAGUCAUGUUACGGGAGCCUGAUAGCAAGGAAGCCUUCUUAGUCCAGCUUCCCAAGAAUGAUGACAUCCGUCACGCUGCCAAUGCCAUUCGACCACUCACUUUAGCAGAGAUUCCGGUAGUGUGUGAGUUUCCGGAUGUCUUUCCAGAGGAUCUGCCCGGGUUGCCACCGGACAGAGACAUUGAGUUUAAAAUUGAUUUAAUUCCGGGUACCGCACCUAUCUCUAGAAGGCCAUACCGAAUGCCACCCAAUGAAUUGGCAGAGUUGAAAAAGCAACUGCAAGAACUCCUAGAGAAAGGUCUUAUUCGGCCUAGUUCUUCUCCAUGGGGUUGUCCGGCUCUCUUUGUCAAGAAGAAGGACAAGUCUCUACGUAUGUGUGUAGACUAUCGUCCGCUCAACGCCGUGACUAUCAAAAACAAGUAUCCAUUGCCUCGCAUCGAUAUCCUGUUUGAUCAAUUAGCCAAGGCCAAAGUAUUCUCCAAAAUUGAUCUGAGAUCUGGGUAUCAUCAAAUCAAGAUCCGACCUGAAGACAUUCCUAAAACGGCUUUCUCUACCAGGUAUGGGUUGUAUGAGUAUUUAGUCAUGUCCUUUGGUCUGACUAAUGCCCCUGCUCAUUUCAUGUACCUGAUGAAUUCGGUGUUCAUGCCUGAACUGGAUAAGUUUGUGGUGGUGUUCAUCGAUGAUAUAUUGGUGUAUUCUGAAAAUGCACAAGAACAUGAGAAGCACCUUCGGAUUGUACUCACCAGAUUGCGAGAACAUCAGCUCUAUGCCAAGUUCAGCAAGUGUGAGUUUUGGCUGAAGAAAGUGUCUUUGUUAGGCCAUAUUUUAUUCGAAGAGGGUAUUUCUGUUGACCCGUCAAAGGUGCAGGAGGUUCUAGACUGGAAGGCCCCGACUUCAGUGCACGAAGUCCGGAGUUUUCUCGGUCUAGCUGGAUAUUAUCGGCGCUUCAUUCCAGAUUUUUCCAAAAUAGCUAAACCUAUGACCAAGCUACUGCAAAAAGAUGUGAAGUUUGUGUGGUCCAAGGAGUGUGAAGUUGCCUUCACCACUCUACGCCAUUUGCUGACCACCGCUCCUGUUCUGGCACAGCGUGACAUUGAAAAGCCAUUUGAUGUCUUUUGUGAUGCAUCUGGCACUGGCCUAGGUUGUGUGCUUAUGCAAGAAGGCCAAGUUAUUGCCUAUGCUUCUCGGCAGCUGAGGAAACAUGAAGCCAACUACCCUACUCAUGAUCUAGAGUUAGCAGCAGUUGUACAUGCAUUGAAGCUCUGGAGACAUUAUCUGUUGGGUAACCUUUGUCACAUUUACACUGACCAUAAGAGCCUCAAAUAUAUAUUCACUCAGCCUGAGUUAAAUAUGAGACAAAGAAGAUGGCUAGAAUUGAUAAAAGACUACAAUUUAGAAGUGCACUAUCAUCCAGGCAAAGCCAAUGUUGUAGCCGAUGCUCUCAGUCGAAAACAACAUGUUAGACCUCUUCUAGAGGAAGGCUUCAAUUUAUUGCAUCCUGUGGUCCUACACAACAUCAUAGUCAGUUGCUCAUUAGAAAGUCAAAUCAUAGAGCUCCAAAAAUCUGAUCCUGGUAUUUUUCAUAUCAAGAGAAAAAUGCAAGAGCAAGACACCAAGCAUUUCCGAGUAGAUGAGAAGGGUGUACUGUGGUUUGACGAUCGGCUAGUUGUACCCAAAGACCGUGACCUACGCAACAAAAUUUUAGAAGAAGCUCAUUCUUCCAAGUUGUCCAUUCAUUCGGGUAGUAGCAAAAUGUACCAAGACUUGAGACCUCGCUUCUGGUGGACCAAAAUGAAGAAAGAGAUAGCAGCUUAUGUUGCUAGGUGUGAUACUUGCUGUAGGGUAAAGGCAGUUCACCUCAAACCUGCAGGUUUAUUGCAACCAUUGUCAAUUCCAGGUUGGAAGUGGGAAGAAAUCAGCAUGGAUUUCAUUGUUGGACUUCCCCUUAUGCAAAAAGGACACAAUUCCAUAUGGGUGAUUGUUGACCGUUUGACCAAGUGAGCCUAUUUUAUUCCCGUACACUCUACAUACCGACCAUCCGACUAUGCUGAGUUGUACUUCGCUCAGAUAGUUAAAUUGCACGGAGUGCCUCGCACUAUCAUUUCUGACAGAGGUCCUCAGUUCACUGCUCGCUUUUGGGAGCAUCUGCAUUCACUCCUUGGUACAAAGUUGGUUCGCAGUUCAGCCUAUCAUCCUCAAACCUCCGGUCAGACUGAGCGUGUGAAUCAAAUUCUAGAGGAUAUGUUGAGGGCCUGUGUUAUAUCUUCCAAGGGUGCGUGGGAGAAAUGGUUACCCUUAGCUGAAUUCUCUUACAACAAUAGCUAUCAAGAAAGUAUCCAAAUGGCUCCUUUCGAAGCCUUGUAUGGCCGCAAAUGUAGAACUCCGUUAAACUGGGUUGAACCUGGUGAAAGGAGGUACUACGGAAUUGACUUUGUCAAGGAAGCCAAAAAGCAAGUUCUCGUUAUCCAACAACACAUGAGAGCCGCCCAAACUAGGCAGAAAAGCUAUGCUGACCGAAGAAGAAAGCCAAUCGAGUUCGAAAUAGGUGACUUUGUGUACAUAAAAGUAUCGCCCAUGAAAGGAGUAAAUCGCUUUGGCGUUAAAAGAAAGCUUGCCCCUAGGUAUGUGGGUCCCUACCAAAUCAUUGAGAAGAGUGGUAAGGUAGCUUACAAAGUACAACUACCUCCAGAAAUGAGAGCUAUUUUCCCUGUAUUCCAUGUGUCUCAACUCAAGAAGUGUCUUCGUGUGCCUGAAGAGAGAGUUGAAACAAGAGAUAUCAAGUUGCAGUCAGACCUAUCUUAUGAAGAAAAGCCUGUGCAAGUUCUUGAUGUCAAGGAACGGGUUACUCGUGGGAGAGUGAUCAAACUUUUUAGAGUUUUGUGGAACCGUCAAAAUGAGAGAGAUACCACUUGGGAAAGGGAAGACUAUUUACAAGUAACUUAUCCCUCAUUCUACGAAAAAUGGUACGUCUUUCAAAUCUCGGGACGAGAUUUUUGUAAGGGGGGAGGGCUGUAACACUCCUAGUGUUAGCUUGCAUGUUAACCAUGAGCAUUGCAUCAACAUAAGCAUCAUCAUGAUCACUCAUGAGCAUCAUACCAUGAUCACAUGUCAUCUACUACAUGCACUAUGUGAUUAAAUUGCUUGUGUGACUUGUUUUGAGUGACUUUAGUGGGUGAUCAAUACAUGUAAGUGUGCGAUCUUGUCCAAAAUACUUUAAUCAUGUUUAGAACAUCAUUGUGAACAUAGUUCAUGUUGGAGGUUGCACCCAAAAAUGCCCCUAAGUCAUGGUUAGCCCUAGGUUGACCUAGUUGACCCCCUAAACCUCUUUUUAAAGAUCUUUUAUGAAACCUGUGUUAGAAACCUUGCAUGUCAAUGACCCCUAAAGCCAAGUUGUAGAAAUUUUUAUAGGCUACAAAAGUUGUUUUAAGGCCAUCUCAUGAAACUGUGCAGAACAUGCUCAAAAAAUGCACACAAGGUAAAUUUAGGUGCUGUUUGGACAUGGCAGUUUUUAGCUGUGUGGGAACUGAUGAAACUGAAUGCCAGUUUACGUGUAGGGUACUUUGGCAGCUCGUAGUUUCUAAUUUAAGCUGAACUAGACCAAACUCUUAAAAUCAAAGUUGGAGUACUCAUUCAGCUCUCCAACUUGUAUCACUGAAGUUUUUGCUAGUUCGCACUGGUUUGGGAGUUGGAGGGCAGCGAAGUUUCGAGUUCAGACGUAUUUUUGCAGUACUUUUGCUGGUUUCUGAUCAGACUUCGAUUUGGUUGGAGUCGGGUCGUGGCCGACCAGCUCUGCUUGGCUUGCGCCGCGUGGAUGCCGUGCGUCGAUAUUGGCCCCCACAUAGCUACGAAUAAAGCCGAGCGCCGUGCGACUCCGCCAAGGCAAUAGCCCACUUGUUCGUCCACAUCGCACUCGUCGCCAAGGCCAAAGAGGACAGCCGCCGCCGCCAUGGAUGUUGCUGAGGUGAAGCUCGUGCAUCGCCAUUGCGUCCGGCACCUCUCGCUACUCUCUAUCCCUCUCGUUCUCAGUAAAGUAGGGCUGCGGCCGCUCGCAUGACCGGCCUUCGGCCAAGUUGGCCGCAGGCAGGUGCCAUAGCGUGCAGCCGUGCUGCUUAGGUACGGGAGCCGCCUCUUCCUUUGCCGUUCUGUGAAAGUCGAUGCGUUUCCUUGGUAACCUAUCCUGAUAGAUGCGUCUCGAUGUAAGGAGUCUGUUGGUGGUGGUCGCGUCGCCGGAAAGUUCGCCGCCGGCGAGCUAUGGCCGGUCAAAGUAGCUCCCCUGUUUUUGUCCUUAUGACGUGUGGGUCCAGAUUGACCUUGGGUCCCAGCUGCCAGCCUUUGGGGUACUCAGCACUGGGUGCGUGUAGUAGUUCUUAGGGUUUGGUUAUUUUCGUUUUAAUCUUUUCUAUGUUUUUCUUUUGGAAGUUUGUAAAUUCAAUAUCUCAAGCAACAGGGAUCCGUUUUGAGUGAAACCAAUUUUGUUAGCUUCCUUUUGGUGGAUAUUAGCUAUUAAAAAUAUGAAACAUGCCAUGUUUUUGUAGAAAUAAAUAGAUAUGAUUUAAUCUUGAUUAAAUAGGAGGUAAUUAUAUCUUGAAAUCUAUUGAACUGCUGUCCAUGCAAAUUUAGGGUGUUGUUAGUUAUCUUAUGACUAGGCUCUGAUAAAUUUAUCAUGAUUUUUGGAAGCCUAGUUGUGAAGUUAAAAAAAUAGUUCUUGCUUAAAUAGGGGUUUCUUGUGGUAUUUUUAAUAAUUAAGUUAUAACUCCUUUGGUGAUGAAACUUGCUGAGUGUUGUACUCAUGUGUAAACAAGGCUAACAAAAAUCUGAAAUCUGCUGUUUGACACUUUUUGAUAAUGUUUCAUAUUUAUGCCUUGCAUGCCUUUACUAGCUUGUUGUUUUUGUAUCUCCCAAUCUGUAUGUGCAACUGUUCUGAAAAUUUUACAGUGAUCUUAUGUUAGCAUAAGUAGCUUGCUGUAAUUUUCUUAGAAUUUUUGGAACACUUGGAGUAUAUGUUCAUUAAAUCACCUUAAUAAUUAAAUAAAUGGAAAAGGUGAUGAUAGAAAUAGUUUUAGACCUUGCCAUGAUAUUUUCUGGUGUUUCUUAGAUAUGUUGUACCUACUGGUGCAAUUAGAUUGUUCCUUUGAUACAUUCUCAACAUGUGCAAAAUAUUAUUUUUGGCUAUUUAUACCUUUCCUAGAGCAUUUCUGUGUAGCUGAUAGCAAAUGCUUGAGAACUAAUUAAAGAUAUUAAUUUCUGGGAAACUUGUCUACAACAAACUUGUAGCUAACUUACUGAUGUAAUCCGUGUCCAAAUUUCAUGGCAUUUGGUUGAGUAGUUUGAAAGUUAUGUAUGUUUCAAGUAGCUGCUGCAAAGUGCUUGCUCUCUGGAAUUUCCAGAGCAGCCAAUCAACUUUGUAUGUUUUAGCAUAUUUCGGUUGGGAAUCAUCCUGGUAUGUCUAAAAGUGAUUUGUAGACAAUUUGCUAAGCUUUCCAGAAAGUGCUUACUUGCUUAAUUUGGUUAACAGAUGCUUGAGUUAUGGCUGAAACUUGUGACUGGUUGGUUUGUCUACUAAACCAGUGGCUGAGUAGGCAUAACUAGGAUUUGUUAACUUGUCUAUUUAGUCUCUCUAUCAGAGAAGAGGUAUGCACUUACUUGUUGUUCUAUGAUUCACUUAAUCUUAGAAGCUUAUGCUCAUAUUAUACCUUGUUUUAUGUCCCUUUGGCUCUUCAUCAUGACAUCAUGCAUCAUUUGUGCAUUCUCUAUAUUCAUGUCCUUGUCAUGCAUACAUAGGUGUACCCAAGGGCGUGACCGUGUUGGAGUACGAGCUGCCGGAGCCGGAAGAACAGCAAAGGGAGCUACCUCAAAGAGCUGAGGAGGAGGAGGACUUGCCGGAGUGCCCUGACCAUCGUCCCUCUACCUACGUCGAAGGCAAGCCCCGGAGCAUUAUAAGCGUCCUACUAUUUUAUUAUCAUGUUCAGCUAUCAAAUGACUAUGGUUAUAUAUUGUUGCAUUAAGUGGUAGGCGUUGAUAUGACACCCUUGCUGCAUAAUGACUACCUUGUCCACCUUAAACAAUACCAAAGUAGGUCUAGGAUCGAAGUAAUGCUUAGCCAUGCUUAGCUCGGUAGAAGCCGGGUGAUUUCCUGUCACCUGCGAGAGUUAGGUGGAUGAUGAUCACGGUUGGCUAUAUUUGCUAUCGUGGAAAUAACCAUGUGUUAAUAAUGAAUUUGAGACCGGGCGGGAUGACGCUAGUGCAGCAACAAGGCAUGGAGGUCUUGGGUGUGAACCUAUCCCCGUCUGUGUCGUUUAAGGACCGAAUCGCUGUACGUCCCCGUGUCAUGUUGAACGCAUGCCUAUCACUUAGUUGGCCGGAUAAGUCGUUCCGACCGCGAAGCCUACGAGUGCAACUCCGGCCGGAUACCCCGAUCUGGUUAAAGUGCGCACCCCGGUUGGUAGUAAGGAUGUGCGGGGAGUCAAUGGCGUAAGACCGAGGUGUCAGGUUAGAGUCCUGACCCUGGCAGAUUGGCGGUCCCUGGGGUGCGGCGCCGUACGGACCCGCGAAUUGGUCCGGAGUUGUGCUAAAGGUGAUCCGAGCUGCCGUCAUGAAGUAUGCUUGGGUGAGUGUUAGGAAUACCCCUCCAGCUGGAUAGGAAUCGAUUCGAAUCGCCGUCUCUCCCGGAUAGUGAGAACUUGACUUGGGCAGCAGCAACGUAGAAUUUACUAAAUAAACUUAAUGGUUAUGAUGAGAAUGAUGAUGGCUAUGUGAUAAUCCGGAUAUGGUUAUUAUUGUAAUGCUUAAAACUCAAGUGUAUGCUUAGAACAGGUGCUAAUCUAGUGGAUAGUUGCUAAGUAAUAAACAUGCUACUGAAUUUAAUAAAUGAGUUACUUAUAACAAAGGCUUUUAUGCAAAAGAUGAGUCAAACCAGUCCACAGAGAUCAGCCUUGCAUACUCCUUGGUGUCACUUUAUUUCUGGUUUAUGACGGGUAAGUCUAGCUGAGUACAUUCUCGUACUCAGGGUUUUAUUUACCCCUGUUGCAGAUGACGUCGUUUAUCACGGCUACUGUGCUAAGUGUCAUCACCCGGCUGCGGAUGAUGAAUAGAUCAUGGGCGUGAUCACCACCUUUAUCUUCAGUUGUGCUUUUGUUGGGACUUGACCAUGGAACUGGCAUGUAUUAUAAACUAAGUUGGUGUUGUUCAAAACUACUUUGUUUCCGCUACCGCUAUGGUUUGUAGUAACCACUUUAAACUCUGAUGUGAUGUAAAACUAUGUUCUGUGAUGAAUGUUGUAAUCUGUGAUGGUGAAGCUUGAUCAUGUACGAUCUGGGUUGUAUGUUGGUUGAAUCGAGGUCUUUUGAGAUUUCGCCGGACUACCGGGUUUAUAUGGGUUCAAGUCCAUUGGCUUGACUGCCUCCGUGGUCGCUAAUUCACUUGAAUUCUUAUAAAUUGGACGGUUCUGUUACACCCAGCCUCCUAUAAAAGGCCACCUCCUGCCUCCAUCUUCAUCACAAAAGCAUUCCAGAAAACCACGCAAACUUCAGUUUUCGGUUUCUAGAGAAGGAGCUCUAGUAGUGAAGUGAGAAGGAGAGUAGAGGGGAAGAGAAGAUUGGAAGAGAGGUUGGUAGUUUUUGAGUGAGAGCAAGGUCCAUUUAGUAAGUAAUGAUCCCGCUGUCCAAAGCGGAAUUAAAAGUUGCUUAGGGGAAGUGCUGCCAAAAUUAAAACUUGUCUCGGACGACUAACCCCUGGACGACUGACAUCUUCGACGGCUAACCACUAACAUAUUUCUCUCACAUUUCUCCAUGAGUUUUUGUUUGUGUUAAUUUUUCUACAGGAUGUUGAAGAAGAUGAAGAGCGUGGGCAAGGCCCUCAAGAACAUGGGUAUGAGGAGUUCAUCCCGACUCUCAUCGCAUCAAUCGGAGAUGAGCAUCGACCCGACGCCCCCUCAAGCUCCAUCGUCUUCAUCUGGUACACGAGUCAAGGUUCUCCUCAAGACAGGAGACCUUGGACUGAAGACCCGCAUAGAGAAGGAAGUUCUCUAGCAGCUGAAGAACAGGGAGUUCAUUCACAACCCCACUCUCGAUACUAUCCUGCUGCAAUAAACAUGUAUGGAUACCGAAUUUGACUUGAUUUUCUAGAUGGUGGGAUGGACAAACUUUUGGGACAUAACUGAGCUGGGUUCCCGUCUUCUCACUAUUGAAUUUCUCUGCACUUUGCAACAUUAUGAGGGGGAAUCGCUUUUCGGAUGUUCAAACAGGACCUUAUGUUGUCUUGGAGAGAACUGAGCGACCAUCUCGUUUCUCUUCAAGAUGCAUCCUGGACAUUGACUCCGACUUGCCGAAUUUUGAGAGGCACCAGUUCUGGAGGGAGAUUUCUAGGGAUGAAUAUUAUGUUCAAGCCUGAACCAGUGACAUGGAACAUCCUACUCUCCGGAUGUUCCACAAAUGGCUCAGGUAUAACCUUUUCCACCGCGAUGAUAUUAGAAAAGUCAAAGUAGGAGAUUUGCAACUUCUUUAUGCUAUAAAUAAAACACCCACUUCACCUGUAACUCUUUUGGUUUCUCAUUGGCUUAGUAUACCUAGUUUUCAGGGACCUGUCGGUUGUACUUCACUCAUCACUCGUCUAGCCACUAGUCUCAAUGUGCUAGAAAACUCGUCAUUUGAAUUCAUUGACGAGUUAUGAAUUUAUCAUGGCUAUGACACAUUUAGACAAGCUCGGAUGCUGAAAAAGAAGGGAACGUAAUGUAUAUGUUGUAUGAUAAUAAAGGCAAGAUUCGGUUACCUAACCCGAACCUUGGCCUUUAUGUCGUUCAAAAUUAUUUGAUUGAGAUUGCAGUGGCACCGGUAAACUAGAGAGCUCCACAGCAAGUGGCAUCCGAAAAGAUGACAACCCAUCAAGAACGCACCUGGUAUGGAGCUGAUCCCGGGCUGGAAGAAGCAGCGCACCUGCAUUAUCGCAACUACAACCCCGGAGUUCUUCGGGACCCGUGGGUUCAACAUGCUCAGCUGCAGGAGCCAACAGAAGAGACGUGGCUAGAAGGCCCAGAUCACCAGUGGGCAAACCCGCCUUUUCGUAUAGGCAGGUACUCCACUGAUCCGUUUGGAGCUUCAGGGUCUAGGCCCAGCCCCAAUUUGAUGCAGGAAGGUACUCCGACGCCUCCUAUGUGUUCUCCGGCGACUACUACCAAGAGGUUGGCACCUUUUUCAACAGCACCGACAACACCCUUCUCGCCAUCCAAGAUAGGCAAGCAGAAUAUGGACGACUCCUAGAAUAGCAACAAAAGUGGAACCAGGACCACGCCACUGCAGUACAGGGACUGAGGCAAGAUACCACAACGAUGAACGACAACAUCACCACUAUGAUGCGAUUAUGGAACAUUGAGUUGGACCGACACAGCAACAUCCAGCUUGGGGGAGUUCCUCCCCAUUUUACCGAGUAAGUUUUUAUUUGUUUUUAUUAUUUAUUUUUCUGUUUUAAUAUUUCAUAAAAAACAAACCAAAAAGAUGCAUGAUGGAAAUGAUGAACAGUUGCUCUGUUUACUUACUUUCAAGUACCUAGCUUUCAUAUUAGAGUUGUCCCAAGAAUUGCUAAAACUUGAAAUUUAAUAUCUAUGAGAGUAUGAACCUAAAACUAAAGUCUAGGUAAGAGAAAGGAAUGAUAUAAAGUUUGAGCUGCUGUUUAUCUUGUUCUUACUACACUAAGUUCUGGAGAUUUAUUUUGAAAACGUGCAAAUCACAUGAUGAGUUCCUAGCAUGACAAAAUUUCUACCACGGCCAUACUUGCUAUAACAUCUUUUGCUGCUUAUAUUCACAUUGAGUUUGAUCGAGCUGUGUAGACCCUUAGGAGCUUUUCAUGUUGUUAAAUCAAGAUAUUCACUUGCACACAUCUACUACACCAUUCACCACCAUUUAUUAAAAUUGCUAAAAAUAUUAUCACUCACUAUCCCAAGUGUUGUUAUUCUCUCUCUCCAAAAAGAUUCAAUGCAGAAGAGGCAAGGGUUAUGCAAAAAAAAAUAUGCGACGAACUAAAAAGGGGCAAGUGCUCGGAACCUCGAAAAAGAGUGAGACGAGAGGUAAAAAUGGACAAGUGUUCGGAGUAGAAUUAGGAGUACAAAGAUGCCCACUUGAGCGGAAAAAAUGGACAAGUGUCUGACAGUAGAAUUAGGGGUAUUUACUACCCACCUGAAAAAAAAGAGAGAAAAGAAAAAGAUAGCCCAUGCUCUCCCAAAGCAAAGAUCAAGAGAGGAGGAGAGAUAGCAAUAUGAGGAGCAAUGAGAAGUAAGUUUUAUCAUUACUUAUAUAUUUUCACCAUUACUAUCAUUUACUCCACCAGACAUGCACAUCUUGAUUUAAUUAUAUGCUGAGUUCCUUCGGAUCCAUGGCUCGAUUAGAUAACAUAUGUAUGAGCUGUUUUCACACUUAUGAGCUCCACAUAAACAUUCCCUUAGUUAUAGGUAAGUGACAUUUUUGGUAAGGAUCCACAAAUUCAUAUAUAGAGAGAUUUGAGUAUCAUAGCUGGGAACUCUGAGCUUUAUUUUUGAAAAUGUAUGCAAAACUCCAGAACAAAUGUGAAGUAUAGACAGGAGGAAUAGUGCUUGACUUAAUUAUUUUGUCUUUCAAUUACUUAAGACUUAAGUGCAGGUACUAAGCUCCAUGACACUUCACUCUAAUCUGGGAGAAUUUUUAUAUGAAAGCAUGUGUGCCUAUCAGGAAAGAAAACAUCAAAGCAACUCCUGAUCCAUCUAAGUUUAGCUGUUUGCUCAGGGACGAGCAAAGGGUAAGCUUGGGAGAGUUUGUUGACGGUCCUUAAGGGCCAAAUUCAACCAUCAACUAAACAUGGAAAAGGAUCAAUAUGCACCAAACACCUAGAAUUAGGGUUUUAUCUGACAGAAUUCCAUGAGUUUUGGUGUUUAUCUAUUUCUGCAGGGGGUUAUCAAGAAAUAUGGAGAGAAGGCCCACACAUCAGGUUUACAACGAGAUAAUUACGUGCCGUGCAAUUUUUCUCAACCUAGAAGAGUCCAGAAGCCACGGGAGCGAACGGAAGGCCAAACGGGGCCGGGUGCAGGGCGCCCACCCAACCCCCUUGGGCGCCCGCCCAGCCUCAGUGGCCAAUCAGGCCAGGUCACGUGGAUCAUAUGUGGGCGUGGUGCUUAGAUAUUAUUUACCUGGAAAUGUAUCCUAUUGGCCGGGUCGUGUGGUAGUUCGUGAUGGUGACAGCUUUGUUGAUUCUUAUAUAGUCCACCCUCCGUCAGUAUGACACGCAGAAUUUGUAUUGUGGAGUAAGUCUUGCUAUGUUCUGAUUUACUUUAGCAAUGUUCCUUGUACAUGAAUAAUAAAUCUUUUGGGCUAUAUAUGAUCUUGUAGAUACCUAGAGUAGAUUGUGACUUAGUAGAUAGUAGAUACUUAGAAUCCAUUCACUAGCUAAUACGACGUCACCUUACAUUUAUGUGGAGUAGUCUCUUUCUAAUCGCUGUGUUAUUUAUCCAUGAGCUUAUAUUUCAUUAUCUUUAUUACUAUUGCUUACCCCCUGCUAAAGCAAGUGACCGUGGGACGAGUUUCUCAAUAGUAAUCAUGUUAUUGCAAGUUUAUCUCUAGUCUAUGCCUUGAUAGAUUUUACCCCUGUUUUCACUUUCGCCGUUCUCUUAAGCAAAAUAUAAAUAACGAUACCCGGAAUACUUUUCCUAGUGAAAUGCUACAAUGAUGUAUUUUAUCUGUGCGUUUGCGGAUAGAAUAGAUUAUUUUCUAUAGAGCCUUCAUAUUCAUAAAUACCUUAGUACACUCUAGUGCCAUGCUAGGGAUGACAACCUUGUAUCCAAGUGGUGUUAGCAAGUGUCAACGGACAUCAUCUUCUUGCCAUUGGAUCAAACUAACUUAACAUUGGACGCCUCAGAUGGACUCCUAGUGGUGUCACACAGAUCAGUGAUGUGGCUUGCCAUGCUGGGGAUGGUGCCCGCCACCCUGGCUGGCCCAUGUGGCGCCAGGUGUGGUGGGUUGCCUUCUAGUGGGUCCAUUUCACUCUUUUUCCUAUUAUUUCUUGCAUACAAAUAAAUUUCUAUGUACAUGUCGAACUAGGUAAGUAAUUAGCAAAAUAUGCACAUGAUCAUGUUGAUUUACCAUGGUUUUGGAUGAAAUGUUGAUGGUCAAAAUAGGUGUUAAGGACCAUCAACAAGUUCCCCCAAGCUACCCUUUGCUUGUCCUCAAGCAAAAUGCAGGUUUAUCAUAAAAUAGUUGGAUUAGGCAUCACUUUAAUGAAGUAACUUUGCAAAGUCUACUAAUACAAAACCAUGCUUUUUAUAGCAAAAAGAGUGGUUUUGAGUUUUACCAUAAGUCAUAGUUGUGUGGGGCUUUUUAGAUUCACUUUGAUCAUACAAAAGUUAGAUAGAGCAAUAGGGAGAAACUCUUUACCUUGCUUUAGUUAAGCUAAGACUCUAUCUGAAGGGUUUUGAAAUUUUGAAAAACAAGGCUUGAUUUAGUUCCUCAAAUGGCUCACUUGAUCGCUUAGUGGUGUUUGAUAAACCUCACUAAGGCCAGGAGUUAUAGCCUUUAUUACCUACAUCUAAUGGAAUGAUAUGUGGAGCUAUGGGUAGGCAAAGACUUAGCAAACUUGUGUUGUGUAUAUUGUUAAGCUAGACACUUAGAUCGCUAGGAGUAACAAGUCAUGCAAAGAAGAUCAAGAUACGGUGAAGGUCGUUGGUUUUAUGAAAGGUGGGAAAGGAAUGAAGGAAAAAUACUCCUUUAGACUUCCUCAUGUCUCUUGAAGGGGGAUAUGGUUGCUAUGGAUAACUCUCUCUCUCUCUAUUUUAUAAACAUAAGGACAAGAAUGUCUCCUCACAUUUCUUUUGGGCUAUAUGCCUCAUAUAAAUAUCUCUUUCUCUCUUUUUAGCUGGCCAUAUCCGCUUCUUUUAAAGACUGAUUGUUGAGGAACCUUUUAUUUGUCUCAACUAUAUGGAGUAUAAAGUGGAAAGGACAAAUGCAUAUUUCUAGCAUAGAAAUAGCAUGGGGCUAAAAAUGGGAUGUAUGGAUGCUUUUGCAAAUCUCUAGGGUAGAGAAUAGGUAAUAAUUUGGUGGUUGCAAACUUCUAGAAUGGAUAGUAGGCAAUAGUGAUAGGUGUAAGUGGGAUCUUGAUAAAAAAAGCAUGAAAAGUUUCUCUACUUAGAUCAAUAAGGUCUAACAAGACUCACACUAACAAGAGCUUUUUAUGGUGGCUUCCUAUCUAAUGGAUGUGUAUAUAUGGCUAGUGGUAGGACUGGGAAAAACACCAUAGAGAAACUUUGGUAGGAUUUGUGAUUUUCUUAAAAUAAAACUCCAAACUUUAUCUUAACUCGUCUUUAGGCAAGUUAAAAGAUUUACUCUGACUCUACUACACCUAAUCUUACUAGACAAAACUAAGAUCAAGCAUAUGCAACCCACAAAACUUAGAUUUAUAGAAAACUUUAUUCAUCAAAAACUAUAGUAGCAGGAAUUGCAUAGCAGACUUGUGCAUUGUUAUUCAGAGCAACAAUUCAUUGUUUCCAUCAUAUUAACAUGGGUUCAAUAGAAAUUGAAGUAGGAUUACAUUUCAGGUUAAGCAUAAUAAAUGACAAUACAUAAUCAAGCUAACCAUGUCCUUAAUAAGAUGUAGCAAUAAAUGUAAAGGUAGAAAAGUAAAUGAUCAAUGAUAAGGACAUACCUUAGUUGGGGGAUGACCUCCCCCAAGCUAGCUUGUUGCUGGGUGUAGAGCUUCUUCUCUAGAAUGAUAACCUUUGCUUUUAUUUAUUUGAUUUAAAAAGGGAAACCUAACUACUAUUUGAUGAUAUAGCUUAAGGCUAUUAAUAUUUUAUUUGAAAUGGAAACUAAAUGAGAUAACAUAAGGUCCUCUCAUGAUUAAAAUGAAAUUUGGGAAUCUAAACCUAUUAAAUAAAAGAAAUUUGAGAUAGCGAAAGAGCGCUACUCAUGAAACCUAACAAUCUAUGGGGUUUCGUGAGCAAGCACAGGGGCUUCUCACAAAUGGCUAUUUAAACUUGUAAACAUUCUUGUGGUUGUUUCAAGGACUUCUUUCUUUCUUUCUCUCUCUCCUUAUUUAUUUUGUUAUUAUUCAUUUUUAUUUUUUUAUUUCUUUUGUUUCAAUUUAUUUACUUGCAUGCAAGAAAAACUUAAUUUUUUGUUUUUAUUGUUUCUUUGUAUAUGGAACCAUUUAAAAUGAUCCUAAUUCUAAAUGCAAUGAAAAGAUAAACUUAAUUUAAAUGCAAUGCAUGAUUUAGAGGCAAAACUUAAAUGUGGAAUGUAAAUGUAGAAUUUAAAUGUAGAGAGAGUAAGAAUUACCUUAGAAUCACAGGAAUUCCUCAGCUAGAAGUUUGUCUUUUGGCGGCUCUUCCUUGAGUGGAUCUUCUUCUUCUUCCCUUUUCAAUGGGGCCUCCUCCUUGUCAGGACUCACACACAAGGCAGUUGAUGAGGGUUCCUUCUUCUUGUGCCAUCCUCUUUUCCUUGACCUUGGGUUCUUGGAUUUGGCCCUUUUCUUGUCAGUACCUGGUUUCUUCGUGUUUCUUGCUUCUUUUUUAUCAGGUCGCUUUUCGUGCAGGUUAGUUGCAUACAAAGGACCACGAGCAAAGGGAAAUGUUUCUCUUUCCCCAGCAAGAGUCAUUUGAAUUUUCCUAGAACCAACAAAAAUGCAAGUAUUAAUAGUUUAAGAAAGGGACAUCCUAGGAUUAAAGGGAAAUCUUUACUUGCCUCAUAUUCAACUCAGAUUGAGUGAAAAUGUACUUAAGGCUCUUAUGAUCCGUGUAGAUAUGACACUUAUUUCCAAGCAGAUAAUGCCUCCAUAUUUUUAGAGCAUGUACAAUAGCUGCAAGCUCAAGAUCAUGUCUCGGAUAAUUGACUUCAUGUUUCCUUAACUGACGUGAAGCAUAGGCUACAACUCUGCCCUCUUGCAUCAGCACACAUCCCAAACCAUUUCUUGACGCGUCGCAAAACACAUCAAAAGGGUUCUCGAUGUCCGGUUGCGCCAAAACAGGAGCAGUGGUCAGUAACUUUCGCAAGGUGCGGAAGGCUACUUCACACUCCUCUAUCCAGGUGAACUUAUGAUCUUUUUGCAGCAAACUAGUCAUUGGCUUAGCAAUCUUGGAGAAGUCGGGGAUGAAACGACGAUAAUACCCAACUACCCCAAAAAAGCUUUAAACUUCUGAGACAGAAGUUGCGGCCCUCCAGUCCAUGACCUCUUGUACUUUUGCUAAAUCUACAGCAAUCCCUUCUUCCGACAGAAUGUGCCCUAGGAAUGGAACCUUCUUAAGCCAAAACUCACACUUGCUGAACUUUGCAUAUAACUGGUGUUCCCGCAGUCAAGUCAAUACAACCCUUAGAUGCUCAGCAUGGUCUUGCUCAUUCUCCGAAUAGACCAGGAUGUCGUCGAUGAACACCACAACAAACUUGUCUAACUCUGGCAUAAAGACUGAAUUCAUCAGAUACAUAAAGUAUGCAGGAGCAUUGGUCAAUCCAAAGGACAUGACAAGAUACUCAUAAAACCCAUAUCUGGUAGAAAAAGCAGUCUUUGGUAUAUCUUGCAGUUGAAUUUUGAUUUGGUGAUACGCUGACCUCAGAUCUAUCUUGGAGAACACUUUUGCUUUAGACAACUGAUCAAACAGGAGGUCGUUUCGUGGUAAAGGAUACUUUUUCUUGAUGGUCACAACAUUGAGCUGGCGAUAGUCCAUGCACAUGGACAAGGAUUGAUCCUUCUUCUUCACAAACAGUGUCGGACAACCCAUUUAGAGGAACUUGGCCAGAUGAAACCAUUGUCCAGUAGUUCCUUCAUUUGGCGGCAUCCUAUGCGGUCUCCUAGAGAUCGGUGUUGUACCUGGUAUCAACUCUAUGGCAAACUCCACUUCUCUAUCCGGAGGAAGCCCAGGUAACUCUUCUGGAAAAACAUUAGGAAACUCACAAACCAUGAGGAUCUGGGUUAAAGGAACCACUUGCAUAGCACAAGAGAUGCUAGCAAAGUCGAACCGACAAGGCAAGCGUACGUGGAAAGAACAAUUGCCCUGAGGCUCCCUAAGAGACAACAUCCUUCUCCCGGCAUCUAAGACUGCAUCCCACUCCUUCAUCCAGUUCAUGCCUAUGAUGACAUCCAAGACUAAUCCAAGCAUGACCACCAGAUUCACUUGAAACACACAGUUACUAUAUCCAGGGUUGUCCCUUGGACCACUCUAUUUGUUAACACAUCUGCCCCUGCUGAGCUGAAGCGGUAGCCAUAACUGUUGGCGACGGUUAUUAUAUAAAAAUAAAUAUCUUUUUAUAAAUAAAAAUAAAUAGAAAUUAGGGCUUUGAUCUAAUCUUUCCACGAGUUUUGGUAUAUAUGCUAUUUUCAGGUAUGACACAUGGAAAAGUGCAAAAGAUACAAGAAAUGCGCAAUGCAAAAAUUCGUAUUUAGAAAAGACGCAAACCAACUCCAAUAGAGAAAAGCCCACAAAAGAUGAACUGGACCCAUCUAUAACCACGAGGAGGAUCAGGGCCCACAGCACAACCGACCACGCGAAGGUGGUGGCCAGGGGGGCCCACCUAGGUUGCGGGCGCAACCAGGUGCGGGUGCAACCCUAGUGGCGGUUCCCCGACCCCACCUUCUUCUGGCGGUUGCAUGGCGGCAUGCAUAGGACGGUUUCACCUACUACUAUAUUUAGAUCCUGCAAACCGUCCUAGUUGAGCUAUAAAUAGAUGGCUCCCCUCUCAUUUGUAAUACACCAUCAUUUAGAGCAACACACCUCACAUUUUACACAUGUUCUCUUUAGUUUAGAACUAGUAGUAGAGCAAGGCAAAGCUAGCAAGGAGAGCUUGUCUCCUUGGAUGACCAAGAGUGUCUUGGUAUGAAUAAAAUUAUGCCUUCCUCCAUGAGCAAGUUCUUAUAUUCUUUGUACAGUUAUGCUUUUGAUCUAGAGUAUAGUCUUGUUCAUAUCAUGAUCAUAGUUUAUGAGCUAGUUCAUAGUUCUAGCUCUAUGUUCUUGAUAUGUUCAUCACAGUUCUUCAUCGUUCAUCAAGUUAAUAUGAAUAGAGGAAGAACUAGGGAUGAGAUAAUGGUUCUCUAGGCUGUAAUGGUCACCCUUAGCCGAGCCUAUCAAUCUGAAGGGUUGGGGUCUCGGGAGUCUAGGGGGUGUUUCCAAGUACACGGGCAUGGUGCUCGGGUAUGCGGAGACCUGAGGAUAUGCGGGUAUCCCACGGGCAGAGGCAUAGGUGGCAGGGUGGUGACAGCCCUGUCAUCCUUCGUAUUCCCCCAUGUUCGGAUAUUCGGUAGGAGUCAUGUAAAGUCUCUAUUUGCUGGCAGACCAGCUAUGGAGAUCUCCCCAGUAUCUCAGACUUAGCUCUAACUUGUUCUUAUUAGCUAGAUGAACUGCUAACAGAUCUGUUGUAUAACUUGUAUACGACCAUGCCUGCUCGCGUAGUUAUUCUUUUAUUCUUUGUUUUUCCUUUAUUCCUUGAGGUUGCUCAGAUGUGUGUCCGCUAUCAAUCCAACUACAUGCUUACCCCUGUUUAUACUAUGUCUACCAUGCAUUUCAAUAAGUAAUCGUGUUUAUAACCAAAGCUAGAUGCGUUCACAAUGCCUUCCUACGAGAAAUUAUAAAUACGACACCCGUGAAUACUCACGGGUUGAAAUGCUACAAUGAUAGUUCUGUGCGCUUGUAAAGUAAUUUAUUCCUAUAACUGAGCUAUCAAUUGGCGUACCUAAGUACCUUUACUUAAGAUUGUAAUCCUUGUGCACCCACAGGGCGCCGGGCCACAGCUUUGCAUAUCGUAAGUAAGGAUGGUUAGGAAGGCCAAUCUAGCAAUUCUAAUCAUCAGUACCAGACUGCACUGCCUAGGCCCGCACCGUAAAGAGCCUUGGGUUAUCAUUUUGAAGUAAUGGUGGUUAGGAUAUGCCAAGAAUGUUUCUAGUGUUAUCAUUAGGGAUGAACUCAAACUCUAUCUUUAGUGGUUUUGCUAAGAAACGCCAACAAGCAUUUCUGGCGCCGUUGCCAGGGAAGGCAAUUGAAAAUGCAAAAGCAUCUAGCAUUGGCAUAAACAUUGAUUACAUAAUAAGCAUUGGUAGCCAUAGUUUAAUAGGUUAAUUUUGUUGUUUUCUUCCUCCUUUUUAUAUGGAACGAAAAUAGGAUAAUGUAUGAGCGGUUUCAACCUGCCGGAAAAAUUCACCGACAAUCCAGAAGGACGCCUAAGGAAGAAGAACAAGAAGAAAUUUGUUUCUUCCUCUGCUACUUCUCCGACAGAAGAAUCGGUCACUUCCGCACCAUCCACUUCAAUCGUCAUGGCCAAGUCACUCCGCGAGUACUCCAACCCCGCUGUUGCCAACAUGCCCGUUGGGUCCGCUGUCAAUAUCGGGACUAGAAACUUUGAACUCCGCACUGGCCUACUAACAAUGGUGCAGGCGAACCAAUUCUGUAGCUCGCCAAGUGAGGACACGAACGCACACCUGCAGAACUUCCUUGAGCUGUGCGAAACCAUCAUCAUUAAGGAUGUCGCACCUGAUAGCGUCAAGCUCCGUUUGUUUCCUUUCUCCCUCUCGAGGAAAGCGAAGCAAUGGUUCUAUCAAAGUAAGGAAGUAGUCAACACAUGGAACAAAUGCGCUGCAGCGUUCCUCGCCAAGUUCUUCCCCAUGAGCAAAACAAAUGCUCUUAGGGGAAAGAUAUCAAACUUCCAGCAAUCUUCACUCGAGUCCAUUCUUGAGGCUUGGGAAAGGCUCUAGGAAUAUAUCCGGGCUUGCCCUCACCACGGAAUGGAAGGAUGGCUCGUGCUGCAAAACUUCUAUGAAGGCCUCACGGCCAUGUGCAAGGGGCACGUCGAUGCCGCAGCUGGAGGUGCAUUCCUCUCCCUUACCAUCACUGAGGCCACAACCCUCAUCAUGAAGAUGGUGGCUAACUAGAGUUGGGGAGAGGGACGCAAGACACAAAAGGGCAUGCAAACCGUCCAGGAGACGGAUUUGCUUGCCGCCAAAAGAGACAUACUCAUGAAGAGGUUGGAAGGACGUGCCACCGAUCCAGCUACCAACACUGUCUAGGCCAUAGGCUCACACAUGACGUGUGUUGACGGUCCUUAAGUACCAAAUUUAAUCAUCAAAUAAAUAAAGAAAAGGAUCCAAAGGCAACCAACACCCAGACUUAGGGUUUUAACUGACAGAAUUCCACGAGUUUUGGUGUUUGUCUAUUUCUGCAGGGGGUUAUCAGGAAAUAUGGAGGAAAGGCCCACAUGUCGGGUUUACAAUGAGAUAUUAACGUGCCGCACAAUUUUCCAUCAUCUAGAAGACUCCAGAAGCCACGAGAACGAACGGGAGGCCGAGCGGGCCUCGGGCAGGGCGCCCGCCCUCCCCCCUUGGGCGCCCGCCCUCCUACAGAGACCAAUCAGGUCCCGUCUCGCGGAUUAUGCUCCAUCGACCUAAAGGAUCAAGGAGAACCGUUCAAUCAAUGUCGGUUUGAUCCAACGGCCCAGAUUCACUUGAGGGGACUAUAUAAGCAGGCCCCCUGGCCCCUGGAGGAGGCAAUCCUCAUUAUUCAUUAAUCAUAUUUUCUAGAGAGGAUUCCGAGAGAGAGGUUCCUUAGGGUUCCCACCUCAUAGGGCUUAGCAUCCAAUGUAAGAGUAGAACUAGUUCUACUAGAUUGAGAGAGAUAGAGUGGAGGUGUAGAUCGAAGGAAGCCCGGCCUGUCGGUGUCCACUCUGAGGUUGUACCUACGUGAUCAAGUCUCCUAACCCGAGGAUUGCUCCUAGGAUUCUUCAGUAUUUCGACUUCUAAAUUCUAGUAAGUUCUUUGUUCUUAUUGUUCUUUGGUUUAUGAGUUUCAUUUAAUCUCUUCUGGUUGAGUUUAGAGUAAUCAUUGCUAGUGUAAACGUGGUUUUUGGCCUAGGGUACUCAUAGAUAUCCCCUGACUAGCUGUACCAUGGUAGUAUUGAGGAACGUGACAUUUCCGAGUUACCUUUGUAGCCCACAUCCCGUUAGCAGGAUCGGUAGGGUUUAUAGGUGUCGGACGAACAUCCUCUGUGGUGUCUAGAUUCCGUGAGCCUCCCUAAUAGAACAGUAGAUCAUCCUUACCAAGGUUAGAAUGAGAGUGCGGUUGUAGUCUUCUCUAUUCAUCGCUCACAUCGAAUCACAUUGUUUGUAGCAUAAAGGGUAGUAGCAAUAGAUUUGGUUAGUCAGAUGCACGCUUUCUCCCAGUGGUAAAAAUAUAAAUACGAUACUCUAGAUAACCUCCCAGGUGAAGUGCUCACCGAUCUCCGUGCGCUUGCGGAUCAUUUCCUGAUGGUGUUAACAAAUAUGAACAAGCAUUUCUGGCGCCGUUGCCGGGGAGAAAGACGGUUUGCUGAGAUAACUUUCAGUCUUGCUAUUAUCUUGUAUUAUACUUUUAUACUUUUAUUCUUUUAUCUUUUUAUUUUUUCCAUCUUUAUGGAUAACUCAAAUUCCACACCUAUUAUUGAAUUUUUUGCACCUUCGGAGACCAUCCAUAGACCAUGGGAGUCAACAAGUCCUUUCUUCGCCCCUAAUUAUGAUCUGUGUCCGGAGUUGAUUGCAAUAGGUCAAAACCAACCCUUUUCUAUAGCUGAGGUCCUAUCUUUUAAUCAAGAAGAUAAUGAACUUUUAGCUACACCUAGGGAAUCUUUUAAUCUUUCUAUAAAUUCUGGUUUAGACCUAGCCCUACAAGACCAUGUUUUUCCUCGAUAUUUUCACAUUGGUCUUAAUCAUAUAACCUUUGGUAGAGUUUUUCUUUCUUUAUCUGUUAGUAGAGCAAGGUAUGUCUUCAUUCGUGGACAUCCUUCUUGCACUAGUCUUCAUAAAAAAAAUCCUAGAGAUAGAGAAGGAAUCAUCUCCUGGACGAGGAAAAGAAGUUUUAAUAGCCGAUUUCCAAACAUUUCAAUCCCAUGAUUCGGCUAUCCAACCCAAACUAGUGCUCCAAAAUUAUCUAAGGGAAGAAGAAAUUCUACCUUUAGAAAUUCAUUUUGUUAUGAGUUUAAACUUCCUGCUUCAUAAUUGACCUUUGAGUGCAUAGAGUCUGAACCUUCCUAAGAAGGGAUCUCUUAGAAAGCAUCUCAAAUCUAAUCCCUUUGAUGGACAUCUAGAAAGACUCAAGGAUGGCAUCUUAAGUGAUGCAAUAGAAGGAGAGCGAAGCCAUUUAGAAGACAAACUCAUCUUCUCCCCUUCUAUGCCCACUAUUGAUGACUCAUUCGAUCAUAUCUUUAAACCCAUCCUUGAGCCUAAUAAUUUCUCCUAUGCUCUUUCUCUUGAACCUCGCGAUGAUCCUAUGAAUCUCUCUAGACAUCCCAUGCAUAAGAGUCACCAAGACCAUAAGGAGCAUCGAGAAGAGCAACAUCAAUGGCUAGAGGGCAUUAAAAAUCCAUGUGCUAUCACCAUUGAGUGGAUGGACAAGGAAGAAGCCUUAAUGUAUUCUGACUUUGGCUCAAUUUCAAAUGGUGAGUUCUUGACUCCCUUUGAAGAUGAGAUUCAUCCAACUACAGAAGAGGACAUAGGCGAGACCAAUCUAGGAGAACCUCCGAACACUCAGAUUGGAGAGGAAGAUAACAUUAAUGAGCAUGGAAUUUAUUUUAUAGCCACUUCGUUUACUCUAUGCUCAUAUGCAACAUCUUCCCAAUCUAUUGGUCUCUCCAACAUCACUACAUUUGAGAUCUCCAGCCCCCUCUUCCUUUCUAUUUAUAAAAACAUUAAAAGGGCGGUUGUCGAUGCAUAUGUCUAUAAUAAAUAUUGCAGAUCUCGUUGAGUUGAUCUUGAUAUAGGUCAGCGUUGGAGGGGAAACCACUUCGCCGACAUAAAUUGAUGGUUUCUCAAGGACAAGCUUAGUAUCCUAAAAUAAGCACUGAUCAGAUCAUAACAUGAGCUUUUAAUUAUUUGCAACAUUACCUUGUGUGUUGAGCAUAUAAGGAUAAUUGUAAAAAUAUUCCUUCGGUUAUUCUUGUCACUAACCUUUUUAGGAUUGGAGCAAGAAGAUCGGAUGAAUGACAAGCACAAGGUAUGUCCAACCAAUCAUCAUACAACAUUGAAUUAAAUUCAUCCAAACUUGAAUUUUGCAAAAUUCAAGCUUGGGGGAGUACUUUACAUAAAAACAUCCUUUGCCAUGUUGCUAUGUUGGUUGUCCCUACCUUUGAGACAUGCUCAAUUUGGUAAAUACUAAUCACACUACUUCAUCUCCAUUUGAGUAGAUCUCUAUAAAUGCUCUCAUGCUACCUUUAUUUGCUUUAGUAUAUGUUUAGGUUUGGAGUAGUUUCAUUUAUCUCUUAAUUAAGCAUGGUGCUUAGUUUAUGAAUGAUGAUCUUACUUCCAAGGGAUUUUAAAUUAAGCAUGGUGCUUAGGUUAAAAUGGCCUUCUAAAUCAAAUUAGACACGGUGUCUAGGUUGAUUUUUGAGCCAAUACUAUGCUAUAGUAGAUAUGAGAUAUUUUGUUGGACUAACCCCUGUAGGAAAAUUUUCAAUAUCAACCUGGGAAGUCCUGAGAUAAACUCACAUUGGAGACAAAAGAGAGACACAUGAAGGUUAACAAUUUACACAAGGAAGACAUAGCUCAUUCAUCAUAGAGAGAUGAUUCAUGGAACAAGACAAAGAGUGCCACAAACACGAUGCACAACCGCUAAGAAAGGAAAGCUUCCACAAGGUGAUACUAUACCAUCAGUCUUCAAGUAAGGUAACAUCUUAAGGUACUUGACUAUCGCUUUUAUAAGCUUCUCCUUGGUUCUGGCGUUCACAUAAAAUAAAGAGACAAACAUGUAUGAUUUGUAACUCCAAAUUAACCAACCCAAUUAACUCAACAUGUUUAGUCCUUUAAUCUUUGUUCUUAGUACUACCUUCGUGAUCCCACACUCCUAAUCAUAUAAGCUAAAAUGUUGCACAUUCAAUCUUUGGAAGAUAUAAACAAAACAUAAAUAUAGAUAGAUUAUCUUUCCAUUAGGUCGAGCGAUCUGAUCUGACAAAUAUUUUAAAUGCUACACUCAUGAUCUUAUUAUCCAUCAACUUUGUCUUGCUCACUAUGCUUAAUGUUAGAGAAGAACAAAUACACUUUUGGUUCUGUUGGUGUUUUUCACCAACAGGGCCCAUGCACUUGAUCUCUGCCUUGUCUCUAUGAGCAGGUACACUUCGAGCAAAACCAGAAGGAGUUUUACAACUCCCAGAUUACACCAAGUGAAGGACUUGGAUCUACGAGCACAAACACACUGAGCAGGAUGCUGCCAAUGUUGCACCUCGAACUGCUAGACAAACGAAGAACAUGAGUGAUACCGUAUCAAGAGGUGUAGAUGUCAAGGCCCACACCUAAUCAAAUGAUGCACCUAAAGGAUGAACACGGUGAGAAGUCUUGUCUAGAAGACUUAAAGCAUUGGAUCCAUGCCGGAAGGUAAAAUCGGUAUUUAUCCAUAUUUGUCUUUUCUGCAUUCCUUUUCCUUUUUAUUCCAUCACUUGCAUUAGCAUAUUUACUUUUCCACAUUAGCAUUAGAAAAGAAAACAAAAAUAUUUGUUCAUUGCACUGCAUCAUAAAAUCUAAAGCCCCAUAUGAGUAGACUUGUGGUUUAAAACCCAUAUGUGUAUUCACUGUGGUGGCAUAAAAUAAAUAUGUUUUCAUCUUACAAUAAAAAUAUAAAAAUAAUAAGUGCAUGAUCCUGCUAAAUAAAAUUUAUUAGGAGGAAUCUCAAUAUGAUAAAGGCUAAGAGAUUUUAUGCUAACACUUAACCAGUUCCACAAAGCUUUAUUGUCUAUUUGAGCUCCACAGAAUUCAAGGAUCAAAGAAGCCUAGUGAUGAGACCAUACCAGGGCAAUCAACAUUCAAGCAUCCACUCAAGGUGAAAGCUAAACAUAAUUCCAAAUCAUUUAGGUUUCCACAUUCAAGGCUACUACUUGGUUUAUAUGAUUAUAGAUUCAAACACCUUGCUAUCAUGGAACAAGAAGAUUGCGAUGUUCUCACAACAUUACAAACCGAUGGCCUAGCACAACUCUUUGGAUCAAAAGAGUUAGAGUCGAGGACGACUCCUUUUCAAGAGGGGGGAUGAUAUGACCAUGCCAGCAAGCAAGAUGUCUCAAGCUACAACCACUCAAGUUUUACCUACACCGACACCAGCCCAAGUCAUCGAUGGACCGGUUACACGUAGUCGUGCAAAGAAGCUACAACAAGAGGUCCACACGCUACGUUGUGAGAUUCAUUUUAACAUUAAUGGGAAUUAUAUACUACCUAAGUGUUCUACCUUGAUUGUACUCAGGUAUAUAGAAGAAGAGAAGGAUGAAUCGGACCCUGAAGAAUGAACUAGUGCAAGUCCUAGAAGACACGUCAAAAACGGACCAGUGGAAGUCAAAAACGGACUAGUGGAAGUCAAAAACGGACCUGUGCAAAGAAAUCUUCAUAACUUUUUAAUCACAAAAGCUAUGAAGGCCCAUGAGGACUUGUUAGAAAGCUUGUCGAGUCUACUUUCCAAUGAAUCUAGUGGUGACCAGUUUUGAUACUCCAUUUUGCCUGCAGACCAGAAUUAGUACAGACUGCUCAGAAGGUCAACAAUCUGCCGUGACAGAAUGUUGGUACAACUUGCCGUGCAGAACUGUACCAAUCUACAAUGUUUCGUGGUACAUGGCAUACAUUGCUGGAAAGCUCUUCGAGUCUAGUUUCACACCCAAGAAACGGUUUGUCAUUUUUACUUCCCAAUAAAAAGUUAUGGUCAGUUUAUUGGAAACUGCUCUGGAGGCCAACAGUCACGCGAAGCCAGUUCGGGAAUCCAUUCCGAGGUGUCUUUUCACAUUGCAUUCACCCAGAAACUCUAUUUAGUUUUCAUACCUAUCUAGGAGGGUUGUUCAUAGUAUAAAUAUCCCCUACCUCUAAGCUAUUAGCAACCUUUGAUCAUUUGAUAAACUACAUGAUAUUGCAGCGGCGCUGCUGAGUGCCUUACUCAACCUUUGUUCUUCCUUGUUCUUCAUGGACUUGUGAAGUGAAUCCUCUGGGUUCCCCUACUUCGUGCUCUACGGCUUCCGUUCGGCUGCGCCGUAUUGUGUGGAUUAGUUCCGGAUUGUGGUUCUGCGGUCGUUUGGAGAUCGAGUGGAAGUCUUCGUGGUUUCGGUGCCUCUCUCCCCGUCGCUUGGUCGCAUCCAACCUUUGUCAGGUAUAAAGCUAGUUACCCACUGUUCGCAGCAAGUUAUCCUUGUUUUUUUGAUCUGCUGUCGUGAAGAUCGGGCCACCCUAGCACCGAUUCAUAUCGGUACCCUAUCAACUGGUAUCAAAGCUUUCGUUGUCACGGUAGAUCUCACAAUCAUCCACAUAUCUACCUUUAAUUUAUCUAUCAUUUGUUAUUAUUUUGUUCAUCACCUAUAGUCCACUGAAAAAGCCACAAAAAAAUCCUAAAGCCCUUUGACGGUACUGUUAUCUUGUGUUUUUGUGUUCAUCAAGUUGCUACUCACCCUCUUUACAUAUAUUGUGUUGUGUUUCAUCUGUUAUCCGCACCCCUGUUAGUAUAAAAAAAGAGUUCAAAAAAAAAAGUCAGUGAAAAAAAAAAUCAGAGAAAAGAAAAGAGAAAGAUCCGAAAGAAAAGUAAAAGAAGAGGAGAGGGGUUGUAUUGCGGUUUGAUUACUGAAAAAUUCAAUUUACAUAUUCAGAUUCUUGGGGAUUUAUAUACCAGCAACAUUAUAUCUUUUGAGCACAUCAAAUCACUUGAUUUUCAGUACCAUAGCUUCCCUUGUUUAGCCACCUAUAGCUCCACCUAAAACUGAAACCAGGACAUUCGACUCGUAAUCCUUGCGACCUCGGAAUCACUUCUGUUGAGCUGCUACACUAGCACAAUUCACUGUCCUUGACAACAGGAAAGAGCAUUGGUAAGUAAGAGGUGAGGUUGUGUGAUUCCACAAAAUUAUCCAUUCUACUAUAUCUUGCAUAAGUGCUAACAUGCCAGGAUCCAAUUCGAGCAUUCGUAGUGGUCGAUAUGGAGAAAAAGAAACACCAGUUUCGCGGGCUGAGUUAUGCCAACUACAAAACUCACUAGUGGAGGCCAUGAAGAAGAUGUUUGAUGAACGUCUUCCUGUGGUGCACGGUCGGACUAAACAACAUAGCUCAGCCAACUCUCGCCGCGGUCUCUUUGGCCAUAGUGGACAACAUGGAGGAGGUGCUCAUGGGCAUAGCAUUCGCCCCCUUGUGCUCAUUGAUGAUGAAGAUUACUGCGUGUCCCCCAAAAGAAAAAUUCAGCAAGAGUGCCACCAACCAAAAUUGAGUGAGAGAAAUCAAAAGGAAAAGAUGAGACAUUCCACCAUACGUGAGAAAGAGUGGCACCAACCAAAAUUCAUUGAGAAUAUGAGAGAUUCCACAAUAUUUGAGGAGAGCCACAAAAGUCUAUGUGAUAGUGAUCCACAAAAAUUAAGAGAAAAAAAAGAUGAAUCAUGUGAGGAAUUAUUUACUUCUAACAUCAUAAUACCUUCUAUUCUUGUUCCUUUUGCGAUGCAGGUUCAUGAAGAAAAUGAUGUUGUGAAUUAUGAUCAGCCCCCAAUCUUCGAUGAGGAAGAACAAGUGAUUGUCAAUGACAACGAUACACAUGCAUAUGUGGCUUCACAAGACAUUGAAGUAAUUGUGCAUCAAAACCUAUGUGAGAAUGAGAGCCACAUUGCCAAAAUGAGAGAGAGUGAAAACAAAAGUGAGUUGAGUGAUUCCACCCACUGUAAGGUUGAGAGUGUCAACAAUGAGAGUGUGAGAGAUACACCACAGAAAAAUAGAUAUUUAGAAUGCAGGCCAAGUGAGGAUAUCUUUGAAACUAACACUCUCAUCUCUACUUCUAGUUUUGUCUUUCCAAAUGUGCAGGUUGGUGGUGAGAAUAGAGAAGAGACGGAUGCUCAAGACAACACCAUACUUGUUGAGAGAAAUGAGAAUGUAGCCAUUCAACUAAACCCAUUGUGUGUUGCCCAAAACCUGAGCCAUGACAUGGAUAACGGUAAGAUUUCAGAGUUGCAAUCCUUGGUACUUGCAUCACCAAAAAGUCUAAAAGUUAUUGAAAAUAAAUCAGAUUUGAGUUUGCAAAAUAAAAUGGCAUGUAAUUAUGAUAAUACACAUGGUUUAAAUGGGAUUAACUAUACACGAAAUAUUUGCACUGAUUUGACUAUUUCACAUGUUCACCCGUGUGCUGGAAUUUUGCAAGUUGAUAACCAAAGUUCAAUCAUACAUGAUCUUUUCUAUGGUUUGAUAUGGUUCAUGUACAUGAUGAUUUGCAUUCACAUGUGUGAUACGAUGCAUUAUGUUUCAAUGCUCAUACAUCUUAGAGAUGGUUGCACAUUUCUCAACCCUUUCGUUAAUUCAUCAAAACCAUCUAAGAUCAACAAUGAAGUUAAAAAUUCAGAGAUUCAAACCUUGGUACAUGUAGAAUCAUUGGAUUUAAAAUACAUGAAAAAUAAAUCAAAUCUGAAUGUUCAACACAUACUGAGUACUUGUGAUAUCACUGUUUCAGCAAUAAAACAUAACCAAAACAUUUGUGCUGAUUUGGCUGGAACUCAUGUUGAUGCAAGUGUUGAGUUUCUUUUUGAUGAGAGUCUUUGUGCUUUGAAUGAUCCUUGCAACACUUCAUAUAACAACAAACACCUCAUCCAGUCGGUUACUUGUGCUGAUUUGUUUACAAGGAUAUCUCCUCUUGAAUGUUUGUGUUAUACUAUGCUUAACAUGCCUAUCAAUAUUGAACAAAUGCUUGAGAAAAUUUCUAACAUAACAUCUUUGAGUUCAUUGAAUACUACUCAUAGCUUCCAGUUUACAUUUGUCUUGAUUGGAGAAUAUGUUGUAGAUACCUUCCAGGUUCAUGCAAUUUGUGUAACAUAUAACAAGCUUGCUGAUUUAGACUCAAAAAUGUUGAGAGAUAAACAAAGUGAGAAAUCUUUUAAGAUGCAACAAAUACUUGGUGCUUAUGGUUUUGAUCAAUUCAUGUUCUCAGCAUGUUCGUACCAUCCACUUAAAGAUAGAAAUCUUGUGCAAAGCAAAGCCUAUACACUGAAAAGUUGUUCAUCCACACCUUGGAGCAUUGAGUUUAAAAAUUAUACUUCUAAACCCUUGAAUGAAUUUUGUUGCCACAAUAAUUUUUUGAAUAACAUUAGUUCUCAACAUCCAUUUUAUGAAACGUUUGAUCUUCUAAAGAUAAAACAUGACAACAUGAAUCAAAUGAUUGUAGUGGAAGAAAAUUUUGUGCUACCAUCCUCUAAACUGUUUGUAGGUUCACCAAAGUUGAGAGAAUGUUUCUUACAUGGAAAAGGAAAUAAUGCAAAAAUAAUUCAUAAUGGCACAAAUGAACAGAACAAAAGGAAUGAUUAUUGGAAUUAUCAAGUAUGUCCACCCUCUAUUUUGUCUAAGCUGUUUUCAGGUAAACAAAAGUCGUGGAUGACUUUUCUUGAAGAGAGGGAGGAUGAUGAGACCAUACCAAGGCAAUCAACAUUCAAGCAUCCACUCAAGGUGAAAGCUAAACAUAAUUCCAAAUCAUUUAGGUUUCCACGUUCAAGGCUAAUACUUGGUUUAUAUGAUUAUAGAUUCAAACACCUUGCUAUCAUGGAACAAGAAGAUUGCGAUGUUAUCACAACAUUACAAACCGAUGGCCUAGCACAACUCUUUGGAUCAGAAGAGUUAGAGUCGAGGACGACUCCUUUUCAAGAGGGGGAGGAUGAUAUGACCAAGCCAGCAAGCAAGAUGUCUCAAGCUACAACCACUCAAGUUUUACCUACACCGACACCAGCCCAAGUCAUCGAUGGACCGGUUACACGUAGUCGUGCAAAGAAGCUACAACAAGAGGUCCACGCGCUACGUUGUGAGAUUCAUUUUAACAUUAAUGGGAAUUAUCUACUACCUAAGUGUUCUACCUUGAUUGUACUCAGGUAUAUAGAAGAAGAGAAGGAUGAAUCGGACCCUGAAGAACGAACCAGUGUAAGUCCUAGAAGACACGUCAAAAACGGACCAGUGGAAGUCAAAAACGGACCAGUGCAAAGAAAUAUUCAUAACUUUUUAAUCACAAAAGCUAUGAAGGCCCAUUAGGUCUUGUUGGAAAGCUUGUCGAGUCUACUUUCGAAUGAAUCUAGUGGCGACCAGUUUUGAUACUCCAUAUUGCCUGCAGACCAGAAUUAGUACAGACUGCUCAGAAGGUCAGCAGUCUGCCAUGACAGAAUGUUGGUACAACUUGCCGUGCAAAAUUGUACCAAUCUACAAUGUUUCGUGGUACAUGGCAUAUAUUGCUGGAAAGCUCUUCGAGUCUAGUUUCACACCCAAGAAACGGUUCGUCAUUUGGUCUUCCCAAUAAAAUGUUAUGGUCAGUUUAUUAGAAACUGCUCUGGAGGCCAACAGUCACGCGAAGCCAGUUCGGGAAUCCAUUCCGAGGGGUCUUUUCACAUUGCCUUCACCCAGAAACUCUAUUUCGUUUUCAUACCUAUCUAGGAGGGUUGUUCCUAGUAUAAAUAACCCCUACCUCUAAGCUAUUAGCAACCUUUGAUCAUUUGAUAAACUACAUGAUAUUGCAGCCGCGCUGCUGAGUGCCUUACUCAACCUUUGUUCUUCCUUGUUCUUCAUGGACUUGUGAAGUGAAUCCUCUGGUUUCCCCUACUUCGUGCUCUACGGCUUCCGUUCGGCUGCGCCGUAUUGUGUGGAUUAGUUCCGGAUUGUGGUUCUGCGGUCGUUCGGAGAUCGAGUCGAAGUCUUCGCGGUUUCGGUGCCUCUCUCCCCGUCGCUUGGUCGCAUCCAACCUUUGUCAGGUAUAAAGCUAGUUACCCGCUGUUCGCAGUAUGUUAUCCUUGUUCUUUUGAUCUACUGUCGUGAAGAUCGGGCCACCCUAGCACCGAUUCAUAUCGGUACCCUAUCACCUAGUAGACGGAGGACACCCUAAUCACUGUCAGGGUGCUGCCGACAUUCAAAUACACCUCCGCCACUUGCUAGCUACAUAAGAAGAAAUUAUGUCAAAAUCCAGCUUGGGGGAGAGCACCCCCAUUUAUCCAGCUAAGUGUUUCUACUCGCGUUUAUACUUUACUCAAAUAAUAAAAAAGAAGCAUAAUUAUAAAAACCUAAAUAAAGAUUUUGUGCUUUUAUAUAUAUCUUUGCUUAGUUUGUUAAAUAAAUAAAUAAAUAAAGUUUGCUAUGAACCCUCAUGAUAAGCACUCACAUGGAAAUGAUGAAUAAUUGCUCUGCCAUGACUAGUUCUCAAAAUUGAAAUCUCUCUCAAGUUUAGGCAUGACUGUUAUGAAUUAAGAUUUGCUCUAAACCUGAACUUGUGGGAAGAGUACCUGAUCAAAAGUCUAAGUCGUUAACGGAUACGAUAUGGGACGGUUGAGCUGCUAUUUAUCUGUUCCUAGAGAUGCUAGAAUUCUGGAGAAUUUUAUCUGUGAAAAUCUUUAAAAUGUUGCAUGAUGAGUUCCUAUAUUAUGAGAGUUUAAAAUCCUACCACAGCCACAUAUACAUGCUUAUUAGACUAUGAACCAUAUAUUACUUUUUAUUGCUUAUGAGCAUUGAGUAUGGUCAAGCCAUGUAGACCCUUAGGAGCUUGUCAUGCGGUUAAAAUCAAGAUCCACUUGCACGUUCACUCAUACAUGCUACUUCUACUCCGGAAGUACGCAUCCACAUACAUCCACUCAAUUCCAUCUCUAGAUUCACCUAAAAUUAUUCUACUCCUAUCUGGGAGAGAAUAGCCAAAAACUUUUUCCUAUCCCUGUUAUUCCCUAUGAAAUAAAUGCUCGAGAUAUCUUGGUUACUACCACUUGCUACAUUAUUCUAGGUGGGUGAGUGCUCUAAAAGAAAAAAAAGAAAAAAAUGAGGAAAUAAAAAGGGGCAAGUGCCCGGAACCUCGAAGAAAAUAAAAAGUGAGACGAGAGGUAAAAAUGGACAAGUGUCCGACAGUAGAAUUAGGGGUACAAGAUACCCACCUGAGAGAAAAGAAAAAAAAUAAUAGAGCAUCUCAUUCUCCUCAAAAAAUACUUCAAAGUGAAGAAAGGUAUGUAUCCCCUAAAAAGAGCAAAACUAGAAUUAGACUUUCACCAUUGUUAUCACCAUACACCAUUCAUUCGCCACACAUGCACAUCUUGAUUUGACUUAUUGACUUGUUUCUCUGGAUCCAUGGUUUGACUAUGCAAUAAAUGUCUUGUAAGAAUGUAUGCUUUAUCUCCCACCUAUGAGCUCUAGAUAUCAAAACCUUGUUAGAGUAGGGUGAGAGAGAAGGCAAUAUCACUAUGCCUUAUACCAAAAAUACCACAUACUUUGAGAGAAGGCAUAUACCAUUACUGCCUUGGAAAGGAUCCAGAAAUACCACAAAAGUGAGAUUUGAGAGAGUCAUACAAGGAAUCUCUGAGUUUUAUUUGAAAAUCUGCAAAAACUCCAGAGCUAUAGCUAAUCAAAGAACAAGAGACAUGGCGCUUGACUUGACCGUUCUAUCUUUUAACUGCUCAAGACAAAAGUGACGGUUGCAAACCCCAUGGUGAAAGGUAAAAUGAGUAAAUUUUAAGUCUUAACAGUUUACUCUAACUCAGAGAUGAGAUCUUGCUUGAACACAUGUGUACUUUUAAGGCAUGAAACCACUGCAAAAACUCUUGAGUCCAUCCUUGCUCAGGGACGAGCAAGAGGUAAGCUUGGGGGAGUUUGUUGACAGUCCUUAAGUACCAAAAUUAAUCAUCAAAUAAAUAAAGAAAAGGAUCCAAAUGCAACCAACACCCAAACUUAGCGUUUUAACUGACAUAAUUCCAUGAGUUUUGGUGUUUGUCUAUUUCUGAAAGGGGGUUAUCAGGAAAUAUGGAGGAAAGGCCCACAUGUCAGGUUUACAUAGAGAUAUUAACGUGCCGCACAAUUUUCCAUCAUCUAGAAGACUCCAGAAGCCACGGGAACGAACGGGAGGCCGAGCGGGCCCGGGGGCAGGGCGCCCGCCCUCCCCCUUAGGCGCCCACCCUGCUACAGAGACCAAUCAGGUCCCGUCUCGUGGAUUAUGCUCCACCGACCUAAAGAUCAAGGAGAACCGUUCCAUCAAUGUCGGUUUGAUCCGACGGCCCAGAUUCACUUGAGGGGACUAUAUAAGCAGGCCCCCUGGUCCCUGGAGGAGGCAAUCCUCAUUAUUCAUUAAGCAUAUUUUCUAGAGAGGAUUCAGAGAGAGAGGUUCCUUAGGGUUCCCACCUCAUAGGGCUUAGCAUCCAAUGUAAGAGUAUAACUAGUUCUACUAGAUUGAGAGAGAUAGAGUGGACGUGUAGUACGGAGGAAGCCCGGCCUGUCGGUGUCUACUCCGAGGUUGUACCUACAGGAUCAAGUCUCCUAACCCGAGGCUUGCUCCUAGGAUUCUUCAGUAUUUCGACUUCUAAAUUCUAGUAAGUUCUUUGUUCUUAUUGUUCUUUGGUUUAUGAGUUUACUUUAAUCUCUUCCGGUUGAGUUUAGAGUAAUCAUUGCUAGCGUAAACGUGGUGUUUGGGCUAGGGUACUCAUAGAUAUCCCCUAACUAGCUGGACCAUGGUAGUAGCGAGGAACGUGACAUUUCUGAGUUACCUUUGUAGCCCACAUCCCGUUAGCAGGAUCGAUAGGGUUUAUAGGUGCGGGUCGAACAUCCUCUGUGGUGUCUAGAUUCCAUGAGCCUCCCCAAUAGAACAGUAGAUCAUCCUUACCAAGGUUAGAACGAGAGUGCGGUUGUAGUCUUCUCUAUUCAUCGCUCACAUCGAAUCACAUUGUUUGUUGCCUAAAGGGUAGUAGCAAUAGAUUUGGUUAGUUAGAUGCAGCUUUCUCCUAGUGGUAAAAAUAUAAAUACGAUACUCUGGAUAACCUCCCGGGUGAAGUGCUCACUGAUAUCCAUGCGCUUGCGGAUCAUUUCCCGAUGGCGUUAACAAAUAUCAACAACGUGUGAGGACUGUGGAAAUGUUGGCCACAUGGGGAACAAUUGUCCUGAAACCCAGGAAGAUGCUGCAUUCAUCAACAACGGGUUUCGCCAACAACAACAGCAAGGUAAUGGGUGGAACAACCAAAAUCGCCCCCAAGGUAAUUCCUCAUUUAACUCAGGCUUUAGUUCUUCCCAGCCUUUGCUUAAAGAUCUUGUUCUUGGUCAGGCCAAGAUAAAUGAAAACCUUGUUAAAAAGCUUUCCUUUAAUGACAAAAUGUUUGAAAACCUAAACACCAAGCUUGAUAGCCUGACCACCUCGUUUAAAGAACAAGCGUCUUUCAAUAAAAGAGUAAUGUCUCAGAUAGAUCAGCUUGCUUCUGCUGCUAAGUCUGCUGCCGGUGUUGAAAAUGUUAGUUCGGUGACCACGAGAGGGGGUAAGACCACUCGUGAUCCACCAAACCCUAACCAUGGUACAGCUAAGACUCCGCGUCAACAAGAACAAACAUCUACUGAGCCGGUUGAUCCUCAAGACGAAUCAUCUGAUCAGGAACCGACUCUAGAAGUUUAUGGGGACACCACGAUGCUUCCUUUCCCCACCAGGUGGAGGAAGAAGAAGAAGGACGGAGAAGAGCAAUUUCUCUGCUUCGUGGAAAUGGUCGAGAAGACAAACGUCAGCGUCCCGCUGAUGGAUGUCUUGCACAUACCAUCCUAUGCUAUGUUUAUCGAGGAUAUCAUCAACAACAAGCGACCAUUACCCUCUGUAGAAGUCGUCAAGCUGACAGAAGAGUGUAGUGCAGCUAUACUCAACCAUCUACCUGAGAAGAAGCAAGAUCCUGGGUGCCCCACAAUUACAUGCUCAAUAGGCACCCAACAUUUUGAUCAUGCCUUAUGUGAUCUUGGGGCGAGUGUGAGCGUCAUGCCGAAAUCAGUCUUUGAUAGGCUAAACUUCACCAACUUGGAACCAACCAACAUGACACUCCAGUUAGCGGACUCGUCAAUUCGGUACCUAGCAGGGAUUGCCCAAGACAUCCCUGUCAGGAUCAGAGGAUAUUAUGUCCCCAUGGAUUUUGUGGUGUUAAAUAUGGAACUCACCAAGGAGACACCACUAAUCCUGGGAAGGCCAUUGUUGAGCACGACAAAAGCACAAAUUGAUGUGGGAGCCGGAGAAAUCCGCUUCAACAUUAAUGGCCAAGAAGAGAAGUUCGAAUUCAGGCCACACCGUCCAACCAUCUCCUCCCAAGACGGAUGAGCCAUCAUCAAGCAAAUAGUGAUGGGAGAAAAGUCCGGCUCCACGAACUAUAAAGAUGAGCCCUUGCCGAAGGUAAAUCGGUAUUUAUCCCUUUUGUUUUCUAAUAAAUGUUUUUAAUAAAUCUUAUCCAUCACAUGUCUCUCAAAAAUAUAUAUAUAUAUACACACUUAAUAAUAAUAAAGAUGGAGGCACGCUGAUGGAAGUAAGGUAAAGAAAAGGUAAAAGUUUAUCUUUGUUUUCUUUUGAAUAAAUAAAAUAAAAUGCCUUGCUGCAGUUAUGAUAUGACCAUAGUGCCCCCAUGUUUCAUGCUAUUUGAAUUCAAAAUCCUUCAUGAUCAUGGAAAAUAUUUUAUCAUAAAUGCAAGAUAGUGUGAAUUUUGAAUUCUUUCCUCUUUUCACACACACUAUCACUCUGAUACGCUGCGAAUCAAAAUUGAUCGUAAGUGGGAUUGAAAUCCACUCUGUCCAGAAAGAACAUGCCAAAAAGAAAGGGGCUGACUGGUGGGACCCAGGGUGCGGGCGCAACCCUGGUCCGACCAAUUAGGCCCAAAAUUUUUUGAAAAAGUUUCCUUUUUGUUCAAAUAUCAAUUCCCCGCCUACGAUCAAGUUUGUUUCUGUUUUUAUGACCUCGGUAGAACCUAUUUAAACAGCCCAUGGCUCUCUCUUUUCUUCACACCUGUUGACGGUCCUUAAGUAUCAAAUUUAAUUAUCAAAUAAACAAAGAAAAGGAUCCAAAUAAAAUCAACAUCUAGACUUAGGGUUUUAUCUGAUAGAAUUCCACGAGUUUUGGUGUUUGUCUAUUUCUGUAGGGGGUUAUCAGGAAUUACAGAAGAAAGGCCCACACGUCGGGAUUACAUAGAGAUAUUAACGUGCCGCGCAAUUAUCUUACAUCUAGAAGACUCCAGAAGCCACGGGAAGGAAGCGGAGGCCGAGAGGGGCCAGAGGCAGGGCACCCGCCCUGUUUCCCUGGGCGCCCGCCCUCUGUUGGAGUCCAAACAGGACUCUGUUUCUCGGGAGAUCUCCACCGACCUAAAGGAUCAAGGAUAACCGUUCAAUCUAUGUCGGUUUGAUCCAACAGCCCAGGUUCACUUGAGGGGACUAUAUAACCAGACCCCCUGGCCCCUGGAGGAGGCACCCCUUGAUCAUUAUUCAUUAUUCAUAGACAGAGCAAAAGCUAGGGUUUAGAGAUGAGAGCUCUCCUCUCUUUUCUAAACUAGAGUAGAUCUAGAUAGUAGCAAGAUGGAGAGCGAAGGAGGAUUAGAGGAGAGGCCGGCCUGUCGGUUCUUCCUCCGGUUGUACUUCGUCAUGAUCAAGCUCUAAUCAAGCUUGCUCAUGGGAUGACUCUGGUAAUCUACUUCUAAUUCAUUAUGCAAUUACUAAUCAUGUAUGUUCUGGUUCACAACUCUUUUGAGUACUUCUAAUCUAUAGGACGCUAUAGGUUAGAGUUAUAGUAUAGGUGUAAGCGUGGUGCUUAGACCUAGAUUACUUGUGGAUAUCCCCUGUCUAGCUGGAUCGUGUGGUAGGCCGCGUAGGUGACAGUUACGUUGGUCCUCUGUAGUCCACCUCUCAUUAGUAGGACGGGUAGGGUUUAUCGGCCUAUGGAUAAGCAUCCUUUGUGGUGUAAUCUUAUCACGUGGUUCGUCCCAGACAUAGACAUACCCCUUUGAAGUAGAGAAACCAUAGUUAUCCUCUCUAUUCUGCUACCAUCGCCCAUAUACUAGAUUGCUCUACUCUCUAUUCCCAUAUUAUCACUCACUGUUAUCUUACCUUUAAUAUUGUUCUUAUUCGAUUCUACCAUCUUUCCUAUUUACACCUAUUUACUUAUCUUGGUUAAGUUAGAGCGUAGAUCAGUUCUCCUAUUUCCAUGUGGAUACGAUAAAACCUUUAACCGGGUAAAAGCUUCAACGGUAUCCGUGCGCUUGCGGAUUAUCUGUGUGCGUAUAAAUACCAUAGUACACUCUAGUGCCAUGUUGGGGAUGACAACCUAGUAUUCAAGUGGUGUUAGCAAGUGUCAACAAGCAUUUUUGGCACGAUUGUCGGGGAAACGGUUGCUGAGUUGACUACGAACUAGCUUAAUCAUUUUCUAAAAAAAAUAAUAUAUAUAUAUAUAUUUUCCUUUUAUCCUUUGCCUCAUCUCUGCUAAUCUUUCUUCUUAUCUAAUCCUUGAUCUCUGGUCUAUCAUGAAUUCAAACAUGUCUAUCUAUGAAUUUCAUAGACCUACGGGCACACAUCUCGAACCACCAAAAUCUUCAAAGCCUAUCAUAGCAUCUAGUUUUGAGAUAUACCCCGAAUACAUAGAAUUUGUUCAAAAACAACCUUUCUCAGGAGAAGGUGAGGAAAACCCAUACGCACACCUAAGAGAGUUUUAUCGAGUCUGUGACCUCCUUCGCAUAGAAGGCAUGUCCGAUGAGACCCUUAAAUGGAAGCUCUUUCCGUUCUCUUUAACGGGAAAAGCUAGACAUUGGUCCAAACUCAAAAUAGGGAGUGUUCAUGGAGAUUGGAAGGAGUUAUAUAGUAGUUUUCUUUCUAAAUAUUUUCCAAUCUCCAAAGUGGCAGAACUUCGGCGUGAGAUUAUUUCUUUUAGACAACUGGAAGAAGAAUCUCUUAGAAAAUCAUGGGACCGCUUUAUUAACCUUACUCUCACUGGCCCAAAGCUUUCUAUUCCAGAAGAAGUUCUUCUAAUUCACUUUUUUGAGGGUCUUAGUGGGGAAAAUAAGCAAACCUUGAAUACAGCCUCUAGAGGAUCCUUCUAUCACCUACCUGCUAGUGAAGCUUGGAAUUUGUUUGUGUUGACACCAUUUUUGGGCACGUGUCUAGGAUGGCAGGAUAGGGUGGCAGUACGAUGCGGGUUGCUGAUGAGGAUGGUUGCCGAUGAGGGAGAGGUUGAAUGUGACUAAGUCCACAGGCAGUAAUAUGGUGCCGAUAGCUGGAUAAAAAGGUCUGCCGAUGACUACGGCAAGGGGAUUGCCGAUGAUGCGAGGGAGGAGUCUGGAAGCUGCCAGUUGUCAUGUGGAGGAGUUUCGGUUUGUCACGAAGGAUAGUUUUAUUAUUUCCUUAAUUAUUUGCAUCGUUUUGUAUACGGAUUCCGUGUAAUUUGGAAUUCGAAUUCUAAUCGUGUCUGGUUGUAGCUCUUUGAGCAGGGUAUAAAUAUAAACCCUAGGACCUUGUAAUAAUAAAUAAAGAAAUCAAUCAAACACACGUUUUUACUCAUAUUCCAGCAUCUACUUUUCGACGACUUCGUCAUACCUUUUUCUUUUUAUUACGAGUUCUUAGGAAUUCGUCGACUUAAGCUCGGCGUGUUCUCGAGUUCCGCGUGAGUACCUCUUAGCCGUGACAUCCGGGCGCAUCGCUGUUGUCAGGACUAAAGUAUUCGAGUUAUCACCUUUGCCGAUAGCAAGGUCAAAUCGGCUGGCACGCCUUAACGUUUGAAUCGGGUAUUAGCCCUUUGUGUUUGCAGAUCAGUUUUGCAUCAACACAUCUUUUGGCAUGCUCGGUGGGACAGAUUCAGGAUCAAGAUCAACAUGUCGAUCUCUGACCUCGAUCAAGAGAACGUCAUCCCCGUGACGGAGGCCAACCUCAAGGAUGAGCAAAAGCAAGCUAUUGCCCAAGCCAUGGAAGAAUUCAAGCAGCAAUGCCUGAGGUCUUUCAGCAUAAACAGGAGCGGCGAAGUGGUCCAGAAAGAUACACUGCCGGCACCACGGCAGGUCACCUUUGACGCCAAUCCUGGCAAGCUUCAAGAUAUGGUUGACAAUGCCAUCAAUCGAGCGUUGAUUAACCAAGCUGGUGUACUGUCCAAUACGGUUUUCAACGUCGUGGCAAGAACUUUCAAGGAAGGACAAAUCCCGCCAGAUUAUGUGGGGCCCUCCCAUCAUCAGCCAACGGCACCAGAGGUCACGGCUCCAUCGGCUGCCUUGACGAAUGCAAGUGCACAGUCUGCCGUCCCUCCAAGUACAUUGGGGACUACUGGUGCACUAUCUAUGCCGAUGGCAACCAACCCACAAAUUUCAGUUGGGCAGCAUAAACUGACAACAGAUAUGUUGGCAUCGGCAAUGUCAGGGUUGACUCUUCCUCCCAACUGGUGGGGUUAUGUUAUGCCUCCAGAGUUACGCCGGGAACAUCACAAAUAACUGACAUGAGGGGCAAAACUCCUGUGACAUCGGCAGCUCCCAAUGCGCCGGUGAACCAGAGUCCUCGGUAUACCACAACUACCACUGCAAGGCCUCACACUGGGAAUCCUCAAGAUUCAAUGUUUCAAAUGCCCAACGCAUCGGCAGAGUCAAUGCUGAUGCAACAGAGGCCUAUGGCCCAGUCGGGGUAUGUCAAUUCAACGACGGUACCCAAUUACCAAUCAUCGGCAGCACCUAUGCCGAUGAACGCUAAUAAUGGAUGGCUUGGACAGCAAGCCUUUCCACAAUCACCCCAGCAGGGUUAUCAGACUACAGGGUUCCAGCAAGGGCAGGUCUAUCCCGGGUUCCAAGGUCAGGGGAUUCCCAACCAGCCAAUAAAUUUUGGACAGCAACUCGGAGGACAGCCAAUCGGUGGACAGCAGUUUGGUAGUCCGCAGAUUGGAGGACAGGUGACCAAUACAAUGUUCCAUGCAGGUCACGUCCCAAACAGACACGUGGAGGUUCGCCACCAAGUGCCAGAUCCGCAGCCGCCUCAUCGGCAAGAUGCCGAUGCGUAUUGGGCCGAUAAGAUUGCUGAAGUAAUGAGGGAACAAUUUGGGAUAAAACCCAAAGUCAACACUUAUUCUUAUCGGACACCGUAUCCUCCAGCGUAUGAUUUGAUCCCGCUUCCACAUCGGUAUAAGGUACCGGAUUUUACAAAGUUUUCCGGACAGGACGACACGUCAACCAUGGAGCAUGUCAACAGGUUCAUUAUUCAAUGUGGAGAGGCUGGUAACAGGGACGAAUUGAGGGUUCGUCUAUUUUCAUCAUCAUUGUCUGGAUCGGCCUUUACUUGGUUCAUAUCAUUGCCUCCCAACUCAGUAAUUACUUGGGCCGAUCUAGAGAAGCAAUUCCACAGAUACUUCUUCUCGGGGGUUCAUGAGAAGAAGAUCACCGACUUGGUCAAGUUGAGGCAACGUAAUGAUGAGUCGGUUGAGGGAUUUGUGCAGACGAUACGAGAGGUCAAGAAUAAAUGCUAUAGCCUGGUUCUGGAUGAUCGGCAGCUAGCCGAUUUGGCUUUCCAGGGUUUGUUGCCACAUAUCAGGGAUAAGUAUGCCUCUCAGGAGUUCGAAAGUUUAAGUCAUUUGGUGCAGAGGAUAUCUGAUCAAGACAUCAAGCCUUUCGAGCCUAAGAGGGCAUGGAAUAAGAAAGUGUCAUUUGUUGAUGAAGCAAGAAGCUCAGAUUCCGAUGAGGAACCAGUAAUCGGUUUGGCAGAGUGGGUAAAAAACAAGAAGCCGAUGUCUUGUCCUUCUGGGCAGAAGGAACCAGAGAAGUUUGCCUUUGACACCGCCAAGGCCGAUAGGAUAUUUGACUUUCUACUUCAGGAAGGUCAAAUCAAACUGUCACCUAACCACGUGAUCCCGUCGGCAGAAGAGUUGAAGAGGAUGAGAUAUUGCAAGUGGCAUAAUGCAACUUCACAUGACACCAAUGAGUGCAAAGUAUUCAGACAGCAGCUGCAAUCGGCUAUAGAGUCAGGGAGAAUCAAGUUUGACAGUUCUAAAGCCCAGAAGCCGAUGAAGAUAGACCAACAUCCUUUCCCGACAAACAUGUUGGAUGCUAAGGGGAAGGCUAAGGUCUUAACGUCGGAGACAGCUGAGAAGAGUGCAUCGGUAGAUCCUCAGCAUCAAGUUACUACUGCCGAUGCAAGAAGUAAGGGCUUGGUCCAGGAAGGAACUGGCUCAGGAAGGCUUCCUCGAUCUGGCAUCGUCAUAACUCAUAGGAGGCCUCGAGAAAAAUGGCAACAACGGGAAGAUCGGUAUCGACGCCAGCAGGAAGAUUAUCAACGGGAAGAAGAAAGACGCCGACAGGAGUGGAAUCGGCACAGGGAUCAUUGGAAUUGCCCAUUCUUCAUCCAUUGUUGGGAGGAAAAUAUCAAGCUUCCUACUGUCAGAGACUGCCCUGAAUGCAACGGUUAUGAUCGGUACGAUAGGAACGAUCGGCGUUAUCAUAAUGAUGAACGGCGAGCUAAUGGGCCGAUCAGAGGAAGGGUGUCAGUUCAUGACCGGCUGGGGGGCAGAUUCAGUGGGCACAACAGACUUAGUGACCGUGUCCAAUAUUUUCCCAGGAACCAAGAGGAGCUCGAAGGAAUGGCUGAUGCGCGGGUUCCCGAUGAAUUCAUAUUUUGCAGGGAUGCUAACACGCAUCGCAUGGAGUCAAGGGAGAACCGACGCCCGACGGCAAGGCAAAGGCCACUUCCUCCAUGGUGCCCUCUAGGAUUAACCAAGACACAGAAAAGGAGAUUGCAACGAGAAAGGCAAGAGGAGCUAAACAAGGGAGAGAACUCUGGAAGUCGGCACCCGUCAGACACUAAGAGGGAAGGUCCAUCGGCAGGCGUCAACAUGGUCUUCAUGUUGCCGAUGGAGUUUCUUGCACCAGCCAGUGACGAUGAGUUGGAAUUUUCUGAUCAGAUAGCUCAGUUGGCUCUGGAUCCGAUGACGGCUAUCUUUGAGAAACCUGCCGAUGACGAGAGGCAGCAUCUUAAAGCUUUGUUCCUCAAAGGAAGGGUUGAUGGGCAGCCAAUGAUCAAGAUCCUAGUUGAUGGUGGAGCUGCUAUUAAUAUUAUGCCGUAUGCAGUAUAUCGGAAGCUUGGGAAAGGGGAUCAAGAUUUGACCAAGACCGAUAUGAUGCUCAAAGACUUUGAAGGAAACGUGUCUCCAGUCAAGGGGGCGAUAUGUGCAGAGUUGACCAUCGGCAGCAAAACCUUGCCGACAACUUUUUUCGUGAUCAGCGGAAAAGGUGCCUACAAUUUAUUAUUGGGGAGAGAUUGGAUUCAUGCCAAUUGUUGUGUCCCAUCUACAAUGCAUCAGUGCUUGGUUCAAUGGGUAGGUGACAAGAUUGAGAUCGUCCCAGGAGAUUCUUCUUAUGUUAUCGCAUCGGCAGAAGCGGAUACUUACGAAAGGACCAGGUACAUUUCAGGAGAAGCUUGGGAGAAAGAUUUUCUCAAAGUUGCCGAUUAUGAGAUUCCACCGAUCCAAGCAGUCGGUUCUGACGACGGUUUUUAAUGGAUAGAUUCGCCGAUGAUGGAGAAUUAGGCCAGGGAUUCACAUCGGCCGAUGAUUUGGUAGAAAUAGAUAUAGGUAGUGGUGAUAAGCCUAGACCUACUUUUAUUAGAGCUAAAUUAGAUCCUAAGUGUAAGCGACAAUUGAUUAGUUUGUUAAAGGAAUAUAAAGAUUGCUUUGCUUGGGAUUAUACAGAGAUGCCUGGUUUAGACCGAUCAAUUGUCGAACAUCGGUUACCCAUCAAGUCUGGAUUUCGGCCACAUCAGCAACCAGCCCGCCGAUGUAAUCCUAACAUUCUACCUGAUAUUAAGGCCGAAAUCACUAAACUUAUUGAAGCUAAGUUUAUUCGGCAGUGUCGGUAUGCCGAAUGGAUUUCCAAUGUUGUUCCGGUUUACAAGAAGAACGGGAAGCUUCGGGUGUGCAUUGAUUUCAGGAAUCUCAAUAAAGCUACGCCGAUGGAUGGAUACCCAAUGCCUGUCGCCGAUCUACUGGUUGAUGCUGCGGCUGGCCAUCGGGUCAUCAGCUUCAUGGAUGGUAAUGCGGGUUACAAUCAAAUAUUCAUGGCAGAGGAGGAUAUUCCAAAAACCGCAUUCAGGUGUCCUGGUCAUGUUGGACUAUUUGAAUGGAUAGUCAUGACUUUUGGGUUAAAGAAUGCUGGUGCUACUUAUCAAAGGGCUAUGAAUUUUAUAUUUCAUGAGUUCAUCGGCAAGCUCGUAGAAAUUUAUAUUGAUGAUGUGGUGGUUAAGUCUGGAGAUUUCUCAAAGCAUCUUGCCGAUUUACGAAAAGUGUUGGAGUGCACAAGGAAGCAUGGAUUGAAAAUGAAUCCCAACAAGUGUGCAUUUGGCAUAUCGGCAAGGCAGUUUCUUGGUUUCAUGGUACAUCAGAGGGGUAUUGAAAUGAGUCGAAGAUCUAUUGAUGCCAUCAAUAAAAUAGUGGCCCCUACCAAUAAAACCGAGCUCCAAUCCUUGAUCGGCAAGGUGAAUUUUAUCAGAAGAUUUAUAUCGAAUUUAUCUGGGAGGAUUCGUGCUUUCAGUCCUCUUCUUAAAUUGAAAGCCGAUCAAGAGUUUGUUUGGGGAGAAGAACAGCAGUUGGCUCUGGAUGAAAUCAAAAAGUAUCUAGCAAAUCCUCCAGUUUUAGUUCCACCUCAACAAGGGAAGCCCUUCAAAUUGUAUUUAUCUACCGAUGGAUCGGUUAUCGGUUCAGCUUUAGUUCAAGAAUUUGAAGGGAAAGAGAGAGUAAUUUAUUAUUUGAGUAGGAGGUUGAUUGAUGCUGAAACCAGGUAUUCGGCCAUUGAGAAACUGUGCUUAUGCUUAUAUUUUUCAUGUAUCAAGCUGAGACAUUACCUGUUGUCGGCUGAAUGUGCUGUUGUUUGCAAAGAUGACGUGGUCCGAUACAUGCUAUCUAUGCCGAUUAUGAGUGGUAGGAUCGGUAAAUGGAUUUUAGCGCUGUCGGAGUUCGAUUUGCGUUACGAAUCGGCUAAGGCAGUCAAAGGGCAGAUUAUGGCCGAUUUUGUGACUCAGCAUUGCGGUCUAGUGGAAACCUUGGAAAUUGCACCCUGGACGCUCUUCUUUGAUGGAUCUACCUGUGACCGGGGGACAGGAAUCGGCAUUGUAUUAGUUUCUCCUAAGGGGAGGAAGUAUGAGUUUUCCUUGCCGAUUGUUGCUACAUCAACAAAUAAUCAGGCUGAGUAUCAAGCUCUGAUCAAGGGAUUGGAGUUGUUAAGAGAAGUUCGUGCUGAUGCUGUUGAAAUAUUCGGGGAUUCUAUGUUGGUUAUAAAUCAAUUGGCCGGAAGCUAUGAAUGCCGAGUGAAGUUCUCAUAACCUAUUUCGAGAGAAGUAUGCAACUGUUAAAGGAAUUCAAGGACUUCCGAUUGGAGCAUGUUCCCCGAUUGCAUAAUGAAGACGCUAAUCGGUUAGCCCAGCAUGCCUCGGGAUAUCAGCCAAUGAUUAAUGCGACAUCGGCAGUCAGUGCCGGUGAUUGGAGGAAAGAAAUUAUUGAUUAUCUAAAAGAUCCAUCCAAAAAAGUUGAAAGACGGGUUCGAUUUCAAGCGACCAAGUAUGUGCUCCUUGAAAAUGAAUUGUAUUAUCGAACUGUCGACGGAAUUCUUCUCCGAUGCUUGGGUGAUGAUGAAGCCAGAAGUUUGAUGGGGGAAAUCCAUGAAGGAGUGUGUGGAGCGCAUCGGUCAGCUUUUAAGAUGAAGUGGAUGAUUCGAAGGAAUGGAUAUUUUUGGCCAACCAUACUUGAAGAUUGUUUUAAAUAUUUCAAGGGAUGUCAAGGUUGUCAAAAGUUCGGUAAUAUCCAGAGAGCACCCGCAUCGGCUAUGAAUCCUAUAAUAAAACCUUGGCCGUUCCGGGGAUGGGCCAUCGAUCUGAUCGGCCAGAUUUAUCCACCAUCUAGCAAAGGGCAUAAGUUCAUUCUAGUUGCCACUGACUAUUUCACUAAGUGGGUCGAAGCUAUUCCUUUGAAGAAAGUCACAUCGGCCAAUAUGAUUGAUUUUGUGAAGGAGCAUAUUAUUUACCGAUUUGGGAUUCCCCAAACGAUUACUACCGAUCAGGGCACCAUGUUCACGUCAGGGGAGUUCGAUGAAUUCGCAAUCGGUAUGAGAAUUAAAGUGUUGAAUUCUUCUCCUUACUAUGCUCAAGCCAAUGGGCAGGCCGAAGCGUCUAACAAAGGAAUUAUCAAGCUUAUUAAACGAAAGAUUGAAGAAAAUCCUAGGCGGUGGCAUACAUUGUUAAAUGAAGCACUAUGGUCUUAUCGGAUGGCUUGUCAUGGAUCAACCAAGGUGUCACCCUAUCAAUUGGUGUAUGGACAUGAUGCAGUGUUGCCUUGGGAGAUUAAGGCUGGAUCUAGGCGAUUAUCUUUUCAAGAUCAAUUGGCUGCUGAUGAUUAUGCCACUUUGAUGACCGAUGAGUUAGAUGAUUUAGCAGGGCAUCGGUUAAAGGCUUUAAUGAGUAUAGAAGAAAAUAAGAAGAGAGUUGCUAGAUGGUAUGAUAAGAAAGUAAAGGCUAAGAAGUUUGCCGAUGGGGAUUUGGUAUGGAAGUUGAUUUUGCCAGUCGGGACUAAAAGUUCGAAGUUUGGGAAGUGGUCUCCUAAUUGGGAAGGUCCUUAUCGGAUAAGACACUCGGCUCCUGGUAAUGCCUAUAUUCUAGAAACUCUCGAAGGAGUUGAAUUUCCCAGAGCAUUAAAUGGCAAAUAUUUAAAGAAGUACUACCCCAGCAUAUGGGUCGAUGCAUAAAAGUUUAAGUGCCGAUAACACUCCUAUCGGCUGGAUUUAAAUGUUUGGGGGCAGACUUAAUGUUUCAAAAGAUGCCGAUAACAGUCUUAUCGGCUAGACUAAAAGCUAAAAGCGGGAAAACAAAGGUGUGUUGCCGAUGAAAGCUUCAGAUGUUCAGCAGCGCUUGGAUUGCCGAUAUGGCGCGCAGCCGGAUCUGAUUGGCUGUCUCUAUCUCUUUGAUAUCAUCAUCGGCAGAACCUUCUAUCGGCUUCAGCUUCCUCUUCAGCUGCAGCGCUUUGCGGCCGUGGACGUUUCGUUCUUGUUCAAGGUGCUUGAUGGUCUCCGGCAGUUGACUCUCUUCUUGCUGGGCUUGGGACAGAGCAUCCUCUACUUGCUUGAGUUCGGCCAGUAGAGCUUCUCUUUUUGCCGAUAGAUCAGAUACUUUCUGCUUCAGUGCAUCACCUGAGGACUUUAAGGUGCCGAUGUUCUUAUGUUUCUCGUCGGCUAAGAGUUUUUCUUUCAUCAUCUCCUCAGAAAGCUGGAUUUGAGCGGCUCUAUCGGCAAGGCGUCGAGUGGCUCUCUGGUACUGUAGCUGGCGGCUUUCCAGGUAUGCAGCAUGGAAGAGGGUUUCUUCAGCAUCGGCAGGAAUUUGGCCUCUAAGGGUUUUGAACAGGGCCUUGGCUGGGUCAGAAUCGUUGACCAGUUGAGCAGUGUCUUGAUGAAGUAUGGCCGAUAGCUCCUCCAGCUUAGCCCUGGUUUCUACCGAUACAGUCCCAAUUGCCCGAGAGGAGCUUGCUUCCUCACCUUCUUCUUCGAAGAUAUCAAUGGCGAAGGAGAAUAAGCUAUCGGGAGAAUCUUGUUCCUGAAAAUGAGAAUGAAAUAAGUCAUUUUUAUGGUCAAAGCUUCGGCAGACGAUGCUGGUGGAAAAAUUGGAUGACUUACUUGUUUCAGGGCAAUUUCUUGCCUUUAAGAUACCGAUGGAGCUACAGGUUGAUCGGCAGAUGUUGCCGAUGGAAUGAUAUCACCUGAAAGAAGACAGGAAGGGUUAUGAGACUAAAUGAGAAUAAGUUUAUCGGCGGAAGUAUUGGUGAGAUAUGUUACCCGGAGGAGGAACAACAGUUGUCUGAAUCGGGGAAACCGCCGAUGAUAUAACUGGACCUGCCGGGCCAGUUGUUUGUUCACCCACAUCAGCUGAUGUACCUUCUGUUUGAGGUUCUUCCUGCUGGGGUUCUUCCAUCUGUGGUGCUUCCUGCAUUGGUUGGGGAGAUGGUGCUUGCUGUGUCUGGACUUCUGGAGAAGAAGGGGAAGAUUCCACCGGGAUUGGAGACACCGGAGGAGGAGGGGGAGUUGCCACUUUCUGGCACUUUGUUCCAGCCUUAGCACCUUGGGUGCCCUUCCUCUUUGGCUGGCUAGACUGGGGGGCAUCGGUACCUUGGCGUUUGGCUUUUGCCGAUGCACCAGUUUGGUGCAACAACAAAAAGGAGUUUAUGAGCAUAGAUAGCCGAUACAAAGAUAGUUAGCAUAAAUGAAAAGGGUUUGACAAAUUGCCCUGAAAGCUUGCGCCAGAGUGGAAGCAGCUACCGUUGGCGAUGUCUGAGUUUUCCUGGUGGUAACUUUCUUGGGACGCGCACCCCGAUGCACGAUGGAAGCCAGAGUGGGAGCAUUAUGGCCGAUUGAGGAGAUCGGGCCUGAUGGGAACAAGUCGAUCGGCUUGCCACUCCUGCUAACCGAUGGGGGGGUGUUGUCAACCUGCAAAAGGAAUACAGGGGUAAGUUACCGAUGGAAAUAGUAUUGGAAAAUGAGACAUCGGUUUAAAAUACUUACAGUGUCAUCAGGGACUUCGUAUUCAGGGUCGAUCAUGCCGCGGUAUGAGAAGGCCGAUCUGCAGAAUAGAUUCUCUUUCCAUUCUGCCCACCAUAGCUUGUAUGCCUGAGUGAUAAAGGCAGCUGGAACCCAUUCUGACAGAUCUACGUCUGUAUCGGCAUUUGGUGGUAGCUGGGCUACUCGAGUCCACUCGAGAAGGUUGGCGAUGGGUUCUCUGGGCUUUAUCACAUCGGCAUAAGGAAGUGCAAUCGGCAACUGGCCGAAAGCUAGCUGGCGAGCUAAUGCCGAUGGAUUAUAAAAUUCAUAGGUUUGGGGAGAGGUUUUUGUGCUACCGAAGAAAUUCACUGGUAUGGCUCUGGGAGUCACAAUUGCCAUCAUCACCUCAUUGUCCCUAUCGAGAGCUUCAUCAAAUGGAUUGAAGGUCAGAGGGAGCAUGCUAUCUGGGUCGUCAUAAGCCAGCCAUGGUCGUUCAUCUCUGGCCAGACCCUCAUAUAGAGUCUCAAAGAAUCGGCCGAUCUGAUCCGGAUUGUUCCCUGAACCGGGUAAGACUAUAACGGCUUCGCCAAAGUUCAAGGGGGCACGCGUUGCCGAUUCCUCUUCACCCAACACAUGAUUUUCGGCUAUAUCUCUUGGGAAGUGCUGUGAGAACAAGUUGAAAUCAAGGCGCUUAUGCAGGUGCAGAUUGAGCCACAUAUUAAUAAACCACCAGGGGCCUCCCAAGUUGCCGAUGGAUUGGCCAAGCAGGAGUUUCUAGGCUACCUGAUGAAGAAGGUGGUAAACAGCGCUGAGCAAAUAUCGGCCGAGAGGAAAUUGGCCACCGCUAGCCAGUCUUUCUGCUGCCGAUAGAUAGACAGAAGUCGGUCCUGCCGAUCGACCACAGAAUACAAACUUGUCCAGCCACAUGUUCAGAAAGGUGGUUUGCUCCUUUAUGGUGACAGGCCCUCUCCCGCGGUACUUCUGGAUGUACCCUGACCAACCGCCGAUAGCGCGAGUCUCCACUUUGGCACUGGGGGCAGUAUCAAAAAAGUGGGUGCUAUCGGCAGAAGAUAUAUCUAGCCCAGUAAGCAUGGCUACAUCGGCAAGGGUAGGAGAAGCAGGGCCGUGGCCAAAAACAAAAGCAUUGAGAGUGUCUGACCAAAAGUAGGAUGCAGCUAUCAGCAGUGACUCGUUCCUGUGCAUAUCGGCAAUGGAUAGCCUAAUGCAUUGAGCUAGCUUCCUCUCACCCCACUGGACUUCAUAAGAAUUGCUGACCCUCAAGAACCAAUCUUUCCACCCUACAGUAGGGCUGGGCCAAGAGCGAAAGGUGUCUUUCCACAGAUCUAAAGAAAAGUUUUCGGCUCUAAAGGGAAUCCUGUUGGUUUCUGCAUUGAUGAGGUCGGUUGGAUCUGGAUUCCCUAGAGGGCCGAGGCACUGAAGGUGUGGUUGAUCGGUAGGGAUGACAAUUUUGUUGGACAACUCCUAGUGUUUUGGGGAAUAAAAAUACAAAGAAAAAGGAAAAGGAAGAUAUUCAGUAAGAUGAAUCGCAGAUGAACAGGAAUGCGAGAAAAAGGUACAGGAGAUGAGAUGGAAGUCUGACCUCAGGGACGACGAAGCCAAUGGCCAUCUUGUCGUGAAGAGGACGUUGGAGGGCACCGGAGUUGAUGAAGAGGAAUGCUUGUCGGAGAUCUUGAGGGUUGUAAAUGGCGCCGCCGCUGGAAAAGCAAAGUUGGAUAGUAGAAUGGUGUAAUGGGGGAGGAGUACCCAAGAAGGAACUAUUUAUAGGACAAGACGGGCAAGGGCAAAUCCGACUUAUCUCUUUGCCGCAUCCGAGAAGCCCAAGGGUACUCAGGUAGAUAUGGUAACUGUUCGCACAGUAAUCCAGGGAUUGUGCAGGUGAUUUGACGGGAAGCGGUCAUUAUCUAAAGAUAUUUUACUGUGCGAGAUCUCCUGGUCGGUCCAUCGGCGAUAUUCUAUAACGGUCAUCUUGCCGAUGGGCGGAUAGAGGGGAGGUAACCGUUUUUGUGAAUAUCCUGGUCAGAGCAUCGGCAGAUCUUUGUAACGGUAUUGUUGCCGAUGUACGACCAAGAAAGAUGCCCGUUUAGGAAGUUGGGGAUUUCGAGGAAUCUGCGGAGGAUUAGGAUCAGAGUUGUCCAGAUUGAGGUUGUCGGUUACCAGAUUAGGAGCAUUAAUUGCGGAGAAGGCAUCAUUACUGCAGAGAAUUUCGGAGCAUUAAUAGUUUUAUACUCCGAAACUGGGGGGCAUGUGUUGACACCAUUUUUGGGCACGUGUCUAGGAUGGCAGGAUAGGGUGGCAGUACGAUGCGGGUUGCUGAUGAGGAUGGUUGCCGAUGAGGGAGAGGUUGAAUGUGACUAAGUCCACAGGCAGUAAUAUGGUGCCGAUAGCUGGAUAAAAAGGUCUGCCGAUGACUACGGCAAGGGGAUUGCCGAUGAUGCGAGGGAGGAGUCUGGAAGCUGCCAGUUGUCAUGUGGAGGAGUUUCGGUUUGUCACGAAGGAUAGUUUUAUUAUUUCCUCUUAGCCGUGACAUCCGGGCGCAUCGCUGUUGUCAGGACUAAAGUAUUCGAGUUAUCACCUUUGCCGAUAGCAAGGUCAAAUCGGCUGGCACGCCUUAACGUUUGAAUCGGGUAUUAGCCCUUUGUGUUUGCAGAUCAGUUUUGCAUCAACAGUUUGAUUUAUUAAGUGGAAAGUCUCGUAGCUUUUAUAUCACAGAGAAAGAGACAGAACCAGUUCCUAGACAAGAAGAAGAAGUUUCGAUAGCCAGAUCACAACCACUUCAAUUCCAAACUUUAGCUAUCGAUCCUAAACCAUCAAUACCCCAAAAUUCUCCAAGGGAGGAAGGAAUUUCGACCUUAAAUCUUUCAGAUGCUGAUGGUUUAGACUUCUGGUUCCAUAAGAGACCUUCAAGCAGGGAUAAUUCAAAUCCUCGCAAUAAUGGUUCUCUUAGAGAAUGUCCUAGUUCCUGUUAUGAAGAAGUCAAGGAUGACAUAUCAAGUGAAGGAGAGCUAAGCCAUGUUGAAAAUUCUAACACCUCCCCUUUCCUGAUCACAAGUUCUAAAUGGCUAGAAUGUGUAGAAUGGAUGGAUAAGGAAGAAGCCUUAAUGAAUUCUGACUUUGGUUCAAUUUCAAAUGGUGAGCUCUUGACUCCCUUUGAAGAUGGGAUUCAUCCAACUAUAGAAGAGGACAUAAGUGAGACCAAUCCAAGAGAAACUCUGAACAUUCAGAUUGGAGACGAAGAUAACAUUAAUGAGCAUGGAAUUUAUUUCAUAGCCACUUUGUUUACUCCAUGCUCAUAUGCAACAUCUUCCCAAUCUAUUGGUCUCUCCAACAUCACCACAUUUGAGAUCUCCAACCCCCUCUUCCUUUCUAUUUAUAAAAACUUUAAAAGGGCAGUUGUCGAUGCAUAUGUUUAUAAUAAAUGUUGCAGAUCUUGUUGAGUUGAUCUUUAUUUAGGUCAAUGUUGGAAGGGAAACCACUUCGCCGACAUAAAUUGAUGGUUUCCCAAGGACAAGCUUGGUGUCCUAAAAUAAGCACUGAUCAGAUCAUAACAUGAGUUUUUAAUUAUUUGCAACAUUACCUUGUGUAUUGAGCAUAUAAGGAUAAUUGUAAAAAUAUUCCUUCGGGUAUUCUUGUCACUAACCUUUCCAGGAUUGGAACAAGAAGAUCAGAUGAAUGACAAGCAAGUACAAGGUAUGUCCAACCAAUCAUCAUGCAACACUGAAUUAAAUUCAUCCAAACUUGAAUUCUGCAAAAUUCAAGCUUUGGGGAGUACUUUACAUAAAAACAUCCUUUGCCAUGUUGCUAUGUUGGUUGUCCCUACCUUUAUGACAUGCUAAAUUUGUUAAAUACUAAUCACACUACUUCAUCUCCACUUGAGUAGAUCUCUAUAAAUGUUGUCAUGUUACCUUUGUCUAUUUGCUAGUAAGUGUUAGUUUGGAAGUACAGCACAUACUUCUAUUGGCUUUUAAACUAAGCAUGGUGCUUAGGUUAAACAGCCUUCCUUAAUCUGAUUAGACAUGGAGUCUAGUUCGGUUAUUGAACUAAAAACUGCUUGUAUAGACAUUGGUAUAUUUUUGUCGGACUAACCCCUGCAGAGAAACUUUCAAUAUCGAUUUGGGAAGUCCUGAGAUAAAAUCACAUCAGAGACGAAGAGAGUGACACAUGAAGUUUAACAAUUUGCACAAGAAGGACAUAGCUCAUUCAUCAUAGAGAGAUGAUCCAUGGAGGGUGCCAUAAACACGAUGCACAACCGCUAAGAAAGGAAAGCUUCCACAAGGUGAUACUGUACCAUCACUCUUGAAGCAAGGUAACAUCUUAAGGUACUUGACUCUCACUUUUAUAAGCUUUUCCUUGGUUCUGGCGUUCAUAUAAAUAAAAGAGACAAACAUGUAUGAUUUACAACUCUAGAUUAACCAACCCAACUGAUUCAACAUGUUUAGUCCUUUAAUCCUUGUUCUUAGUACUACCUCCAUGAUCCCACACUCCUAAUCAUAUGAGCUAAAAUGUUACACAUUCAAUCAUUGAGAGAUAUAAAGAAAAAGACAUAUACAUAAUAGAUUAUCUUUCCAUAAGGUUGAGCGAUCUAAUCUGACAAAUGUUAUAAGUGCUACACUCAUGAACUUUUCAUCCAUCAACUUUGUUUUGCUCACUAUGCUUAGGGUUAGAGAAGAACAAAUACACUUUAGGUUCUAUUGGUGUUUUCCACCAACAGGACCCAUGCACUUGAUCUCUGCCUUGUCUCUAUGAGCAGGUACACUUCGAGCAAAAUACGGAGGAGUUUUAUAACUCUCAGACUCUACCAAGUGAAGGACCUCGAUCUACGAGCACAAACACACUAAGCAGGACACUGCCAACGCCGCACUUCGAACUACUGGGCAAACGAAGAGGUGCAGACGUCAAGGUCCGCACCUGAAUCAAAUGACGCACCUGAAGAAUGAACACGGUGAGAAGUCUUGUUAAGAAGACUUAAAACAUUGAACCCUCGCCGAAAGGUAAGAUCGGUAGUUAUCCAUAUUUAUCCUUUCUGCAUUCCCUUUUCCCUUUAAUUAUUUACUUUCCUUAAAUAGAUUAUUAGUUAAUCUUGCUAUCUUGAAAAGGAAAUAAAAAUGUUCAAAAAAUACUAAGCCCCAUGUGAGUAUAUGAGUGGCAUAAAACCCAUAAGUACCUUCACUGUGGUGGCAUAAAAAUAAAAUAAAUAUUUCUUUUCUGCUUUAUAAAAUAAAAAUAUAAAAACAGGGAGUAAUAUUUAUUGAGGAAGCUCAACAUGAUGAAGGCUAGAUAUUUAUGCUAUCACUUAAUUAGUUCCACAAGCUUUGUUGUCUAUUUGAGCUUCACAGAAUUUAAGAAUCAAGAAGACUAGCAGACGGAGGACAUUCUAAUCGCUGUCAGAAUGCUGCUGACUUUCAAAUACACCUCUGCCACCUGCUAGCUACAUCAAGAGAAAUUACGUCAAAAUUCAGCUUGGGGGAGAGCACCCCCAUUUAUCUCGCUAAGUAUUUCUACCUAUCUUUGUACUUAUAUUAUGUUAGAAUAUUAAAAUACAUAAACUAUGAAAAACCAAAUAAAGAUUUUGUGCUUAUAUAUAUAUCUUUUGCUUAGUGUGUUUAAUAAAUAAAUAAAGUGGCUAUGCUAAUCUGAAUCUUAAUAAUAAAACUCUAGCAUGGAUAUGAUGAAUAGUUGCUCUACCUAAUUUGCAAAUUUGAAGUUCUCUCUCAUGUUUAGACAUAACUGUUAUAAUUUAAAGCUUGCUCUAGAUGUAAACUUGUGGGAUGAAAACUUGAUCUGAAAUCUAAGUUGUUAACGGAUAUGAUAUGGGAAGGUUGAGCUGCUGUUUAUCUGUUCCUAGAGAUGCUAGAAUUCUAUAGAAUUUUAUCUUUGAAAAAUCUUUAAAAUAUUGCAUGAUGAGUUCCUGUAUGAUGAGAGUUUAAAUUCCUACCACAGCCAUAUAUACAUGCUUGCUAGACUUUGAGCCACACAUUUACUAUAUACUGCUUAUGAGCAUUGAGUGUGGUCAAGCUGUGUAGACCCUUAGGAGCUUGUCAUGUGGUUAAAUCAAGAUUCACUUGCACGUUCACUCAUAUAUGCUACUUCUACUCCGGAAGUACCAUCCAUAUAUAUCCAUCCACGUCCAUCUCCAGAACCACCCAAAAAUAUUCUACUCCUAAUCCGGGAGAGAAUAGCCAAAAAUAUUUCUGUUUUCCCUUGUGAAAUAAAUGCUCAAGUUAUCUUGCUACUACCACUUGCUAUAUUAUCUCAAGAGAUGAGUGCUCUGAAAAAAAAAGAGAAGAAAAGAAAAAAAUAAAAAUAAACUAGGAAAUAAAAAGGGGCAAGUGCCCGGAACCUCGAAAGAAAGAAAAAGUGAGACGAGAGGUAAAAAUGGACAAGUGUCCGACAGUAGAAUUAGGGGUACAAGAUACCCACCUGAGAGGAAAGAAAAAGAAGAGCAUCUCAUUCUCCUCAAAAAGCUUCAAAGUGCAAGAAAGGUAUGUAUCCCCGCAAAAGAGCAAAAGUAGAAUUAGACUUUCACCAUUAUCACCAUCAUCACCAUACACCAUUCAUUCGCCACACAUGCAUAUCUUGAUUUGACUUAUUGACUUGUUCUUCUAGAUCCAUGGUUUGACUAUGCAAUAAAUGUCUUGUAAGUAUGUAUACUUUAUCUCCCACCUAUGAGCUCCAGAUAACAAAACAUUACUAGAGUAGGGUGAUAGAGAAGGCAAUACCACUAUGCCUCAUACCAAAAAUACCACAUACUUUGAGAGAAGGCAUACACCAUUACUGCCUUGGUAAGGAUCCAGAAAUACCACAAAAGAGAGACU
rnacentral:lncRNA from 1 species